UGUUUCUGAUGAUGAAUCUGAUGAGGAGGUUCCACAGGCUAUUCCAUUAUUCCCAAACGCAGAUGGUAUAUAUCCUUGUUCUACAUAACAUUUUUGUUUAAGAGUUAAUAUUGCAUUUCUCUCUGUGCAUUAUGACUGCUUCAUAGAUACACAUAUUUAGUUUAUGGUGCUAUUUAUCUCAUAUCCUCAUUGUAUAUGUGACUGAACUCGCCAAAUUAGAUAAUAUAUGACCUCCCACUUGAAUCCUUGAAACACUCGAUUAACAUUUUUUACAUUCAAAGACAUACAUAAGUAAUAUGGCGAUUGAUUUUUUACAUUUCCUGAGCGUUGUACCUUUUUCAAACUGAAACUGGGCAUUAUUCCUCUAAGUGCGCGAUGCAUUUCUACAAGCAGACAUAAGGCGCCCUUACGGGCACCCUAUCGGGACACCGCUCAGUUGCUUCAUCUUCAGAUCCGGUUUGUUUUUCAGUACUGCAAAUCAUCUCAGUGGUGUUGAUUCGUAGAAGAACAUGAAACUGAAGAAUGCCGAAUUUCCUGCUCGUAAUCCAGACAGCACAUCUCACCACAAUCAAUCCUGGAGAUGCCAUGAAGGUUUGUGAGCAUGUUACCAUUUUCUACAUAGCUAUAAACCAACAAAUUUGUCUCCAUGCUUGCUAUCUCACCAAUCAUGCAUGCUAUAAACUGAUAAGCUCAUUCUUGUCAUGUUCUAAUGUAAUGUAAGCAGGUUGGCAUGGCACCCAAACUUGCACGAUGCCAACUAAGUGUGCAUCCUUGCAUCAAACUUGUCGCGGGAGCAUUAACAAACAAUAAUAAAAAUUGUGUUUUAUUCUAUGAUUAUAUCUAAAGCUGGCCUGCCCUUUUUAAUAUUGAACAUUGACUGAUCCAGUUUUGCUGAAGCUAUGGUAUUAUAGAGAAAAAGAGAAAAAAAAACAAGAAAAUUAUGGAACUAUAUGAAUUGUACCUAAAAACAAAGAUAAAAAGAACUAUAAGAAUUGUACCUGAAGAACAAAGAUAAAAGAACUAUGGAACUCUACCUUCUCAGUUCUCAUCUAUCAUUAUAAAAACAAAGAUAAGUGUGUUAGCUGGGCAAUAGGAAGAGCUAAGGAGCUUGAGAGCCUAGGCUUAGUUGUAGCUCUAGCCGAGGUCGGGUCAAGUUACGGUUCCAGUUUGUAAUUUCCUUUGGGUUUUUUGUGUAGGGGCCUUUGGAGACUUGCUAGGCAAGAUCUCCUUUUUGUAAGGUUUUUUAUUCCUCUCUAAUAUAUAAGAUGCGCAGUUCUCCUGCGCGUUCGAUAAAAAAAAUAUAAAAAAAAUGUCCGUGAUGCUUUGCUCGCAUCGCAUGUUCUUCUUGCAUAGCCUUGACGCCUUGGCGUUGCUAAUCCUUCCAUCUACCAAGCUCGUGUCUUCAUCAUUCUUGGCGCUGAUCGAUUAUGACGCCGAAAAGUCAGCAUGCAUGCAUGGACAGUAGUCCACUCUUCGUACCGCGCCCGCAUCCUCCGUUCUCCAGAACGCCGUCGUUGAUGUCCGGAACUGAGAAAUUUGCAAGAUCACCACCCCGGAAAGGUGGCUUCGCUGCAUUGCCACUAUCAACUGAUCCCUCACUGUUGCAGGCCCAGGCGAAGCUGGAUUGACCGCCGAGGAUCAUCAGAAAAGCCAUCCUUUCAUGUGUGGUGGAGUUCCUGCUGAAAGUGUAGUCAGCGUUUCAUGGCCGACAGUCAGCUGUUCCUGCUGAUAUUGUGUUGUUAUACGGGUUGCUGAAAUUGUAGCACCCACUUCUUGGUCUGCAGUUUGUUGAGUUGUUUUUUCAAGCACCCCUUCAUCAGUAGCAGCCUUUGAAGAUGUAGCCCGAAGUUCUUUUGAAACCCAAUUUAGGGUCGACGGGUCAGUGGCCGCCGCCACGGCAACUUAGGAGCUGGCGGUCCCUAAGGACGCCAGCGAACUUCCAUCUAUGGCGCCAUCCAUCGGUUGGUGAAGUUCAAACUAGUUAGCUAAGGAGGAAGAAAGUAAGAGGGAAAGGGGUGACGAACUCACCGGAUUUCUCUCCUCGGAGUCACGGCAUGGUGAGAAUGACAGGGGGACAACUUUUGGAGGCGGCGACGCGACAGGACGGUGAUGGCGACGAUCUGGCCUUAAUCAGAGCUAAAAGCGCGAACUGAGGCCAGUGUUUCUAAGCGGGAAGUUUUUGCCGUGUCUUGUUGCUAUCCGGUCGAACCCCACGCCACGGCUUCCAUAAGAGCGAAGCCCAGUUUGUCGUUUGCCAUAAUCACAAUAAUCUCGGCAGUGUUUCUUCCUCGACGUGCCAUGAUGAACGGAACAGUUGAGCACUGGGGUUCAUAUCGCACGCCGAAAUCAUCCCUUUUGUUCUUUUUAUUCUCCGAUCGUGUCCACUUUAGUGGAUAUUAGGGUGCACCCCGCUGCUCGUAUUGUGUCUUUGUCUCGUCAUUUGCUAGUUUCUGCUGCUAAUCGGGAGGCUGGACCCAAUGUAGAAAGGGUGACAAGUUCGAUCAACCUGUUCACCCCACCCCUAGGGUUCGUAGAUGACCUUUGUGCGAUUUUUCGUUUCCCUUGUUUGUUGAUUGGGAAAAGGUUUUGGUUAUUUACUGGGUGAGGCUGGUUGGUUCAGGUCAAGGCUACGACUUGUCUGCUACUGUUAUUUAGUAGCAUGUACUGUUGCUUCCUACUGUAGAAGUUUUCGUUGAUUGGUGUUCCAUGGAUUAUGCUGUCAUUGCAGCAGUGGCACAUGGUAAAUCAGAAUGCUUCUGAGACUGACAAGGUCGAGGGAGACAAGUUUAGGUUUUGAGCUUUUCAUGAACUGUAGGAGGUUCCCUAUCAGAUCAGGUAAACAGAUGCUGAGAUCACAUGGUGCUUGUGUGGCCUUGACAUCACAAUUACUCUGAUGCUAAGAUCACAUGAGCAAUUGAGUCAGUCACCAGAGAAUGCUUUGAAGGCAAUGUGGCAAAACCAUGUAACUCUAAUUUGAGACGGGGGAGCACAAAAUCAUUUGAUUUAUAAGCAUGCACUGUUAUAAUAGCUUGAUUAGCUUCAUAAAAGAAACAUCUAUAAUCCGAGUAUGCUAACCAUGUAUAAAUUACAAAUUAGAGUAUUAUCUAAUCAACCAAAACAUAUAAAAGGAUGGUGUAUAUGGUGCAUACCUUUUCACCAUGAUCAAACACAAUGACAUUAUUAUAGAGGCCUAAAUGAAUGCCAGAAAGGUUCCUAUUGUCAUGUGGUGCCUUACUGAAAGGAAGCUUCUUUGUUUUAACAUAACACACUGUAUCAUAUGAGGAAAAUCCAACCCAUCCUCCUACAAGAUAUCAUAAAAACGUUGUGACAGUAAUUGAUACAUAACAAAGAACUAUCCCCAUGACUUCCCCCUACGGAGCUUUCUCAAGAGCAUUAUAGCUAUCGAAUAGAAGUAAUAUUAGGAUCUCACCAAACAACAUUCUAGCUAUUGAAACUAGUAAAUAACACCUUGAUACCAAGCACAUAAUAAAUAAGUAAACAACAAACACAAAAUCCAACAAUCUCGAUUAUGGGAGAAGAAAUUAUCACACCUUGACAUGACAAAGGAAAACCUAAAGGUAUAAUAACUGCCAGCUUGCAAACGAGAUCUUAUAGCAAUAAAAACAGAUAAAACCAAAAUAACAAAAAGAAUACAACUAACACUCCAAAUAUCAAAUGGAAAACUCCAGCCUAAAGCUGCAAUAGAAAUAUCCAACAUCAGCACUACUGACAUACAGAAUUGGAGAAGAAACCUUUAGCAACUAUCAUGAUAGCGGGCAUGACCACUAAUGAAAUAGUACAAAAGGUCUAACUCUUAUUCUGCACACAAGCAUAGAGCUCCAUGUUUAGCAGCCAGAUCAUGUCCUGAAAAGGAGUACCUGAAGACCACCCUUCCAGAAAAAUCAAGCAGGUCGCCCAACAAUCUCCUUUUAAAAAUAGGUAAUGAUUCUUCAUGCAAUCAUGCCUUAAAAAUAAUAACCAAAAAGGGUAAGGUAAACACAGUGCAGAGAAAACAAAUAGUGUUGCCGACAAAGUUUUUGAAGUAAAUCCUAUGCUUUUGAAGAUGAUGGCUUGUAAAGUGUAAUUGAUCUGUAUUAAGCUUCUUGAGAGACAAAGGGAGGCCAAAAUACUUGAGGGCUUGUUCGGUUAUUUUCAAUCCAUAUGGAUUGGAGGAGAUUGAUACGGGUUGUGAGAUAUUUUGACUUACUAGGGAUUGAAACCCCCUCAAUCCCCCUCAAUCCAUCUUGGUAAAGGCUGUUUGAUUAGGAGAGAGAGAGACCAUCAUUUCCAGCUUACCGGCAAACCUAUUGGCCAAGAUUUUUGUAAUGAGCUUAGCAAAGCUAUGCACAAGGCUAAUAGGUUGAAAGUCCUAAACAUGUUGGGCAUCAACCUUUUUAGGCAUCCUCCAUUCUCCAGAACGCAGUCGUAGAAAUUUGCAAGAUCACCACCCCGGAAAGGUGGCUUCGCUGCAUUGCCACUAUCAACUAAUCCCUCACUGUUGUUAUGCCAUCCGGCCUCAUAUAAUCCAUCAACUUGUUCUUUUACAGAUCUCCAGCCACGGGAAAAGACAGCUCUAUCCUUAGGUCAAGAUAAGGUCAUCUUGCCUCUGUUUGCUUGGACUAAAAAUGAACGAGCGUUGAGUUCUCCCCGGCGGCGCAUAGAGGGUUGGACACUCAAGCACGCAUAACUCAACAUUUUGUUCUCCUCCAAGCCCACAGGCAGCAGAUUUGAGGUAAGAAUGGUGUUCCAGUUGUAUUCCCUCAUUUUCUGUUAUCCUCCUUCGAUUUCUAAAAUCCCUUGUUUUUUUGGACGCAUGAACCAAUAGAUUUUGUGAUGUUGGCUCUAAAUCUGUGAUCCAUUGCCCUUGGAGAGGUGGUGCUAUACCAGAUUUGGACAUGGAACCCAACUCCAACUCUUGGGACAUGAACCUAAGGUAUAUAAUCUAUUCUGCUAUGUGGUUUUGUUUAAAUAUUUCAGCUGUUUGAGUUGCUAACAAAAGAUAGGUCGCCCCUCUAACUCGAUUUUAUUGUGCACUUGCUCCUUGCAUUGAGGGUUUUUUAGCAGGAUGUAGGCCUUAUCUUAGUGUAGACUCAACUGCACUAAAUGGUAGGUAGAAUGGCCAAUUGGCAUCAGUAACAGAUAUAGACGGUCAUAACUGGAUGUAUCAUGUUGCAUUUGGAUUAAUACAAUCUGAACCAGAGGAUAACUGGGUUUGGUUUAUGAAGCAGUUGUGUAGGGCUAUAGGAGACAUGCCUCAACUAGCAAUUUGCACAGAUGCUUGUAAAGGAUUAGAAAAAGCAGUGGUACAAGUGUUUCCUUAUGUUGAUCAAAGGGAAUGUUUUAGGCACCUCAUGCAAAACUUUAUUAAGAGCAUUUAUUCACGUAUGUACCCUGCUGUUGAGGCUUACAAGAAGGACAAAUUUCAGUACCACAUGACCCAAAUGUUCUCAGGUAGCAAUGAUGUGUUCAAGUACCUUGAUGAACAUCAUUCACUGAAAUGGAUGAGAUGUGACUUCAACCAAGAAAUUAAGUGUGAUUAUAUUACUAACAAUCUAGCGGAGUGUUUCAACAAUUGGAUUAGAGAGUAGAGACAUAAAGGACUUGCCAGUGACUGAUCAUGUUGAUAAGGGAAAUGAUAAUGAUUCUAUGGGAGAAGAUGAGAAAAAUUGGAGAACGACUUCAAGGCAAGAUACUAACAGCUGUCCUACACCAAUUGAAUGCAAGAACUAGAGGGUUGGGACACUCAAAUGUUGUGAAAGUUGACAUACAUGAUGCAGAGGUGUACAACAGCAGCCACAAUUAUCAUGAUCGACAUGCUAUCAAGGCACAUUUACAUGACUGUACUUGUGAAGAGUAGCAACAUACGGGCAAGCCUUGCGAGCAUGCAUUGGCCUUGCUAGCCGCAGUAAAAAACAGAAAUGUGAAGCUUGAGGAUUUGUUCAUGAAUACUACUCUGUUGCAAAGUUCAGAGAGGCAUAUAAAAGAUCGAUAGAGCCACUGCCUGACAAGUCACAAUGGCCCACAGUAGAACUUUCAUUUGAUAUGGGUGCACCAAUUUGCAAAAGAACUGUUGGCAGACAGAGAAUGUUGAGGUUCAAAAGUUUCCUUGAAGGCGCAACAGUUCAGAGACAAAACAUGAUGAAGGUGGCAGCAGUUCAAAGGCAAAACAAACUGAACAAGAAAAGCCCAAAACGAUGAUAAGAGGAAACGUAGGUGCAAAAGAUGUGGUACAUUGGGUCACACAGAAGUUAGUUACAAAUGCCCACUCAAUGGUACAAAGAAAAGGAAGAGAAAGCCUAGGAAGAAUAGUACUAAAUCAAGUGGUAAAAGUCAGAUGUCAACACCUUAUAGGCUAAUAACAACUAGGGAAACCAUAAUUCAAGAGCGCCCUGGAGCAACAAUGACAAGGAGGUAAUUCCAAAAAUUUUACAAGCACUCUAGUUUGAAAUAUGUUCUUUUUCAAUACCAUUAGCAAUGUCUUUGUGCAGGCGACUUGCUGCUCUGUUAGAAAGCAAUUCUUCUCAGACCACUAUGCCUACUUCAACUCCAACCAAGAUAACAACGCCAACCAAGAAGACAGUUCAAAAGAAACUGACCCCAAGGAAGAAAAAAAUAACUCUUAGGAUUCUAUUUGUGGUUGUAGUCCUAAACUGAAAUAUUUGUGGCUGUAGUGAUAAACUGUGUCACAUGUUUAAUUGUGCAGUUUGUUUUGGAUUCUAUAGUCCUAAACUGAGAUAUUUUAUGGCUGAUAUAUUCAGUAUGGGUGCUUGUCUUAAAGAUGUUUGCUUGUCUUAAACAUGUAUGGGUGUUGUGCAUAUAUAUCUUGUAAGGAUUUGUUCACCACGCAUCAAGGUUCAUGGCACAGGAGAUUGGUGUCAGCAGUAUAGAGAACAAGCAUGAUGCCAAAACUGAUGGCGGUUGCCUGGAGAGCAAUUGCAGGCUGUCUAGUUCUGUUUUUUGGCCAAAUGUCAAGCCAAAGCCCGCAAGCACAGCCAAGGGCAGGGCCGUUUUUUUGGGUUGCACAGUUGAAAAGAACUCGUGAAUGAGGCAUGAUGGCAUAAGAACAGCAAGUGAUUGAUAUUGUCACUUCAGCGUGGUCACAAUCAACGGUGGCAAUGCAGCGAAGCCACCUUUCCAGGGUGGUGAUCUUGCAAAUUUCUCGUCCAGAACUUUGUAUGCCCGGCCAAUCAUCGGACCACCGCGCGCUCAUGCAACACGCCAUGUCGGUCCUCCUCGGCCUUGUCAAACACGAGAAACGGUACAGUCCCUACCCACACGCCGGGGCAGUGGUAGGCCUGACGGCAAAGGGUGUGCGCCACCUUGUUCCCCUCCCGGUACACAUGCCUCACAUCGCACGCUUCAAAACAGCGAAGCAACUCGUGGAUAGAGAUGGCAACGGGUAUAAACCCGCCGGGUUUUGCUAUCCCAAACCCGUACCCAUGAAAAAUAUUUACACCCAUUAAAAAAACCCGUACCCAUGACGGGUUUGAAAUUUUGCCCAAACCCGUACCCAUCGGGUUUGCGGGUACCCACGGGUUACCCGCGGGUUUUUUAUCUCCAAUAUGCUUAUUCUUUUUAUAAUCAAUAAGUAUCGUAAUGAUUAAUGAGAUCAUGGUCCAAAAUUUAUGUAAUGAUCAACGAGUUCAUGAUUUGGUAUAAAAAAUAUUGGUAGAGAGAAUUAAUUACAAAUAAUAAGUUGUAUAAUCAAGUUACCUUGCACUAAGUUAUACAUCCACCACAUAUAUAACGCUAGCAAUAACUAUAAUAGCAAGCAAGCAACACUAUCACCAACUACUUAUACAUUCACUAUUUUAUAAAAAUUAGGAAGUAAAUAGGUAGAUAACAAGUUUGUUGUUAGUUUAUAAAAUAAAAUGACAAUAUGCACUAGGUUUGAUCGGGUUUAAAAAACCCACGGUUCACGGGUUUGGGUACUAUAGAAACAAACCCGUACCCAUGAACCCGUCGGGUAUACAUUUAUGCCCAUUAACAAACCCAUGGGUAUGAAAAUUGACCCAAACCCGUACCCUAAUAGGGUAAAAACCCAUCGGGUUUCGGGUUUCGGGUACCCAUUGCCAUCUCUACUCGUGGAUCUCCUCCUGCAGCGCCACAGGGAUUCGUGUCUGCGUGUCCUCGCCGCGGAGCAGCCGCACAAGCACGAGAUCGUCGCCCUCAACCACCACACGCUGCAGGUUAAGCCCAAGCGCCAGGCAAAGGCCACGAGCCAUCGAGCGCGCCUCCACUAUGCCCACCGUGGAGUGCUCCGUGAGCUCAGCGAAUGCGAGCACGACACAGCCGUCGCUGUCACAGAUGGCGCCACCGAUACUGGCUCGCGCUGAGCCAUCAUGGUAGACGGAUCCAUCAAAGUUGAGCUUGUACCAACUACGAGGUGGCGGCGACCAUUGUACCAGGACGACGCGGCCAGGAUGGUACGGCCGUGCCCACGGAGAGAGCUGCGAUGCAUGGUGGAAUAGAUUGGGGUCGUUGGGUGCCGCCAUCGAUUCUAGGAGCACACCAUGCUAUCAGAUCAACUGUUCGUGCAGUGUAUUGAACUCGUAGAUUAGAUGCAUUUCUAAGCAUUUUUUUUCUUUCUCAGAAAACAAAAAAUAGAGUGUCAAUUCCAGUCAAAUUUAAUAUCUUUAUUUUCAUGAAAAAAUCUUGUCUAUCAGGCACAUUCAGGAUAUGCCCCUACUACUCAUUACUCAUAUGUGUUUUGAAAUUGGAACUUUUUGGAUAAACUUUAUACCCCGUAUCUAUGAAGUGGGAAUUCUUACAGGAUCCAUUUGACACCCAAUAUGAAAGAAAAGAAGUACCCCCUAUUUAUUUUCCCAAAACUAAAGAACUAAAGUAAGUAAAAAAAGAGGGGGAGUAUUCUAAUUCUAUGUUUCAUGGCCAGAUUAAAGAGUAGGAUGUUCGCGUAUAUAGUGGAACAAGCAGGCGCGACGGGGUGAAACAGUAGCUCACCGGUCGCCGUUCCGGCGUCAAACGUCCACCCCUCUGGGUCUCUGUGGGGUCUGCGUCCGCCACACGCUCACACGAUCUACAAGUACACUAGUUCUCUUUGGGGUCAGCCUCCACCUUCCGCGCACACAAACUAUGCGUGAUGGAUUAAGAGCACAGGAGACCGAAUCUCAACUCAGAUUAGUGAGAAACGUGGGAAGAAGAACACAGAUCGGAUCUUUAUGGAACCCUAAAUCCCCAGAUUCGAGCCCCGAAUCCCCAAAUGGGAAAUCAACAGCCAUCUUGAGAUGGGGAUUAGAACAAGGGAACAAGAAAGGAGAACGCACCGUGGUCUUGCCGUCGGUAGUUCACAGUUCGCAACCCUCAGGCCGACGCCGUACCUCCUUGCAAGUGCAGAAGCACCGCCGAGGAUCUCACCGACGGCGGCGCCCUCGCAGGAAAGCGCUCGCCGGCGGGGAGUUCGACGACAGCGCAACAAUGGACGCCGGAUCAGUCCUCCACCUCGCCGGUGAACAGAAGCGACGAGGAGAUUGCCUAGGGUUUCAGGCGAGAGGCGCACGGCUGAGAGAAACGGGGAAAAUGGGUAGGGUUUCACGAGACCGAUUUUCCGGCUUAUUAUGAAUGGAUAAACAGUGAUCCGUGUAUUCUUGGCCGUCGAUCCUUAUCCCCAUGGCGAUGCGGGCGCGAGGGGGGGGGGGGGGGGGGGGGGGGGGGUCGGCCCGGGCGCACGGGCCGCACUGCCUGAACCGGCACAGAGACGGGCCCAAAGGCCGACAGAGGACAAGCAGCCCAUUUUUAUUUGCAGCGAAUUAAGAAUUGGUUUUUUCUUUAUUUCGGCAGAUUGAAUAAAAAUAAAAGAAAAAGUUAUACAAAAUAGAAAAUGCUUUUAUGAGAUUUAGAAUUUUGCAAAUAAUAUCUUGGAAUAUUUUGCUUUUGCUGCAUACUUUAGAUAUUUUCUAUGCAUCAUUGUUCGUUAUGAAGUCAACGUGGAUUAUUUUUUAUUUAAUUACAUAUAAAUUUCGAGAUUUUAUGGUAUUUUGAAUGUUUGACCACCUUUAAUAUUUUAUAUCACAUUUAGAACAGUAUUAUAUUUUAUAUAUCAUUCAAUGAUGGUUUAGAUUUUCAUAAUCAUAUAUUCGUUUUAUAAAGCAUGGUUAUUAUUUUACUAACGUUGAAUAUUUAAUGCAUGCAAGUUGUAUGUUCCAAUAUAUUAUUUUAGAUGUCGUAAAUAUUUUUGUUUUAUUUUGCAAAGGUGCACAGAAUGCUCUACUAGUUGGUCAGAUAGGCAGAUUGAGUCGCGAGAUGGUAGUAAUUACCACUCUUUGCAAGAAAAGAUUGAGAUGGUCACUAUAGUGGGUGAUAUAGAUUAUAUUGAUGUCAGACAAAAUAUAAUGUUGCCUGUCACGAUAACGUGGUUCUAUCGAGAAUUUUACUUCAACUUGAGCGACAAUACUAUACUUUCGUUGUAGUCCAGAAAAAUCUUCAUCAUGAUAGUCGUCGAACAACCUGAAGCUAUAUUAAACAUGCGACUAAAUAACGUUCAUAACUUGAAUAGUGAAAUCUUGUGUUAACUAUUUUUUAUAAUAUAACUUAUAUAUGCAUCCUUUUUUCUUAUCCAAUGCAACUCUUUCACGGUUCAAUACGGCUGGUUCCAUCAAAACCUUUUAUCCUUUGAAAAUAAUAAUUAAAACUAAAAUGUAAAAUGGUCCAAUGGCAUUAAUAAAGCACGACAUGGGAGCAGUAUGGGUUGGUGGGUGGAGCACUUAUUUUGGAUUGUACGUGUGACAUUAGAGAGACCAUUAUAGUUCAGGACAUACAUAUAAGAACAGUCAUCGUUUGAAGUGAACACAUAUAUAGCUGGUUCCAUCAGUGUUUACAUUUGCGCAGUAAAUGGUUUGUUUUUUUAUUUAAUGGCCGAUCCAAAAAAGUAGGAAAAGAAGCGGGUGAGAAAUAGAUGUGAAUGUAUGCAACUCACCGUAAAGCAAACUAUUAGCCAAGUAAAGCAUACGUUUAGCUAAAAAUUACCACUAUAAUUAGCAUCAACCUCUAUAUACUGAAAGCAUGCGUAUAAACUUUAUACCCCAAUAAAUACCCCAAAUACACACAAGUUUGGAACAAAAAUAUUUUAUAAAAAAUAGAAAUCACAAAACAUAGUUAACAACUAAUUAGUACUCGACCAAACGAGUGUUGCACGAAACUAACAUAUUAUUGAUACAGUAAUCGACCAAACAAGUGUGUCGCUGCUUAGCUUAGAGUACUUUUAAUUUAUGCAGUUGUAGAAAUUCGGCAAAAAAACGAAUCAACUCAUUGUUUGGCUAGGUCACGCCCUGCUGAUCCAUUUGCAUUGGUGAACUGUUUGGUUCCUAGCAAACAGAUUAAACUGAAUAUAUCCACAAAACUGGACAACAGGAUUUUAGCUAGUUCUAUUACAUUCAUAUAAACAGACAACAAGCAAACACUAUGGUUCACGACAGAGAAUGGGAAGGGUAUUUUCUUAUAAGCACAAUGUGAGUGAUGAUGGCUCCAUCCUACCAGUCACAAAUAUACUAAAAUACUAAUAAACCCUACUUGAUAAAGAAGGUAAGGUAAACUAAACAAUGCAUUAGAAAGGUAAGGUAAACAAUACACAAACUACAUAUUGUCCAAAUUAGCAAACGACACACUGCCACUAUAAAUUAGCACACAUUCCUACAGAGUCAGUGUUGGGGACUUGUUCUCAAAUGCUAUGAAUUAAGAACAAGGCAACAUAAAAUGUUAAAUAUUAAUGUCCUUCGUCCGCUGAAACAUUAUUUCCCCAAGGAUUUAAUGAACUUCGGACGAAGGUUAUAAUGACACAAUUACGAAGGUUAUAUCUUCGUAAUUGAGCUCUCAAAGAUAAUAUAAAAUAACACGAGACAUAAAGCAUUAAAGUUAAGUAAAUUAAAAGCAAACAACAUCAUUUACAUAUAUAUAAACUUAAGAUAUUCAAAUAUAAUGUUUAGGUACAUUUAUACCUCUGCCUUGGCAAAGAAUAAUUUCUGAGUGACGUGAUUGCAAUUACAGGAAUGCGUGAACAGUAAAGGAAUACUGUUCACUAUUUAUAGGCACAGGACACAGCCUGUGAGCAAUUACAAUCAUACCCCUCAUAAAAGUUUACAACAAUGACUCAAACUCUUAUGGGCUAAAAUGUCAUUCUAUCUUUAAGUCGGUUUGUAAUUCCGAAGCUUCAUGAACGGCACCCUUCGGCAUCACGUACAGACAGCUUCAGCCGAAGCUGUUUCUUCCUGCAGGACCUUCGGCGACGAAGCAUGGUCCCAACAGUAGCCCCUUCGCGGUGCUAGAUCGUUUUUCGCAACGAGCUUGAUCCGUGAAAAAAGUCUCUUAGGCUUCGGGAAGCCGAAGGUCCGAAAAACACCUUCCCUGAGCUCGUUGUCGAGAAACGAUACAGUUUCCGAGCGCGUAGCGGUCCCACCAUGCAGGUUCAUUAUUUUGGUCUUUGCGGCCCACCGCGCAGCGGGUGCGAGCAGCUGUUUGCCUGGUGUAAAAAUCCUGACGAUUCACCUUCUUACCUGCAGCACUAUAUAAACAGACAGGUAGGUGUGAAGUUACCACAACAUUCAUUGCUAUUGCACUGUUUUGCUGCCAAAAAAUUUAACCAUAGCCGAAGCUUGACUCUCGUAUUCAGACGAAGCUUUAGUUUGGUGCCUACUUCGUCAGAAGAAAAGCUUCGCGAGAAAAGGUUAUUUAAUUCCCAAGAAAUCUUUCAAGAAAUUCAAAAUUAAAUGGCCAGAGUGCGCUCUACUGCUAGAGUUGAGCGUGAGGGAGACGAAGCCGAAGGUGCGGAGACUGUUCCUAUCUCUGAAGCAAUGCAACGAUCCGGAUUAGUGACCUCGGAAAGAAUCCCCACUGCCGAAACAGAACAAGCUGUUGCCGAAGCGGAACAAGGAGAUAUUGAGGAAGCUGAUUCUGACGAUGAUUACCAUAUCGCAGUACCGAGCAAGCCUAGCCAUUUGGACUUCGGAAAGUCGACUAUCUCCAAGGCUGAUUUUUCCAAAAUGGUGAAGUCGGGCUAUUUCAGUGAAGAUGAGAAGAAACUGAUUCGCUUCGGGGGAGAAGAAAACUACCCCGAAGCCAGAAAAGGAUGAAAUAGUUAUUUUCAAGAGUUUUCUAAAAGCUGGGUUGAGAUUUCCUUUAAAUAGAAUGAUUUCUGAUGUGCUGCAAAAGUUUGGGAUCUAUUUUCACCAACUGACUCCUAACGCCAUUGUCAGGCUUAGCGUUUAUAUCUGGGCUCUCCGAAGCCAGGCGGUGGAGCCGUUUGCCGCAGCUUCUGUCGGGUACAUGAGCUGCAUUACCAGACUAAGGCCAGAAAGGAUGGAUUGCAUGAAAAUUUUGGUUGUUAUAAUUUUGCCUAUCGGAAAACCACAAAAAUUCCUGUGAUUAGCUACUGAAGCAAAUGGCCGACAGGCUGGAAGUCAGAAUGGUUUUAUGUCAAAGUUGACGAUGACAAAGAGAAGCUGGUACAGAGCCCUCUUGAACUGAUCUUCGGAGAAACCAGACCCCGAUGCAAUAUGGCAGCAGAAGGUCCAACUUGGACUGCACUGGCUGAAUUCAAAAUUAUUGCAGAACACAUUGGCACUAGAGAUUUAGUGCAGGAAUUUCUGGCCUUCAGAGUAUUUCCAACUAUGAAGGAGUGGACUAUUCCAAAGCUUAAAGGAGAAAAGAUAGAGGGGGAGCUUGUCCGACUACCCUAUUAUUAUAAGUUUAAGAAAUAUUUUAAAGCACCCUGCCAAGAAUGGCUCGAUACAAUCGAAGUAAUGAGUAAUGAAAUUCUUGGAAAUUACUCCAAAAAAGAGGACCAGCUGAUGACAGCAGCCUUCGGCACUCGACCGAAGCGAAGGUUGAACAAGGUGCUUGAUGCUAUAGGAUUUGAAUAUGCUGAUUAUGGUCGACUGAGCGGAGAUGCUGGAGGCCCGAAGCGAAAAAGAAUUGCCAGCGCUGCUGACGAAGAGGUCGCCAAGGUAGCCAAAAAGAAAAGGGAAGAUUCUGAAAAACUUAGCCCUGAAGAGUUGAACCCUGAACCGAAGGUGGCCACUGCAAGAAAGAGGAAAACUGCAUCUCCAGAACCAAAAACGUUGGUUCGAGAAGAAGGUACUCCUACAACGCCUUCUGCUGUUGAAGUAGAAGAGAUUAUGAAGGUAAUGACUGAACCCUUGCCUGUCAAGCUAAGUCCGCUGGCGCUGGAACUGACGAAGUUUUUUCAGAAGGACAAGGCAGCUUCGGCAGAAGAAGGUCCUGCACUGCCGAAAAAACGAAGGAUUAUUCAAAUAGCAGAUGUAAAUCAUGGGACACCGUCACCGACACCGGCGUCAAGAAUUGUUGUUGACCAGACUGCCGAAACCGCCGAAGCUAAAGGCGCCGCAGCCGAAGCCACCAGAGCGGAAACCUUCGAAGCUGAAACUGGCGCAGCCGAAGCUGCCGGGGCUGAGACCGGGGCCACAGAAGAUCCGAACCUGGAAGAGACACUUGAAGUUAUUGAUAACAUACUCCUAAAAAUGACUGAGGAAGAAUCUGUUGUGGCCGCGGCGAGCACAGCUACUGAAAAGGGGAAAAAGCAGGCUGAAGACAUUUUGGAGGAAGAAGAUUUUGAAUUUCAAGAUUUACUUGGGCAAGAACUGACAGACGCUGAAAAAGCUGAGCUUAAAAAAUGUGCCAUAGCCUGCGGAUAUAAACCAGGGGCUACACUGUUCGGUGGGGUUAACGAAGGAAAGCUAAGGUGCCUUCGAAACCGCAGCGAAGCUAAAAUUGUUAGAACUCUCUGCAAAAACAUUGGCUUGCCGAAGCUAGAAGCGGACCUCUGCCGUUACCAACGACACCAUAUCGCCGGAAGCUUGCUUUAUGCUAACUUUAAGGUAACAAAUAUUUUUGUUUUUUUUAUUAUUAUUACCUUUUAGGUCGUUUUCUAACGGAGAUCGUUUUGACAGAGCAUAUUAUUAAGUAAGGUUCUAAAAAUGCAACAAGAUCUCGAAGAAGAGAAGAACAAAGUCGUCGUCCAAGAUUUGGCUGAAAAAGUUGAAAAUUACGAAGCUAAUCUGAAAAAGAAAGACUUCACCAUCCAGGACCUUGAAAUCAUGGUUAAAGAGCACGAAGGUGCAUUAGAAAAGAAAGAUUUUGUUAUUCAGACUAUGGAGGGUUCUUUGGCUGAAGUCCAAACUAAGAAUAACAGCUUAAAGAAUGAAUUGCUCCAACAGUCAGAAAAAUUUGAGCAAGAAAAGAAAUAUCUUGAAGCAAGCCUGAAAACUGAGGUGGAUAAAAAUUCAAAUUUGCAGAAAUCCUUUAAAGAACUUCAAGAGAAAUGCCUAAGCUUCGGCAGCCGAUGCGUGCAGCGGCUGAAGGAUGUGUUUCAUUCUGUCGGAGCCAGCUCUGCAAAAUUUACACCUUCAGCUAAAAAUCUGCCCAGCACAUUAGAAUAUAUUGAAGGCGAGGUUGAUGCCCUUGACGAAGUUAUUGGUGGGCAUGCCGACUUCUGCGCCCUGGUAGCUUCUCGGGGCACAGCCACCGCUUUUCUGAAGGCUGGCUGUACGCAUGGAAAUAUUGUGAAUAGACCAAACUUCAGCUUAUCAGCAUCAGAUCUGAUAGAUAUCCCAAGCCUAGCCCGAAGCAUUGGAAAUAGAUUCAUGACCCAGAUCUGGGUAAGUGGUGGGCGAAAAAUGGCGGGUGACGAAGCUCGAAGUCAUCUUAAGCCGGUAAGAAACUUAUAUUUGUUACUUUUACCUUCUCCUUGAAAUUUGCACCUUUCUUAUUCUGCUGUUUGAUAUACGCAGGAUGAUGAAGCUGAAGAGUGACGAAGCUGAAGUUUGACGAAGCCUAGCCUGAAGCUUGAUAGUUGUUUACAAUAUACUUUCCUGCAAAAAUUCUGAAGAAACUUUUGUAAUAUAGUUAUGGAACAACUUAUGUAAAUUUGUACAUACCUUGUAAUAUAUUUUGUUUCUGCUAUCUGUGUACAAUCUGCUUUGCUGUGGACGAAACUUCUCUUUUGAGCCAAAGGCGAAAAACACCUUCCCUUCUUUUCGUACACAACGAAGCAUAAAAUUUUCCUUCGAAGUUUUUCCUCAUUGCUGAAGCACCUGUCUUUUUUGUGUGGUAUGAUGAUGAUUCUAUAUAUGUCUAAAUGAAUGUUUAUGAAUGCAAAUGACAUGAUGAAAUGUAUUGUGCAAAUGAAUAUUGGGACACGUUCAAAAAACCAUAAACACAACCCUUCAUCCCCUUAGGAAUGAUUCAAAUCUUUUUGUCGUUUACUUUUCGGCUUCACCGUUUACUUUUCGGUGUAUCAGCAUUGACUUUUCGCUGUAAGCCUCCCUUGGGAGCUUCUUCGCCUUUUACUUUCAGCGGAAUCAAUGUUUAUUUUUCGCUGUAAGCCUCCCUUAGGAGCUUCUUUGCCUUUUACUUUCGGCGGAAUCAGCGUUUAUUUUUCGUUGUAAGCUCUGCAUUCCCUUAGGAACGACUUUUGAGCUUCUCCCUGUUUCCUUUUCUUUUUUCCUUUGCAUUUACAUUUACAUUUUUUGGGGGAUAUCACUCUCAUAGAAUUGAAAUAAGGAAAAUUACAUAUUGUGGCCCCAUUAAAAACCUUUCUCCCCCUUUGGAAAGGAAAAGGGUGCCACAAAAAAGAAUAGAAAAAAUUACAUCAAGCUAAACAUAAUAUCGCCGAAGCUCAUCUGCAUUCCAUGAUCUUGGAAUGUCGUUGCCAUCCAUAUCCUUCAAUCUAUAGGAACCGGGUCUUGACGAAGAUACUACCAAAAAGGAGCCUUCCCACUUCAGCUGUAAUUUGCCUACUGUCUCAGGGUUGGCUACUCUUCGAAGCACCAAAUGUCCUGGUUUAAUGUUUUUCAGCUUAACUUUUCUGUCACGCCAUUUUAUUGUUUCGGCUUGAUACUUAUUAAUGUUUUCCACGGCUUGAAGUCUGAACCCUUCAAUAGCAUCUUUUUCUACAGAGCAAUCAGCUUCAUUUUCGCCUUCUGCCGAAGCUACUGUCCUUAUUGAUCCUGCUUUGGCCUCUUCUGGGGUUAUUGCUUCGUCACCGAACAAUAGUUUAAAGGGCGUAAAGUCUGUUGACCUUGACAUAGUUGUGUUAUGGCUCCACACCACUUUGAUUAACUCGUCUGGCCACUUUUCCUGGGCUGAUUGAAGAUUGACUUCAUUAUUCCUGUCAUUAUGAUCCCAUUAGCUCUUUCGACAAGUCCAUUUGACUCUGGGUGUCGGACUGAUGCAAAAUGGAUCUUCGUGCCAAUUUGAUCGCAAAAUUCUCUGAAGGCUUCAGAAUCAAACUGUGUCCCAUUGUCCACAGUAAUAGCCUUCGGCACUCCGAAGCGACAAACAAUGUUUUGCCAGAAAAACUUUUGAAUAGUAAAUGAAGUUAUUGUGGCUAAGGGCUUUGCCUCAAUCCACUUGGAAAAAUAUUCCACUGCCACUACUACAUAUCUUAGGUUCCCCUGUGCUGGUGGUAAUGGGCCUAGUAAAUCGAGGCCCCACCUUUACAACGGCCAAGUGGGUUGUAUUAAUUGGGUUAAAGACGAAGGUUGUUUUUGAUCUUUUGCACAUUUCUGACAACCUUCGCACUUUUGGACCAGAUCCGCUGCAUCCGAAGCUGCCUUUGGCCAAUAAAAUCCUUGGUGAAAAACUUUCCCAAGCAAGGGCCUAGAUCCAAUGUGAGAUCCACACAGGCCUGCAUGUAUUUCCUUCAUUAAUUCUAUACCUUCGGAUCUGGAUAAACACUUGAGCAAUGGGGAACAGACCCCACGCUUGUAUAACUCCCCUUCUAUUAUGACAUAUGGUCGAGCUCUUGCUUCUAUUCUCCUGUUAUAAGCUUCGUCGUCUGAAAGAAAAUUACCCUGAAGGAAAGAGAUGAUCUCAGUUCUCCAAUCUUCGCUAUAAACAGGGGAUAUGUUAAGGAUUGCUCUUUCAAGAAGCUCGACCGAAGGUGCUUUUAUUGUUUCGAAAAAUACUUCCGAAGGUAUAGGCAGCCCCUGGGCUGCUGACUUGGCCAAUAGAUCAGCAUAUUCAUUUUCUCCACGAGGAAUAUUUUUGACAGAGAAACCUUCGAAGGAAGCCUCAAUCCUUCGGACUGUAUCCAGAUAUUUUUCAAGCUUCGGGUCUCUUGCUUUAUAGCUCUUGUCAACAUGACCAGAAAUAACUUGAGAAUCAGUUUUAAGAAUGACCCUUCUGAUUCCCAUUGCCUUUAACUUCCGAAGACCCAAGAGCAGAGCUUCAUACUCAGCGAUAUUAUUUGUGCAACUAAAAUCAAGUCUUGCCGCAUAACAAGUUUUAACUUUGGAUGGUGAAACCAACACAGAAGCCGCUCCUACUCCGAAGGUUCCCCAAGACCCAUCGCAAAACACUGUCCAUGCUUCGGCAUCUUUAUUUGUUUCUUCCUCCUGAGCCCCUGGCGUCCAGUCAGCAAUGAAGUCUGCCAACGCUUGGGACUGAAUCGAAGAUCUAUGGACAUAAUCAAUACAAAAUUCAUUGAGCUCUGCAGCCCAUUUUCCAAUCCUUCCAGUAGCUUCUCGGUUUCUCAUAAUAUCCUUCAGAGGUUGCGAAUAAGGAACAAUUAUGUUGUAAGCUUGAAAAUAAUGCCGAAGCUUCCUAGAGGCCAUCAAAACAGCAUACAGUACCUUCUCCAAUUCUGUAUAAUUUUUCUUUGAUAAACUAAGAACCUCGGAUGCAAAAUAUAUUGGGGCCUGCCUCUUAACUUGGCCUUCAAGCUUCUCCUGGACAAGUGCUGCACUUACCACUGAGUGCGAAGCUGCCACAUAUAAUAACAAAGGAGCCCCUGGCGUUGGUGGAGUUAAUGUUGUUAAAUCUAUCAAAUAUUGCUUCAGUUCUUCGAAGGCUCUCUGUUGGACUGGUCCCCAUUAAAAAACUUUGGCUGACUUCAGCACUUCGAAAAAUGGUAGAUUUCUCUCUGCUGAUCUAGAUAUGAAUCUGUUGAGAGAUGCCAGCCUUCCCGUCAAUCUUUGGGCCCCCUUCUUUGUACUUGGUGGUUCCAUUCGAAGUAUAGCUUCGAUUUUGCUUGGAUUAGCCUCAAUUCCCUUUGUUGAAACUAAGCAACCAAGAAAUUUCCCCUUCUUUACUCUGAAGACACAUUUUUCUGGAUUCAGCUUUAAGCCAGCCUGUCUAAAAUUAGCGAAGGUCUCCUGCAGAUCAGCAAUGUGGUUAUCUUGCUUCGUGCUUUUUACAAUGAUAUCAUCAACAUAAGUUAGCACAUUCCUGCCUAUCUGAGAAUGGAGAACCUUUGUUGUCAUUCUGCUGAAGCUUCCUCCAGCAUUUUUAAGCCCCUCAGGCAUCCGAACGUAACAAUAUGUCCCACUAGGGGUUAUGAAGCUGGUUUUCGGUUCAUCCUCCUUCUUCAUCCAGAUUUGAUGAUAGCCUGAAUAGCAAUCCAGCAAACUCAUAAGCUCUGAUGAAGCUGCUGCAUCGACUAAGGAAUCUAUCCUUGGCAAUGGAAACUCGUCCUUCGGACAGGCCUUAUUGAGAUCAGUAAAAUCGAUACACAUUCUCCAUUUACCAUUGGCCUUCUUCACCAUAACAGUGUUAGCCAACCAUUCUGGGUAUUUUACCUCUCUAAUAACUCCGGCACUGAGGAGUCUUUUCACUUCAUUCCGAGCACCUUCGGCCUUGUUAUCAGACAUCUUCCGAAGCCUCUGCUUUCUGGGUCUGAAGGAUGGAUCAACAUUGAGCGAGUGCUCAAUAACAUCCCUGUUAACUCCACAAAGAUCAUUAGAGCAUCUCCAACAACGUGACCUAUAAAAAUGCUUUAUAAUUUGAAAAUAAGUAUAUUUUAUAGAAUUUAGGGCACCAACAAAACACACCGCUCCAACGGUAAAGCCCCAAAUCUAGAUUAUAGGGCAGUCCACUACGGUGUAGUAUAUUUGAGUCACUUGAGAGGGUGCCCUAUAGUUUUUUGACAAAAUUUUAUGAAAUGGGGCACUGUUGGAGUAGUUUUUCCUGUGUAGAGCCCCAUAUUUCAAUUUGAGGCACUAGUUUGAGGCAUUGUUGGAGAUGCUCUUAGCUGACCAAGCAAAAACAUCUUUAUUGUUGAACAAAAACCUUAUCAAGGUUUUCUCCUGCUCUUCGGACAAUUGAGAUCCCAAUAGCACCUUCUGCUCUGCUAUAUCCUCAAAUAAGAGCAUGGGCUUCGGCUGAUCAGCCGAAGCAGCCUUUUCCCUUCUGAACUUGUAUUGCUCACAAGCUUCAGUUCCAUCUAUAUUAUGGAUUGCUUUUGAGUCUGUCCAAUUUCCUUCGGCCCUUCUGGCAGCUUCCUGACUUCCAUGAAUAGCAAUGGACCCUUGGUCCGAAGGUAUCUUCAUGCAAAGAUAAGCUGGAUGAAGAAUUGCUUCGAAGGCAUUGAGAGUACCACGACCAAUGAUUGCAUUGUAAGGGUAUUCCAUGUCAACAAUAUCAAACACAACUUGUUCAGUCCUUGUGUUGUUGAUAAAUCCGAAGGUCACUGGCAUUGAGAUUUUGCCGAGUGCUACAAUCUGCCUUCCUCCGAAGCCGCAAAGGGGAUGUGUGGCAUCAAGAAUUUUAUCUUCGGGUUCUUGCAUCUGUCUGAAGGCCUUAGCAAAUAUGAUAUCAGCUGCACUGCCUGUAUCAACCAAAACAUUGUGGACCAGAAAUCCUUUGAUAACACAAGAGAUAACCAUAGCAUCGUUGUGUGGGUAAUCCUUGAGUUGAAGAUCCUCUUGGGCGAAGGUAAUAGGAAUAUGAGACCAUCUUGACUUGAUGAAGGGUCCUUGCACCCCGACGUGCUGUACCCUUCUCUGUGCCUCCUUCUUCUGCUUCUUGUUGGCUAGCUCUGAGCAUGAACCGCCUGUUAUCGGGAGUACCAGCUUCGGAGCCGAAGCAGCUCCAGCUUGAAUGUUGAACGAAGCCAUCAGCUCAAAAAAGUGGAAGUGAGUUCACCGGAGGUGGGCGCCAAUGUUGGGGACUUGUUCUCAAAUGCUAUGAAUUAAGAACAAGGCAACAUAAAAUGUUAAAUAUUAAUGUCCUUCGUCCGCUAAAAUAUUAUUUCCCCAAGAAUUUAAUGAACUUCGGACGAAGGUUAUAAUGACACAAUUACGAAGGUUAUAUCUUCGUAAUUGAGCUCUCAAAGAUAAUAUAAAAUAACACGAGACAUAAAGCAUUAAAGUUAAGUAAAUUAAAAGCAAACAACAUCAUUUACAUAUAUAUAAACUUAAGAUAUUCAAAUAUAAUGUUUAGGUACAUUUAUACCUCUGCCUUGGCAAAGAAUAAUUUCCGAGUGACGUGAUUGCAAUUACAGGAAUGCGUGAACAGUAAAGGAAUACUGUUCACUAUUUAUAGGCACAGGACACAGCCUGUGAGCAAUUACAAUCAUACCCCUCAUAAAAGUUUACAACAAUGACUCAAACUCUUAUGGACUAAAAGGUCAUUCUAUCUUUAAGUCGGUUUGUAAUUCCGAAGCUUCAUGAACGACACCCUUCGACAUCACGUACAGACAGCUUCAGCCGAAGCUGUUUCUUCCUGCAGGACCUUCGGCGACGAAGCAUGGUCCCAACAGUCAGUAAUUGGAUUCGCAUGAAGUUUGGAACAAAAAAAUAGAAAUUAGUAAAUGUUCUUACGCAUUCCUAUACACACAAGUUUGGAACAAAAAUGUUUUAGAAAAAAUAGAAAUUACAAAAAACAUAGUAACAACUGAUUAGUACUCGACCAAAUGAGUGUUUCACGAAACUAACAUAUUAUUGAUGCAGUAAUCGACCAAUCGAGUGUGCCACUAUUUAGCUUAGAGUACUUUUAAUUUAUGCAGUUGUAGAAAUUUAGCAAAAAAAUGAAUCAACUCAUUUUUUGGCUAGGUCAGGCCCUGCUGAUCCAUUUGCAUUGGUGAUUGUUUGGUUCCUAACAAACAGAGUAAGCAAAAAUAAUACCACACAAAAGUGUAGAGUCGAGCCUCAUGGCAUACCUUGGUCGACGCCUACGCGGUUGAGCAAUAUAAGAUAUCCUUCCUCUCCGGCAGCGGGGCAAGCUCCUUCUCCUUCGGCUCCUUACUCUCCAGUGGCGGGGGCGGGGGAAUGUAGGGGACAGAGGAUUGAGCAGGGGUAUGCAGAAUGGGAUAUGGUUAGUGGCUCCCGGAUGAGGAUGUUGGCAUGGGAUGUGGGGAUAUGUUAGCGUGGAAGUCGAGGGUGUUUGUCCUCCGCCAUCGCCGCGCAACGGAUUGGGCGCUAUCUCUACUGGAAUCUCAGGGGAGGAGUGAGAGCACCUAGAGGGGGGGGGGUGAAUAGGUGAUCCUGCAAAAUUCAAUACUAAAUUGCCACAAGCUUGGUUAUAAAUAUUUUAGUGCAAUAGAACCAAGUGGCUAUAGAGCGAGCUCUUGCGAAUCACAAUAAUCACAGAGAAAGACAACACAAGAGACACAGUGGUUUAUCGCGUGGUUCGGCCAAGUAUAACACUUGCCUACCUCCACGUUGUGGCGUCCCAAUGGACAAGGGUUGCACUCAACCCCUUUCAAGUGAUUCGAUGAUCAACUUGAAUACCACGACUUUUCUUUGCUUAUCUCUUUUCCCCGUUUGCGAGGAAUCUCCACAAGCUGGAGUCUCUUGCUCUUACAACAAAGAUCACAAUGAAAGCACGGAGUAAGGUUGGGAAGAGCAACACACACUAGAAUUAAAUCCACACUGCAAACACGCACACAAGUGAGAAAAUGAGCACACAAAACACGCGCGGGGAGUUUACAACUCGAAAAGUGCUCCAAUCUCAAGAACGAUGAACGAUUGCGUGAAAAUGAGGACUAGAAGUCUUGGAAUGCUUAGAGUGUGCUUGGGUGACUCCUCCAUGCGCCUAGGGGUCCCUUUUAUAGCCCUAAGGCAGCUAGGAGCCGUUGGAGGCCAAUAAGGAAGGUUAUCCUUGCCUUCUGUCGGGUGGCGCACCGGACAGUCCGGUGCACCACCGGACAGCCACUGUUCAUGUCCGGUGCGCGAUUUCCUUCCAAUUCUGGUGCAGCCGACUGUUGCAGAUUCGUGGCAGUUAGCGCACCAGACAGUCCGGUGCCCCUGCCGACCGUUGGCGCGGGCCACACGUCGCCCAUGGAUUGUGCGGCCGACCGUUGCGCUGGCGGCCGUUGGCUCACCGGACAGUCUGGUGCACCACCAGACAGUCCGGUGAAUUAUAGUCGUACGCCGCCAAACAUUCCCGAGAGUGGUCAGUUCACCGAAAGCCAACCUGGCGCACCGGACACUGUCUGAUGCACCACCAGACAGUCUGGUGCACCACCGGACAGUCCGGUGUGCCAGACUGAGCUGAGUAUUGGCUGCUCAGAGCCAAGUCCUUUUCUCCUUCUUUUUUCUCUGUUUCUAGCACUUAGACAAAAUAUGUUAGUACUCAAACCAAUGUACUAAGUCUAGAAACAUACCUUGUUACAUGAUUUGCACUUUUUGCUUGUUUGACACAUAACCAACUCACUUAGUAUGUGUUGGACACUUAAUCACCAAAAUAUAAUAGAAAUGGCCCAAGGGCACAUUUCCCUUUCAAUCUCCCCCUUUUUGGUGAUUUAUGCCAACACAUCAAAAAGCAAUGCAAAACAUGCAACAUCGAUUCAAAUUGAAGACCAAAUUGUUUUUGAUUCUGAUUUGGCAUAUUUGGAUCCUUCUUUGUCACCACUUGGUUUGUUUUUGCAAAUCAAAUUCAUUUUCCUAUCUCUAAGUCAAACACACUUGUUUUAGGCACAGGAGAGAUAUUCUAAUGAAAAAAAUGAUCAAGUACCAGAAACCCCCCUUUUUCCCAUAAUCAUAAAAUCUCCCCACAAGAGACCAAAUUUUGUAAUAGGAGUAUUUUGACAAAUCAAAAGUUCUAACUCAAUUGUUUUCGAAAAAUUCUCAAGUGGUAGCUGAUCCAUUUGCUUUGGCCUUAACUUCUCCCCCUUUGGUAUUAAGCACCAAAACGGGAUCAUUAGUGGCCCUUUAACCCCAUUGCCUCACCAAAAAAUGUCAAUUAAGAGCAAAAAGGCAAUAAGAGCAUAAGAAUGAACUUGGAGGUGAGUACACUAAUACCGGAGUGCAGUGGAAGUCUUUGCAUGGUCCAAGUUCACCUUUCCCUUUCAAUCCACCUUUGAGACUAUAUCAAACACACUUAAACACAAAGGUUAGCCUUCAAAGGGUCAAGUUGUAGCACUUCUCCCCCUAGAUAUGUGCAUCAUUUUCACAUGGACUUGUGAGGUCCAGGGAUCCCUUGCACAACUUGAGCACCAAGAGUAAGCAACAAAUUGCAUAAAUGUAACAUGAUCAAAGGCAUAAAACACAUGUAUGCUAUAAAUCAAUCCAAGUUACGCGAAUCUAAGACAUUUAGCUCACUACGCAGCCUGCAAAAGGUUUUCUCAUCUAAAGGCUUGGUAAAGAUAUCGGCUAGCUGAUUCUCGGUGCUAAUAUAGAACUGAAAGGGAAGUAGGCUUACACCUAGUUCCUAAAUAAUUUUGGUGGUUGAAUUGCCCAACCCAAAUAAUUGGACUAACUAGUUUGCUCUAGUGUAUAAGUUAUACAGGUGUCAAAGGUUCACAACAAGCCAAUUAAAAAGACCAAAGUUAGGUUCAAAAUAGAGAGCCAAAGGCAUCCCGAAAGGCUCCCUGGUCUGGCGCACCGGACUGUGUCCUCAGCCUCGGGAUUUUCCUGAAGCCGGCGCGCUAUAAUUCACCGGACUGUCCGGUGUACACCGGACAGUGUCCGGUGCUCCAAGAGGACACUGUUGUCAAAGGUUCACAACAGUGUCCGGUGCACCAGGGGACCUCGCGCAGAACUCCUCAGCCUCGGGAUUUUCCUGAAGCCGACGCGCUAUAAUUCACCGGACUGUCCGGUGUACACCGGACAGUGUCCGGUGCUCCAAGAGGACGCGGCUUUGGAACUUGGCAGCCUCGGGAAUUUGCAGCGGUUGCUCCGCUAUAAUUCACCGGACAUGUCCGGUGUACACCGGACUGUCCGGUGCAACUCCGGAGCAACGGCUACUUCGCGCCAACGGUCACCUGCAGGCGCAUUCAAUGCGCGCCAGAAGCGCGCAGAAGUCAGGCACGCCCAUACUGGCGCACCGGACAUUGAACAGUACAUGUCCGGUGUGCACCGGACAUCCAGGCGGGCCCAGAAGACAGAAGCUCCAACGGUCGGAAUCCAACGGCAUUGGUGACGUGGCUGGCGCACCGGACUGUCCGGUGCACCAUAUGACAGACAGCCUCCACCAACGGUCAUGUUUGGUGGUUGGGGCUAUAAAUACCCCAACCACCCCACCAUUCAUUGCAUCCAAGUUUUCCAGCUUCCAACCACUAUACAAGAGCUAGCAUUCAUUGCAAAGCACACCAAAAGAGAUCAAAUCCUCUCCCAACUCCAUACAAAGCCUUAGUGACUAAAGAGAGUGAUUUGUAGUGUUCAUUUGAGCUCUUGCGCUUGGAUCGCUUCUUUUCUUUGGCAUUCUUUCUUGUGAUCAAACACUCAUUUGUAAUUGAGGCAAGAGACACCAAUUGUGUGGUGGUCCUUGCAGGAAGUUUGAUUCCCAAGUGAUUUGAGAAGAGAAGCUCACUCGGUCCGAGGGACCGUUUGAGAGAGGAAAAGGGUUGAAAAAGACCCGACCUUUGUGGCCUCCUCAACGGGGAGUAGGUUUGCAAGAACCAAACCUCGGUAAAACAAAUCCUUGUGUCUCACCGCUUUACUCGCUUGCGAUUUGUUUUACACCCUCUCGCGAACUCGGUUUUAUUUCUAACGCUAACCCGACUUGUAGUUGUGUUUAUAUUUGUAAAUUUUAGUUUCGCCCUAUUCACCCCCCUCUAGGCGACUAUCAAUUGGUAUCAGAGCCCGGUGCUUCAUUAGAGCCUAACUGCUCAAAGUGAUGUCGGGAGAUCACGCCAAGAAGGAGAUGGAGACCGGCGAAAAGCCCACUACAAGCCACGGGAGCACUUCAUCAGAAGAGUCUCGCACCAAGAGGAAGGAGAAGAAAGACUCCUCCAAAGGGAAGGAGAAGAAGAAGGACUCCUCCAAGGGAAAGGAGAAGAAAUCUUCUUCACACAAAGAAAAGAAGGAGAAAUCUUCCUCCCACAAGCCGCAACGGAGUGGGGACAAGAAAAAGAGGAUGAGGAAAGUGGUCUACUACGAGACCGAUUCUUCAUCGACAUCCACCUCCGGCUCCGACGCGGCGUCAGUCACUUCUAAACGCCAAGAGCGUAAGAAGUAUAGUAAGAUUCCCCUACGCUACCCUCGCAUAUCUAAACAUACACCUUUACUUUUCGUCCCAUUAGGCAAACCACCAACUUUUGAUGGUGAAGAUUAUGCUAGGUGGAGUGAUUUAAUGUGAUUUCAUCUAACCUCACUCCACAAAAGUAUAUGGGAUGUUAUUGAGUUUGGUGCACAGGUACCAUCCGUAGGGGAUGAAGACUAUGAUGAGGAUGAGGUGGCCCAAAUCGAGCACUUCAACUCCCAAGCCACAACCAUACUCCUUGCCUCUCUAAGUAGAGAGGAAUAUAACAAGGUGCAAGGGUUGAAGAGUGCAAAGGAGAUUUGGGACUUACUCAAGACCGCGCACGAGGGUGAUGAACUCACCAAGAUCACCAAGCGGGAAACGAUCGAGGGGAAGCUCGGUCGCUUCCGUCUUCGCCAAGGGGAGGAGCCACAAGACAUGUACAACCGGCUCAAAACCUUGGUGAACCAAGUGCGCAACCUCGGGAGCAAAAAGUGGGAUGACCACGAGGUGGUUAAGGUUAUUCUAAGAUCUCUUAUUUUCCUUAACCCUACUCAAGUUCAAUUAAUCCGUGGCAACCCAAGAUAUACACAAAUGACUCCCGAGGAAGUAAUCGGGAAUUUUGUGAGCUUUGAAUGUAUGAAGAUCAACGAGCUUGAUGAUCCCUCCACGUCCGAAGCACAACCGGUGGCAUUCAAGGCGACGGAGGAGAAGAAAGAGGAGUCUACACCAAGUAGACAACCAAUCGACGCUUCAAAGCUCGACAACGAGGAGAUGGCUUUAAUCAUCAAAAGCUUUCGCCAAAUCCUCAAGCAACGGAAGGGGAAGGAUUACAAAUCCCGUUCCAAGAAGGUUUGCUACAAGUGUGGUAAGCCCGGUCACUUUAUUGCUAAAUGUUCAUUAUCAAGUGACAGUGACAGGGAUAACGACAAGAAGGGCAAGAGGAGAGAAAAGAAGAGGCACUACAAGAAGAAGGGCGGCGAUGCCCAUGUUUGUCGGGAGUGGGACUCCGACGAAAGCUCUAGCGACUCCUCCGAUGACGAGGACGCCGCCAACAUCGCCGUCACCAAGGGACUCCUCUUCCCCAACGUCGGCCACAAGUGCCUCAUGGCAAAGGACGGCAAGAGGAAGAAGGUUAAAUCCAAAUCAUCCACUAAAUAUGAGUCUUCUAGUGAUGAUAAUGCUAGUAAUGAGGAGGAUAACUUGCGUACCCUUUUUGCCAACCUUAACAUGGAACAAAAGGAAAAAUUAAAUGAAUUAAUUAGCGCUAUUCAUGAAAAGGAUGACCUUUUGGAUUCCCAAGAGGACUUCCUAAUUAAGGAAAAUAAGAAACAUGUUAAGGUUAAAAAUGCUUAUGCUUUAGAAAUAGAAAAUUGUAAAAAUUAUCUAGUGAGCUAAGCACAUGCUAUGACACUAUUGCCAACCUUAGAAAUGAAAAUGCUAAUUUAUUAGCUAAGGUUGAUUCUCAUGUUUGUAAUGUUUCAACUUCCAAUUCUAGAGAUGAUAAUGAUGAUUUACUUGCUAGGAUUGAAGAAUUGAACAUUUCGCUUGCUAGCCUUAGAAAUGAAAAUGUAAAAUUGCUUGCUAAGGCUAAAGAUUUUGAUGUUUGCAAUGCUACUAUUUCCGACCUUAGAACUAAGAAUGAUAUGUUACAUGCUAAGGUUGUAGAAUUAAAAUCUUGCAAACCCUCUACAUUUACCGUUGAGCAUACUACCAUUUGUACUAGAUGUAGAGAUGUUAACAUUGAUGCUAUACAUGAUCACAUGGCUUUAAUUAAACAACAAAAUGAUCAUAUAGCAAAAUUAGAUGCAAAAAUUGCCGAGCAUAACUUAGAAAAUGAAAAAUUUAAAUUUGCUAGAAGUAUGCUCUAUAGUGGGAGACGCCCUGGCAUCAAGGAUGGCAUUGGCUUCCAAAGAGGAGACAAUGUCAAACUUAAUGCCCCUCCUAAAAGAUUGUCUAAUUUUGUUAAGGGCAAGGCUCCCAUGCCUCAGGAUAACGAGGGUUACAUUUUAUACCCUGUCGGUUAUCCCGAGAACAAGAUUAGGAGAAUUCAUUCUAGGAAGUCUCACUCUGGCCCAAAUCAUACUUUUAUGUAUAAGGGUGAGACAUCUAGUUCUAGGCAACCAACCCGUGCUAAGUUGCCUAAGAAGAGAACUCCUAAUGCAUCAAAUGGACAUAGUCUUUCUUUUAAAUCUUUUGAUGCAUCUUAUGUUUUGACUAACAAAUCUGGCAAAGUAGUUGCCAAGUUUGUUGGGGGCAAAAACAAGGGCUCCAAGACUUGUGUUUGGGUACCCAAAGUUCUUGUUUCUAAUGCCAAAGGACCCAAAACCGUUUGGGUACCUAAAGUUAAGAACUAAAAUUGUUUUGUAGGUUUAUGCAUCCGGGGGCUCAAGUUGGAUCAUCGAUAGCGGGUGCACAAACCACAUGACAGGGGAGAAAAGGAUGUUCUCCUCCUACGAGAAAAACCAAGAUCCCCAACGAGCCAUUACAUUCGGGGAUGGAAAUCAAGGUUUAGUCAAAGGUCUUGGUAAAAUUGCUAUAUCUCCUAACCAUUCUAUUUCCAAUGUUUUUCUUGUAGAUUCACUAGAUUACAAUUUGCUUUCUAUAUCUCAAUUAUGCAAAAUGGGCUACAACUGUCUUUUCACUGAUGUAGGUGUCACUGUCUUUAGAAGAAGUGAUGAUUCAAUAGCAUUUAAGGGUGUGUUAGAGGGUCAGCUAUACUUAGUAGAUUUUGAUAGAGCUGAACUCGACACAUGCUUAAUUGCUAAGACUAACAUGGGUUGGCUCUGGCAUCGCCGACUAGCCCAUGUUGGGAUGAAGAAUCUUCAUAAGCUUCUAAAGAGAGAGCACAUUUUAGGACUAACCAAUGUUCAUUUUGAGAAAGACAGGAUUUGUAGCGCAUGCCAGGCAGGAAAGCAAGUUGGUGCCCAUCAUCCACACAAGAACAUCAUGACGACCGACAGGCCGCUUGAGCUACUCCACAUGGAUCUAUUCGGCCCGAUAGCUUACAUAAGCAUCGGCGGGAGUAAGUACUGUCUUGUAAUAGUGGAUGAUUAUUCUCGCUUCACUUGGGUGUUCUUUUUGCAGGAGAAAUCUCAAACCCAAGAAACCUUAAAGGGAUUCUUGAGACGAGCUCAAAACGAGUUCGGAUUAAGGAUCAAGAAAAUUAGAAGCGACAACGGGACGGAGUUCAAGAACUCUCAAAUCGAAGGCUUCCUUGAGGAGGAGGGCAUCAAGCAUGAGUUCUCUUCUCCCUACACGCCACAACAAAAUGGUGUAGUGGAGAGGAAGAAUUGAACUCUAUUGGACAUGGCUAGAACCAUGCUUGAUGAGUACAAGACUUCGGAUCGGUUUUGGGCCGAGGCGGUCAACAUCGCCUGCUACGCCAUCAACCGGUUAUAUCUUCACCGAAUCCUCAAGAAGACAUCGUAUGAACUCCUAACCGGUAAAAAGCCCAACAUUUCAUAUUUUAGAGUCUUUGGUAGCAAAUGCUUCAUUCUUGUUAAAAGAGGUAGAAAAUCUAAAUUUGCUCCUAAGACUGUAGAAGGCUUUUUACUAGGAUAUUAUUCAAACACAAGGGCAUAUAGAGUCUUUAACAAGUCCACUGGACAAGUUGAAGUUUCUUGUGACGUUGUGUUUGAUGAGACUAACGACUCUCAAGUAGAGCAAGUUGAUCUUGAUGAAAUAGGUAAUGAAGAGGCUCCAUACAUCGCGCUAAGGAACAUGUCCAUCGAGGAUGUGUGUCCUAAGGAAUCCGAAGAGCCUCCAAUUGCACAAGAUCAACCAUCCUCCUCCACGCAAGCAUCUCCACCGACUCAAAAUGAGGAUGAAGCUCAAGUUGAUAAAGUAGAAGAUCAAGCAAAUGAGCCACCUCAAGAUGACGACAAUGAUCAAGGGGGAGAUGCAAAUGAUCAAGACAAGGAGGAUGAAGAGCAAAGGCCGCCACACCCAAGAGUCCACCAAGCAAUCCAACGAGAUCACCCUGUCGACACCAUCCUCGGCGACAUUCAUAAGGGGGUAACUACUAGAUCUCGUGUUGCACAUUUUUGUGAGCAUUACUCUUUUGUUUCCUCUAUUGAGCCACACAGGGUAGAGGAAGCACUCCAAGAUUCGGAUUGGGUGGUGGCGAUGCAAGAAGAGCUCAACAACUUCACUAGGAAUGAGGUAUGGCAUUUAGUUCCACGUCCUAACCAAAAUGUUGUAGGAACCAAAUGGGUCUUCCGCAACAAGCAAGAUGAGCAUGGUGUGGUGACAAGGAACAAAGCUCGACUUGUGGCCAAGGGAUACUCCCAAGUCGAAGGUUUGGAUUUCGGUGAAACCUAUGCACCCGUAGCUAGGCUUGAGUCAAUUCGCAUAUUAUUGGCCUAUGCUACUUACCAUGGCUUUAAGCUUUACCAAAUGGACGUGAAAAGUGCCUUCCUCAAUGGACCAAUCAAGGAAGAGGUCUAUGUUGAGCAACCUCCCGGCUUUGAAGAUAGUGAGUAUCCUAACCAUGUCUAUAAACUCUCUAAGGCGCUUUAUGGGCUCAAGCAAGCCCCAAGAGCAUGGUAUGAAUGCCUUAGAGAUUUCCUUAUCGCUAAUGGCUUCAAAGUCGGAAAGGCCGAUCCUACUUUAUUCACGAAAACUCUUGAAAAUGACUUGUUCGUAUGCCAAAUUUAUGUUGAUGAUAUUAUAUUUGGGUCUACUAACGAGUCUACAUGUGAAGAAUUUAGUAGGAUCAUGACACAAAAGUUCGAGAUGUCUAUGAUGGGCAAGUUGAAGUAUUUCUUAGGAUUUCAAGUAAAGCAACUCCAAGAGGGCACCUUCCUAAGCCAAACCAAGUACACUCAAGACAUUCUAAGCAAGUUUGGAAUGAAGGAUGCCAAACCCAUCAAGACACCCAUGGGAACUAAUGGGCAUCUCGACCUUGACAUGGGAGGUAAGUCCGUGGAUCAAAAGGUAUACCGGUCGAUGAUAGGUUCUUUACUCUAUCUAUGUGCAUCUCGACCGGAUAUUAUGCUUUCCGUAUGCAUGUGUGCAAGAUUCCAAGCCGACCCUAAGGAAGCUCACCUUACGGCCGUAAAACGAAUCUUGAGAUAUUUGGCUUAUACUCCUAAGUUUGGGCUUUGGUAUCCUAGGGGAUCCACUUUUGAUUUAAUUGGUUAUUCAGAUGCCGAUUGGGCGGGGUGCAAAAUCAAUAGGAAGAGCACAUCGGGGACUUGCCAGUUCUUGGGAAGAUCCUUGGUGUCUUGGGCUUCAAAGAAGCAAAAUUCGGUCGCUCUUUCCACCGUCGAAGCCGAGUACAUUGCCGCAGGCCAUUGUUGCGCGCAAUUGCUUUGGAUGAGGCAAACCCUGCGGGACUACGGUUACAAAUUAACCAAAGUCCCUUUGCUAUGUGAUAAUGAGAGUGCAAUCAAGAUGGCGGAUAAUCCCAUCGAGCAUAGCCGCACUAAACACAUAGCCAUUCGGUAUCAUUUUCUUAGGGAUCACCAACAAAAAGGAGAUAUCGAGAUUUCUUACAUCAAGACUAAAGAUCAAUUAGCCGAUAUCUUUACCAAGCCUCUUGAUGAACAAACCUUUAACAAACUUAGGCAUGAGCUAAAUAUUCUUGAUUCUAGGAACUUCUUUUGUUGACUUGCACAUAUAGCUCAUUUAUAUACCUUUGAUCAUGUCUCUUUCAUAUGCUAUGACUAAUGUGUGUUCAAGUCCAUUUCAAACCUAGUCAUAGGUGUAUUGAAAGGGAAUUGGAGUCUUCGGCGAAGACAAAGGCUUCCACUCCGUAAUUCUUCCUUCGCCAUCACUCCAAGCAACUCGAGGGCUCUAAUGACUCCGUUUUUGGCGAUUCAUGCCAAAGGGGGAGAGAGUAUGAGCCCAAAGCAAAAGGACCGCACCACCACCUAAUUUUAAAAAUUGGAGAUUUUUCAAUUGGUAAAUUUCAAAUUGGUAUCUUAUUGUGUUCAAAAGGGGGAGAAAGUAGUAUUUGAAAAAUGAUAUAUCAAAACCCUCUUGAACACUAAGAGGAGCAUCUCAUUUAGGGGGAGUUUUGUUUAGUCAAAGGAAAAGCAUUUGAAACAGGGGGAGAAAAUUUCAAAUCUUGAAAAUGCUUUGCAAAAUCUUAUUCACUUACCUUUGACUUUUUGCAAAAGAACUUUGAAAAAGAUUUACAAAAUAGUUUACAAAAUAGUUUGCAAAAACAAAACAUGUGGUGCAAGCGUGGUCCAAAAUGUUAAAAACAAAGAAACGAUCCAUGCAUAUCUUGUAAGUAUUAAUAUUGGCUCAAUUCCAAGCAACCUUUGCACUUACAUUAUGCAAACUAGUUCAAUUAUGCACUUCUAUAUUUGCUUUGGUUUGUGUUGGCAUCAAUCACCAAAAAGGGGGAGAUUGAAAGGGAAGUAGGCUUACACCUAGUUCCUAAAUAAUUUUGGUGGUUGAAUUGCCCAACCCAAAUAAUUGGACUAACUAGUUUGCUCUAGUGUAUAAGUUAUACAGGUGUCAAAGGUUCACAACAAGCCAAUUAAAAAGACCAAAGUUGGGUUCAAAAUAGAGAGCCAAAGGCAUCCCGAAAGGCUCCCUGGUCUGGCGCACCGGACUGUCCGGUGGCGCACCGGACAGUGUCCGGUGCACAAGGGGACCUCGCGCAGAACUCCUCAGCCUCGGGAUUUUCCUGAAGCCGGCGCGCUAUAAUUCACCGGACUGUCCGGUGUACACCGGACAGUGACCGGUGCUCCAAGAGGACGCGGCUUCGGAACUUGGCAGCCUCGGGAAUUUGCAGCGGUUGCUCCGCCAUAAUUCACCGGACAUGUCCGGUGUACACCGGACUGUCCGGUGCAACUCCGGAGCAACGGCUACUUCGCACCAACGGUCACCUGCAGGCGCAUUCAAUGCGCGCCAGAAGCGCGCAGAAGUCAGGCACGCCCAUACUGGCGCACCGGACAUUGAACAGUACAUGUCCGGUGUGCACCGGACAUUCAGGCGGGCCCAGAAGACAGAAGCUCCAACGGUCGGAAUCCAACGGCAUUGGUGACGUGGCUGGCGCACCGGACAUGUCCGGUGUGCACUGGACUGUCCGGUGCACCAUACGACAGACAGCCUCCACCAACGGUCAUGUUUGGUGGUUGGGGCUAUAAAUACCCCAACCACCCCACCAUUCAUUGCAUCCAAGUUUUCCAGCUUCCAACCACUAUACAAGAGCUAGCAUUCAUUGCAAAGCACACCAAAAGAGAUCAAAUCCUCUCCCAACUCCAUACAAAGCCUUAGUGACUAGAGAGAGUGAUUUGUAGUGUUCAUUUGAGCUCUUGCGCUUGGAUCGCUUCUUUUCUUUGGUAUUCUUUCUUGUGAUCAAACACUCAUUUGUAAUUGAGGCAAGAGACACCAAUUGUGUGGUGGUCCUUGCGGGAAGUUUGAUUCCCAAGUGAUUUGAGAAGAGAAGCUCACUCGGUCCGAGGGACCGUUUGAGAGAGGGAAAGGGUUGAAAAAGACCCGGCCUUUGUGGCCUCCUCAACGGGGAGUAGGUUUGCAAGAACCGAACCUCGGUAAAACAAAUCCUUGUGUCUCACCGCUUUACUCGCUUGCGAUUUGUUUUACACCCUCUCGCGAACUCGGUUUUAUUUCUAACGCUAACCCGACUUGUAGUUGUGUUUAUAUUUGUAAAUUUCAGUUUCGCCCUAUUCACCCCCCUCUAGGCGACUAUCAAGAACACUUCGAUAUCUCCCUUUUGCUGGUGGUCUCUCAAAAAGUGAUACCAGAUGUCUAUGUGCUUAGUGCGGCUGUGUCCAACAGGAUUAUCCGCCAUGCGGAUUGCACUCUCAUUGUCACAUAGGAGUGGGACUUUGCUCAGAUUGUAGCCAAAGUCCCGGAGGGUUUGCCUCAUCCAAAGUAGUUGCGCGCAACACUGUCCUGCGGCAACAUACUCGGCCUCAGCGGUGGAUAGGGCAACGAAGGUUUGUUUCUUAGAACUCCAAGACACCAGGGACCUUCCUAGGAAUUGGCACGUCCCUGAUGUACUCUUCCUAUCAACCUUGCAUCCAGCAUAAUCGGAGUCUGAGUAUCCAAUCAAGUCAAAGGUAGACCCCUUUGGAUACCAGAUCCCGAAGCAAGGCGUAGCAACUAAAUAUCUAAGAAUUCGCUUAACGGCCACAAGGUGACAUUCCCUUGGAUCGGAUUGAAAUCUAGCACACAUGCAUACGCUAAGCAUAAUAUCCGGUCUACUAGCACAUAAAUAGAGCAAUGAUCCUAUCAUAGACCGGUAUGCCUUUUGAUCAACGGACUUACCUCCUUUGUUGAGCUCGACAUGUCCGUCGGUUCCCAUCGGCGUCUUCGCGGGCUUGGCGUCCUUGAUCCCAAACCUCUUGAGAAGAUCUUGAGUGUACUUUGUUUGGGAGAGGAAGGUGUCAUCCUUGAGUUGUCUCACUUGGAACCCAAGAAAGUAUGUCAACUCGCCCAUCAUCGACAUCUCAAAUUUCUGUGUCAUCACCCUGCUAAACUCCUCACAAGACUUUUGAUUAGUAGAACCAAAUAUUAUGUCAUCGACAUAAAUUUGGCACACAAAAAGGUCACCGUCACAAGUCUUAUUGAAAAGAGUGGGAUCGGCUUUCCCAACCUUGAAAGCAUUAGCAAUUAAGAAAUCUCUAAGGCAUUCAUACCAUGCUCUUUGGGCUUGCUUAAGUCCAUAGAGCGCCUUAGAGAGCUUAAAAACGUGGUCGGGAUACCUGUCAUCCUCAAAGCCAGGGGGUUGUUCCACGUACACCUCCUCCUUGAUUGGCCCGUUGAGGAAAGCGCUCUUCACAUCCAUUUGAAAUAACCUGAAAGAAUGGUGAACGACAUAGGCUAAUAGAAUGCGAAUAAACUCUAGCCUAGCCAUAGGAGCAAAAGUCUCCUCGAAAUCCAAGCCUGCGACUUGGGCAUAACCUUUUGGCACAAGUCGAGCCUUGUUUCUUGUCACCACCCCGUGCUCGUAUUGCUUGUCGCGGAACACCCACUUGGUUCCCACAACGUUUUGCUUUGGACGUGGCACCAGGCUCCAAACUUCAUUCCUCUUGAAGUUGUUGAGCUCUUCCUGCAUGGCUAACACCCAGUCCGGAUCUUGCAAGGCCUCUUCUACCAUGAAAGGCUCAAUAGAAGAGACAAACGAGUAAUGCCCACAAAAGUUAGCUAAUCUUGAGCGAGUAGUUACUCCCUUGCUUAUGUCACCCAGAAUCUGAUCGACGGGGUGAUUCCUUUGAAUUGUCACUCGGACUUGAGUUGGAGGGGCCAGUGGUGCUUCUUCCUCCACAACUUGUUCUUCUUAUGCCCCCCUUGAUCACACGCCUCUUCUUGAGGAACCUGUUCAUCAUCUUGAGUUGGGGGAUGCACCAUCAUUGAGGAAGAAGGUUGAUCUUGCUUUUGUUGUUCCUGUGGUCGCAUAUCUCCAAUCGCCAUGGUGCGCAUUGCGGCCGGUGGAACAUCAUCUUCAUCUAUAUCAUCAAGAUCAACUUGCUCUCUUGGAGAGCCAUUAGUCUCAUCAAAUACAACGUCGCUAGAGACUUCAACCAAACCCAAUGAUUUGUUGAAGACUCUAUAUGCCCUUGUAUUUAGUCAUACCCUAGUAAAAAUCCUUCUACAGCUUUGAGAGCAAAUUUGGAAUGUCUAUCUUUCUUCACCAAGAUGUAGCAUUUGCUCCCAAAUACACGAAAGUAAGAGACAUUGGGUUUGUUACUGGUAAGAAGUUCAUACGAGGUCUUCUUGAGGAGGCGAUGAAGGUAGAGCCGGUUUAUGGCAUGGCAAGCUGUGUUCACAGCUUCUGACCAAAACCGCUCAGGCGUCUUGAACUCUCCAAGCAUUGUCCUCGCCAUGUCGAUGAGCGUCCUGUUCUUCCUCUCUACCACACCAUUUUGCUGUGGUGUGUAGGGAGCGGAGAACUCGUGCUUGAUUCCUUCCUCCUCAAGGUACUCUUCCACUUGGAGAUUCUUGAAUUCGGACCCGUUGUCGCUUCUUAUCUUUUUCACCUUGAGCUCAAAUUCAUUUUGUGCCCGCCUUAGAAAGCACUUAAGGGUCCCUUGGGUUUCUGAUUUAUCCUGCAAAAAGAACACCCAAGUGAAGAGGAAAAAUCAUCAACAAUUACUAGACCAUACUUACUUCCCCCGAUGCUAAGGUAGGCGACGGGUCCGAAGAGGUCCAUAUGUAGUAGCUCCAGUGGUCUUGAUGAUGUCAUCACAUUCUUGUUGUGAUGAGUGCUUCCCACCUGUUUCCCUGCUUGACAAGCUGCACAAGGUCUAUCUUUUUCGAAGCAAACAUUUGUUAGUCCUAACACAUGUUCUCCCUUUAGAUGUUUAUGAAGGUUCUUCAUCCCUACAUGUGCUAGACGGCGAUGCCACAGCCAGCCCAUGCUAGUCUUAGCUAUUAAGCAUGCAUCUAGAUCGGCCUCCUCUUUUGAAAAAUCAACUAAGUAGAGUUUGUCGUCUAAUACACCCUUAAAAGCUAAUGAACCAUCACUCCUUCUAAAGACAGAAACAUCAACAUUUGUAAACGAACAAUUGUAGCCCAUGUGGCACAAUUGACUUACAGACAGAAGAUUAUACCCUAAUGAUUCUACUAAGAAUACAUUUGAAAUAGAGUGCUCAAAUGAAAUGGCUAUCUUCCCCAAUCCUUUAACCUUGCCUUGGUUCCCAUCUCCAAAGAUGAUUGAAUCCUGGGAAUCUUUGUUCUUGACGUAGGAGGUGAACAUCUUCUUCUCCCCCGUCAUGUGGUUUGUGCAUCCGCUGUCGAUAAUCCAGCUUGAGCCCCCGGAUGCAUAAACCUGCAAGGUAAUUUACACUUGGGUUUUAGGUACCCAACUCUUGUUGGGUUCUACAAGGUUAGUCACAAUAGCCUUUGGAACCCAAAUACAAGUCUUAUCUCCCUUGCAUUUGGAUCCCAAUUUUCUAGCUACUACUUUUUCAUUUUUACAUAAGAGCGCAAAUGAAGUGUUGCAAGCAUAGUAAAUGGUAGAAGGUUCAUUGCAUACUUUCCUAGGCACAUAAUGCACAACAUGAUGUCUCCUAGGCUUAUUUCUACCAUGCACAAAAGUAGAGCUAGAAGCAAACAUAGCAUGUGAAUCAUGAUCAUAACUCCUAUUAUGACUAGCAAUUUUCCUAUUAUACAUGAAAGCAUGAUUCUUUUGAUUACUACUAGCCAUAGAGGCCUUUCCUUUCUCCUUGUUGGGAAUGGGAGCCCUUUGGCUUGUUAAGUUCUUGGCUUCCUUUCGAAAGCCAAGUCCAUCCUUAAUUGAGGGGUGUCUACCAAUUGUAUAGGCAUCCCUAGCAAACUUUAAUUUAUCAAAAUCUAUCUUGCAAGUCUUAAGUUGAACAUUAAGACUUGCCACUUCAUCAUUUAAUUUACUAAUGGAUACAAGAUGUUCAUUACAAGCAUUAAUAUCAAAAUCCUUGCAUCUAUUGCAAAUUACAACAUGUUCCACACAUGAACUAGAUUUAUUAGCUACUUCUAGCUUAGCAUUUAAAUCAUCAUUAACACUUUUUAAGCUAGACACAGUUUCAUGACAAGCAGAUAAUUUAGAAGAUAAUAUUUCAUUCCUUUUAACCUCUAAAGCAAGAGACUUUUGUACACUAACAAAUUUGUCAUGUUCUUCAUAUAGAAUGUCCUCUUGCUUCUCUAGCAAUCUAUCUUUUUCAUUUAGAGCAUCAAUUAAAUCAUUAAUUUUAUCUACUUUUGCUCUAUCUAACCCCUUAAAUAAAUCAGUAUAGUCUACUUCAUCAUCGCUAGAAUCAUCAUCGCUUGAAGUAGUAUACUUAGGGGUGUCUCGAACACUUACCUUCUUCUCCUUGGCCAUGAGGCAAGUGUGGCGUUCGUUGGGGAAGAGUGAGGAUUUGUUGAAGGCCGAGGCUGCCAGUCCUUCAUCAUCGGAGUCGGAUGAAGAGCAGUCUGAAUCCCAUUCUUUGCCAAGGUGCGCCUCUCCCUUUGUCUUCUUGUAAGCCUUCUUCUUCUCCCUCUUCCCAUGCUUUUCUUGUUCCUAGUCAUUGUUAUUAUCGGGGCAUUGCGCUAUAAAAUGACCAGUCUUACCGCAUUUAAAACAGGAGCACUUUCCCUUUGCUUUGCUCUUGUUGGGAUACUCCUUGCGUCCUUUUAGCGCGGUCUUGAAGCGCUUGAUGAUUAGAGCCAUCUCAUCUUCGUUUAGCCCGACAGCCUCAACUUGUGCCACCUUGCUUGGUAGCGCCUCCCUGCUGCUUGUUGCCUUGAGCGCAACGGGCUGCGGCUCGUAGAUGGGCAUUGGGCCAUUUAAUGCAUCAUCAACAUAUCUUGCCUCUUUGACCAUCAUGCGCCCGCUCACAAAUUUUCCGAGUAUCUCCUCGGGCAUCAUCUUUGUGUACCUGGGAUUUUCACAGAUGAGGUUCACAAGAUGAGGGUCAAUAACAGUAAAAGACCUGAGCAUAAGUCGGACGACGUCAUGGUCCGUCCAUCUUGUGCUUCUAUAGCUCCUAAUCUUGUUGACCAGGGUCUUGAGCCUGUUGUACGUUUGUGUUAGCUCCUCUCCCCUGAUCAUUGUGAACCUUCCCAGCUCGCCUUCCACCAACUCCAUUUUGGUGAUCAUGGUGGCGUCGUUUCCCUCAUGUGAUAUUUUGAGGGUGUCCCAGAUUUGCUUGGCGUUGUCCAAGCCACUCACCUUGUUGUACUCGUCCCUGCACAAGGAUGCUAGCAAAACAGUGGUAGCUUAUGCAUUCUUAUGAAUUUGCUCAUUGAUAAACACAGGGUUAUCGGUACUGUCGAAAUGCAUUCCAUUUUCAACUAUCUCCCAUGUACUAGGAUGGAGAGAAAAUAAGUGACUACGCAUUUUGUGACUCCAAAAAGUGUAGUCCUCUACAUCAAAGUGUGGAGGUUUACCAAGAGGAAUUGAAAGCAAAUGAUCAUUGAAAUUGAAAGGAAUACGAAAAUAAUCAAAUGAAUAAUUUGAAUUAACCGGUUUCUUUUUCUCGUCGUCGUCGUCUCUUGGUGAAGAAGAAGAUUCGUCGCUGUCGUAGUAGACGAUCUUCUUGAUGCGCCUCUUCUUCUUCCCGUCCUUCUUCUUGUGACUCGAUCCAGAGUCAGUGGGCUUGUCGUCCCUUGGCUCGUUGAAGAUGGACUCCUUCUCCUUAUCGUUGACCAUCAUCCCUUUUCCUUUAGGAUCCAUCUCUUCGGGCGAUUAGUCCCUUAAGUGAAGAGAACAGCUCCGAUACCAAUUGAGAGCACCUAGACGGGGGUGAAUAGGUGAUCCUGCAAAAUUCAAUACUAAAUUGCCACAAGCUUGGUUAUAAAGAUGUUAGUGCAAUAGAACCAAGUGGCUAUAGAGCGAGCUCUUGCGAAUCACAAUAAUCACAGAGAAAGACAACACAAGAGACACAGUGGUUUAUCCCGUGGUUCGGCCAAGUAUAACACUUGCCUACCUCCACGUUGUGGCAUCCCAAUGGACGAGGGUUGCACUCAACCCCUUUCAAGUGAUCCGAUGAUCAACUUGAAUACCACGACUUUUCUUUGCUUAUCUCUUUUUCCUGUUUGCGAGGAAUCUCCACAAGUUGGAGUCUCUCGCCCUUACAACAAAGAUCACAAUGAAAGCACGAAGUAAGGUUGGGAAGAGCAAUGCACACUAGAAUUAAAUCCACACUGCAAACACACACACAAGUGAGAAGAUGAGCACACAAAACACGCGUGGGGAGUUUACAACUCGAAAAGUGCUCCAAUCUCAAGAACGAUGAACGAUUGCGUGAAAGUGAGGACUAGAAGUCUUGGAAUGCUUAGAGUGUGUUUGGGUGACUCCUCCAUGCGCCUAGGGGUCCCUUUUAUAGCCCCAAGGCAGCUAGGAGCCGUUGGAGGCCAACAAGGAAGGCUAUCCUUGCCUUCUGUCGGGUGGCGCACCAGACAGUCCGGUGCACCACCGGACAGCCACUGUUCAUGUCCGGUGCGUGAUCUCCUUCCAAUUCUGGCGCAGCCGACCGUUGCGGAUUCGUGGCAGUUGGCGCACCGGACACUGCCCGGUGCACACCGGACAGUCCGGUGCCCCCUGCCGACCGUUGGCGCGGGCCAUGCGUCGCCCGCGGAUUGCGCGGCCGACCGUUGCGCUGGCGGCCGUUGGCUCACCGGACAGUCCGGUGCACCACCGGACAGUCCGGUGAAUUAUAGCCGUACGCCGCCAAACAUUCUUGAGAGUGGCCAGUUCACUGGAAGCCAACCUGGCAUACCGGACACUGUCCGGUGCACCACCGGACAGUCCGGUGUGCCAGACUGAGCUGAGUAUUGGCUGCUCAGAGCCAAGUCCUUUUCUCCUUCUCUUUUCUCUGUUUCUAGCACUUAGACAAAAUAUGUUAGUACUCAAACCAAUGUACUAAGUCUAGAAACAUACCUUGUUACAUGAUUUGCACUUCUUGCUUGUUUGACACAUAACCAACUCACUUAGUAUGUGUUGGACACUUAAUCACCAAAAUAUAAUAUAAAUGGCCCAAGGGCACAUUUCCCUUUCAAGGAGGGAGCGAUCGCGAAGGCUUGCUCGGGGCAUGCACGCGGGGAGUAGGAUUGAGCGCCUACCAAACAUCCUCCAGAUACAAUCAACGGAUUGGGCGCUAUCUCCACUGGAAUCACGGGGGAGGAGGGUGCGCUCGCGACGGUGGCUUGCUCGGGGCAUGCGCGCGGGGAGGCGGGGGUUAGGAGCACUGGAAUUGUGUGGUAGGCAGGCGCGAUUGCGACAGCGGAUUCCUCGGCCCGCGCGCGGGGUAUACAACCAUGUGUUUCGACGGUGACUUGCUCGCGAGGCAGAGUAGGCGGGUGCCGUUGCGACAUCGAAUUGUUUGGGGCCGCGCACGGGGUAUGCAGCCAUGGGUUGCGACGGCGGCUUGAGUAGGCGGGCACGAUUGCGACGGCGGAUUGCUCGGUAGGCCGGCUUGGUCGGGGUCGGGGUUUACGGUGGGGGGUGCCACGCGUGAUGUCGGGAAAACGGGCGGCAAAAAGCGCCAUCUCCACGUCAACAGAGACAAGUUUUAAUUUAGAUAUAAUAGAGUAAAUAAUACAGGUAUUGCAGGCCCAUACUUCCAUAAUUCUUAUAUUCACAUAAAAAUUAUGUUAAUUACAUCUCCGUAGAGAAAACCCCUGAUUAAGAGUUCAACAUGUAUACCUAAAAGAAAAUUGCAUCAUAUGGUUGACUAUUACAAACUACAAAAGAAAACAAAAAAUCUUCGCCUCAUGUAGUCGUGGAUGGUUGCAUGCGUUCGUCAGAUACGACAUGAUUUCAUUGUUGACGAGCUAACAAAUAUCUCUUUAUUGCUGGUUUGGUCAGCUCUGUGCCGAACCAGACAUAUAUUUCAAUUCACACGCACUUUUGCGAGUUAAAGCCAUGUCGUGCCGCUAAGUUUUAAUAACUUAACAUAUGACUGUUGCUUAUUUCUUUGGGUAGUAGGCACCCGAGUCAUAUAAUACAACACAUACAUGAAUAACCAAGAAGAUUAGCUUAGUCAACAUUUAUUUCUUUAAUGGAUAACAUGUUAUGUUGUAUAUUUAUAUGGUUUACCUCGAGGAUUAUAUUUGAUUAUCUUAUCGGAUUAUAUAAUAUCACGAAUGGAGAUGAGAUGUCUUGAAAUGUAUGUUUAUGAAUGCACUUGACAUAUGGUGUGAGAUUUCUUUGAGCCAAGUCAAAUCAUAAUAUUUAAGUUCUUGAUGGAGGAUCGAUAUUGGGCAUAGUUAAGUUGUUUGUCCAAAUUAAUUGGAAGAAAUGACGAUUGAUGAAGGUGACCAAGUGUAUUUUAACUAGCUAAGGGGGUGUUUGGUUUGUAGGGAUUAAACUUUAGUCCCUCCACUUUAUUCCAUUUUAGUUCUCAAAUUGUUAAAUAGGGAAACUAAAAUAGAGCUUUAACUUCCAUAUUUAGUAAUUUAGGGACUAAAAUAGAAUGAAAUAGAGGGACUAAAAAUUAGUCCCUAUAAACCAAACACCCCCUAAGUCUACUCCAAAUUAUAUUUGGUUUACCUUGACCAUGGCACCAUUGCAAGUCAACGGACAGUAUCAGCCAUAACUUGGAAUUUGCUAUAAACAUAUCAACUUUAUUUAGGUACGACUAAACGCGAUAUGAACAUCAUUAAUUUCUUUCUUUAUUUUGACAUUAAGGAUAACCAUCGAGCUUACAGAUUAAAUUUAUCUUUGUAUAAUUUAGUAAAUAUAAUAGCACUAUGCAUAUCAAAUGGCACCUUCCUUUUUUUGCAAUCCAGAUUAGGACAUGGUUUAUAGGCAACGACAUAGAUCAAUAUAACUUUUGCAUGACCUAAAAUAAUUUGGUGUGUAUGUAAGUAUAGAUCAGUUUGUAUUUCCUAGGCAGAAUGAGCUAAUUUUAUAAUGGAUGACUGGAGACCAAAAGAUAUUGCUAACAUCUUCAAAUGACUUGAUAUAUAGAUUUUUAAUUUGAUCAUGGCGUUGGGUGAUUUUCCUUAGGUGUGGUAUGACUACCAUGUGCACAUAGAGCCAGACUCCGGAUUAUACAACUGACUUAAAGCUUUUAAAAUAAAUUGGACGUUUAUUUUUUUGUUUGUCUAGAUUAACUUAGGAUGAUGCACCUGACUUAUGCAGUGGAUUUAGUUAUUUCUGCCAUGGCGUUAAGCUGGUGGCCGCUUAGUGGUUAUUGCAUAAUAUAGUGCACGGAUGGAAUACUAUUGGUAUAUGCACUGCAUAAGUGGUUGUUUAACUCAAUUUUACUCGUGCUAAAAGGAUAUAAUGUAGUGAGAGAACCAUAUAAUUAUAUGUUAAUUAGGAUUAUUUCGGAUAUGACCUUGGUGAUGGUCACCUUAGUGGAUAUUAUCUAAAUGGUAAUCGACUGUAUGAAUCGGAAGUCAAACGCUGAGCUCAAAUAUAUGGUUACCCAUGGGACUUAAAAUAGCCAUAUUUUCUUCUACUUUAAUUUGGCAUAAUUUCAGAUAUAUAUAUUCAUUUGAUCAAGCAUGUUUUGGCAUGUUUUAUUACUAGCGCGUUGGGUUCUUAAUGGUUUAAACCCACUCAUGUUGCAUAGACGAAGAAUUUAAAGUAUACGGCUCUUCUUACCGGUCAUUCUUAUCUUGCAACAAUGUCUCUAUGAGCAAUCUUUUCUUGAGCCUAGUUUUAUCCAGCGUAGUGUCUAUUUCCUUGAGAAUAGUGUCUAUUUCCCCUAAGGUAUGCCCUAGGGGUGAUUGUUGAAGAUUUAUUGUGAAUGAGGAGAGAGCAGCAACAACGAACAAUGAUGCUCAUAUGGAAGGGGUAGCAAUCGUCGUACGAAUAAAGCUGCAACACCGGUAAUUUGGCGAAUCUUUAAAGCAAUCACUCUGUUUGUGAUGUUUCUGAACAACAGUCUGAUGGCGCUCUCUGGCCGCCUAGCAACAGUACUCUAGUCUGUUACUGGGCGUCUUUUGCAGUAGCCUGGCGGUGCUUUUGAUGGCAAUAGCAGUAGCCUGGCGACAUUUUUCUCAUCCUUUUUUUGAACUCUUACAUAUAUAUUUAUUCUAUCUACCUUAGCAUGUUGUAGGUAAACAUACAAGGAAUACGUUUGGAGUUCCAGCCUCAAUAGGUUACCAUUAUUUAUUUGGGUUGCUAUUUUAUAUGUAAUGCAACUAAUAAUAUGGCGUAUUUAAGAGUAUUGAAUAUAUAUAAGAAACAUGGAAGGAGAUGAUAAAAUCUGAUUUUUGCCAACUAGAGCAUAUCUUCUAAUUUUAUUGAUGUAGAAUUAGACUAUACGUAUAUACGAGAUGUCAUGGCUUACCAUUAAUUAGCAAACGAAGAAAGACAUCACAAUAAUAAAUUAGAAACAGAUUACUCUUUCCGUAUUGAUCAUUCUUACCUCGCAGUAAAUCUGUCAGAUAUACCACACCGGUGUAUAUGACUGCGGCGUGAUUUAUCUCGAGGGUAUGCUUUUGAGGUUUCUGGAACAAUUUUCUCUCUAGGGUAUGCCUUAGAGAGUUGUUUGAUGGAGAAUUUUCUUGCCGAUGACGCUUGGCGAAGCAGCGAUUCCUAGAUGAGAGGCUUCAGCAGCAGCUUGAUGGUGCGCUUCCCCAGCAGCCUUUUGUUCCUCGAGGCAAACACCGAGAGCGAGGUAGCCUAGCGGCGUCUACGGUGAGCGCGGUAGCCUAGAGCAGAACAGUAACCAUGGUCCUCUCUCCCUGCUCCCGCGUUGAUGUGACCUUUCAUUUAUAGGGGGUGUUUGGUUGCUCAUGCUAAAGUUUAGUCCGGAUCACAUCAAGCGUUUGACUUUUAAAUAAGAGUAUGAAAUAUAGACCCAACCAACUGGACUAAAUUCGUCUCGUCUUUUAAUCUUCGGCUGACAAAUUAGUUUUAUAAUCCGACUACAUUUAAUACCCGAAACGGAGGUUCAAACAUUCGAUGGGACAUAGGCUAAAUUUUAGCGGGGUGUAACCAAACACCCCCAUAGACGAAAAAACAACGAGCGAGUGCGCCGGAUGCUGAGACGUGUAGCAGUCGUGCGCACGUCGUCCCAGAUCUGGCGCGAGGCAGGCUUUUUUACUUGGCGUGCGUGGAAGAAAGAACGUGCGCGCGUGCUAGUGAGCGUGCUGCAUGUGCUGCAUCUACGCGGGAGAAGCAUGCAAAAAACUGCAAGCUAGUAGCUUUCUCUUUCUCCCUUUUUUAUCAUGUGAUUAAGGGAAUGCUUAAUUAUGUCCACUCAAAAGCUAUGCAUAUGAGAGAGUGGAACAUGGCAGCAUGCAUGCGUACAUGCAAAUGCUCAGUUAAUUGAUGGAAGACCAAUCCAUUUACCACUAUUGCACGUAUCCGUCUAAUUUUUUUAUUCACGGCUAGAGGCUAUGACGGUUGUAUGAGAGUAGUACGCAUGUUCUCUCUUUAUUAUUUUAUAUUAUUUAUCUAAUCUGUAUUAUUAUUAUUAUUAUAAAACACUAUCUUGUGAUUACAUUAAAUAUUAUUUUGUAUUCGCCUUGUUUACAAUUGUAUUGACAAAUGGUCAUUUGCUCAUUUCAUUUUUUUAUAGUUGUUUAGACAAAUCUUUAAUUAAUGAAUGCAUGACUAUUUAUUGAUGCAUGACUAUUUAGUCAUAUAUUCACAUGGGUAUAUACUUGAGGCCGUACAUAUUUUAAUAUCUCGACGCGCUAAACUUUUAGAACAGAAGAUCAUUAUGAACAAAUAGCCACUUUAAAUAUUCGUAUAUUUAUUUUUCAGAAUAUUUACUUAUUUCAUAUGCAUCGAAAUUUAGGGGUCAUAUUAAUCGGAGUUAUUUGGCCCGCAUGGCCAUUUAUUUUGAUACGACCAAAAUAUGUGUCAACAACGCGCAGAGGGGAGGCUGGGGCAGUCUACACUAAUACCUUAAUUGUUAGUAGAGAUAAUUGAGACGUACAUCCAAGAAUGGCUAUCUUUGUUAACAAUAUCAACCUAGACAACCAUAUUCGCCUCCUUUGACUUUUAACAGAUGCUGCCUCUAUUAAUGUUUUAUAGAUUUCAAUUAUUUUAUUUCUUGGUAGUAGUGAGAUAUACAACAAUCAUAUCUGUUUGACAUGAUUAAUUUAUUUCAUCAUAAGCAUAAUAAACUAAAAGUGUAUUCUGUCUCAUCAACAAGUAAAAUUCAGUAAAAAUAAAAUCCAAUGUGACGGUGUCGCAUGCUUAUAGAGCAUAUAUAGCCCUAAUCGUUGUCUACUCCAUGCAUUGGGAUUAUAUGGGAAAUGAAUGCUUCAAUGAUAAUUAUAAAUAUUAAAUAUAAAUUAUAAAACUAAUUAAAUAGAUGAAAAUUAUACGAUGAGAUAAAUUUAUUAAGCCUAAUUAAUCUAUGAUUAACAAAUGUUUGUUGUAGAACUAGUUUUGCAAUUAAACUAUAUUUAAUAUUUUUAAUUAAUAUUUAAAUAUCUGAUGUAACAUGAUUAAAAUUUAGUCAAGGGAAUCCAAACGAGGCAAAUGUUUAGAUGGGUAAAACAAUUCAGCAGCACCGCAUAAUUUUUUCUCUAAUUUUGGUCCAUCUAGUCCUAACAUUCCUACGAAUUGAUCAAUAAUUACUUGACGUCGACGACCCGUAUGACUCAGGCAUAGGGCUGGACAAAAUACUCGUGGCUCGAUAACUCGCUCGACUCGGCUCGUUAGUAGCUCGGCUCGACUCGGCUCGUUUUAAUUUUGUAGCGAGCCAAGCUAGCAUUCUAGCUCGGUUCUCUAAUGAGCCAGCUCGGGUUAGCUCGUGAGCUAGCUCGCGAGCCAAACGAGCUAAGCCACAACACAAAUUUGUCUAGUCGUUGGUGUCGUCUCAUCUCUCAUAGUCUUGUUUUAUCGUAGUUAUGAUCUGUGAUAUGGACAUGUGUGGAUGUGCCAUGUGCUUAAAUAUUUAUAUUAUUGCAUGACUACAUGUUUGUAGUGUUAAACACUUAAAAUAUAAUUUUUCGGUUAUAAAUAUAUUUAUGUACAUAGAUCUUUAUAUUUAGUUGUGUGGCUCGCGAGCCUAACAAGCUGGCUCGAGCUUCCUAACGAGCCGAGCCGAGCCAGCUGUUUAGCUCGUUAGUAUAACGAGCCGAGCCGAGCUGGCUCGUUAUAGUAACGAGCCAUAACGAGCCGAGCCAUAACGAGCCAAGCUGGCUCGAUAUCCACCCCUACUCAGGCAGUGGCGCGCAUGGUGGUGGUAGGCCGACCAGAGUUAGGGCUAGACAAAAUGCUCGUGGCUCGUUUGCUCGCUUGGUUCAUGGACAGCUCGGCUCGGCUCGGAUCGGCUCGUUUGAAUUUUUCACGAGAAGAGCUGACAUCCUAGCUCGGUUCGUUAACGAGCCAGCUCGCGAGCUAAAUGAGCUACCAUAUUCCAGCAAAAUAAAACUAUAUACAUAUCAUUUACAGAAUAAUUGAUGAACAUGUUAUAUAUAUUUGAGGUGUAUAUGGCCUAUGAGUUAGACUAAUGAUUAAUGAACUAUGUCUAUGUGUGUUGGCGUUUCGACCCCGGAGGGUCCCUGGACCGACGAGUAAAUUGUCGCUGCGUGCCCCAGCCCAGAUAGGUUGGCGCGAGACGGGACAUGAAGGGGGGAAAACCUCGGCUCGUGUUAUCCUGCGCCAGAGUGGGUGCGCUUGCAGUAGGGAUUACAAGCGUUCGCGAGGGAGAGAGAGAGUCCCGCGCGACCACCCUCCCGUAUGAGGGCCCUGGCACUUCCUUUUAUAGAUGCAAGGAGAGGGUCCAGGUGUUCAAUGGGGGUGUAGCAAUAUGCUAACGUGUCUGGCAGAGAGGAGCCAGAGCCCUAUGUACAUGCCAACGUGGCUGUCGGAGAGGUGCUAGAGCCCUGUGUACGCGGUGUCGUGGCCGUCGGAGGAGCGUUUGAGCCCUGUAGAAGCACAGCUGUCGGGGCUGUCGGGACCUUGCUGACGUCUCCUUGCUUCCGUAAGGGGCUGAGAGCCACCGUCGUCAUGGACACACGAGGGGAGCCAUCAUUACUUGUUUCCGGGGCGAGCCUGGAUGGGACGCCGGUCUUGUUCCCCCGUAGCCUGACCUAGCUAGGCGUAGGGUAAUGAUGUACCCCUUGCGGCGUGGUCGGUCCGAGCCCAAGGUCGGGCGAGGCGGAGACUCCUCCUGAGGCUGAGGCCGGGGUCGGGCGAGGACGCGAUUCCGCCCGAGGUCGAGGUUGAGGCCGGACCCUGGGGUCGGGCGAGGCGGAGACCACCUUCCGAGGUCGAGGUCGAGGCCAAGCCCUGGGGUCGGGCGAGGCGGAGUCCACUUUCCGAGGCCGAGGCGGGGGCCGAGCCCUGGGGUCGGGCGAGUCGGAGACUUCUCCUGAGGUCAAGGCCCAAGGUCGGGCGAGGUGGAGCUUCCUGUGGCGCCUGAGGCUGGACUCAGCUGCUGUCAGCCUCACCCUGGCGGGUGGCACAACAGUCGGAGAGGGGCGAGCGGCGCUGUCUUCCUGUCAGGUCAGUCAGUGGGAGGGCGAAGUGACUGCGGUCACUUCGACCUUGCCGACUGAGGCACGCGUGUCAGGAUAAGGUACCAGGCGAUCCUUGCAUUGAAUGCGCCUGCGAUACGGUCGGUUGGUGAGGCGAUUUGGCCAAGGUUGCUUCACUACGAAGCCUGCCCGAGCUGGGCUUCGGGCUAGUCGAGGGAGUGACCGUUGCUUGAGGAGGCCCUCGGGCGAGGUGUGAAUCCGUCUGGGACUACUGUUCCCGCCCGAGGCUGGGUUCGGGCGAGGCGAGAUCGCGUCCUUUGAGUAGACGAAGCCUUGACAUGAAUUGCGCCCAUCAACCUCUGCAGUUUGCGCUGAUGAUGAUUACCAGCCGAGUUUAUGAGUGUUGGGGGUACCCCUAAUUAUGGUACCCGACAAUGUGUUAAUUUGGUCUAUGCAAAUAUAAUUGUGGGUUAAACUGAUGAACAUGUAUGUGAAUUGAUGAGUGAUGAAUUGUGCUAAUUUGGUGUUACAUUGACAUGAUUUGUGAAACUAUGAGUAUAAUUAUUAUUUUCUAUUGUUAAAUUAGUUUGAAAUUAACUAAAAAUAAUUAUUAUGUACAUAUUUUUUCUGCUCUGGCUCGCGAGCUAAACGAGCCAGCUCGAGCUCGUAAACGAGCCAAGCCGAGCCGAGCUAGCUCGUUAGCUUAAUGAGUCAGCUCGAACUCGGACGAUUCGAGCUGGCUCGUUAUCCACCCCUAACCGAAGUGCACCUCAAUAACAUUUGCCUCGUGUUUUGUGACGGAGGGUAGCUGAGCAUAAAAUUUUCGAUUUAUGUUGGUCCUAAAUUCUCGUGAUAAUCUUAAUUUACAAAAUUCACGUCUUAACACAUGCAUUAAUUAAAUCCAUGUUGGGACCACUAGAUUUGUAUGCAAAUGUAUCACAAGGAUGAAAUGAUCUUGGUCAUUGAGGGCUCUCUAGAUUACCCAUUGAGUACACAUAAAAAAUUAUUGGAUAUUAUGCAUUAGUAUGCCGAAAUUUGCGUGCAUAAUUUUAAUAUUUUUAUAUUAUCAAUGAGGGUUGAGAAAUGAAUUAGUGAUUUAAUUCAACCUCCACAGGGCCUACGAAUAGUGUAAUUUAAGGGUGGGAAAUAAGAUUUGGCGUUGCCAGUACUAAUGUUCUAUGUACUAGUGGUUAAUCCCACAGAACUAACCCAACUGAGGUUCUACUUUAGCCAUUUGUAUCCACAAGUCUCAUACGUUUAGCUCGGCUCACUCAAAUACAUUGGAAAUUAUUCAAAGUUAAUUAAAUUUAUUCCUCACCAUAAAUAUAACAACCCAUGCAACACAUUCAAAGCUAAGGCUGCAACGAGCCGACAACAGCUUGGUCAUCUUGCUGUGACGCCGGUGGGGUGUGCUUGUUGUUCAUGAAGGGCAAGUCCAAGUCGCGCCCAUGGUGUGGAGGUGGUAUCGGCGAUGGAUAGAUUAUCGGGGGCAUCCAUGGAUAGAUUAUUGGGGGUCUCCAUUUCUUCUGGAUGUGUGCCUCCGACGCGGUGGAUGAUGACAGCAGUAGCGGCAUCAAAAGGACGAGGAGCACCACUGUGGUUGUGCUCCUACUACGCUCGAACGCGACCAUUGUUGUUAUUGUUGUUGCUAUCUGUGCUUCUUGUUAGAGAACGUUGCCGGCGUCAUACCACAUAUAUGUGUGUAUAUAUAGUGUCGACUCUCUAGUGCUUAAAUUUAGCAUGGAUAGAUGCUUGUCAUCUAAACUAGGUGGUAAUUUAAUUUUUGCUCUAAGAGAGGUGCAAAUAUUAUGUUGCAUAAAUAUAGAUGGACAAUCAACAUUGGAAUGAAUUUAAUGUGCUCCUAUACUUUGCUCUCUUUCGUGUUUGUCAAUUUAACCUCAUUAAAAAAUUUCUAUCUUUGUGAUCCAACUUCAAGCCUUGAACUACCGUCUGUUUCUAUAAUAAUUUAUUAUCUAUGUUAGCUAAUUGUAAUUACAAGUCGCUUUAUGAUUCUUGGCCGUCAAACUUUCUCAAGUUUCGACCACCACUAGUAUAGAAAUAGGUUUUACUAGUGGUAGUUUUUGUAUCUUCAUAGGUGGUUUUGUGAAAUGCUCACAUGAAAGAUUAUGGAAAUGAUGUGCUCCAUUGGUGUAUGAUUGCGGCGGGUCAUUAUUGACAUAACGAUGUCGCCUUUGUAAACAAAUUUACAUAGGUAAAAUACUUAGGUCAACCACUAGCAUAGAGUUAUUUUAAUUUUGAGUAGCUAAAAUUUAGCUUGGUAAGUCAUUUGGCAUCAAAGACGUCCACCUUCAUUAAUAGUAUCAACAGAGGAAGUCAUGUUCGUCUCAUUUAGCUUGACGAGUCAUUUGGCAUCCAAAGAUGCCUACCUUCAUUUAAUUAGUAGGCAAACACAACUAAGAUAACUACCUUGUAGAUUUGAAUUAUUUCAUUUCUUGACAGCAAUGAGAUAUAUACAACAAUCAAAUCUGUUUGAGAUGAUUAAUUUAUUUCAUCAUAAGCAUAAUGAACUAAAAAUAUAUUCUGCCUCAUCAACCAAUCAUAUGGGCUUGUUGGGCCAGAUUUAGAUGUGUAAAACAAUUCAGUAGCACGCCGGUCCAUCAAUGACGUCGCAUAUUUUUCCCUAAAUCAGCUGUUGGGGACUUGUUCUCAAAUGCUAUGAGUUAAGAACAAGGCAACACAGAAAAUGUUAAACAUUAAGAUCCUUCGUCCUUCGAAGCAUUAUUUCCCUUAGGAUAUAACGAUCUCCGGACGAAGGUCAUGAAGGAUCAACCUUCAUCACUACAAUAUACAUUAAUAAAAGACGAAGCAUAUGAAACAUAAAAGAUAGCGUGAAUAAUCAUAUAACAUUAUUUAUUUAACCUUAUUAACUCAUCAUAAAGAAAUAGAAACAAUAUUGAAUUAUAAAUGUACCUUCGGCUUGGAAGGAGAUGAAAAUACAAGUGUGACGCAAAAGCAAAUGCCAAGUCAGCGUGAGCAGUACGGGGGUACUGUUCACCUAUUUAUAGGCACGGGGUACAACCCAUACAAAAUUACAUACAUGCCCUUUACAUUUGGUGAUAAUUCUAUAGCAUUCUAUCGAGGUCUAAAUGGCCUUUUCAUCUUUAAGUCGGUUUCCCUUUUCUGCGAACAUGCCGAAGCUUUCCUGCUUCACAGCUUCGGCACUGUGUCAACCUUCGUAUCUUUUGAGCUUCUCCCUUUCUGAUUCAAGUCCGAAGAUACCUGUUCACACAUUAUACUCCAGAAACAUUGUUAAAUCAUGUUUUUGAGGACCUUCGGAAGCCGAAGGCCCCCAACAUCAGCCAUCUUGUCCUAACAUUCCAAUGAACCAAUCAAUAAUUACUUGGCGCCGAUGGCCAGUAUGUCUCCGGCGAUGGCGCAUGGUGGUGGUAGGGGAAUCUAGGGCGGCAGAGGAGACCACGACACUUGCCCCAUGUUCUGUGGUAGAGGAUAACUGACCAUGGACCCCAAUGCCGCGGAGGAGGGUCACGAAAGGGUUGGGGUUGUUGGACGAUGCUUCCACCCAACCAGUGUGCCGCCGCUGUCGUCGAGGACAGCAUCGUCAUCGCCGACAUCAGCAGGAGUGCCGCGAUGGCGGGUGUUGUUGGGGACUUGUUCUCAAAUGCUAUGAAUUAAGAACAAGGCAACAUAAAAUGUUAAAUAUCAAAGCCCUUCGUCCGCUGAAGCAUUAUUUCCCUGAUGAUUUAAUGAGCUUCGGACGAAGGUCAUAGAUGAUGAACUACGAAGGUCUUACCUUCAUAGUCAGAAGUAAAAUAAUGCGAAAUAAAAUAUGAAGUAUAAAACGUUAAAGAAUAUUAAGAAUGGAUAACAUCAUUUACUCGUUUUACAAUAUAAACUGAGAUAUUAAAACAUGAUGUUUGGUUACAUUUAUACCUUUGCCUUGACAAAGAGCAAUAAUUCCAGAGUAAUGCGUUAGCAGUUACAGGAUUGCGUGAACAGUAAAGGAAUAAUGUUCACUAUUUAUAGGCACAGGACACAGCCUGUAAGGAAUUACAAUCAUGCCCCUUAUAAAAGUUUACAACAAUGACUCAGACCCUUAUGGACUAAAAGGUCAUUCUAUCUUUAAGUCGGUUCGAUCCUUCAUCUUCGGAUAUGCUAUAACACCGAAGCUUCAUGAGUGGUAGCUUCGGCAUCACGUAUAAGCAGCUUUAGCCGAAGCUCUUUCUUUCUGCAGGACCUUCGGCGACGAAGCAUGGUCCCAACAGUAACCCCUUCGCUGUGCUAGAUCGUUUUUCGUAACGAGCUUGAUCCGUAAAAAAAGUCUCUUAGGCUUCGGGAAGCCGAAGGUCCGAAAAACACCUUCCCUGAGCUCGUUGCCGAGAAACGAUACAGUUUCCGAGCGCGGAGCGGUCCCACCAUGCAGGUUCACUUUCUUGGUUUUUUGCGGCCCACCAUGCAGUGGGUGCGAGCGACUGUUUGCCCGGUGUAAAAAUCCUGACGAUUCACCUUCUUACCUGCAGCACUAUAUAAACAGACAAGUAGGUGUGAAGUUACCACAGCAUUCAUUGCUAUUGCACUGUUUCGCUGCCAAAAAUUUAACCAUAGCCAAAGCUUGACUUUUGCAUUCAAACGAAGCUCCAGUUUGGAUUGUGCUUCGUCACGAGAAGAGCUUCGGAAAAAAGGUUAUUAACUUCCAAGGAAUUUUCAAGAAAAUUUUAAAAUCAAAUGGCCAGAAUACGCUCCACUGCUAGGGUUGAGCGUGAUGGAGAUGAGACCGAAGCCGCUAACACUGUUCCAAUUUCCUAAGCAAUGAGGCGCUCUGGGCUGGUUUCAUCAGAGGACACACCUGCUGCCGAAGCAACACAAGAUGAUGUUGAAGAAGUUGGUUCCGAAGAUGAGUACAGCUGCGGGAUGCCAAGUAAACCUAGUCAUUUAGACUUUGGAAAGUCCACCAUCUCUGAAGCUGAUCUUCCAAAAAUGGUGAAGCUGGGCUACUUCAGUGAAGCAAAAAAAGAGCUGGUUCGUUUUGGCGGAGAGGAAACUAUUCCGAAGCCGGAAAAGAAUGAGGUUGUAGUGUUCAAAAGCUUCUUUAAAGCUGGCCUAAGGUUCCCCCUGAAUGGGAUGAUUGCUAUUGUACUGAAGAAGUUUGGGAUUUACCUUCAUCAACUGACCCCCAAUGCUAUUGUUAGAUUAAGUGUUUACAUUUGGGCCCUUCGUAGCCAGGGAGUGGAACCGUUCGGUGAGGGCUUCUGCCGAGUUCAUGAAUUACAUUACCAGACUAAAGCCAGAGGAGAUGGUCUACAUGAGAAUUUUGGCUGCUACAACUUUGCUUAUCGCAAGACUACAAAGUUUCCAGUGAUAAGCUACCGAAGCAAAUGGCCGGCCGGAUGGAAGUCUGAAUGGUUUUAUGUUAAAGUUGAUAAGGAUGAAGAUAAAUUGGUCCAGAGUCCGCUAGAGCUAACCUUCGGAGAGACGAGGCCCCAAUGCAACAUGAUAAGGGGGAGCCCGAGCCAGAUUGCUUUGGGUGAAUUUCGAGUAAUUUCAGAACAUAUUGGCACUAGAGACUUAGUGCAGGAAUUUCUGGCUUUUAAAGUGUUCCCAACACUGAGGGAGUGGGAGAUGCCAAAGCUGGAGGGAGAAAAGAAAAAGGGAGAACUUGUUCGAUUGCCUUAUCACUACAAGUUUAAGAAACACUUUAAAAAACCCUGCCAGGAGUGGUUGGAUACAAUCGAGAUUAUGUGCAACGAUAUCCUCGAUAAUUAUUCUAAGAAAGAAGAUCAGUUGAUGACAGCAGCCUUCGGCAGUCGUCCGAAACGAAGAUUGAAUCGGGUGCUAGAUGCCUUGAAUUUUGACUAUCCUGAUUAUGAGCAACUGGGCGGAGAUGCCGAAGGCCCAAAGAGAAAAAGAGUUGCCAACGCCCUUGACAAAGAAAGCACCAAAUUGGCCAAAAAGGAAAAAGAAAUUUCUAAAAAACUGAGCUCUGAGCCGAAGGUAGCUGCUCCAAGGAAAAGAAAAGCUGUAUCUCCAAAACCUGCAUCUCCAAAACCAAAGACAUCGGCCCGAGAGAAGGAAGCUCCUGCAACACCUUCUGCUGCCGAAGUGGAAGAGAUUCUGAAGGUAAUGACUGAACCUUUGCCUGUCAAGCUAAGUCCGCUGGCGCCAGAACUGACGAAGUUUUUUCAGAAGGACAAAGAAGCUUCGGCAGCAGAAAGUCCCGCAAAGCCGAAAAAACGAAGAAUUAUCCAAGUGGCAGAUGUCAUUCAUCAGACACCGCCACCGAUAUCGGCGUCAAAAAUUGUCAUUGCCGAAACCACCGGAGCCGAAACCACUGGAGCUGAAACCGCCGGAGCCGAAGCUACCAGAGCCGAAACCGGGACCACCGAAGAUCCUAACCUGGAAACCACGCUUGAUGAUAUUGACAAUAUACUUCUAAGAAUGGCUGAAGAAGAAGUUGCUGAGGUUGCGGUGAACACGGCAACUGAAAAAGGAAAAGAGCAGAUUGAAGACAUUUUGGAAGAAGAAAAUUUUAAUUUUCAAGAUAUACUUGGACAAGAGUUAACAGACGCUGAAAAAGAAGAGCUAAAGAAAUAUGCUAUAUCCUGUGGAUGCAAACCAGGGUCUCUGCUAUUUGGUGGGGUCAAUGAAGGGAAGCUAAGAUGCCUUCGGAAUCGAACCGAGGCCAAGGUUGUUAGGACCUUCUCCAAAAGCGUUGGCCUGCCGAAGAUAGAAGCGGACCUCUGCAGGUACCAGCGGCAGCAUAUCGCCGGUAGCUUGCUCUAUGCUAAUUUCAAGGUAAAAAAUUCUUAAUUUAUUAUUAUUAUUAUUAAUUUUUUUAAUUAAGUUGUUUUCUGACGAAGGUUGUUUUGGCAGAGUAUACUACUAAGUAAAGUGCUGAGAAUGCAACAAGAUCUUGAAGAGGAAAAAAACAAAGCUAUCAUCAAAGAUCUAGAAGACAAAGUCGAAAAUUACGAAGCUGCUCUGAAGAAAAAGGACUUCGUCAUUCAAGACCUUGAAAUCAUAGUUAAAGAACAUGAAACUGCCUUAGAAAAGAAAGACUUCGUUAUUCAUUCUAUGGAAGGUUCACUGGCUGAGGCCCAAGCCAAAAAUGACAGAUUAAACAAUGAAUUACUCAAAAAGUCAGAAAAAUCUGAGCAGGAAAGGAAGAACCUCGAAACAAGUCUCAAGACCGAGAUCGAGAAAAAUUCAAAUUUGCAAAAAUCAUUGAAGGAGCUUCAGGAGAAAUGCUUAAAUUUCAGCAGCCAAUGCGUGCAGCGGCUGAAGGAUGUGUUUCACUCAAUUGGAGCCAGCUCUGAUAAGUUUACACCUUCAGCUGAAAACCUGCCCAGCACCUUGGAAUACAUUGAAGGCGAGGUUGAUGCACUUGACGAAGUUAUUGCUGGGCAUGCUGAUUUCUACGCCCUGCUAGCUUCUCGAGGCAUGACUACCGCUUUCCUGAAGGCCGGCUGCACGCAUGGGAAGAUUGUAAAUAGGCCGAACUUCAGCUUGUCACCGACAGAUUUGGUUGACAUCUCAAGCCUAGCCCGAAGCAUAGGAAACAGAUUUAUGACCCAGAUUUGGGUAAACGGCGGGCGAAAAAUGGCUGGUGACGAAGCUCGGAGCCACCUUAUGCCGGUGAGAAACUUAUACUUGUUACUUUUACCUUCUCCUUGAAAUUUGCACCUUUCUCAUUCUGUUUUAAUAUGUGCAGGAUGAUGAAGCUGAAGAAUGACGGGCUAAAGUUUAACAGUUGCUGUAAAAGACUUUUCUGCAAAAAAUUCUGGAGAGAUCUUUGUAAUAUAAUUGUAGAAAAAACUUAUGUAAAUUUGUGCAUACCUUGUAAUAUAUCUUUUUUCCUUUAUCCAUGUACGAUCUGCUUUGCUGUGAACGAAAUUUUACUUUUGAGCCGAAGGCGAAAAACACCUUCCCUUCUUUUCGUACACAACGAAGCAUGAAAAUUUCCUCUUUCUCCGAAGCAUCUGCCUUUUUUGUGUGGUAUGAUGAUAAUGAUCCUAUAUAUGUCUAAAUGAAUGUUUAUGAAUGCAAAUGUCAUGAUGUAAUGUAUCGUGCAAAUGAAUAUCCGAAUGUAUAUUCAAAACCAUAAUCAUAGCCUUCAUUCCCUUGGAAUGACUCAAAUCUUUUUGCCAUUUAUUUUUCGGCUUCACCGUUUACUUUUCGGUGUAUCAGCGCUGACUUUUCUCUAUAAGCCUCCCUUAGGAGCUUCUUCGCCUUUUACUUUCGGCGGAAUCAGCGUUUAUUUUUCGUUGUAAGCCUCCCUUAGGAGCUUCUUCGCCUUUUACUUUCGGCGGAAUCCGCGUUUAUUUUUCGCAGUAAGCUCUGCAUUCUUAGGAACGACUUUUGAGCUUCUCCCUGUUUUCUUUUCUUUUUCCUUUGCACUCGAUGGUGCGUUCUCAGCUUUUACAUUUACAUCUUUGGGGGAUAUCACUCUUAUAGAAUUGAAAUAAGGAAAAGAAAAAUUACAUGUUGUGGCCCCAUUAAAAACCUUUCUCCCCCUUUGGAAAGGAAAAGGGUGCCACAAGAAAGAAUAGAAAAAACUACAUUAAGCUAAACAUAAUAUCGCCGAAGCUCGUCCGCAUUCCAUGAUCUAGGAAUGUCGUUGCCGUCCAUAUCCUUCAAUCUGUAGGAACCGGGUCUUGACGAAGAUACUACCAGAAAAGGUCCUUCCCACUUCAGCUGUAAUUUGCCUACUGUCUCUGGGUUGGCUACUCUUCGAAGCACCAAAUGUCCUGGUUCAAUGUUCUUUAGCCUAACCUUUCUAUCACACCAUUUUAUUGUUUCAGCUUGGUAUUUGUUGAUGUUUUCCACAACUUGAAGCCCGAUCCCCUCUAUAGCAUCUUUUUCCACAGAGUAAUCAGCUUCAGCUUCGUCUUCUGCCGAAGCUACUAUUCUUAUUGAUCCUGCUUUGGCUUCUUCCGGAGUUAUUGCUUCAUCACCAAACAAUAGUUUGAAUGGUGUAAAGCCUGUUGAUCUUGAUACUGUUGUGUUGUGGCUCCACACCACUUUGAUUAAUUCGUCUGGCCACUUUCCCCUGGGCUGAUUGAAGAUUAACUUCAUUAUUCCUGUCAUUAUGAUGCCAUUAGCUCUUUCAACAAGUCCAUUUGACUCCGGAUGUCGAGUUGAUGCGAAAUGGAUCUUCGUGCCAAUUUGAUCGCAAAAUUCUCUAAAAGCUUCGGAAUCAAACUGCGUCCCAUUAUCCACAGUAAUAGCCUUCGGCACUCCGAAGCGACAAACAAUGUUUUGCCAGAAAAACUUUUGAAUAGUGACUGAAGUUAUUGUGGCUAAAGGCUUUGCCUCAAUCCAUUUAGAAAAAUAUUCCACUGCCACUACAACAUAUCUUAAGUCCUUGUGCUGGUGGUAACGGACCUAACAAAUCAAGGCCCCACCUUUGCAACGGCCAAGUGGGUUGUAUUAACUGAGUUAAAGACGAAGGUUGUUUUUUAUCUCUUGCACAUUUCUGACAACCUUCGCACUUUUGGACUAAUUCUGCUGCAUUCGAAGCUGCCUUUGGCCAAUAAAAUCCUUGACGAAAAACUUUUCCAAGCAAAGGCCUAAAUCCAAUGUGAGAUCCACACAGGCCUGCGUGUAUUUCCUUCAUCAAUUCUAUACCUUCGGUUCUGGAUAAACACUUGAGUAACGGAGAACAGACCCCAUGCUUGUAUAGUUCCUCUUCUAUUAUAACAUAUGGUCGAGCUCUUGCCUCUAUCCUCCUGUUAUAAGCUUCAUCAUCUGAAAGAAAGUUACCCUGAAGGAAAGAGAUGAUCUCAGUUCUCCAGUCUUCACUAUAGACAGGGGAUAUGUUGAGGACUGCUCUUUCAAGAAGCUCAACCGAAGGUGCUUUUAUUGUUUCGAAAAAUACUUCCGAAGGUAAGGGCAGCCCCUGUGCUGCUGACUUAGCUAAUAAAUCAGCAUAUUCAUUUUCUCCACGAGGAAUAUUUUUAACAGAAAACCCUUCAAAGGAAGCCUCAAUCCUUCGGACCGUGUCUAAAUAUUUUUCAAGCUUCGGAUCUCUUGCUUUAUAACUUUUGUCAAUAUGACCAGAAAUAACCUGGGAAUCAGUUUUAAGAACCGCCCUUCUGAUUCCCAUCGCCUUUAACUUCCGAAGACCCAAGAGCAAAGCUUCGUACUCAACAAUGUUAUUUGUGCAACUGAAAUCAAGUCUUGUUGCAUAACAAGUUUUAACUUUGGAAGGUGCGACCAACACAACAGCUGCUCCUGCUCCGAAGGUUCCCCAAGAUCCAUCGCAAAAUACUGUCCAAACUUCGGCAUCUUUACUUGUUUCUUCUUCCUGAGCCCCCAGCGUCCAGUCAGCAAUGAAGUCUGCCAAUGCUUGAGACUGAAUCGAAGAUCUAUGCACAUAAUCAAUACAAAAUUCAUUGAGUUUCGCAGCCCAUUUUCCAACCCUUCCAGUAGCUUCUCUAUUUCUCAUAAUAUCCUUCAACGGUUGUGAAGAAGGAACAACUAUAUUGUAUGCUUGAAAAUAGUGUCGAAGUUUCCUAGAGGCCAUCAAAACAGCAUACAACACCUUCUCCAAUUCUGUAUAAUUUUUCUUUGAUAAACUAAGAACUUCGGAUACAAAGUAUAUUGGGGCUUGCUUUUUGACUUGGCCUUCAAACUUCUCCUGGACAAGUGCUGCACUUACCGCUGAGUGCGAAGCUGCCACAUAUAACAACAGAGGAGCCCCUGGCGUUGGUGGAGUUAGUGUUGUUAGGUCUAUCAAAUAUUGCUUCAGCUCUUCGAAGGCUCUCUGUUGGACUGGUCCCCAUUGAAAAACUUCGGCUGACUUCAGCACUUCGAAAAAUGGUAAAUUUCUCUCUGCUGAUCUAGAUAUAAAUCUGUUGAGAGAUGCUAGUCUUCCUGUCAAUCUUUAAGCCCCCUUCUUUGUACUUGGUGGUUCCAUUCGAAGGAUAGCUUCAAUUUUAUUUGGAUUAGCCUCAAUCCCUUUUGUUGAAACUAGGCAGCCAAGGAAUUUCCCUUUCUUCACUCCGAAGACACAUUUUUCUGGAUUCAACUUUAAACCGGCCUGUCUAAAAUUAGCGAAGGUCUCCUGCAGAUCAGCAAUGUGAUUAUCUUGCUUCGUGCUUUUUACAAUGAUAUCAUCAACAUAAGUUAGCACAUUUCUGCCUAUUUGAGAAUGAAGAACCUUCGUUGUCAUUCUGCUGAAGCUUCCUCCAGCAUUCUUGAGCCCCUCAGGCAUCCGAAGGUAACAAUAUGUUCCACUAGGGGUUAUGAAGCUGGUUUUUGGCUCAUCCUCCUUUUUCAUCCAAAUUUGAUGAUAGCCUGAAUAACAAUCCAGCAGACUCAUAAGCUCUGAUGAAGCUGCUGCAUCAAUUAGAGAAUCUAUCCUUGACAAUGGAAACUCGUCCUUCGGACAGGCCUUGUUGAGUUCAGUAAAAUCAAUACACAUUCUCCAUUUACCAUUAGCCUUUUUUACCAUAACAGUGUUAGCUAGCCAUUCUGGGUAUUUUACCUCUCUGAUAACUCCGGCACUGAGGAGUCUUUUCACUUCAUUCCGAGCACCUUCGGCCUUGUCAUCAGACAUCUUCCGAAGCCUCUGCUUUCUGGGUCUAAAGGAUGGAUCAACAUUGAGCGAGUGUUCAAUAACAUCCCUGUUGACUCCGCAAAGAUCAUUAGCUGACCAUGCAAAAACAUCUUUGUUGUUGAACAGAAACCUUAUCAAGGUUUUCUCCUGUUCUUCGGACAGUUGGGAUCCCAAUAGCACCUUCUGCUAUGUUAUGUCCUCACAUAAGAGCAUGGGCUUCGGCUGAUCGACUGAAGCAACUUUCUCCCUUCUAAACUUGUACUGCUCACAAGCUUUAGCUCCAUCUAUGUUAUGGAUUGCUUUUGAGUCUGUCCAGUUUCCUUUGGCCCUUCUGGCAGCUUCCUGACUUCCAUGAAUGGCAAUGGGUCCUUGGUCUGAAGGUAUCUUCAUGCAAAGAUAUGCUGGAUGAAGAAUUGCUUCGAAGGCAUUGAGAGUACCACGACCAAGGAUUGCAUUGUAAGGGUAUUCCAUGUCAACAAUAUCGAACACAACUUAUUCAGUCCUUGUGUUGUUGAUAAAUCCGAAGGUUACUGGCAUUGUGAUUUUUCCGAGUGCUACAAUCUGCCUUUCUCCGAAGCCACAAAGGGGAUGUGUGGCAUCAUGGAUCUUGUCUUCGGGCUCUUGCAUCUGUCUGAAGCCCUUAGCAAAUAUGAUAUCAGCUGCACUGCCUGUAUCAACCAAAACAUUAUGGACCAGAAAUCCUUUGAUCACACAAGAGAUAACCAUAGCAUCAUUGUGUGGGUAAUCCUUGAGCUGAAGAUCCUCUUGAGAAAAGGUAAUUGGAUGUGAGACCAUCUUGAUUUGAUGAAGGGUCCUUGUACCCCUACGUGUUGUACUCUUCUCUAUGCCUCCUUCUUCUGUUUCUUGUUGGCCGGCUCUGAGCAUGAACCGUCUGUUAUCGGGAGAAUCAGCUUCGGAGCCGAAGCAGUUCCAUCUUGAUUCUUUGCCGAAGCCAUCAGCUCAAAAAAGUGGAAGUGAGUUCACCGGAGGUGGGCGCCAAUGUUGGGGACUUGUUCUCAAAUGCUAUGAAUUAAGAACAAGGCAACAUAAAAUGUUAAAUAUCAAAGCCCUUCGUCCGCUGAAGCAUUAUUUCCCUGAGGAUUUAAUGAGCUUCGGACGAAGGUCAUAGAUGAUGAACUAUGAAGGUCUUACCUUCAUAGUCAGAAGUAAAAUAAUGCGAAAUAAAAUAUGAAGUAUAAAAUGUUAAAGAAUAUUAAGAAUGGAUAACAUCAUUUACUCAUUUUACAAUAUAAACUGAGAUAUUAAAACAUGAUGUUUGGUUACAUUUAUACCUUUGCCUUGACAAAGAGCAAUAAUUCCAGAGUAAUGCGUUAGCAGUUACAGGAUUGCGUGAACAGUAAAAGAAUAUUGUUCACUAUUUAUAGGCACAGGACACAGCCUGUAAGGAAUUACAAUCAUGCCCCUUAUAAAAGUUUACAACAAUGACUCAGACCCUUAUGGACUAAAAGGUCAUUCUAUCUUUAAGUCGGUUCGAUCCUUCAUCUUCGGAUAUGCUAUAACACCGAAGCUUCAUGAGUGGUAGCUUCGGCAUCACGUAUAAGCAGCUUUAGCCGAAGCUGUUUCUUUCUGCAAGACCUUCGGCGAUGAAGCAUGGUCCCAACAGGUGUCCUCGUGGAAGCCUUUUGCGCUGCCAUUAUCGGAGCUAGCAGAGCAGGUACCAAUAAUGUUUUAAAUGUCUGGGUAAGGGCCUUAGGGGCAAGCUUUUGGAUAAGCUACAAAGGCUAUAGCCAGCUAUAGCUAUGAGCUAAAUGUUGGAACUUGCUACCAGGUGCAAGGGAAUCCAACGGGGGUGAGAGUUGACGUAAACAGGGUUCUCGCACGAGAUGGCAAAAGCUCUGCUAAUCUAGCAUCUCGAGGGCACUGUGCGGGGGUAUUUAUAGGUAUCCAAGUGCCCAGCGUCCUGUGUUAAGGACGCAUGUGCCCUCAGACACCCAGGUUAUCCCCGGAAUAUUCCCAUAAAGUGGGGUUACAGACCGUAAUUACAGGGAUGCCUUUACAAAUUAGGCCCGUAACGCGCAGCGGCCACGCAGGGCCUGUUACAAUGGGCCGGAUCACACGUGGGCCUCCAUGCUGGACGAGGUCGCAAGAUGGGACGACCUCGUCGCAGGUCUUCAUCCGAUGACGUAUGGGACGAAGGGUGAGCCUGUCCGUUGUCUUGUCUCCGUUGGUCCAACGAUUGCGGCGAAGGCAUCGAGCGAAGGGUGGCGUCUUCGCCUUCGCCCCAACAUUUGCCCUCCGAGGGACCAGUUCGACUAAGUCAUCUGGUGCCAAAGACGUCGCUAGAUGGCGGAGACGCUGCCCUCGCUCGAAGUGGUUCCGCGGGGGUUUUUGACAUGACCGUUGAUUGACACCGUACUGUUGGACUACGGGUUUCCCGAAGCGCCGCGCCCUGUGUAUAAAAGGGGGCGGGGGCGGCGCGUUUUGAACUUUAUCUUUCCGCGCCCCGUGAAAACCCUAGCCACCUUUUCCACCUUCUUGCUGCUCGUCUGCCCUCCUUGCUCCUGUUCGCCGGAGAUCUGGCCCGAGUGAAGCAGACCGCCCGCCGCCGCCGACGGUACGUAGCGAUGCCGACCUCUUCUUCUUCUGCUGCCGCUACGCCGCCGGCCGACGCGUUGUCUGAGGAGACGCUGAGCACUGUGGCGGCGGAGGAGUUGCGCGCCGGCGAUACGGUGUAUUUCGGUGUGUCGCGGAUGUCCUCAGUCCGCGUGCAAGAUAUGCAGCAUCUUGGUUAUUUUGGCGGCGGAGUCGCUCGUGUCCCGGGGACGGAGGAGGUCCCCGAGCCGGAAGGCGAGUUGGUUGUGUUCGAGGCGUUCUUUGCCGCUGGUCUUCGCCUGCCUGCGCACCAAUUUGUGGGAGAAGUCCUGCGCAGAUUUAACGUUCAGAUCCAUCAGCUGACUCCGAAUGCCGUGGUGGCUCUGUCGAAGUAUGUCUGGGCGACGACUUCGUACGGCGGACAGCCAUCAGUCGAAGUCUUCGCGAAGUACUAUUGCCUGCACUGGCAGAAGAGGAUGAUCGGAAAUGAAGUUGCCCAGUUUGGGUCAUGUACGUUUACGCCGAAGACCGGCAAGACCUCGAUGGAGGUAGUUGAGUUGGUUCCUUGCGCCCGCAACAAGUGGGGCAACUGGCAUGAGUUGUGGUUCUACGUCGUGGAGGGCAUAGUCGAAGACCAUAUGGGGCUCCCCGUGUCCGAGAUGUGCUCGCAUUAUUACUUAGCAUACCCGCCGUUUGAAGUGGCGGAGGAGGAUGCGGACGAAGGGGCCCUUCGGUGUGCCGCCGGCCUGAGCAGCGGGCGCGACUUCGUUGAGGAGUUUGUGGCGUACGGGGUAUGGCCUUUGGCGCAUGGCUGGGCGUUGGGUGAAGUAUGCCCUCGCCAGAUGCCUUCCCAUGGUGGAAAGCUGGUGCGAAGUCCCGCCUUCGCGUUGGAUCUGCAUAGCCGCGAUCCGGCCGCCUUCGUGCGUGAGGCGGAGGAUGGGGCGGUGCAGAUCGUCGGUCGGUACGUGCCGAAGACAGAGGGCCAGCGUAGCUGGGAUAUUCGUGGGUCUAACGACCGCUUGAACAGGGUUUUUGAGUUGAACCGUCUGCCUUAUGGCGGUUAUCCCGGUCAGGACGAUGUGGAUCGUCGCGGGAAGAAGCCGGUGGUAGAGACUGGAGACGACCCCGCGUCGGCGGCCGCCCCAUCCUCUAAGAAGAGGAAACUAGGUAUUGCUAUGGGAGGACUGGGGGUUUCUGAUGGUUUUGCUAGGGAAUUGAUGAGGACAUGCGCGGCCCCGGGGGGAAGGAUGUCUUCGCUCGAGCUCCGGGAGUCUUCGGCGCGGAUGCUGAGGGUUACCGGGGGUUGGUGGCCUAGGAAUGUUCCUAUCCCCCACGCGGUCGGCGAAGACUUUUUUACAUCUCGCAUGGUUCGCGCUUGGAAAGUGUUUCCUUACGGGUGGAAUAUUGCUGCUGUUGUGUCGGCAGUGAUGGACAAAGAUCGUCAAGGAGCUGCGCAGAAGCGCCAGGCGAUCAUCAGGCUUCAUGAUGCCAGGCCGAAGAGGCUGCGGGGGGCUGCGAAGGCUGCUGCCCCUGGCGAAAGUCAGCCGCCGCUGGCGGUGAAGUCGGCCGCCCCUGCUUCCAGCAGGGCGCCGGAGGCUGCGAAGGCUGCUGCCGCCGGUGGUUCCAAGUCUGCGAAGGCCGCCCCUAUGUCCAGCAGGGUGCCGGAGGCUGCGAAGGCGGCCCGAGAGUUGCCGCCGCCGGGCAAGCGCGUCGCCGACUUCGCCACCGACAUUAGUGUGGACGAUUAUCUUGUUGGUAUGUCGUUGGCUCAAGUUUUUUUAAUCUGUUGAUAUGUUGCAGGGUCGAACGAAGGCCAACUUGUUGUUGUUCCGCCUGCCGUGGCGACCGCGGCGGCUGCCGUGGUGCCCAGGGCGAAGGGCAGUGCUCUUAGUGCCGGCGGCGAGAUACCGGCACUCGCUGCCGUCAGGGACGAGGCGGGUGCUAUGUCCCGCCGGCUGAAGGAGAUGAAGGAGGCACUAAGUCAGGUACGUUGAGCUAGACUUUGGUUUUUUACCGGCUUCGUUGGGGCUGUGGCCUUAUGUGUGUCUUGUAGGCGGCUGACUUCACAGACCGCACGGCUUCCGGGGCCCUCACGGCAGUUGUGUCUGCCGAAGUCGAGAGACUUCGGACGCAACAUGCUGACGCCGUCCGGGAAAAGUCGGCCGCCGACAGUAAAUGCCGCAAGCUGGCGGAUAAGGUGGCCGCGCUGGAGGGUGAGAAGACUGACCUCCGGCGCCAACUGACGGAGGAGAGGAAGGAGGCUAAUGAGGCCCUCGCCAAGGCGCAGUCUGCGCAGGCAGAGGCCAAUUUGGCACGGGCGGAGGGCAGUCUUGCCAGGCAGCGCGCCGAGCAGUUGGAGGAGCGGCUCAGCGCUCUACAGGCCCGAGUGGAGAGGGCCGAGGCCUCGACGCGCUCGGAGGCUGAGCGGACACGGAAACAGCUUAUGGAUUCAUACCAUGAGCUGGGCGCGCGGACCGCUGACUUCAAGGUGCCGGACAGAGAGCCCGGACUUUGCUGCCUCGAGUGGAUACAGGAGGAGUUGCUGGCGCUUCCCGCCAUCGUGGAGGGGUUUAUGUCAUAUGCCUCCCUGGUCACCUGCGAGGGGGCGAUGAACGCGCUCUCUCGCGAAGGGUGCCGGCACUAUGAGGUCUUCGACCAAGCUGAUGAGGAUUUCGAGCGCGAUAUUUACAAGGUUGAAGACCCUGUGGUGAAGGAAUCCGCGGGAGCCCUCUACGACCGGAUGUGGGGCCCCCACGGUCAAGAGGUGGUCAGGGAGUGGGCCGAGACGGCGAGGGGUCAGGUAAUGUUUGGCUUUUGUUUGGUGUUAGUUGAAUGUGGGCUAUAUGUGGGUUUGCUGAAUCUAUGUGCUGUGCCUCAAGCGGCGCGUGGCGAGAGGGUGGAUGACUUUGGGGCUUUGAACAGCGUGCUGCCCGACCCGGAGCCGAACCCGGCGGUGGCUGUGUCUGAGGCCGCCCUGCAGCCGCCCCCGGAAACCGCCGAGGGCGUUCCUGAUGCCCCCGCAGCCACUGCGGCCGGCGGAGGCCCGUCGCCAACUGCCGCUCCGAGGGCUGAGGAUCCUGUGGAGGUGGCGGCGGAGUCGACCGCGGAGGAUCCCGCGACGGUUGGGUCUUCGCAGGUGGCGUAGUGGGUGUAGGUAGUUAGGGAAUUUUGGAUAUGUUGCUGAAUCUUGGUUGUUGCGCAGGUUCAAGAUUUUGGGCCUGCGCACGCAACCGCUACUACUAAUUUGUUGGCGGCUUCGACCGUGGAUGAUGGUAAUAAAUCGGAUGGGUCUGCAUCUAAGUUUUCUGAUUUUGGUGACUCUGGGAGCUCGGUUGAGUGGACUGAGGAGUCGUCGGAUGAGGACUUGGACUACUUUGCGGCCUUGGAUGUGGCAGCGGCGAAGGCUUCGCCGCAUGCUGCGGAUGCUGAAGUUGUGCCUGGUCCGAGUACUGGGCGUAGGCGGCGAAGGGCGGUUGCGAAGCGUAGAGUGAGUGGGGUGGACGGCGGUCGGCUUCGUGUGAGUAGGGCUGGCAGGCAGGAACUGUUGUCCUUGCCGGCCGCCAUGAGUGCAGGUGAGGGGGAAUUGCGAAGUCUUUUUGCGGGUGAGGAGCUUAGGAUAAUGUUAUUUAACUAUAGGGAGAUGGGAAUUAUUCCGAAGGUUGAGCCGAUGUAGAGUGUGAUGCCCUCGCUUGUACAUGUGUAAUGGCUUGUAUGAUGAAGUUGUGUGCCCUCGCACAUUCGGCUAUGCUCGCGAAGGCGUUACGUACUUGGUCUGGUGUAUUUGUUAUGCUGGUCUGGUGCGCAGGUAGUCGGUCUUUGUGCGGACAGUUUGGUGUAGUCGUUUUCGCAUUUGUUACGCUUCGUCCGGCUGUGCCCUUAGGCAACUGUUGCUCGGAUAGUCUUCGCGGAGGACUUCAAUUUUUCGCACUUGUUGCGCUAGCCCGGCUGCACCCGUAGGCGACUUCUUCACGGAUAGUCUUCGCGGUAGACUUUGGUUUUUCGCACUUGUUGUGCUAGUCCGGCUGCACUCUUAGGCGACUUCUGCACGGAUAGUCUUCGUGGUAGACUUCGGUUUUUCGCACUUGUUGUGCUAGUACGGCUGCACCCUUAGGCGACUUCUGCACGGAUAGUCUUCGCGGAAGACUACGAUUUUUCGCACUUGUUGUGCUAGUCCGGCUGCACCCUUAGGCGACUUCUGCACGGAUAGUCUUCGCGGAAGACUACUAUUUUUCGCACUUGUUGUGCUAGUCCGGCUGCACCCUUAGGCGACUUCUGCACGGAUUUGUCGCACGCGAGGGUGGCUAGCGCUGAGCCUCGCGGUGACUUUGUAUUGGUCGAAUGUCGAAGACCGUCGGCGCGGUCUUUUUUCGACGCAGGUUUUUGCGGGGGAUUUUUCACUUGUAUAUUACAUGACUCCGCCUCGUUAAAAACCUCACCCCCCGGGAGGAAAAGAGUGCGGGCCAGAAUAAAAUUGUUUUUGCGAAUUACAAGGGCGAAUCAGCCCUGAUGAGUCAAACAAAAAAUUUGCGGAGAUUGUCGAUGUUCCAGGAGUGCACCAGGUCUUCGCCGUUUGGCGUUGCGAGCCUGUAAGCGCUGGGGGAGGCCUUCGUCUUGACAAUGAAAGGGCCCUCCCACUUGGGCUCCAGCUUGCCCCUGGACUCUGUCCGAGCUGUUCGAACGAGUACGAGGUCCCCUUCGCUGAAUUCCCUCGGGAUGACUGUGUGGUCGCGCCACGCUUUAGUCUGGGCUUGGUAUUUAUUUUGAGCCUGUAGGGCGAAGACUCGGUCUCCAUCGAUGAGAUCCUUCGAAGUGGGCUCGUCCACGUCGGGGACGGCUGACGGAACUGUUCGCGGGGACCCAUGUUUUAUUUCUUGCGGGGUCAUGGCCUCCGAUCCAUAUAGAAGGCGGAACGGGGUGAACCCGGUCGCCCUGCACUGAGUCGUGUUUAGCGCCCAGACCGCCUCGGGUAACAAAUCGGCCCACCUGCCCUUUUUUGUCGAGGAGCAUCUUUUUGACAGCUGUGAAAUUUUUUCCAUUGGUGCGUUCCACAACUCCGUUGGACUGCGGGUGAUAUACUGAGGCGAAGGCAAGCUUGGUGCCAAUGGAGAAGCAAAAAUCCUUGAAGUCUUGGCUGUCAAACUGCUUGCCGUUGUUAACUGUUAGUUCGGACGGUACUCCGAAGCGGCAAACAAUGUUUUGCCAAAAGAAUUUCUGUGCAGUCUUUGAUGUUAUUGUGGAAACAGCCCUCACCUCGAUCCAUUUGGUAAAGUAUUCGACAGCGACGAAGGCGAACUUAAGGUUCCCCUGAGCCGUGGGCAGGGGCCCGACGAUGUCCAGGCCCCAGCGCUGGAGAGGCCAUGUGUGGGCGAUCAGUUUUGUGAAUUGCGAGGGGCUGCCUGAUCGAGGAGAAAACUUCUGGCAGGCUUCGCAGGACCUUGCAACCCGAUUUGCGGCGCAGAUCAUUGCGGGCCAGUAGAAACCUUGGCGGAUCACCUUUGCGGCUAGGGCCCUUGGCCCUGCGUGAGAGCCGCAAGUACCACUGUGGACUUCGCGCAGGAUUUGGACGCCUUUGGUCUCGACGACACAUUUAAGCAUUGGCUGACUGAUCCCUUUCUUGUAGAGUUGGCCCUCAAUCAGUGCGAAGUCCCAGCUUCGAUGUUUGAGGCGCUUGGCCUCGUUGAUGUCGGUUGGGUGGUAGUACCCCUGUAGGAACAGGGUUAUUGGUGCCCGCCAGUCUUCGGUCAUAAUAAGGUUGACUAUGCGGUGGCCCUCGCUGUCAUUGGUUAUUUGGAGCCCUUCGGGGCUCUGGACGGCUGGCGUGCCGAUGACAUGGUAGAACACGUCGGAGGGCAGGGACUCGCCUCUGGCGGCAGCCUUGGCCAAUGCGUCGGCCUCUUCAUUCUUGGCCCGGUCCACAUGCUGCAAGGUGAAUCUCUUGAAUUUUCUCUCGAGACUUCGGAUGGCCGCGAGGUAUUGCAUAAGUGCGGGGUCCUUUGCUGCAUAGUAUUUUUCGACUUGGCCGGCAACUACCUUGAAGUCUAUUCUGAUAAUGCAGGUGGUGACACCAAGGGCCUGCAGCUUGCGGAGGCCGAGAAUGACUGCUUCGUAUUCUUCUAUGUUGUUUGUGCAUCUGUCAGACUCCAGAGCGAAGCUGAGGCGUGCCGCGUAUCUGUGCUUGACCCCGGCGGGUGAGGUGAUGACUGCAGCGGCGCCUGCCCCCGCGUGGCACCAUGCGCCGUCGCAGUGAAUCGUCCAAACCUUCUCUGCGGACAGGUCCGGCUGUAUUAUUGGCCCAGUCCAGUCGACGACGAAGUCUGCCAGGACUUGUGACUUGAUGGCUGUACUGGGCUCGAAGUUGAUGUGGUAGCCGGAUAGUUCGGCCGCCCACUUGGCAAUCCUGACCGAUGCCUCCGGGUUUCUGAACAAUUCACCUAGUCCCCUGUCUGAGGUGACUCGGACCUUGAAUGCUUCAAAAUAAUGGUGCAAUUUGCGCGAAGACAUAACAACUGCGUAGGCAAUCUUCUCCAGUUCUGUCAUGUUACAUUUGGAUGGUGUCAGCACUUCGGAGACGUAAUAGACUGGGCACUGCCUGAUCACACCCUCAACUGUCUGCUCCUACACCAGUGCCGCGCUGACCGCAUGUGGCGAGGCCGCAACAUAGAGCAACAGGGGUAGCGAAGAGUCGGGGCUUGUAAGGACGACCAACUCCGACAGGUACUCUUUUAGUGAGGCGAAGGCCGCUGCCUGCUCUAGUCCCCAAGCGAAGUCUUUUGCGCCACGGAGAGUUUUGAGGAAAGGGAGACUUCGCUCAACAGAUUUGGAGAUGAAUCUGUUGAGGGCGGUCAACCUGCCCGUCAGGCGCUGGACGUCUCUGACGGACUGCGGAGGCGUCAUGUUGAUGAUGGCCUGAAUUUUGGUUGGGUUGGCCUCGAUGCCGCGGUGUGAUACCAGGUAGCCCAAUAUUUUCCCUUGGCGAACGCCGAAGACGCACUUGUCCGGGUUCAGGCAAAGUCGUGCGUCUCGCAUGUUCACGAAUGUCUCGGCGAGGUCGGCGAGAUGGUCCUCCUUGCUCUUGCUGACGACGAUGAUGUCGUCCACAUAUGUGAAUAUAUUUCUGCCAACUUGCCCCUCGAGCACUGUUUUGGUAAGCCGGGAGAAAGUGGAUCCGGCGUUCUUGAGUCCCUCCGGCAUUCUGAUGAAGCAAUAUGUGCCGAAGGGUGUUAUAAAGCUGGUGCUAGCCUUGUCUUCCUCCUUCAUGUAUAUUUGGUGGUAUCCGGAGAAGCAGUCUAGGAGUGACAUGACUUCGCAUCCGGCCACGCUAUCGACUAUUUUGUCGAUCCGCGGCAACGGGAAGUUGUCCUUUGGGCAGGCCUUGUUGAGACUGGUGAAGUCGAUGCACAUUCGCCACUUGCCGCUCUUUUUCUGCACCAUCACAACGUUGGAGAGCCACGUGGGGUAAGCCACUGGCUCCAUAAAUUUGGCUUCCAGGAGGCGGUGUACCUCUGCCUUGGCGGCCUCUGUCUUCUCGUCGGACAUUUUGCGAAGCCGCUGUUUUCUUGGUCUCACCGAAGGGUCGAUUCCCAAGCUGUGCUCAAUUAUGGAUCGGCUCACCCCGACCAGGUCGAGGGCUGACCAGGCGAAGACGUCUUUGUUCUUGGACAAGCAGCAGAGGAGUUUCUCCUCUUCAUGCAAAGUGAGGUCUUCGCUGAUAGUGACUGUCUGCUUGGGCGUGGCCUGGUCGAGGGGAACAAUCUUGGUCCCGUCGUUGCUCUGCAGCUGUGCUUUGCCGUGCUCUUUGUCGGUUGGGCUGACGGACGCAGGGACCUCGCGCUGGGCCGUGAGGCAGUGCACAUUUCUUUGUCCGGGGACGAAGUCCCGCUCUAUGUUGCGCGCAGUCUAUUGAUUGCCGUAGACCGUGAUGGCGCCUAACGGACCUGGUAUCUUCAUGCACAGGUACAGUCCGUGAAUGGCUGCUUCAAAUUUGUUGAUAGAGCCCCGGCCCAUGAUGGCAUUGUACGGAUACACCAUAUCGACGAUAUCAAAGGUUAUUUGCUCAAUUCGGGCAUUGGGUGCUACACCGAAGGAGAGAGGCAACUCUAUUUUGCCGAUAGGAAAGGUGCCCUUGCCGCCGAAACCAUAUAAUGGGUUGUCUGAAGGCUUGAGCAAGCUGUGGCUUAUGCCCAUGAUGUCGAAGGCAUGGAGGAAAAUGAUGUCUGCUUGACUGCCAUUGUCGACUAGGACUUUGUGCAGGUCCCAGCCUGCCACACUGCAAUUGAUAACCAUGGCGUCGAUGUGGGGGGCGCUGCGCAGGUCGACGUCUCGUGCGUCGAAGGUUAGCGGUGCGUGGGACCACUUCGUCUGCACGACUGGGCCGGUGAUGGCGACGUGGUUGAUGCUGUGGUAGUGGUCCCGCUUCUGCCGCUUUGUGUCGAAGUCGGUGUUGGACCCCCCCAGUGAUCAUAUGAAUGACUCCGCGAUACGGCUGAUCGGCGAAGUCUUCUUGUUUUGGGGCGUGGGGGUGGGGAAUGUUCUGAUGUUGCUGGUGUGGAGGUGGGGGUGGGGGAGGUACGAUUUGUACUUCCUGGUGGUGUUGGUAUGCGUGGUGCGGUGGAUGCGGGGCGGGGGUGUGGAUGUAUGGUGGAGGGGGUUGCUGAUAAGUGUGCGCGACAACUCUGGGGUUGUCGGCUGGCUGCGCCCGUGCCAUCCUGUCUUUGGUGGCCUUCGUUUCUGGGCAGUCUUUGGUUUGGUGGGCGCAGUCUUCGCCAUGAAAAAGACAGUAGAACCGGCGCGGCGGCUGCGCGCGCCCCCGACCCCUACCGCGAGUUCCGUUUCCGCGGCCCUGGGGGAUACUCCUGGCGGCGAGGGGCGUCAGCAGCGGGGUGCUGGUUGGCGAUGUUGUGCACUUGCUGCUGAUUGUGGCCGUCUCGACCGGAGUCUGGCUGCGGAGUCCUCGUCCACGUGCGGCUGGACUGUGGAGCAUCUUUGGGUUUCCUCUGAGACUCAACCUUGCGCUGGUGGAGCUCUUCGGAUUUGGCAUAUUUUUCAAAGAGCUGAUAUAAUUCCUGGAGGUUCUUGGGCGUGUCCCUGAUACAGUGGCUGUAAAGGACGCCGACGCGAAGGCCACUGAUGGCGUAGUGGAUGGCGAUCUGGUCAUCAACUGAGGGCAGUUGUGACUUGAGUGUUAGGAACUUGCGGUAAUACUCCCGCAGAGUCUCUUUUUCCAGCUGCUUGCAGAGUGAGAGUUCGGCCAAGGCGUCGGUGUCUGGGCGGUACCCUUGGAAGUUGAGCAGGAAUUUGUCCCGGAGGCUUCUCCAGGAGUCAAUGGACAGCGGGGGCAACCUGGUGAACCAGGUGAGAGCUGGGCCUUCGAGGGCGAUGAUGAAAGACUUGGCCAUCGUGGCAUCGUCCCCUCCGGAAGAUGCAACGAUGACCUGGUAGCUCAUGAUGUACUGUGCUGGGUCCGUGCUGCCAUUGUACUUGGGAUAGGUCCCUGCCCAGAAGUUGGCAGGCCAGGGUAUCACUUGCAGGUGCGGUGCCAGGGGACUUCGCUCGUCGAGGUAGUUGACCCCUUGGAAUGGCGCGACGUGUGGGAAGGCGUGGUCGCGCUAGGUCUUCCAUUUGCGCGCGCUGUUGCAGGGGUGGCCCGUGCUGCAGGCCGAGGUGGCCUUAGCGCAUGUCUUCCAGUUGUGCGCGCUGUUGCAGGGGUGGCCCGUGCUGCAGUCCGAGGUGGCCUUCGCGCUGCAUCAGCGCGAUCUCCCGCUCGAGGUCCUAGGCCUUCUGCUCUUCGUCGCGUAUCAUUUGUCGCACCUUGGCUAGUGCGGACACGCGCUGGCGCUUGGCCUCCAGUAUCUCUUUUUGCCUCUGGAGAUUGCGGUUCUUGAGGCGCAGGGCGCGCAGCUGUAGCUGUUCUUCCGCUGAGACGCUAAGGACUUCACCGUCCUCGGUGAGGUCCGCGCCCUCCGGUGGGGCGAAGCCUAGGGGAGGCUGUGAUUGUCCUUCAAGGCCGCAGGUGCGGAGAGCGUCGUCUUCGCAAGUGUGGAGAACGUCGUCUUGAGUAGCCUCUUGGUGGGUGGAGUGGGUGAGGGCGAGGGCCUUGCCCUUUUUUGUGGCAAGCAGUGCUGCCUUCGCAGCCUCGUCAGCCUUCGAGUUAGCUUUCUUGGGUGCCAUCGCGGGUGGUUUUUUCGUAGCACGAAUGGUGGGCGCCAAAUGUUGGAACUUGCUACCAGGUGCAAGGGAAUCCAACGGGGGUGAGAGUUGACGUAAACAGGGUUCUCGCACGAGAUGGCAAAAGCUCUGCUAAUCUAGCCUCUCGAGGGCACUGUGCGGGGGUAUUUAUAGGUAUCUGAGUGCCUAGCGUCCUGUGUUAAGGACGCAUGUGCCCUCAGACACCCAGGUUAUCCCCGGAAUAUUCCCAUAAAGUGGGGUUACAGACCGUAAUUACAGGGAUGCCUUUACAAAUUAGGUCCGUAACGCGCAGCGGCCACGCAGGGCCUGUUACAAUGGGCCGGAUCACACGUGGGCCUCCAUGCUAGACGAGGUCGCAAGAUGGGACGACCUCGUCGCAGGUCUUCGUCCGAUGACGUAUGGGACAAAGGGUGAGCCUGUCCGUUGUCUUGUCUCCGUUGGUCCAACGAUUGCGGCGAAGGCAUCGAGCGAAGGGUGGCGUCUUCGCCUUCGCCCCAACAUUAAACCAUUUAACAGUUUUUAGGAAAAAGCAUGAUAUAACUUCAUAGAUAGUUUAAAUGUUCAACAUUUAAAUAUGACAGUUCAAACUAGUACUCCAAAUGUCCAAUAAUAAAUUAACAUGCAUGUAAAUUCAAUGACACAUAUGAAAGGCAUUGAAUCAUUAUCUAACAAAAUCAUAAACAUUAAGUUAAGGACCUACCCACAACUUGUUUUUGGGUCUUAAUGUUUCAAAGGUUAGACCCAGUAAAAGAAUUGCAGGUUAGACCCAUGCUCGAGCUCAAUCAUCAUGAGGCCUCGCAUCGUCAUGACGGAGAUGGAAUUAUCUAGUCUAGCUAUGAACUAUCUAUCACAUGAAAUCCGCAUUGGCGCAUGCUGUAAUAGCUGCAAGUAGUCUUGGCACUGGGGGCAUAUCGAGCUCCUGGAGGCCCUCGAGAACGCGGACAACGUCAGCCAUGGUCGGCCGGUCGCACUCGUCGUCUUGGAUGCACCAGAACACGACUUUGCACAACCUCUCCGCCUCCUCUAGGCUGAGGUCUCCCUGUACACGGGUCCACCAAGCCCUGCAGGUCUCCCUCGUGAAGCUUCAUGAUGGCCUGCACCGGGAAAUACGCCGUGGCGUGGUAGUAACUGCUCCUACUUAGAGCCUGCGGUGGCGUGUUCCUCUGCCCGGACACGAUCUCUAGGACCACCAUGCCGAAGCUGUAGACGUCCACCUUGGGCGUGAUGGGGACCCCGCUCAGCCACACCAGGGCGAGGUACCCUGCUGUCCCUCGGAACGUGGUCAGGACAGGACCCGGCUGAAGUCUCGGUCGACAAACGCCUCCAUCCCGAAGGCCGCGACCUUGGGCGCGAAGGACGCGUCGAGGAGGAUGUUCUCCGGCUUGAUGUCUGUUAGCUACCAGAGAAGGGGAAGGAGAAGGGAGCAGGGCGAUGCUAGGAAGAAGGAGGAAUACUUGGACAAGGGGAAGAAGAUAGGUAGAAUUGUUCUGUUCUUUUUCGAUGCCAUCUCCAGUUCGGAUACAGACAACAUAUAUCACAAUUCCAUGGGCCUGCCUAUUACAAGACUAAAGCACCCAAUCUGGGCUAGAAACCUUGUUGUUGGGCUUUAGCUUCCUUUUCACCCUUGGCUCCUGCAGCGCUCUAUCUGGAACAUUCAGUGACAUAGGUGAAAGGGAAUUAGGCUUACACCUAAGUCCUAAAUAAUUUUGGUGAUUGAAUUGCCCAACACAAAUCUUUGGACUAACUAGUUUGCCCAAGUGUAUAGAUUAUACAGGUGUAAAAGGUUCACACUCAGCCAAUAAAAAGACCAAGUUUUGGAUUCAAUAAAGGAGCAAAGGGGCAACCGAAGGCACCCCUGGUCUGGCGCACCGGACUGUCCGGUGUGCCACCGGACAGUGAACAGUACCUGUCCGGUGCACCAGGGGACUCAGACUCAAACUCGCCACCUUCGGGAAUUUCCAGGGCGACUCGGCUAUAAUUCACCGAACUGUCCGGUGUACACCGGACAGUGUCCGGUGCGCCAAGGGAGGUCGGCCUCAGGAACUCGCCAGCUUCGGGAAACGCCAACGGCUAGCCCGCUAAAAUUCACCGGACUGUCCGGUGUGCACCGGACUGUCCGGUGCGACUCCGGAGCAACGGUCAUCUCCGCGCCAACGGCUCUCUGCCGCGCAUUUAAUGCGCGCUCUGCGCGCGCAGGAGUCAGAAUCGCCCAUGCUGGCACACCGGACAUCAAACAGUACCUGUCCGGUGUGCACCGGACACCCAGGCGGGCCCACAAGUCAGAAGCUCCAACGGUCAGAAUCCAACGGCAGUGAUGACGUGGCAGGGGGCACCGGACUGUCCGGUGUGCACCGGACUGUCCGGUGUGCACCGGACUGUCCGGUGCGCCAUCGAACAGACAGCUCCACCAACGGCCACAUUUGGUGGUUGGGGCUAUAAAUACCCCAACCACCCCACCAUUCAUUGAUCCAAGUUUUCCACUUCUCAACUACUACAAGAGCUCUAGCAUUCAAUUCUAGACACACUAAAAGAGAUCAAAUCCUCUCCAAUUCCACACAAAGCCCUAGUGACUAGUGAGAGUGAUUUGCCGUGUUCAUUUGAGCUCUUGCGCUUGGAUUGCUUCUUUUCUUUCUCACUUGUUCUUGAGAUCACAACUCCAUUGUAAUCAAGGCAAGAGGCACCAAUUGUGUGGUGGCCCUUGCGGGGAAGUUUUGUUCCCGGCUUUGAUUUGAGAAAAGAAGCUCACUCGGUCCGAGGGACCGUUUGAGAGAGGGAAGGGUUGAAAGAGACCCGGCCUUUGUGGCCUCCUCAACGGGGAGUAGGUUUGCAAGAACCGAACCUCGGUAAAACAAAUCUCCGUGUCUCACUUGCUUAUUCGCUUGGGAUUUGUUUUGCGCCCUCUCUCGCGGACUCGUUUACAUUUCUAACGCUAACCCGGCUUGUAGUUGUGUUUAUAUUUGUAAAUUUCAGUUUCGCCCUAUUCACCCCCCCUCUAGGCGACUAUCAAUUGGUAUCAGAGCCCGGUGCUUCAUUAGAGCUUAACCGCUCGAAGUGAUGUCGGGAGAUCACGCCAAGAAGGAGAUGGAAACCGGCGAAAAGCCCACUACAAGCCACGGGAGCACUUCAUCGGAAGAGUCCCGCACCAAGAGGAAGGAGAAGAAGAAGGACUCCUCCAAACGGAAGGAGAAAAAGUCUUCCUCUUCUCACCACAAAGAGAAGAAAGAAAAAUCUUCUUCUCACAAGCCGCAUCGGAAAGGGGACAAGCACAAAAGGAUGAGGAAUGUGGUCUACUACGAGACCGACACUUCAUCAACAUCAACCUCCGACUCCGACGCGCCCUCCGUCACUUCUAAGCGCCAAGAGCACAAGAAGUAUAGUAAGAUCCCCCUACGCUACCCUCGCAUUUCCAAACAUACUCCUUUACUUUCCGUCCCAUUAGGCAAACCACCAACUUUUGAUGGUGAAGAUUACGCUAGGUGGAGCGAUUUAAUGCGAUUUCAUCUAACCUCGCUCCACAAAAGCAUAUGGGAUGUUGUUGAGUUUGGCGCGCAGGUACCAUCCGUAGGGGAUGAAAACUAUGAUGAGGAUGAGGUGGCCCAAAUCGAGCACUUCAACUCUCAAGCAACAACAAUACUCCUCGGCUCUCUAAGUAGAGAGGAGUAUAACAAAGUACAAGGAUUGAAGAGCGCCAAGGAGAUUUGGGAUGUGCUCAAAACCGCGCACGAAGGAGACGAGCUCACCAAGAUCACCAAGCGGGAAACGAUCGAAGGGGAGCUCGGUCGGUUCCGGCUUCGCAAAGGGGAGGAGCCACAACACAUGUACAACCGGCUCAAGACCUUGGUGAAUCAAGUGCGCAACCUCGGGAGCGUAAAAUGGGAUGACCACGAGAUGGUUAAGGUUAUUCUAAGAUCUCUUAUUUUCCUUAACCCUACUCAAGUUCAAUUAAUCCGUGGUAAUCCUAGAUAUACUAAAAUGACCCCCGAGGAAGUUAUCGGGAAUUUUGUGAGUUUUGAGUGCAUGAUCGAAGGCUCGAGGAAGAUCAACGAGCUCGAUGAUGCCACCACAUCCGAAGCUCAACCCGUUGCAUUCAAGGCAACGGAGGAGAAGAAGGAGGAGGCUACACCAAGUCGACAACCAAUAGACGCCUCCAAGCUCGACAACGAGGAAAUGGCGCUCGUCAUCAAAAGCUUCCGCCAAAUCCUCAAGCAAAGGAGGGGGAAGGACUACAAGUCCCGCUCCAAGAAGGUUUGCUACAAGUGUGGUAAGCCCGGUCAUUUUAUUGCUAAAUGUCCUAUAUCUAGUGACAGUGACCGAGGUGACGACAAGAAGGGAAGGCGAAAGGAGAAGAAGAAGUACUACAAGAAGAAGGGCGGCGAUGCCCAUGUUUGUCGGGAAUGGGAUUCCGACGAUAGCUCAAGCGACUCCUCCGACGAUGAGGACGCCGCCAACAUCGCCGUCACCAAGGGACUCCUCUUCCCCAACGUCGGCCACAAGUGCCUCAUGGCAAAGGACGGCAAACGAAAGAAGGUUAAAUCCAACUCCUCCACUAAAUAUGAAUCUUCUAGUGAUGAUAAUGCUAGUGAUGAGGAGGAUAAUUUGCGUUCCCUUUUUGCCAACCUUAACAUAGCUCAAAAGGAAAAAUUAAAUGAAUUGGUUAGUGCUAUUCAUGAAAAGGAUGACCUUUUGGACUCCCAAGAGGAUUGUCUAAUUAAAGAAAACAAGAAACAUGUUAAGGUUAAAAAGGCUUAUGCUCUAGAAGUAGAAAAAUGUGAAAAAUUAUCUAGUGAGCUAAGCACUUGUCGUGAGAUGAUUGACAACCUUAGGAAUGAAAAUGCUAGUUUAAACACUAAGGUUGAUUCUCAUGUUUGUAAUGUUUCAAUUCCCAAUCCUAGAAAUAAUAAUGAUGAUUUGCUUGCUAGGAUUGAAGAAUUAAACAUUUCUCUUGCUAACCUUAAAAUUGAAAAUGAAAAAUUGCUUACUAAGGCUAAAGAUCUUGAUAUUUGCAAUGCUACAAUUUCCGACCUUAGAACUAAAAAUGACAUGUUACAAGCUAAGGUUGUAGAAUUAAAAUCUUGCAAAUCCUCUACAUCUAUCGUUGAGCAUGUAUCUAUUUGCACUAGAUGUAGAGAUGUUAACAUUGAUGCUAUUCAUGAUCAUAUGGCUUUAAUUAAACAACAAAAUGACCAUAUAGCAAAACUAGACGCUAAAAUUGCCGAGCAUAACUUGGAAAAUGAAAAAUUUAAAUUUGCUAGAAGUAUGCUCUAUAAUGGGAGACGCCCUGGCAUUAAGGAUGGCAUUGGCUACCAAAGGGGAGGCAAUGUCAAACUUAAUGCCCCUCCUAAGAACUUGUCUAAUUUUGUUAAGGGCAAGGCUCCCAUGCCUCAGGAUAACGAGGGGUACAUUUUAUACCCUGCCGGUUGUCCUGAGAGCAAAAUUAAAAGAAUUCAUUCUAGGAAGUCUCACUCUGGCCCUAAUCAUGCUUUUAUGUAUAAGGGUGAGACAUCUAGCUCUAGGCAACCAACCCGUGCUAAGUUGCCCAAGAAAAUUCCUAAUGCAUCAAAUGAUCAUGCCAUUUCAUUUAAAACUUUUGAUGUUUCUUAUGUGCUUACUAACAAAUCCGGCAAAGUAGUUGCCAAGUUUGUUGGGGGCAAACACAAGGGUUCCAAGACUUGUGUUUGGGUACCCAAAGUUCUUGUUUCUAAUGCCAAAGGACCCAAAACAGUUUGGGUACCUAAAGUCAAGAACUAAAUUUGUUUUGUAGGUUUAUGCAUCCGGGGGCUCAAGUUGGAUACUCGACAGCGGGUGCACAAACCACAUGACCGGGGAGAAAAGGAUGUUCUCCUCAUAUGAGAAAAACCAAGAUCCCCAACGAGCUAUCACAUUCGGGGAUGGAAAUCAAGGUUUGGUCAAAGGAUUGGGUAAAAUUGCUAUAUCUCCUGACCAUUCUAUUUCCAAUGUUUUUCUUGUAGAUUCUUUAGAUUACAACUUGCUUUCUGUUUCCCAAUUAUGUCAAAUGGGCUACAACUGUCUUUUUACUAAUGUAGGUGUCACUGUCUUUAGAAGAAGUGAUGAUUCAAUAGCAUUUAAGGGUAUGUUAGAGGGUCAGCUAUACUUAGUAGAUUUUGAUAGAGCUGAACUUGACACAUGCUUAAUUGCUAAGACUAACAUGGGUUGGCUCUGGCACCGCCGACUAGCCCAUGUUGGGAUGAAGAAUCUUCAUAAGCUUCUAAAGGGAGAGCACAUUUUAGGAUUAACAAAUGUUCAUUUUGAGAAAGACAGGAUUUGUAGCGCAUGCCAGGCAGGGAAGCAAGUUGGAGUCCAUCAUCCACACAAGAACAUCAUGACGACCGACAGGCCGCUUGAGCUACUCCACAUGGAUCUAUUCGGCCCGAUUGCUUACAUAAGCAUCGGCGGGAGUAAGUAUUGUCUUGUUAUUGUGGAUGAUUAUUCUCGCUUCACUUGGGUGUUCUUUUUGCAGGACAAAUCUCAUACCCAAGAGACCUUAAAGGGAUUCUUGAGACGGGCUCAAAAUGAGUUCGGCUUAAGGAUCAAGAAAAUUAGAAGCGACAAUGGGACGGAGUUCAAGAACUCUCAAAUCGAAGGCUUCCUUGAGGAGGAGGGCAUCAAGCAUGAGUUCUCCUCUCCCUACACGCCACAACAAAAUGGUGUAGUGGAGAGAAAGAAUCGAACUCUAUUGGACAUGGCAAGAACCAUGCUUGAUGAGUACAAGACACCGGACCGGUUUUGGGCCGAAGCGGUCAACACCGCCUGCUACGCCAUCAACCGGUUAUAUCUUCACCGAAUCCUCAAGAAGACAUCAUAUGAACUCCUAACCGGUAAAAAGCCCAACAUUUCAUACUUUAGAGUUUUUGGUAGCAAAUGCUUUAUUCUUGUUAAAAGAGGUAGAAAAUCUAAAUUUGCUCCUAAAACUGUAGAAGGCUUUUUACUAGGAUAUGAUUCAAACACAAGGGCAUAUAGAGUCUUUAACAAGUCCUCAGGACUUGUUGAAGUUUCUUGUGACGUUGUGUUUGAUGAGACUAACGGCUCUCAAGUAGAGCAAGUUGAUCUUGAUGAGAUAGGUGAAGAACAGGCUCCAUGCAUAGCGCUAAGAAACAUGUCCAUUGGGGAUGUGUGUCCUAAGGAAUCCGAAGAGCCUCCACAUGCACAAGAUCAACCAUCCUCCUCCACGCAAGCAUCUCCACCAACCCAAGAUGAGGACGAGGCUCAAGAUGUUGAACAAGAAAAUCAAGAAGAUGAGCCACCUCAAAAUGACGGCAACGAUCAAGGGGGAGAUACAAAUGAUCAAGAAAAGGAGGAUGAACAAGAACCAAGGCCGCCAUACCCAAGAGUCCACCAAGCAAUCCAACGAGAUCACCCCGUCGACACCAUCCUCGGCGACAUUCAUAAGGGGGUAACCACUCGAUCUCGUGUUGCACAUUUUUGUGAACAUUACUCUUUUGUUUCCUCUAUUGAGCCACACAGGAUAGAGGAAGCACUUCAAGAUUCGGAUUGGGUGGUGGCAAUGCAAGAGGAGCUCAACAAUUUCACGAGGAACGAGGUAUGGCAUUUAGUUCCACGUCCUAACCAAAAUGUUGUAGGAACCAAAUGGGUCUUCCGCAACAAGCAAGAUGAGCAUGGUGUGGUGACAAGGAACAAAGCUCGACUCGUGGCCAAAGGGUAUUCACAAGUCGAAGGUUUGGAUUUCGGUGAAACCUAUGCACCCGUAGCUAGGCUUGAGUCAAUUCGCAUAUUAUUGGCCUAUGCUACUUACCAUGGCUUUAAGCUCUAUCAAAUGGACGUGAAAAGUGCCUUCCUCAACAGACCAAUCAAGGAAGAGGUCUAUGUUGAGCAACCUCCCGGCUUUGAAGACAGUGAGUACCCUAACCAUGUCUAUAGGCUCUCUAAGGCGCUUUAUGGGCUCAAGCAAGCCCCAAGAGCAUGGUAUGAAUGCCUAAGAGAUUUCCUUAUUUCUAAUGGCUUCAAAGUCGGCAAGGCCGAUCCUACACUCUUUACUAAAACUCUUGAAAAUGACUUGUUUGUAUGCCAAAUUUAUGUUGAUGAUAUUAUAUUUGGGUCUACUAACGAGUCUACAUGUGAAGAGUUUAGUAGGAUCAUGACACAGAAAUUCGAGAUGUCGAUGAUGGGGGAGUUGAAGUAUUUUCUAGGAUUCCAAGUCAAGCAACUCCAAGAGGGCACCUUCAUUAGCCAAACGAAGUACACUCAAGACAUUCUAACCAAGUUUGGAAUGAAGGAUGCCAAGCCCAUCAAGACACCCAUGGGAACCAAUGGGCAUCUCGACCUCGACACGGGAGGUAAAUCCGUCAAUCAAAAGGUAUACCGAUCGAUGAUUGGUUCAUUGCUUUAUUUAUGUGCAUCUCGACCGGACAUUAUGCUUUCCGUAUGCAUGUGUGCAAGAUUCCAAUCCGACCCUAAGGAAUCCCACCUUACGGCCGUAAAACGAAUCUUGAGAUAUUUAGCUUAUACUCCUAAGUUUGGGCUUUGGUACCCUCGGGGAUCCACAUUUGAUUUGAUUGGUUAUUCGGAUGCCGAUUGGGCGGGGUGCAAAAUUAAUAGGAAGAGCACAUCGGGGACUUGCCAGUUCUUGGGAAGAUCCUUGGUGUCUUGGGCUUCAAAGAAGCAAAAUUCGGUCGCUCUUUCCACCGCCGAAGCCGAGUACAUUGCCGCAGGACAUUGUUGCGCGCAAUUGCUUUGGAUGAGGCAAACCCUGCGGGACUACGGUUACAAAUUAACCAAAGUCCCUUUGCUAUGUGAUAAUGAGAGUGCAAUCAAAAUGGCCGACAAUCCCGUCGAGCAUAGCCGCACUAAGCACAUAGCCAUUCGGUAUCAUUUUCUUAGGGAUCACCAACAAAAGGGGGAUAUCGAGAUUUCUUACAUUAACACUAAAGAUCAAUUAGCCGAUAUCUUUACCAAGCCUCUUGAUGAACAAACUUUUACCAAACUUAGGCAUGAGCUCAAUAUUCUUGAUUCUAGAAAUUUCUUUUGUUAGCUUGCACACAUAGCUCAUUUGAACACCUUUGAUCAUAUCUCUUUUAUAUGCUAUGACUAAUGUGUUUUCAAGUCUAUUUCAAACCAAGUCAUAGGUAUAUUGAAAGGGAAUUGGAGUCUUAGGCGAAGACAAAGGCUUCCACUCCGUAACCCAUCCUUCGCCAUCGCUCCAAGAAAAGGACCUUGUCCUUGGGGGAGAAAGUAAAAGCCCAAAGCAAAAGGACCGGAUUUCGUCUUUGGUAUAAUCUUAACUCGUUUACUUAUGACCAAAGGGGAAGAAAUUACUUCGAGGGCUCUAAUGAUUCCGUUUUUGGCGAUUCAUGCCAAAAAGGGGGAGAAAUGAGCCCAAAGCAAAAGGACCGCACCACCACCAAAUUCAAAAACUUAGUGCUUUCCAAAAGUAUUUAUCAAUGGGUAUCCUAUUGUGUUCAAAAGGGGGAGAAAGUAGUAUUUCAAAAAUGGUAUAUCAAAACCCUCUUGAACACUAAGAGGUGGAUCUCUUUUAGGGGGAGUUUUGUUAAGUCAAAAGAAAAGCAUUUGAAACAGGGGGACAAAAUUUCAAAUCUUGAAAAUGCUUUACAAACUCUUAUUCAUUUACCUUUGACUAUUUGCAAAAGAUCUUUGAAAUGAAUUUACAAAAAAUUUUGCAAAAACAAAACAUGUGGUGCAAGCGUGGUCCAAAAUGUUACAUAAGAAAGAAACAUUCCAUGCAUAUCUUGUAAGUAGUUAUAUUGGCUCAAUUCCAAGCAACCUUUACACUUACAUUAUGCAAACUAGUUCAAUUAUGCACUUCUAUAUUUGCUUUGGUUUGUGUUGGCAUCAAUCACCAAAAAGGGGGAGAUUGAAAGGGAAUUAGGCUUACACCUAAGUCCUAAAUAAUUUUGGUGAUUGAAUUGCCCAACACAAAUCUUUGGACUAACUAGUUUGCCCAAGUGUAUAGAUUAUACAGGUGUAAAAGGUUCACACUCAGCCAAUAAAAAGACCAAGUUUUGGAUUCAAUAAAGGAGCAAAGGGGCAACCGAAGGCACCCCUGGUCUGGCGCACCGGACUGUCCGGUGUGCCACCGGACAGUGAACAGUACCUGUCCGGUGCACCAGGGGACUCAGACUCAAACUCGCCACCUUCGGGAAUUUCCAGGGCGACUCGGCUAUAAUUCACCGGACUGUCCGGUGUACACCGGACAGUGUCCGGUGCGCCAAGGGAGGUCGGCCUCAGGAACUCGCCAGCUUCGGGAAACGCCAACGGCUAGCCCGCUAAAAUUCACCGGACUGUCCGGUGCGACUCCGGAGCAACGGUCAUCUCCACGCCAACGGCUCUCUGUCGCGCAUUUAAUGCGCGCUCUGCGCGCGCAGGAGUCAGAAUCGCCCAUGCUGGCACACCGGAAUCAAACAGUACCUGUCCGGUGUGCACCGGACACCCAGGCGGGCCCACAAGUCAGAAGCUCCAACGGUCAGAAUCCAACAGCAGUGAUGACGUGGCAGGGGGCACCGGACUGUCCGGUGUGCACCGGACUGUCCGGUGCGCCAUCGAACAGACAGCUCCACCAACGGCCACAUUUGGUGGUUGGGGCUAUAAAUACCCCAACCACCCCACCAUUCAUUGAUCCAAGUUUUCCACUUCUCAACUACUACAAGAGCUCUAGCAUUCAAUUCUAGACACACUAAAAGAGAUCAAAUCCUCUCCAAUUCCACACAAAGCCCUAGUGACUAGUGAGAGUGAUUUGCCGUGUUCAUUUGAGCUCUUGCGCUUGGAUUGCUUCUUUUCUUUCUCACUUGUUCUUGAGAUCACAACUCCAUUGUAAUCAAGGCAAGAGGCACCAAUUGUGUGGUGGCCCUUGCGGGGAAGUUUUGUUCCCGGCUUUGAUUUGAGAAAAGAAGCUCACUCGGUCCGAGGGACCGUUUGAGAGAGGGAAGGGUUGAAAGAGACCCGGCCUUUGUGGCCUCCUCAACGGGGAGUAGGUUUGCAAGAACUGAACCUCGGUAAAACAAAUCUCCGUGUCUCACUUGCUUAUUCGCUUGGGAUUUGUUUUGCGCCCUCUCUCGCGGACUCGUUUACAUUUCUAACGCUAACCCGGCUUGUAGUUGUGUUUAUAUUUGUAAAUUUCAGUUUCGCCCUAUUCACCCCCCCUCUAGGCGACUAUCAAUAGGUCUCAUAGCCGCGUCGUUGCUUGGACUGCUGACAGUACCCUGCCUUCAGCGGCAGCUUGUCCCCAAGCAGGCGCUGACGGGAAACGUUGUUAGAGAGCUUCCAAUUCCUCCCAGGUAGCCAGAGACUGAGGCAGAGACGACCAUUGCACCAGGCCUUGCUGCACCGCACGAACUCCGCGAGAUAUCACACGACGCUGUAAAAUAGCCACUGGAACUUGAAAUGGGUCAGUAAUAUCCGGUAUGUCAGCAGAUACUUGCGAUGGUGGUGGGAUGAACCGUUUCAGCUGGGAAACGUGAAAGACAAGGUGCACAGUGGAGGCCUUUGGUAAGUCCAGUUUGUAGGCAGAGGCACCAAUAUUGGAUAGCACCUGGUAUGGACCAAAGUAGCGAAAACACAACUUCUGGUUAGCACGGAGACCAGCGAGGUCUGGACAUACGGUUGAAGUUUCACAAAGACCUAGUCUCCCACUUGGAACGAACGCUCGGAGCGGCGCUUAUCCCCUUGGUGCUUCAUACGCUGUUUGGCCCGGUGGAGAUGUUGCUGCAACAGCAUGUGGAUACGCUUCUUAUCCUGGAGAAAUGCAGCUAAGUCAGAGGAAGAGGAAUCCAGUGCCUGAAUACCAAAGUGCCUGAAAACAUAUCCAUAGAGUGUUUCAAAUGGUUAUCUGUCAAUAGCAGAGUGGUGACUAGUGUUAUACCAAAAUUCUGCUAAGGCAAUCCAGCUGGCCCAUUUGGAGGGACAAGUGUUCACAAAGCAUCUCAGAUAUGUCUCGAGGCACUGAUUAACAUGCUCAGUUUGCCCGUCUGUUUGAGGAUGAUAAGCACUGCUCAUAUGGAGAUUGACUCCAGCCAGCUUGAAUAGCUCCUUCCAAAAAUUACUUGUGAAAAUUUUAUCACGGUCCGAGACGAUAGCAACCGGAAGUCCAUGCAUCUUGUAAACAUGCUGGAAGAAGGACUGGGCAAUGGUUAGAGCUGAAAAUGGAUGUGACAAUGGAAUGAAGUGCACAUACUUAGUAAAUAAGUCGACCACCACUAGUAUGCAAUCAAAGCGUUGGGACCGUGGCAACCCUUCAAUAAAGUCCAUCGAGAUUGUAUGCCACACAACUUUGGGCACUCGCAAGGGCUGGAGUAACCCAGGUAAAUGGGCUCAGUCUGGUUUUGCUUGUUGACAAGUGACACAGGCAGCCACCCAAUUCUGGACAAAAGAUUUGAGGCUCGGCCAUGCAAGUACUUGCUUGAGCUUCCUGUAAGUAACGGGCACGCCAGAAUGGCCACCAACAGGGCUAUGGUGGAAUGCUGCUACCAAUUUGUGGUGAAGUUGAGGGUUAGAGCCAACCCAAAUUCUAUUCUUGUACCUUAAAAGACCAUCUUUAAGGGAGAAAUGGUUAAUAGAGGAUUCAUCAAGUGAAAGUUUGGCCAACAUUUCCUGAGCCUUAGCAUCAUUCAAAUAAGAUUCGGCCACUGCUGACGCCCAUGAAGGAGCCAUUAUGGAAAUAGCAGCACAACUAGAGUCAUGAGAAGGCUUGCGAGAGAGAGCAUCAGCCGCAGUGUUGUCACUACCUUUCUUGUAAACUACCGAAUACUGUAGCCCCAACAGCUUAUAAAAGACCUUUUGUUGCCACACUGUGUGUAGACGUUGUUCAUUGAGGUGGAUUAAGCUCCUUUGAUCAGUGUGAAUGAUAAACCGGGCAUGUUGCAGAUACGUUCUCCAAUGGUCAAUGACCAUUAAUAUGGCGAGGUACUCCUUCUCAUAUGUGGAGAGUCCUUUAUUCUGUGGUCCAAGUGCCUUACUCACAUAUGAGAGGGGGUGUCCUCCUUGCAUAAGCACUACGCCGAUGCCUUGAUCACACACAUAUGUUUCGAGUAUAAAUGGUUGGGAGAAGUCGGACAAUGCUAAAACAGGGGCUUGGCUCAGUUUAGUUUUCAGACAAUGGAACGGAAUGUCAUGUUCUUGUGUCCAAAUGAACUUGGUAUUUUUCUUGAGCAGGAGAGUCAGUUGCUUCGAAAUAAUUCCAAAGUGCUGCACAAACUUCCUGUAGUAUGCCGCAAGACCAAGGAAACUACAGAGUUCCUAAAUAUUGGUAGGUGUCGACCAAUUAACCACUGUUGUAACCUUGUUUGGAUCUGUCUGAACACCAGUUUCGCUGAUCACAUGACCAAGGUAGGAUAUGGAACGAGUGGCAAAGGUACAUUUAGACAGCUUCACUUGCCACUGAUCCUUCUGCAAGAGAGAGAGAACUGUUGAUAGAUGCUCCACAUGAUCAUCGAGAGUUGAACUGUACACCAAUAUAUCAUCGAAGAAAACCAAAGCGAAUUUGCAAAGGACUGGCUGUAAUGUGGAGUUCAUGGCGCUCUGGAAUGUUGCUGGGGCACCAGUCAAGCCGAAGGCCAUAACACGUAAUUCAUAGUGGCCAUUGUGGGUUUGGAAAGCAGUUUUGAACUCCUCGCCCUCUUUCAGCAGAAUCUGAUGGAAUCUGGCUCGAAGGUCCAGACUAGAAAACCAACUCGCUUCUUGUAGUUCGUCCAUUAAUUCCUCAAUGAUAGGAACUGUGUACUUCCUCUUAAUUGUGAGUGCAUUUAGGUGUCUAAAGUCGACACAAAAUCUCCACGAUUGAUCCUUUUUGCAUACCAACAACAUAGGACUGGAGAACGGACUGCUGUUAUGCUGAAUAAUACCUGACGAAAGCAUCUCACUAACUUGUCGUUCGAUCUCAUCUUUGACAGUCGGGGCAUAACAGUAUGGCCUAAUAAACACUGGCUGGUAACGCUGAAUCAGAGGAAUGGAGUGAUCACAAGAGCGAUAAGGUGGCAUACCUUGGGGAAUAUCAAACACUGGCUGAAAAUGUUGCAAUACCGCAGAGAUUCUGGGGUGGAGCUCGACAGUUACUUGGUCGUUGUCCGUGGCAUCCAUCAGGUAAACCACAUGGAACAAUUCACUAUUGUGGGGCUGCUGACACUUGCCUUGAAGCACAAUAGUGUGGCCAUGGUAAGGAAGUGAUAACCAUUUUUCUGUCUAAUGAAUUUUCAUAGGGCUGAAUUGUUCGAGCCAAUCCAUUCCCAAUACCACAUCAUAAUUUAGUAAAGGAAAUACCCUGAAAUCUGUGAAGAAAUUGUAGCCCUGAACUGACCAUUGAAUUUGAAAAGCUCUGAAAAACUGUGAACAUGAAACAUUGCCUCCAUCUGCCACCUGAACAGUCACUGGGUGAGGAAGAGAUGAAAUACCAGAGAGCUUCACAGCUAAUGCAGAGCUAACAAACGAAUGGGAGCUGCCUGAGUCCACUAACAGUAUAACAGGAUGCCCUUGACACUCACCAGAUAGUUGUACAGUACGGCGAGAAGGAGUACCUGACAUAGCUGACAUUGACAAGGACAACAACUCACCUGAUGGUUUGGGUUCAGUUUCGGUUGUGUUUGUGCUGGAAUCUUCUUCAAUUAACUCCCACAAUUCUUGUAGAGCAUGAAGUUGAACUGUUGGUGCACAACGAUGGCCAGGCACCCAUUUGUCUGCACACCUGUCGCACAACCCACGAGCUCGGCGAUAUGCUUUCAGAGAUGCCAACUUUUCAUCCACCUGACGCUGGCGAGGAACUGCAUAUACUUUGGCAUGAUCAGCCACCACCGUCUCAGCUUGGGGAGGUCGGGGAAGAGGCAUCGGGGAUUGAGCUGGUCUUGUGGAAGGGGAGGAAAUAAACUUGCGAUAAUCAACCUGAGCCGGCUCUGAGACUUCUUCUUGCAGUUGGGCAAGAGCACAAGCAGUAUCGAGAUUUGGAGGACGUUGUAACAAAACAGCAGACUUAAUGUGAUCUUUUAAGCCAUCGAUAAACUGCAUAGUAUAGAAACGAGGGUCUGUGUGAGACUCAUAGGCCAACAACUGAUCAACUAUUCCAGAAAAUUGUUCAAUAUAAGUAGCUAUGGUGGUGGACUGUUUAAUGUGGAAAAGCUGUCGAAUCAGGGUGUCGUGCUGAUCCCGACCAAAGCGCUGAAGCAGUAAUCUAGUGAAUUCCGGCCAGGGGUAAAUUCGAAACUGAGGGCCUAAUGACUGCAACCAGCGGGAAGUCGGCCCUGUGAAAUGCAUGGUAGACACACGAAUCCAAGCGGUGGGAUCAACAUUGUAUAAAUCAAAGUAGUCUUUGCUACGAGUGAUCCAUAAACGGGGGUUGUCGCCAUCAAAAGGGGGAAACGGAACCUUUGGUAAGGGACCAAAAUUGGAGGACUGUGUGAACCCCUCUGUGUGCCCUCCUCCCAACCGAUGAGGGGAACCGAGAAGAUGGGAAAAUGUGGGUGAAUCGGACGGGAGCAUACCAUUGGGCGGGAGGUGGGUGGAUGCGAACAUGCGUCCAAAACCAGCCUCCCGAUGAUUUGAGUCUAAGUGGUGCCCGUCGGGGCCGUUAGUCCAUUCUCUGGUAGGUGGGCGCACGGGUGCCGACCCAAAUGUGCCGAGGAUGCCAGGCUUGAGGUGGUCCGGCUCUGGUGGACGGCGUUCCCAUGAGAGAGACAAGUUGUCGACAAUGGCUUGUACAGCUUUGACACUGAGUUUGAAGUCAGUGACCAUCGACUCCAUGGUGGGGCGCCACGCCUCAAAGGUCGAGGUAGUGGAUUUGAGCGCCGAGACGCGCGAAAUCGUGGCCGCGGCUGCCCGAUCUGUGCGCUCCGUCGCGGAAGAGACGAAGAAUUCCAACUGAGCAGUGACAUCGGUAUGGAUGUCCGCCUUGAGGUCGUAGAACUGAUCGGCGGCCGCCGCUGCCGACCGCUCCAGAUCACCGACGCGUGACUCCCAUUUGGUGUCAUGCGCGGCGAACUUCUUGUCGAGCUCGUUGAGGAAGGAACGAGUUUGUGCCUCCAAAGCGAGCUUGAUUUGGGGAUCCAUAGCGCCUAGGGUUUUGGCUCGGCGGGUGUACUGGAUCGGCUCCAGAUCCGAGGAUCGAUGUCUUUGAUACCAACUGUUAGCUACUAGAGAAGGGGAAGGAGAAGGGAGCAGGACGGCGCCAGGAAGGAGGAAUACUUGACAAGGGGAAGAAGAUAGGUAGAAUUGUUCUGUUCUUUUUCGAUGCCAUCUCCAGUUCGGAUACAGACAACAUAUAUCACAAUUCCAUGGGCCUGCCUAUUACAAGACUAAAGCACCCAAUUUAGGCUAGAAACCUUGCUGUUGGGCUUUAGCUUCCUUUUCACCCUUGGCUCCUGCAGCGCUCUAUUCGGAACAGUCGGUGACACAGGUCUCAUAGCCGCGUCGUUGCUUGGACUGCUGACAAUGUCGCAGUGGAUGAUGCACUCGCGGCAGCUUUGGUGCAGGUAGCACAGUCCUCUUGCGACCCCGACGGCGAUUCUGUACCUCUUGCUCCAAUCCAGCGCAAUGGCGAUGACGACGCUCGUAUUGUAGUACCUUCAACCAGUGAUAUGAAAUUGUGAAGUAAAUGCUUAUUUGCAUAUCUAUGGAUUCUCAAGCAAAUCUGUAGAAACACAUAACUGAAUAGAGGAUGAUUAAAAAAAUAAUGAUCUAGAAAAGAAAAACCGGAGUGAAGAAACUAUUGUUACUUUAGCAUGAAAACCUAAGAAACACACCUUAUAAUCCCUGCUGAAAAAAUGCUUAUCCGCCAACUAAAUUUCAUAUUCCUAUGCAUUAUUAUAAGUAGUAAAUGUAGUAUAUAAUAUGUAUCUGAAGUACUCUAUAAGUGGAAUGAUCGGUCCAAAAGGCAAAGCAUUUCAUAUAAAGAUCUAGUUCCACAGUUCUCCAUCCCCAAAUAGCAUCACAAUCCAAAAGGCAAAGCAUUUCAUAUAAAGAUCUAGUUCCACAAUUCUGCAUCCCCAAAUAGCAUCACAGUCCAAAAGGCAAAGCAUUUCAUAUAUAAGAUCUGGUUCCACAGUUCUGCAUCCCCAAAUAACAUCACAAUAUAAAGCGCCUGGUUUCCUACCUAGAUUUUCUUAGGAUGUAAGCUACAAGACUGAUACAGAAUAAAAUAAGAACAGAAGCUAUAAUAAAAAUUCGAUUUUUUCACAUCAUUAAAAAAUUAACACGAACAAUUUAUGAUAUGUAUUACAAUAGUAAAUAUUUAGCUUUGUCUUAGUUUCACAAUCAAUCAUUUUAAUAGAUGAGCAUGAGAUGCAAAAAAAUGAUCACCUCUUUCUAACUGCAGUACCAGAUAAAACACCACCAUAUGGACGGUUCAGUCCUUCAAUUCCUUGACAACUUGGACCUCUUGGACUCAACAGGUCUCAGGUGUGGAAUAUGCAAUUCAAGCAUAUGGAAUAUUUAUGAGAAGAAGUUGAUGUUGUGCAUUGUACACUACAUGGACCUAGUUUUCUUCCAUAUAAAAUUAUUAAAUUAGUUAAUAAUGUGCAUUACAUCGACAUGUCGAGAGACCACUUAUGAUACAACUCUGCAAGCAUUCCAUUCAUCCCAUGUAUUCAAUUCACUUUAACCUAAAGAAACAUGCUUCUUAUUGGCAAGUGUGGAACUUUCACCACAGGUUAAACAUGAAGACAAUGAUCUCUUCCCAAAGAACAAUAUCAGCCAUGUUAUCAGGGAAGACAACAUUCUAAAGAUGCAGUGCAAGCUGUGCACUCCCCUCCCCCCUAAGAAGCAGAGUCGGUACUACCGACCUCGUGUUAAUGUGAGAACCAGGACCAACCCUUGUGGUGAUGCUUUUCCAUGCAAGAAAAAGCAAACACUCGAUCAAAACUCCACCAAAGAAACAAACACGAAACAGGAGGGAUGGCGAAACUGAGCAGAUCAGACCGGGCAGGACGCACCUGGUUGUCGCCGUAGACAUGGGGUAAGCGAGUCCAAAGCUUGCCAUGGCCGGCGCCCUAGAUCUCCGCUCGGAUCUUGACCGCACCAAGCAAUCGACGUGAGACGACAAGCAGGGUUUAUUCCUCUGAACCGUAGAGCUUCUUCUUUGCCGACGUGUUGGAGAUGGAAAUCUGUAGGGUGAACUUGCAUCGAGAUCUGCAGGAAGGGAGGGAGACGGUGAGCCGAUGCUGACCUCAUCCCUUCGCAGGUGUGUGCCACACUGGGCCGCUCCUUGCCGGAGAUGCGUCGUACGAGGCUACACCUGGGGAAGGAGGGAGCGACGAACUGGGCACGAGCACCCAUGAAUCCACCUAUCCUUCCAAAAAAGGUUGUCGAACCGUUGCCAAUAGUGGUAGCCACCGCAGCCUGGAAUCCACUCCAAGGUUUGGAAGGAGCAGUUUUCUGGAGCCAAAGCCAAUGAAUUUACAGGGCCCAGUUCAUAGUGAGGAGAUUGGGAAUUCUAAGGCGUCCCAAAUCAAAAGGCCUAGUGACCUUAUCCCAAGACAUAAGACAAUUUCCUCCUCUAGCCUCCUUCCUUUCCACAGAAAACUCCUAAUUUUGUCAAUGGCUCUAAAAGCCCAUUUUGGAGCACUGAGGGCAAUUAACAGAUACACUGGGGUAGCAGAGAGGACAUAUUUGACAAGGGUGAUUCUCCUAGCAAGGUUUAAAGACCAGCUUUCCAUCUUAAAAGUUUAUCAGCAAUUUUCUCAAUCCAAGGAGUGAGCUCUCCAACAAUAUGCCUUUUGUUGAUCAGGGGGAGGCCAAGAUAAGUUGUUGGAAAGCAUUUAGAGGCACAACCCAUAAUUUGAAUAGCCAGCUCCACCCUUUCAAAAUCACAGCGAAUUGGGUAAGACAAACUUUUUUGCAGAUUAGUCUGGAGGCCAGAGGCCACACCGAAGCCUUUCAAGGUUUCUUUGAAUACCUAGUCCACUGCAUCAGGCUUAAUAAAUACUGCAACGCCAUCCACAAACAUAGAUACUAUUUGGUUGACAUUUCUACCAGCAAGGGGCUGCAAAAGGCCAUACUCAUCAGCUUGGACAAAGAGGCUGUUAAGAACAUCCAUUACAAGUAUAAAAAACGGAGGGGAUAGGGGAUCUCCCUACCUCAACCAUAACCAUCUGACCCAAAGAGCCCACCCAAGCUUUUGCAGAUCAUGAAUACUGUAACACCCCUGGUGUUUAUAUUUUGCUCGACAACGAGUAUGGAUUUAAGCAUGGGAUAUCAGCAAUAAUAACGAUCUCUAUGUUCUAAUAUUCACCUAUCAUAAUUUUGAUAUCAUUUUCAUCUCUAUCUAUCCGACCUAAUCUAAAUGUUUCGCAAAGUUAGAACGUAUUUGUUUCGGAAAUAUGCGAGUCUGGUGAUUAUUUAAAAUUCAUCGAUUUGCUCAAAUACGAAUUUGGAAACUUAGUCCAGUCUUCCAAUUUCGUCCCAAACAAAAUUUAUUAGAAGCCCGACGAUAAGAGUGUUGAUGCGAGAUUAAAUUGGAUCGAGAUAAUUUGAACUGAUAUUGAGUAUUCAUAACUAAUAUGUUUCCAUGUUCAGACUGUAGAUAAAAUUAUCGGGUUUCGAAUCAAAUCAAAUUAAGCACAGUCUUAAUAUAUUGACUCUGAUGUCGUUUGGUUUGGUCCAUCGACAUCUCGUCUAAAACACUAUCUCAUGUAUCGCCUGCAUUUCUAUCCAUUUGGACUAUUAUAAAAAUUUUAUGAAGUUUGAAAUUUAAAAAUCCUUCAAUAUGUCGAGUCUACGCUGUUCGAAUAGCAUGUGAUCUUCGUCUGAACUCAACUGGGUCAAAUACAAUUUAAAGUAUCGGUCCCGACCUCGUUUGGUUCGGUCUGUGUGUUCCUCGCCCAGAUCCAAAUUUUUGGAUAUAGAUAACGGGUAGGAAUUCAUCUGACUCCAGAAUAUUCACUAAAUAAAAUCCUAUCCAAAUAUUGUGGUCAAUCUUAUUUUGGUUCGACCCUUUUGUACAUCUUUUAGAACUUAAUUUCAGUCUCGAUCUCGUUUGGUUCAUUCUGAUUGCGAUGACGCGCUCGAAUCACAUAGUUCAAAAUUUAUUUAUUUCAUAAAGUGUCAAGUCCGGUGCCAGUUUAAAAUUAAUCGAAUAAGGCAAAUUGGAAAUUUCACUCAAGUAUUUCCCUUUGUUCGAGCGAUCUCUACAAAUUCGGCAGAGACACUACUAGGGACAGGCUGUUUAGAUAAAUCGAACCCGAACUAACCAAAACAAAUGAAAAUUAAAAUAGCGAAGUCGGUGUCGUGGUUCGCUCCAAUUUCGUCUCGCCCAGAUACAAAUGACGGGUAUAAAUGACUGGUAAAAAUUUAUCAGAGUAUUGGGAUAUCUACCAAAUCAAACAUUGUUCCAAUAUUGUUGUCAAUCUCAUUUUUGUUCGAUCCUUGAUUACAUCUUUUAGACCCUAAUUUUAUAACAUCAAAAUAUCUGCUUUUUCUUUUGUAAAAAAGAAUGGAGGAAAAAACUUCUUUUACUUCUCCCACCGUCAUACUCCCUCAGCCAUAUCCAAAUCGUCCAUCUCCCUCACAGCAGCCGCCCUCCCAUUUUCUCAGCUCGACCACAACCAUAGCUUGGUGGUCGACAUGCCCCUGCUCCAGCCUGGCCGCCCAUCUUGGGUCCUCAUCUCCAUCUCUCAGCUGCUCAGCUCCCUGGUGCUCGCCCUCCCCUGCUCUCAGGACAGCAGGGAGCCGUCGACCUCUCCAACUCGGCCGGCCAUGGCACCGCUUCCCCAAGUGUCACACUGGAGCUCGCCCAACCCUCUCCCAUCUCCUUCCCCAAGCACAAGUCCCAUGGUCGAGCUCACCCCUGUAGGAGCUCCCUAUGACGCCUAGAUUUUCAAUUUCCUAUGAGUUUUUCCCCCACGUGCAAUCCCGGCAUCGUCGUCGUGUUUAGUCACGAUGAUUCUCAACUACCCUAUUUUUAUUUCAUUGAAUUUCUAAUGCGAGCAGAAAUUUUUUUGGUGCUAUGUUAAUACGAUGUUAUGUGUAUAUGUGUGUGUUUGUGUGAGUAAGAGGAACCGCAGGUUUUUGCGUAGAGAGGAAAGUCGUGUGGCGCGUGCUAGGUGUUUGAUGGAAUGGAUGAAUCAGAGAUCCUUGUUGCUCUUGCGAAAUCCAAGUCUAUUUAGUGUUGGUAAGCUAAUUUAUUAUUACAGUUGAUUGAAUUAUUAGAUGAAUGGAAUGGAUAUGUUUGGUGAAUAUAUAUGCAUCAUGAGUUAGUGGUAAUACCUCUUCGUGGAUAGUGACAUGAUUGUAUUCAUGAUUAUGGUUAAAAUAAGUGAUGACGGUAUUGAUGUUCGAAUCUGCACGUAUAGUUUUGAUUGUGCAACUAAUUGAGUGGAGUAAAUCAUGUGUUCUAUAGAAAUGUUAUAUACAAAAGUUGUAGCCAACUUCUUUAUCUUGUGUGUUUAAAAAUUUCAUGACCAUAGGUUUAGUAGUUUAGGAGUUAUGAUUUGUCCAAGUCCAGUUUCAGAAUCUGUCCAAAUUCUGUACAGGUUUCGAAAAUUGGAUUGUUUGGCUAAGCUAAAUUGAGAAUCAACCCUUAGUAAUUAUAGAAGAAUUUUAGUACUUUUCUUAAGAUUUCCAAAAAGUCUUGGAUCACUUUUUUGGUGGUCUAGAGACCAAGUUACAGCUGUUUGAACUAGAGUCUGAACUUUUUUUGGUGGUCUAGAGACCAAGCUACAACUGUUUGAACUAUAGAGUCUCAAUCUGUCCAAAUCUGGACAGAGAAGCCUGUUUGUAUUAACUGACUUUGAUAUGCAUUGAAUUGACCUGAUAUGUUUAUAAAUGAAUUGUAGACAAUUCUAUUAGCUUUCUAAAAAGUCUAGGAUCACUUGAUUUGGAUACCUGAGACUCCAAUUAUGGAUUUUUGAAGUGAGUAGUCGAAUUCUGUCUAAAUCUGGACAUAAUUUAUGUUUAGUUAUGUUUGACAUUUCUAAAGGUCGAAUCUUGUUGUGAUGGUAAUACAAAAGUUAUAGAGGACUUCAUAAGCUUUCCAGAAAGUCCUAGUUUAUCAUUUUAAGAUGAAUAUCUUGUGAGUUAUGAUUAAAAGAACUGACUGCUGUACUCAUGUCCAAAAUCAGCAAGUAUUAAGUUGAUUUCUGGAGUCAUUCUUGUUUGGCUAGGUAGGAUUAGUAAAUUCUUGAUUCUUGAGUGAUGAAGACUUAUUACAUAUAAUGGUUUCAUUUCAUUCUUGAGGUUUGCUCUAUACUUUAGUGCUUUUGGGAAGUAAAUGCUUUAGGGAAUGCAAUUGGUCUAGAGAUUACGUAGGCCUUCCGUGAGUAUGGCAAAAUUAAUAAUGUGAAAGGUUUAGUAGACAAGUAUACCUAGUAUUAUUAAGUUGUUUCGGUAGUGUGGUGUUUAUAAGUAUGAUAUGCUAUUCCCACUUGCACUUAACGUUUUGUCGUUCUAAGUUUUUGCUUCUAAGUGAUAGUCGAAUGGGAUUAUGUAAUGUGUUGAUCGUGUUUUUCUUGCUAGGAUAAUUAGUGAGAUACCUUAUUUAGUAGUGUAUAAUUCAUGUUAUUUGUAUAUGGUGGUUUAGAAUGUAGUAGAUUGCUUCUAUCCAUAUUUUGUUCUAGGUGUCUUUUAGUGAAGAAUCUAAGGUUAUUAGUUUUUAGAUGAAUGCUUAAUCUUAGGAGAAAAUAUAACCCGAGCAAAACCUGUUGCUAUAUGUUUGGUUAGGUCCAUUUGGCUUGAAGGUCAUAUUUGUGUAAAGUCAAAAGCAUCUAGUGCUACCGUAGUAAAGUUGAAAUGUCUUGCUUUAAGUGCUUAAUCUACUUCGGAUAGCAUUAUCUAGUCCGUACUAUUUAUACUCGUGCUCAUUCAUGUGCAUCUUGCAUAUCAUAUAGGUACAUUGAUUGAUCACGUGAUGUGGAGGACAAGAGCUGGGUUAAUCCCAAGAUGAUGCUGAUGAAUAAACCGGAAGAGUGGAUUAUCUGAUCAAGUACCAGGAUGAGAGAUGCUCACCAAGUGAUUGUCAUCUAACAACACUGACUUAGUGUUAUUCCAGGCAAGCCCCGGUGCAUUUGCCACCUCCUUCCGUUUUAAAAAGUUUUAUCACCUUGAAUGAUGCAUUAGGUGAUAGGAGUUGUGUGAUCAAACAGUUGAUGCAUUUCCUUCCUUGAUUAAACAUCCCUAAUACAUGUUUUAUGAAAAUUUAGUGAUGCUUAGCCCUACUUAUUACUUUAUGAUGGUUUUUAAAAAGAUGAUGUGUAACACGGGAUAUGGGAGUUUGUCAAAGAAAAGGACCUGUGAUGAUGAACCCAUUGUGGCCGCGAUGAUUUCAUCAUUCAAGUAGGGUACCUCUCUCAGGUAUCAAGUUUUGGGAAAUAAUAUGAAAUGUAGAUUCCAAAGUAGUUGCCGACCAGGUCAAAAAAAGAAUAUUCAGCAAAGGACCCCGCACUCAUGCAGUAUCUUAGCACAUGCUCUGUUUGCGUCCCUCCUCUCCUCCGCCAACUGACGCCUGAGAUCCUCCUUCUCGGCCUCCGCAGCCGCCAACCUCUUCGACAGUGUGCAGCUCUUGUUUUCCGCAGCUGACUUGUCCCGAACAGCAUCCGUAUGCUGCGCUCGGAGGCGCUCGAUCCGACCCUCGAGUCGUUGCCUCUCGGCAGCAAACUCCGAAGUCAGGGCGCCCGACGCAACAUGGUCGGCGAAGGCGGCCGCCUGCCACGAAAAAUCCAUCAGAUUCACAACCACAUAAAAACAACGAACUAACGAAAUCCAAGACGACUUACAUGCUUCAUCUGCUGCGACGCAUGCCUCAGCUGCUGGGACACAGAGCCCGCCACGUCUUUAGCGGCGACGACCGACGAAAUCUCAUCGCUGGCGCAGAAUUUGGACCAUGGGUCCUGCGAAGUACCCUUCGCUCCAACCACCGUCGUAGGCGAAGUGGCCGCCACCGGAGCCGGGACAACAGCCAGCUGCCCCGCAUCCGACCUUGCACCAUAACCUUGUUCUAGACCCAGUCGCCAAAAAAAACUCACCAACGAGGUAAUCCUCCAUGCAGAUGUCCGUGUCGAAGUCGGCACCACCCGCCUCCGCUUCGUCAGUGCGCACCGGCGACGACGGCCUUUGCUCCUUCGCGGGCUCAGCCGAGGGCGGCUUGCCCGCGCUGGAAGCAACAACCCUCGCACCCGCCGAAGACUUGCUGGGCCCGGGGACGGCCGGCUUCGCAGCCGGCGGUGGUUUGCUGCUGCCAAGGGCGAUGGACUUCGCGCCCCCCGAGCCCUCUUCACCUCGCGACUAGGGUCCUCGACCCUAGUGAACGCCCGGUGGUUCCGCGCCGCAUCUUGACGAUCCUUGUCCAUCACUGCCGAUACAACAGCAGCAAUAUUCCGUCCAUAAGGAAAAAUCUUCAUCUCACGGGCCAAAUGAGACGUAAAUAUGUCCUCGCUGGCCGCCCGGGGAAUCGGAACGUUCCUUGGCCAUCGACCCCCGGUAACCUUCAGCAUUCGUGCCAAAGACUCCCGGAGCUCGGGCGAAGACAUCCUUCCACCGAGGGCCGCACAAGUCCCCAUCAACUCCACAGCAAAACGAUCUGAAACCCCCAACCCUCCAACUGUAGUACCUAUUUUUCUCUUCUUAAUGGCUAGGGCAGCCUCCCGCGAAGGGCCUUCCUCAGCCAUGACCACUGGCUUUUUCCCGCGGCGGUCAACAGCCGCAGCAGCGUCGUCUCCAGGGUAACCACCGUAUGGCAAACGGUUUAACUCGAAGACCCGAUUCAAGCGAACAUUGGAUCCACGAAUAUUCCAACUCCGCAGACUCUCCGUCCUCGGCGCAUACCGCCCUACAAUCCUCACAGCCCCAUCCUCCACUUCACGAACGAAAGCGGCUGGGUCUCGGCCGCACAGAUCCAAAGCGAAGGCCGGACUUCGCACCAGCUGCUGGCCCAAAGUAGGCAACUAGCGAUGGCAUACUUCGCCCAGCACCCAGCCAUGUGCCAGGGGCCACACUCCAUAACCAAUGAAUUCCUCAACCAAAUCACGCCCGCUGCUCAUGCGGGCAGCGCACCGGAGGGCCACUUCGUCCUCAUCAUCCUCCGCCACCUCAAAUGGUGGGAUAGCCACAUAACAGUGGGAGCACAUUACGACCGCGAGGAGCCCUGGGAGGUCUUUGACUUCGCUUUCCCAAAACAUAAAACCAAUAAUCCCACCAGUUGCCCCACUUGUUGCGAGCACAGGGAACUAAUUCCACGACUUUCGUCGAAGUCUUUCCGGUCCUCGGUGUGAAGGUGCAUGAUCCAAACUGUGCAAUCUUACUUCCAAUCUUUCUCUUUUGCCAGUGCAGACAGUAAUUCUUGGUGAAGACCUCUACGGAAGGCUGACCGCCGUACGAAGUCACUGCCCAGACAUACUUCGCCAGGGCCACCACAGCGUUAGGUGUCAAAUGCUGGACCUGGACCUCAAACCUCUGCAGGACCUCCGCCAUGAAACGAUGCGCAGGUAGGCGAAGGCCGACGAUGAAGAACGCCUCAAACAUGACUAACACGCCCUCAGGCUCGAGAAUCUCUUCCGCCCCCGGGACACGCCCAACACCGUUCCCAAAAUACCCCAACUGCUACAUAUCCUUCACGCGAACCGAGGAAAUCCUCGAAACGCCGAACUCCACCGUGUGGCCCGGCUGUAACUCCACCGCCGCCAAAUCGCUCAAGGUAUCUUCGGACGACGAAUCGGUUGGCGGCACAUUUGCAGCAGAUGAGGAAGAAGACGACAUUGCUAUGUACAGUCAGCGGCGGCGCGCGGUUUGCUUGACGCGGGCCAGAUCUCUGAUGCAGAGAAACAAGGAGGGCAGGUGAGCGGGCGAGUGGUUUCAAAAGCUUAGGGUUUUCCGGUGCAUGCAAAGGUAAGAGUCAGCCCGAGCCGCCCUGCCCCUUUUUAUACACACGGCGCGGCGCUUCGGGAAACCCGUAGUCCAACAGUGCCACGUCCAUCAAAGGUCACCUCAAAAACCCCGUUGGACCACUUCGAGCGAGGGUAGCGUCUCCACCAUCUAGCGACGUCUUCGGCACCAGAUAACUCAGUCGAACUGGUCCCUCGGAGGGCAAAUAUUGGGGCGAAGGCGAAGACGCUACCCUUCGCACGAAGCCUUCGUUGCCUCGCUACACCAACGAAGGCGAGAUGAUCGGCGCGGUUGCCCCUCGUCCUCUCCAUUGCAAGACAAAGGCCAGACUCCGACGAAGUCUGCUAGUCCCGCGUCCUCAUCUCGCCCAGAGGCCCACGUGGAAUUCGGCCCACUGUAACGGUCCCCGCGUGGACAAGCAUGUUACGGGCCUCAUCUGUAAUAGCUUUUCUGUAAUGACGGUCUGUAACCUCCCUUUAUGGGAAUAUUCUGGGAAUAGUCCGGGUACCCAAGGGCAUAAAUGUCCUUGCCUUGGGACGUUGGACACUCGGGUACCUAUAAAUAUCCCCGUACAAUGCCCUUGAGAGGCUAGAUUAACAGAGCAAUUGGCAUCCCACGUUAAACUUUGCUUGCACUCUUUCCACUUCCCCGUUGGAUCCACUUUCCCAAGAUUCAACAAUUUUAUAUAUCAUCCAAUGAUGGUUUAGAUUUGCAGGUUCCAACAAUUUUCAUUUAAUUACAUAGAAAUUUCAAGAUUUUAUGGUAUUUUGAAUGUUUGACCACGUUUAAUAUUUUAUACCACAUUUAGAACAAUAUUAUAUUUUAUAUAUCAUCCAAUGAUGGUUUAGAUUUUCAUGAUCAUAUAUUCGUUUUAUAAAGCAUGGUUUUUAUUUUGCUAACGUUGAAUAUUUAAUUCAUGCAAGUUCUAUGUUCCAAUAUAUUAUUUUAGAUGUCGUAAAUAUUUUUGUUUUAUUUUGCAAGGUGCACAGAAUGCUCUACUAGUUGGUCAGAUAGGCAGAUUGAGUCGCGAGAUGGUAGUAAUCACCACUCUGUGCAAGAAAAGAUUGAGAUGGUCACCAUAAUGGGUAAUAUAGAUUACACACUUUGUUUUGAGAAACUCACUAAGCCCACAGUGGGCUCACCAUAAUAUGACCAUAAGAUGCUACAGUAUAACAUCAAUAAGGUCAAGUGGGAAAGAUACGUAAAGUGUUUGGUCAUAAUUAAGAGCCUCAUCAAGUACCCUAUUAAGAGUGUUAUUCCAGAGUGUGAGAUAGCCAAGAAGUACCUUAAGAAGAUAGCUUCUCAUUUCACUAGGUCCUCUAAGGCUUAUGCACGUUCCUUGAUGAUGGAGUUUCUCAAUGUUACGUACGAUGGAAGUGGUGUAAAGCUAUUUAUUCAGAACAUGAUUUGCAUUGUUACUAAGCUAAAUAGAUACCUCUCCGAGCCGAGCCUAAGAUGUUGGUGUCUAGUGUCCGACCGCACACCCGAGGGUACCCUCGUGGUGCUUUUUGGGUAGGACGGUGUUGCCGAUCGUAGCUCGAUGGUUCGUGCCAGAAGCACAAGAGAGAGAGAGAGAGAGAGAGAGAAAGAGAGAGAGACGGGCGAUUUUCUAUAGGUUCAGACCGCUUUUAGAGGCGUAAUACCCUACUUCAUGGGUGGCUUUGUAUGUGUGGCGUGUUUACAAGUGGUGUUUCCCGAAUGGAGAGGUGCUAAUGAGAUGAAAAUGAUGGGGCUCUCCCCAGGCCUUAUAUACGCGACCGUAGGGCACUCCCUACGCACACGCUGAUCACACUCUUCCAGCUUAUCUCCUAGCUAAUAGCAAACAAACUUUGCUUAUCUUGAGGAAAACUCGGUGGCUUCGUUUCGAGCUAUCCCCAGCGUUUGAGGGCGUCGGGCGCGGGAAAACGAACGGUCUCCUCGGGAUCAUGCCUAACCCCGCGAACGAUCCGGACGAGAGCCCAUCGCCUUCUUGGGUCGGUCCAUUUCAAUUGUUGUCUUUGCUCGGCCCACGAUGAGACGAUCUUGUGGGGCGACUGGUCUGUGUCCCCACGCAAGGGUUUUCGCCUUCUAGUGGACCCGGGGGAUAUCUGUCCCCCACAAGCCCCCAAUCUUUGAGUUGAUUUUGAAAUAAUCGACUCAAAGGUUCUUGGUCCUGCCUGUGGAUUUGUUGCAUGGCUUGAUUUUUUUUACUGUUGUUGGGUGCCAUUGGGUGUAGCCCCCGAGCUUUGAGUGGAUUUUAGAAGUAAUCCAUUCAAAGGUCUUCAUCUUCAUGCUUUUGAAACUAGCAUUUUGGCCUUAAGGUAUUGUGAAUCUGUUGGGUGCACCCAAAGAUACACCCAAUGGGUGUAGUCCCCGAGCUUUGAGUGGAUUUUAGAAAUAAUCCAUUCAAAUGUCUUCAUCUUCAUGCUUUUGAAAUUAGCAUUUUGGCCUCAAGGUAUUGUGAAUCUGUUGGGUGCACCGAAGGUGCACACCAAUGGGUGUAGCCCCCGAGCUUUGAGUGAAUUUUAGAAAUAAUCCAUUCAAAGGUCUUCAUCUCCAUGCUUUUGAAAUUAACAUUUUGGCCUCAAGGUAUUGUGAAUCUGUUGGGUGCACCGAAGGUGCACCUAGUGGGUGUAGCCCCCAAGCUUUGAGUGGAUUUUAGAAGUAAUCCAUUCAAAGGUCUUCAUCUUUACGCCUUUGAAAUCAUUUCCAGGAUAACCAGGCGAUGUCAUCUGUCCAUGCCUUGUUAGGUCUAGAAUCAAUUUGAUUGGUGACAAGUUGGACAUCUGGCUGGUUGAGUUAGAGGGCCUUCGGCUGGACACCACUCUGCCAUGUACUUUAAUGAUUCUGUUGAUUGGACUUGCGUUUCAGUAACCACAUUUGGGCUUCCUCCCGUUUCAGCUGAUCUCCUCUUUUUGUCGCGGUACAUUCAUUGCGUAUAUUUUGUGGGCAUCACCUCUUCAGAAAAUCUUGAAGGUUCUGGGCGAUACACCCAAUAGGUGUGCCCAAGGGGCGUCUGUCCCACGAAAGGUGUUUAUCACGUUGUACUGAAGUAGUAAUUUGAUGUGAUGGAGGGGUGUAAUCAUUUGCCUGAGCAGUUGACUUGGAUCCAAACGGUGUCGUGUUACGCGAAACGACGCCAGUUGCCUGACUCAUUUUUAGGCGGCUUGAAUUGCUUAUUGAAUUCUUGUGACUGUUCUGAGAGCACCUAGAGGGGGGGUGAAUAGGCGAUCCUGUAAAAUUCAACACUAAUAACCACAAAACUUGAUUAUGAAAGUUAGAACGGCUAAGUGCUUGAAGCGAGUUCUUGAACACAGAUAAUCAAAGGUAAAGAACACAAGAGACACACGAUUUUUAUCCCGUGGUUCGGCCAAGUAAUACUUGCCUACUUCCACGUUGUCGCGUCCCAAUGGACGAGGGUUGCACUCAACCCCUUUCAAGUGAUCCAAUGAUCAACUUGAAUACCCCGGUUUUUCCUUUCUUUGACUUUCUCCCGUUUGCGAGGAAUCUCCACAACUUGGAGCCUCUCGCCCUUACAAUGAUGAUCACAAAAGAAGCACGGAAGUAAGGGAGGGGAGAGCAACACACACAAGACUCAAUCAUAGCACAAUCACGCACACAAGUCACAACUUGAGCUCAAAACACAACCCACGGAGUUCACAACUCAAAUGGAGCUCAAGUCACUAUCUCAAAGAAUCAAAUGUGCGAAGUUGGAGUUUGGAGGCUUAGAAUGUUUCUUGAAUGCUUGGGUGACUCCUCCAUGCGCCUAGGGGUCUCUUUUAUAGCCCCAAGGCAGCUAGGAGUUGUUGGAGGCCAACAAGGAAGGCUAUCCUUGCCUUCUGUCGGGUGGCGCACCGGACAGUCCGGUGCACCACCGGACAACCACUGUUCAUGUCCGGUGCACGAUCUCCUUCCUAUUUUGGCGCAGACGACCAUUGCAGAUUCGUCGCAGUUGGCACACCGGACACUGUCCGGUGCACACUGGACAGUCCAGUGCCUCCUGCCGACCGUUGGCGAUGUCCACGCAUCACCCGCGGAUUGCGCGGUAGACCGUUGUGCUGGCGACCGUUGGCUCACCGGACAGUCCAGUGCACCACUGGACAGUCCGGUGAAUUAUAGUUGUACGCCGCCAAAUUCUCCCAAGAGCGGCAUGUUCACUGGAGUCCAGCCUGGCGCACCGGACAUUGUCCGGUGCACCACCGGACAGUCCGGUGUGCCAGACUGAGCAAAGAUUUGGCUGCACCGAGCCAAGUCUUUUGGUUCUUUUCUUUUCUCUGUUUCUAGCACUUAGACAAAAUAUGUUAGUACUCAAAACAAUGUACUAAGUCUAGAAAUGUACCUUGUUACAUGAUUUGCAUAUUUUGCUUGUUUGGCACAUAAUAUUUCACUCACUACGUGUUGGACACUUAAUCACCAAAACAUUAUAGAAAUGGCCCAAGGGCACAUUUCCCUUUCAUGUUCGGUGAGCCGGGUAGGAAGUGGACGGUCGCCCCUCAGCUUCUUUAAAUAGCCCGCUUGCCCUGGUUGUUGUCUUCACUCGCUCUUGAUCACUUGCUCUCUUAUUCUUCAUCACUUCUCCACCACUUUCUUCACGACCAUGGGCAGAGGCAAGAGGGGCAAGGGAUGGCCUCGCCGCGCUGACAGCAAGCGCAAGCGUCCUCCAAGUCCACCCUCGGAGGACUUUGGUGACUCAGAGUACUCGGAGGAAGUUUCUUUCGAGUAUGAUCGGUCGCUCGCACCAGUGUCCCUGGGACUCGGACGACUCCAUGGGGUUGUCCAUCGCGGCCCGAGCGUACUGGCGAUCCAUUGAGCACGUCGGGCUCGGUGGGUCGGACGAUUCGUAGGUGACCCCUCGGAGGAGGUGGAAGACUCCUCCGACUCCGAGGUGUGGAGCGGCGGCGAGGGCGAGGGCGGUGUGGAUGACGGGAGUAAAAAAUUAGUAUGAAACAUAGAUACAAAACGACAAAUCUUACUACGAUAUGCAAAUUCCAUAUGGCAAAAUAUCGCUAUAACACUAAUAUUAUAAAUAUUCCAAUGCAAAUAGAUUGAACUGAUGUCGAACAAAUACUAUCAAUAUCGCACAAAUUAUUUAUAAAGUGUCAAUAUAUAAUUUUUAAUGACAGUCAAAUAUGUCGACAAUCGUACAAUAAUCUAAUCUUUUUUAGAUAUAUUGAUAAGUCUGUGUUGUAUGUUUGCAGGGAUGGCAUAUCGACAUGAAUUGUCCUCAUAACUUAGCAGAUCGAUUACAAAGUUUCUUCGAAGAACUUUUGCAUCCUACACACAAAGACAUAAGAGAACAAAACGUCAGGUUUUUAUUAUAUAACCGAAAUGUAUGUUUGAACAUGACACGAACUUAGGUCACUCACUCUAACAAAUUUCAUUCGUCUGUUAUUCCCCUCACAUGGCCAUAGCUUGUAGAACAAGGUAGCUAGUAUUAACCCUAUAGAAUAAUGUUUGACAACUAUGUUAUAUACAAUUGUCGGCGUUUCGAACCCGGGGGGUCCCUGGACCGACGAGUAAAUUAUCGCCACGUGCCCCAGCCCAGAUGGGUCGGCGCGAGACGGAGCGCGAAGGGGGGAGGCAGCCGGAGGGAGACGGGCGUGAGAGGUGGAAUCCCGCGGCCUUCGUGUUUGUCCCGCACCCAGGUCGGGUGCGCUUGCAGUAGGGGGUUACAAGCGUCCACGCGGGAGGGAGCGAGCGGCCUCACGCGAGCGCCGUCCCGUCCUUCUCCGCGCGGCCAACCCUCGUAAGAGGGCCCUGUUCCUUCCUUUUAUAGGCGCAAGGAAAGGAUCCAGGUGUACAAUGCGGGGUGUAGCAGCGUGCUAACGUGUCUAGCGGAGGAGAGCUAGCGCCCUAAGUACAUGCCAUUGUGGCAGCCGGAGAGGUUUUGGCAACCGGUUCGUGUGGUGUCGUGGCCGUCGGAGGAGCGUUGGAGCCCGGUGGAAGGACAGCUGUCGGGGCUGUCGGGUCCUUGCUGAUGUCCUCUUGCUUCCGUAAGGGGGCUGAGAGCCGCCAUCGUCAUAAAGCGUGCGGGGCGCCAUCAUUACUUGUCUGGCGGAGCGAGCCAGAUGGGACGCCGGUUUUGUUCCCCGUAGCCUGAGUCAGCUUGGGGCAGGGUAAUGAUUGCGCCUCCUGUUGACGUGGUCGGUCCGUGCCCUAGUUUGGGCGAGGUGGAGGCUCCUCCAAGGUCAAGGUCGAGUCUGUCUUCCAAGGUUGAGGUCGAGUCCGAGCCCCCGGGUCGGACGAGGCGUAGACCGUCGGCUGAUGCUAGGGCUAAGUCCGAGCCCUGGGGUCGGGCAAAGCGGAGUUCGUCGUCCUUUGGGGCUGAGCCCGAGUCCGAGCCCUGGGGUCAGGCAAAGCGGAGUUCGUCGUCUUCCGGGGCUGAGCCCGAGUCCGAGCCCUGGGGUCAGGCGGAGCAGAGUUCGUCGUCUUCCGGGGCUGAGCCCGAGUCCGAGCCCUGGGGUCGGGCGGAGCGGAGUUCAUCGUCUUCCGGGGCUGAGCCCGAGUCCGAGCCCUGGGGUCGGGCGGAGCGGAGUUCGUCGUCUUCCGGGGCUGAGCCCGAGUCCGAACCCUAGGGUCGGGCGGAGCGGAGUUCGUCGUCUUCCGGGGCUGAGCUCGAGUCCGAGCCCUGGGGUCGGGCGAAGCGGAGUUCGUCGUCUUCCGGGGCUGAGCCCGAGUCCGAGCCCUGGGGUCGGGCGGAGCGGAGUUUUCCAUGGCGCCUAGGGCCGGACUUGGCUGCUGUCAGCCUCACUCUGUCAAGUGGCUCAGCAGUCGGUGCGGCGCAGGCGGCGCUGUCCUCUUGUCAGACCGGUCAGUGGAGCGGCGAAGUGACUGCGGUCACUUCGGCUCUGUCGACUGGAGGGCGUGCGUCAAGAUAAAGGUGUCAGGCCACCUUUGCAUUAAAUGCCCCUGCGAUUUGGUCAGUUGGCGUGGCGAUUUGGCCAAGGUUGCUUCUUGGUGAAGACUGGGCCUCGGGCGAGCCGAAGGUGUGUCCGUUGAUGGAGGGGGGCCUCGGGCGAGACGUAGAUCCUCCGGGGUCGGCUGCCCUUGCCCGAGGCUGGGCUCGAGCGAGGUGUGAUCGCGUCCCUCGAAUGGACCGAUCCUUGACUUAAUCGCACCCAUCAAGCCUUUGCAGCUUUGUGCUGAUGGGGGUUACCAACUGAGAUUUAGGAGCCUUGAGGGUACCCCUAAUUAUGGUCCCCGACAGUAGCCCCCGAGCCUCGAAGGGAGUGUUAAUACUCGCUUGGAGGCUUUUGUCGCACUUUUUUGCCAGGGGACCAGCCUUUCUCGGUUGCGUUUUGCUCCGGUGGGUGCGAGCGAGCGCACCCGCCGGGUGUAGCCCUAAGGCCUCGGAAGAGUGGUUUGACUCCUCCGAGGUCUUAAUGCCCCGCGCAAUGCUUCGGCUGGUCUGGUUGUUCCCUUAUGCGAGCUGGCCGUAGCCCGGGUGCACGGUCGGGUCCCAAGUUCUCGGGCUGGUAUAUUGACGCUGUCAACGGUCUGGCCGGAGCCGGGUUUGCAAGAGCAGCCCCCGAGCCUCUGCACAGGGCGAGAGGACGGUCAAGGACAGACUCGACUUUUUUACAUACGCCCCUGCGUCACCUUUCCGCAAGGAGGAGGGGGGAAAGCGCCAUGCUGCCCUCGGAGGGCGCCGAACAUGGUGUUUCCGGUGAGCUGCUGAAGGGUAAUCCGAGUGGACGCCCGUGCCCCAUUUGUUAGGGUCGGCUAGAGGCUCGGAGGCGCGCUCCAAAAGUACCUGCGGGUGAUCUGCCGGACCCGGUCCCCUUUCGACGGGGUCCGAGGGCUCGAUGCCUCCCUCUGAUGGGAUUCCGUUACAAGAUCGUUCCCGCUGGUCUCGGAAAUGUCCUAGGGUACCUCGGGAGCGUAGCCCGAGCCUUGGUUAUGUAUCGAACGUACCCAGGGUCAUCCCUCGCUCUGUGUCUGAGGCGAAUGUGAACCCUUCGAGGGCCAGCCUACGAACCCCUGAUCAGUAGUGGGCGCGGAGCCCGAGCAGCCUGAGGCGGCCGUUGAACCCGUCCGAGGGGCCGGCCUUCGAACCUCUGACCAGUAGUGGGUGCGGAACCCAAGCGCUCUGAGGCGGCUGUUAAACCCCUCCAAGGGGCCAGCCUUUGAACCUUUGAUCAGUAGGGAGGCUCGGGGCCUGUUUCCUUCACGGAGAAGGAUCCUUUUCGGGGUAUCCCCCUUUCCCGGUCCCUGUUGUAAGAGAGAGAAAGAGGAAAAGGAAAAGGAUACGAAAUCGAAUGACGUGGCGUACCUUUUUUGACGCGGUCAUUAUGGCGAAGGCGAAGCGUCGCUUGCUUCUGCUGCCUGAGGCGCCGCCUGUCCCGCCGCGGAGUUAAUGCGACGGGGCGAGUGGUUCGCGAGGCGGCCGUUGCGCGUGUGCGAGCCGUUCGAGGAACGGAACACGGGCGCGCCGUCUUCACGCCGUGAGAGAGGGUUCUCUCGCUGUCCCACGAGGUGACGUGAGCUUGGCUGACGACGUGACCGCUGCUCCUGCCCGCCUGCCACUGCCAUUACUGCCGGCCCAUUUUUGGCCGUAUUGACCGUCGCGCCUGGCUGGCACUGCUGGGUCGUACGCAGGGUUGCCUCGAGUUGCAGUACUGGUUCCGCAGUCGAGGAGGCGUGGUAGUGGUGCGAGUGGCGGUGCAGUUGCUCGCACGUAGCAACCGGCGCGCCGGUUGCAUGACGCGUGGGCCCGGGCCUCCAUGCUGGGUGCGUUGGAAGUUGGAGGGGCGUGCCCACUUGGCGUGGUUGCAUGCCGACUGCAUGGCUGUCCGCCCUUUCACCCGCUGGUCUGGGCGAAAGUGGAGGAAUGCUUGCAACCGCGGGGCAGUUGCGUGCACCGCGCGCGGCGGUUUGGCUUCUUUUGCCCUGAGCCAGUUUGCAUGACGCGUGGGACCCAGCCCCCGCGCCGUAGGGGGAGGACCUUGGAGCGUGUUGGAGAAGACUCAGCCCACGACGGCUGGGGAUGCAAGUAGGGAGAGUUGCCUUUAAAAGGAGGGUGACCCCCUUGAAAGGCAACCAUGUCUUCUCGCUCCCUUAUGCACCGUGUCUUUCCACCUUCCGAGCCCCCGGAUGGGGGACACCCGCAAUCCUUCCGCCUUGUCGUUGGAGGAACGCAACUUCGUGGAAGUUGGUACCUUUCAGCCAUCGUUCGACUUCAAGGAUUUUCAUCACGCGGCCCGGCUGCAUCCCCUCGCCGGUGGUCACCCAAGACGGUGACCACCAGCCCCUGGAUGGGGAGAAGCAAGCCGGGCUGCGAUCUUGGUCCCGCCCUCAGCUCCAAGGAUGUUCAUCAUCCUUGCUGGGGCGGAGGCCGGGCUGAGCCGGAGCUCUACCUCCCGCGCGGGUUCGUGGGUCAGCCUCUCCUUCAGCAUUCAAGGGAGAGGGCGCUCACUGGCCCUGCGGGAGGGGCGGACUCCGACAACGCGGGGCUGGUCGACGGCGGGCGUUGUCAGCUUCAGCGCGUUGGGCUCGCCAGCUUGGCUCCCAGUGCCCCCUCCCGCCGCAAGGGCGGUUGUCGCGCCGCGCGCACGGGAGGACCGCCCAAGACGUCGCGCGCUGCUAGGGCGGCGUUCGUGUUCUGGGGCGGUCCUGCCUUUGCACCGGUACGGCGCCUCCGCGCGGAGGUCGGUGCUCCACUCGUCCGGGAGGAUCUGAGUGGGGAUCUGCCAGAGGGCAGACGGCUCCUGUCGUCGGUGCCGAGAUGGGGGCGGCUCGAGAAGUCCCCGUCGCCGACGGGAUCACCGCCACCAUCCGCGCUUCGGGCCUCCGGCUCUUUGUGCUUGUCCUCGCCCCUCGAGCGUCGGCAUGGGCGAGGGCAAGGUUGCAGCGGCGUCCGCCCUGAGGCCAUCGCUGCUGUAGUUCGGCCACCCGUAGCGGGGUUCGUUGUCGCUGCUGUUGGAGCAGGCGACGGUGAGCCGUCCGUCGGCCUUCUGUUGCUCCGCAGGCCCCCCAAUCGUGUGGGGUUGUUCGUACCUGCGGAGGUGGAACUGGAGUUCCAUUUGUAAUGGCAUCUUGAAUGCCAGUGUUUUGUUCAUUGCGGCCGUUGGGGCCUGAACAUGUAUGUAUUCUCGGCGUGGAGCCGUGUUUUUUCCUUAUUUCGAGCACUAAGACUCGCCUGUCGGCUAUCUAAACCGCUUCACCAAGCGUGAGUUGCCUCGUGCAAAGGUGACGAGUGAGGUAUCCGUAUCCCGGAGGCGUAGGAGUCCCUCGGCUCGGUCGGCCUUGCUGUCCGAGGCUUCUCUUGCUUAGUUAAAUGAACCCUCGGUUGCUCUUCGAUGAGCCGAAGCCGAAGGUAGCGGCGUGAGAACGGGCAGAGGCUAAGUUGGCUCGAAAAGAAGACUUGGUCGGCCAGAGCCUGGCCGCGUCGUCCACUGGCGGGACCGACGCUGGAGUUGAAUUGCCGAGGCCACGGGCCGAGCGGAUGUCCUCGGGGGACAGCUGGCUGAGGCUUCGGGGUGGCCGGCCGAGCCGUCUGCUCGAGCCGGAUUCCUGGAGAAGACCCUGGCAGCGAUGGCCCGAGCGUGGUGCUGAUGUCGUCCUUCAGAGUGGAGAUUCUCCGACUGCUUCGCCGUCCGAGGCUAGGUCGGACCUCGCCGAAGGUGUAGUUGACGCCGAGGGUGCUGCUGCUCCCUUCAGCUGUCAAGAUCCGAGCCUACAGGAUCGGAUUAUCUUGUAGUGUGUGUAUGUUUUCUGCGGCCGCCGAGGCCCAAACACACCAUCGUCGUGUUGUAAAGCUGCGUUUCUUUUCUUCUUGUUUCGAGUAUCUGGACUUUUUUGUCGGUAACAGAAUUGUUUGUGCGAGCGAGAGUUGCUUUUCACGGAAGGUGAUGAGUGAGGUAUCCGUAUCCCAGAGGCGUAGGAAUCCCUCGGCUCGGUCGGCCUUGCCGCUUACGCGCACUCUUACUCGUGCAUAGGGUUCUGUCACCGACGUAGUCGAGAAGGCCCGAAAAAUCGUUCCGGCAGAGGAGCUUUCGAGCGUGAAGACUUGUUCGGUCCGCGGAAUCACUUAUCCGAGCGCGAGUUACUUAUCGCAGAAGGUGAUGAGUGAGGUAUCCGUAUCCCGGAGGCGUAGGAGUCCCUCGGCUCGGUCAGUCUUGGCUGCUUACGUGUACUCCGUCGUUUUCAGGAUCCACUUUUGAAGUAGUCGAGAAGCACGAAAGACAUUCUGGCGAAAAAGAUCUUUUUUCGAGGAAAAUUUUGACGCAGAGGGGGUUCCCCCCUUUUAGCCCCCGAGGGAGGGUCGGGCUUUGCCGAGGCAAGGCUGACCCUUCCUUGAUGACUAAACUUUGCGUGGGAACGAGGCAUACGAACAACUUGAAAGCAUCUUAAGGGUAGAAGCGACGUAGCUGUUGGAUGUUCCAAGCGUUGCUGUAGACCUCGCCUUGACUGUUGGCCAGCUUGUACGUUCCGGGCUUCAGAAUUUUGGCGAUGACGAACGGCCCUUCCUAGGGAGGCGUGAGCUUAUGCCGUCCUCGGGCGUCUUGUCGCAGCCGAAGCACCAGGUCGCCCACCUGGAGGUCUCGGGACCGAACCCCUCGGGCGUGGUAGCGUCGCAGGGACUGCUGGUACCGCGCCGAGUGUAGUAAGGCCAUGUCCCGAGCCUCUUCCAGCUGGUCCGGUGAGUCUUCUCGAUUAGCUUGGUUGCUUUGGUCGCCGUAGGCCCUCGUCCUCGGGGAACCGUAUUCUAAGUCUAUGGGCAAGAUGGCCUCGGCCCCAUAGACUAGAAAGAACGUCGUGAAGCCCAUGGCUCGGCUCGGCGUUGUCCUCAGACUCCAGACCACCGAGGGGAGUUCCUUCAUCCAUCGCUUGCCGAACUUGUUGAGGUCGUUGUAGAUCCGAGGCUUAAGUCCUUGUAGAAUCAUGCCGUUGGCACGCUCUACCUGCCUAUUCGUCAUGGGGUGAGCCACGGCGGCCCAGUCCACCCGGAUGUGGUGAUCCUCGCAGAAGUCUAAGAACUUUCUGCUGGUGAACUGGGUGCCGUUGUCGGUGAUGAUGGAGUUCGGGACCCCAAAGCGAUGGAUGAUGUUGGUGAAGAACGCCACCGCCUGUUCGGACCUGAUGCUGUUUAGGGGUCGGACCUCGAUCCACUUGGAGAAUUUGUCGAUGGCGACCAACUGGUGCGUGUAGCCCCCGGGUGCCUUCUGCAAGGGGCCGACGAGGUCCAGACCCCACACAGCAAAAGGCCAGGUGAGGGGUAUCGUCUGCAGGGCCUGAGCGGGCAGGUGGGUCUGCCUUGCGUAGAACUGACACCCUUCGCAGGUCCGGACAAUUCUAGUGGCGUCGGCCACCGCCGUCGGCCAGUAGAAACCUUGUCGGAAGGCGUUUCCAACAAGGGCUCGAGGUGCUGUGUGAUGGCUGCAAGCCCCCGAGUGUAUCUCUUGUAGGAGCUCCUGGCCUUCGGCGAUGGAAAUGCAUCGCUGGAGGACGCCUGAGGGGCUACGGUGGUAGAGUUCCUUCCCGUCCCCCAGCAAGACAAACGACUUGGCGCGCCGCGCCAACCGCCGAGCUUCGGCUCGGUCGAGGGGUAGCUCUCCUCGAUGGAGAUAUUGCAGGUACGGGGUCUGCCAGUUUCGAUUAGGCGUGACCUCGCUCCGCUCCUCCUCGAUGCGCAGUGCCUCACCCUCGAGGGCCGAGGGUACCUCGGGCCGAACCGAGGGUGCCUCGGGUUGGGCCGAGGGUGCCUCGGGCCGAGCCGAGGGUACCUUGGACUGAGCCGAGGGUGCCUCAGGCUGGGCCGAGGCCUUCUCGGGCUCGGGCGUGUCGUCGGUCUUGACGGAGGGUUGAUGCAGGUCUCGGGAGAAGACGUCCGAGGGAACCGUUGUUCGCCCCGAGGCUAUUUUAGCCAGCUCGUCUGCAGUCUCGUUGUAGCGCCGGGCGACGUGGUUGAGCUCGAGCCCGUAGAACUUGUCUUCCAGGCGCCGAACCUCAUCGCAGUAGGCUUCCAUCUUCGGGUCGCGGCAGUGGGAGUUCUUCAUGACUUGGUCGAUGACGAGCUGCGAGUCACCGGGAGCGUCGAGGCGUCGGACCCCUAGCUCGAUGGCGAUGCGCAACCCGUUGGCCAGAGCCUCGUACUCAGCCACAUUGUUGGAUGCCGGGAAAUGGAGGCGUAGCACGUAGCGUAGGUGCUUUCCAAGGGGCGAGAUGAAGAGCAGGCCCGCGCCUGCUCUUGUCUUAAUCAGUGACCCAUCAAAGAACAUGGUCCAGAGUUCCGGUUGGAUCGGAGCUGUUGGGAGCUGGGUGUCGACCCAUUCAGCCACGAAGUCCGCCAAGACCUGGGACUUGAUGGCCUUCCGAGGGGCGAACGAAAUCGUUUCGCCCAUGAUUUCCACCGCCCACUUUGCAAUUUUACCCGAGCCUCUCGGCACUGGAUGAUCUCCCCCAGGGGGAAGGAUGACACCACAGUUACCGGAUGAGACUCGAAGUAGUGUCGCAACUUCCGCCGCGUCAGGAUCACCGCGUAUAGCAGCUUCUGAAUUUGUGGGUAGCGGAUCUUGGUCUCGGACAGUACCUCGCUGAUGAAGUAGACUGGCCUCUGGACGGGCAAUGCAUGCCCCUCUUCUCGUCUCUCAACCACAAUCGCGGCGCUAACCACCUGAGUGGUCGCGGCGACGUAGAUCAAGAGGGCUUCUCCGGCAGCGGGGGGCACCAAGAUGGGCGCGUUUGUAAGGAGCGCCUUCAGGUUCCCGAGGGCUUCCUCGGCCUCAGGGGUCCAAGUGAAGCACUCGGCCUUCCUUAAGAGGCAGUACAGAGGCAGGCCUCUUUCGCCGAGGCGCGAGAUGAAGCGGCUCAGAGCCGUAAGGCAUCCCAUGACUCUCUGUACGCCUUUCAAGUCCUUGAUGGGCCCCAUGCUGGUGAUGGAUGCGAUCUUCUCCGGGUUGGGCUCGAUGCCCCGCUCGGAGACGAUGAACCCCAAGAGCAUGCCUCGGGGAACCCCGAAGACACACUUUUCGGGAUUGAGCUUCACGCCUUUCGCCUUGAGACAUCAGAAUGUCACUUCAAGGUCGGAAAGGAGGUCGGAGGCUUUCCUCGUCUUGACUACGAUGUCAUCGACGUAGGCCUCGACUGUCCGGCCAAUGUGUUCGCCGAACACGUGGUUCAUGCACCGUUGGUACGUUGCACCCGCAUUCCUCAAGCCGAACGGCAUGGUAACAUAGCAGUACAUGCCGAAGGGUGUGAUGAAAGAAGUCGCGAGCUGGUCGGACUCUUUCAUCCUGAUUUGGUGAUACCCCGAGUAGGCAUCGAGGAAAGACAGGGUUUCGCACCCAGCAGUGGAAUCCACGAUUUGAUCGAUGCGAGGCAGAGGGUAGGGAACUUUCGGACAUGCUUUGUUUAGACCAGUGUAGUCUACACACAUCUGCCAUUUCCCUCCUUUCUUUCUCACAAGCACAGGGUUGGCAAGCCAUUCGGGAUGGAAUACCUCUUUGAUGAACCCUGCUGCCAUUAGCUUGUGGAUCUCCUCGCCUAUGGCUCUGCGCUUUUCUUCGUCGAAUCGGCGCAGAGGCUGCUUCACGGGUCGGGCCCCAGCUCGGAUAUCCAGCGAGUGCUCGACGACAUCCAUCGGUAUGCCGGGCAUGUCCAAGGGACUCCACGCGAAAUUGUCGGCGUUCGCGCGGAGAAAGUCGACGAGCACUGCUUCCUAUUUGGGAUCGAGCUCGGAGCCGAUCCGGAUCUGCUUGGAGGCGUCGCUGCUGGGGUCGAGGGGGACGGAUUUAACCGUCUCUGCUAGCUCGAAGUUGCCGGCGUGGUGCUUCACGUCUGGCGCUCCUUAGAGAGGCUCUCCAGGUCGGCGAUGAGGGCCUCGGAUUCGGCGAGGGCCUCGGCGUACUCCACGCACUCCACGUCGCAUUCGUACGCGUGUCGGUACGUGGGGCCGACGGUGAUGACCCCGUUGGGGCCAGGCAUCUUGAGCUUGAGGUAGGUGUAGUUGGGGACGGCCAUGAACUUCGCGUAGCAUGGCCUCCCCAGUACUGUGUGGUAGGUUCCUCGGAACCCGACCACCUCGAACGUGAGGGUCUCCCUUUGGAAGUUGGAGGGCGUCCCAAAGCAAACGGGAAGAUCGAGUUGUCCGAGGGGCUGGACGCGCUUCUCGGGGAUGAUCCCGUGGAAAGGCGCAGCGCCUGCCCGGACCGAAGACAGAUCAACGCGCAGGAGCCCGAGGGUCUCGGCGUAGAUGAUGUUGAGGCUGCUGCCUCCGUCCAUGAGGACCUUGGUGAGCCUGACGUCGCCGAUGACGGGGUCGACAACGAGCGGGUAUUUUCCCGGGCUCGGCACGCGGUCGGGGUGGUCGGCUUGGUCGAAGGUGAUGGGCUUGUCGGACCAGUCUAGGUAGACUGGCGCCGCCACCUGUACCGAACAAACCUCCCGACGCUCUUGCUUGCGAUGCCGAGCUGAGGCGUUCGCCGCUUGCCCACCGUAGAUCAUGAAGCAGUCGCGGACCUCGAGGAACUCUCCUGCCUGGUGGUCCUCCUUCUUAUCGUCGUCGCGAGCCCUGCCACCCUCCGCGGGUGGCCCGACCUUGUGAAAGUGGCAUCAAAGCAUGGCGCACUCCUCAAGGGUGUGCUUAACGGGCCCCUGAUGAUAGGGGCACGGCUCCUUGAGCAUCUUGUCGAAGAGGUUGGCACCUCCGGGGGGUUUCCGAGGGUUCUUGUACUCGGAGGCGGCAACAAGGUCUGCGUCGGCGGCGUCGCGUUUCGCUUGCGACUUCUUCUUGCCUUUCUUCUUGGCGCCGCGCUGAGUUGACGCCUCGGGGACAUCUUCCGGUGGGCGGCCCUGGGGCUGCUUGUCCUUCCGGAAGAUGGCCUCAACCGCCUCCUGGCCAGAGGCAAACUUGGUGGUGAUGUCCAUCAGCUCGCUCGCCCUGGUGGGGGUCUUGCGACCCAGCUUGCUCACCAGGUCGCGGCAGGUGGUGCCAGCGAGGAACGCGCCGAUGACAUCUGAAUCGGUGAUGUUGGGCAGCUCGGUGCGCUGCUUCGAGAAUCGUCGGAUGUAGUCCCGGAGAGACUCUCUCGGCUGCUGUCGGCAGCUUCGGAGAUCCCAGGAGUUCCCAGGGCGCACGUACGUGCCCUGGAAAUUGCCGGCGAAGGCUUGGACCAGGUCGUCCUAGUUGGAGAUCUGCCCCGGAGGCAGGUGCUCCAACCAGGCGCGAGCGGUGUCGGAGAGGAACAGGGGGAGGUUGCGGAUGAUGAGGUUGUCAUUGUCUGUUCCACCCAGUUGGCAGGCCAGCCGGUAGUCUGCGAGCCACAGUUCCGGUCUCGUCUCCCCCGAGUGCUUUGUGAUAGUAGUCGGGGUUCGGAACCGGGUCGGGAACGGCGCCCGUCGUAUGGCGCGGCUGAAAGCCUGCGGACCGGGUGGUUCGGGCGAGGGACUCUGAUCCUCCCCGCUGUCGUAGCGUCCCCCACGCCUGGGGUGGUAGCCUCGGCGCACCCUCUCGUUGAGGUGGGCCUGACGGUUGCGGUGGUGGUGCUCGUUGCCGAGGCGACCUGGGGCCGCAGGCGCUGUGUUGCGCGUGCGCCUGGUGUGGACCGAGGCUUCCCGCAUGAAUCGGGAAGUCGCGGCGCGUUGUUCCGAGGGGUACCCCUGCCUUCGGGAGGCAGAGCUUUCGGCCCGUCGGACCGCGGCGUCCUCCAAGAGAUUCUUGAGCUCUCCCUGGAUACGCCGCCCCUCGGUGGUUGAUGGCUCCGGCAUCGCGCGGAGAAGCAUUGCCGCUGCAGCCAGGUUCUGGCCGACUCCACUGGAAGUCGGUGGCGGCCUUACCCUGACAUCGUCGGCGAUGCGGUGCUGGAUACCCUGGGGUAGGUGACGUACUUCUCCAGCCAGAGACUCCCAAAACGGAGCACCGUCCCGGGCUAGAAAGGUUGCUGGAGACUGCCCAUCUGGAGCUUGACGGGAAGCUGUUCGUCAACACGCAGCAGGCCCCUACCUGGCGCGCCAACUGUCGGCGUUUCGAACCCGGGUGGUCCCUGGACCGACGAGUAAAUUAUCGCCGCGUGCCCCAGCCCAGUUGGGUCGGCGCGAGACGGAGCGCGAAGGGGGGAGGCAGCCGGAGGGAGAUAGACGUGAGAAGUGGAAUCCCGUGGCCUUCGUGUUUGUCCCACGCUCAGGUCGGGUGCGCUUGCAGUAGGGGGUUACAAGCGUCCAUGCGGGAGGGAGGGAGCGGCCUCACGCGAGCGCCGUCCCGUCCUUCUCCGCGCGGCCAACCCUCGUAAGAGGGCCCUGGUCCUUCCUUUUAUAGGCGCAAGGAAAGGAUCCAUGUGUACAAUGGGGGUGUAGCAGCGUGCUAACGUGUCUAGCGGAGGAGAGCUAGCGCCCUAAGUACAUGCCAUCGUGGCAGCCGGAGAGGUUUUGGCACCCGGUUCGUGUGGUGUCGUGGCCGUCGGAGGAGCGCUGGAGCCCGGCGGAAGGAUAGCUGUCGGGUCCUUGCUGACGUCCUCUUGCUUCCGUAAGGGGGCUGAGAGCCGCCAUCAUCAUAGAGCGUGCGGGGCGCCAUCAUUACUUGUCUGGCGGAGCGAGCCAGAUGGGAUGCCGGUCUUGUUCCCCGUAGCCUGAGUCAGCUUGGGGCAGGGUAAUGAUGGCGCCUCCUGUUGACGUGGUCGGUCUGUGCCCUAGUUUGGGCAAGGUGGAGGCUCCUCCGAGGUCGAGGUCGAGUCUGUCUUCCAAGGUUGAGGUCGAGUCCGAGCCCCCGGGUCGGACGAGGCGUAGACCGUCGGCUGAUGCCAGGGCUAACACCGAGCCCUGGGGUCGGGCGAAGCGGAGUUCGUCGUCCUUCGGGACUGAGCCCGAGUCCGAGCCCUGGGGUCGGGCGAAGCGGAGUUCGUCGUCUUCCGGGGCUGAGCCCGAGUUCGAGCCCUGGGGUCGAGCGGAGCGGAGUUCGUCGUCUUCCGGGGCUGAGCCCGAGUCCGAGCCCUGGGGUCGGGCGGAGCGGAGUUCGUCGUCUUCCGGGGCUGAGCCCGAGUCCGAGCCCUGGGGUCGGGCGGAGCGGAGUUCGUCGUCUUCCGGGGCUAAGCCCGAGGCAUUGAUAGAGCACGACAUGAGAGCAGUAUGGGUUGGUGGGUGGUGCACUUAUUUUGGAUUGUACGUGUGACAUUAGAGAGGCCAUUAUAGUUCAGGACAUACAUAUAAGAACAUUCAUCAUUUGAAGUGAACACAUAUAUAGCCGGUUCCAUCAGUGUUUACAUUUGCAUAGUAAAUAGUUUGUUUUUUUAUUUAAUGGACGAUCCAAAAAAGUAGGAAAAGAAGCAGGUGAGAAAUAGAUGUGAAUGUAUGCAACUCACCGUACUCAAAGCAAACUAUUACCUAGGCAAAGCAUACUUUUAGUUAAGAAUUACCAUUAUAAUUAGCAUCAACCUCUAUAUACUGGAAGCAUGCGUAUAAACUUUAUACCCCAAUAAAUACCCCAAAUACACACAAGUUUGGAACAAAAAUGUUUUAUAAAAAAUAGAAAUUAUAAAAACAUAGUUAACAACUGAUUAGUACUCGACCAAACGAGUGUUGCACGAAACUAACAUAUUAUUGAUGCAGUAAUCGACCAAACGAGUGUGUCGCUACUUAGCUUAGAGUACUUUUAAUUUAUGCAGUUGUAAAAAUUCAGCAAAAAAAUGAAUCAACUCAUUGCUUGGCUAGGUCAGGCCCUGCUGAUCCAUUUGCAUUGGUGAUCUGUUUGGUUCCUAGCAAACAGAUUAAAUUGAAUAUAUCCGCAAAACUGGACAACAGGAUUUCAGCUAGUUCUAUUACAUUCAUAUAAACAGACAACAAGCAAACACAGUGGUUCAGGACAGAGAAUGCGAAGGGUAUUUUCUUAUGAGCACAAUGUGAGUGAUGAUGGCUCCAUCCUACCAGUCACAAAUGUACUAAAAUACUAAUCAACCCUACUUGAUAAAGAAGGUAAGGUAAACUAAACAAUGCAUGUAGAAGGUAAGGUAAACUAUACACAAACUACAUAUUGUCCAAAUUAGCAAACGACACACUGGGCACUAUAAAUUAGCACACAAUCCUACAGAGCCAGUAAUUGGAUUCACAUGAAGUUUGGAACAAAAAAUAGAAAUUAGUAAAUGUUCUUACACAUUCUUAUACACACAAGUUUGGAACAAAAAUGUUUUAGAAAAAAUAGAAAUUACAAAACAUAGUUAACAAAUAAUUAGUACUCGACCAAACGAGUGUUUCACGAAACUAACAUAUUAUUGAUGCAAUAAUCGACCAAACGAGUGUGCCGCUACUUAUCUUAGAGUACUUUUAUUUUAUACAGUUGUAGAAAUUCAGCAAAAAAUGAAUCAACUCGUUUUUGGCUAGGUCAGGCCCUGCUAAUCCAUUUGCAUUGGUGAUUGUUUGGUUCCUAGCAAACAGAGUAAGCAAAAAUAAUACCACACAAAAGAGUAGAGUCGAGCCUCAUGGCAUACAUUGGUCGAGGCCAACGCGGUUGAGCAAUAUCAGAUAUCCUUCCUCUUCGGCAGCGGGGCAAGCUCCUUCUCCUUCGGCUCCUCCUUACUCUCCAGUGGCGAGGGCGUGGGAAUGUAGGGGAAAGAGGAUUGAGCAGGGGUAUGCAGAAUGGGAUAUGGUUAGUGGCUCCCAGAUGAGGAUGUUUGUCGGUGUUUUGGGUCCGACCACACACCCGGGGUUGCCCCUCAAGGUGUUUUAGGAGUAGGACGGUGUCGCCGACUGUAGCUAAAUGGUUCGUGCCUGAUGCACGAGGAACAAUGGACAAUGUUUACAAGUUCGGGCCGCUUUGAGAUGUGUAACACCCUACGUCCUGGCGAGUAUGCUUUGUGUAUGAGUUACAAGGUCGCUCUCCAAAGCGUAGAGAGUUGAGGUGGACGGUUGAAUAGUAAUGGGGUCGAUCGUUCUGAAGGGGUGCCCCCUAGGCCUUAUAUAUUCGACCGUGAGGCAAUACAUGUGGAUAUGCACCUAAAAGAUAGUGAACCAUUUUUGUCUAUCUUCCUAUGAUUCUGCCAACUUAUCCUCGCCUGGUUACGUCGUACGGGGCUCCAGCGCGGGAAAGUCGGAUCUUCUGUUGCGGUCGCUUGCUCAACGCUGUGGGGCCAUCCGGUUUUGCGCCCACCCGGCCUUAUGUCGAUCUGCUCCACUAGUCGUUUCUCCCCAGGCCCAUGAAGGAGUGACCUCACGAUUUAUUGGGCUCUUGGGCCUUUCGUGAGGUCUUUUACCCUUCCAGUGGACCCGGGGGAUAUCUGUCCCCCACAAGCCCCCGAUCUUCGGGCUGAUUUUAAGAUAAUCAGUCCAAAGAUCCUAGGUCCAGCUUGCGGUCUUUGUUUAUGAUAAGAGAUGCUUUCCAAGCAGUCCGGUAAAAAUGAUUUUUUACUGUCUCCUUCUGCUUAGAUCACUCGUAAACUGGAGCCUUGUUUCAUGCUUGUGCCUUAGAGGUCGGCAUUUCUUGUUGUAGGACCCUAGACUUCAUUGGGUGCACCGGAGGUGCACCCAAUGGGUGUAGCCCCCGAGCUUCGAGUGGAUUUUGGAAAAUAAUCCACUCGAAGGUCUUCAUCAGAAAUUACUUUUAUUUUCCACUUGUACUUUAGUUGAGGAUCAAUCUUGUCUUCAAUCUUGCCUUAUGCCUUAGAAGUUGGUGUUGUCUUCUCCUGAAAUGGUGAUUCAUUGGGUGCACCGGAGGUGCAUCCAAUGGGUGUAGCCCCCGAGCUUCGAGUGGAUUUUUGAAGAUAAUCCACUCGAAGGUCUUACUUUCGUGUCUUUUUGCUGAGGGUUAUCUUUUCUGCCUUAGAAGUCGGCAUUAUGUCAUCCACAUUAUGCUUUAGAGGUCAGCAUUAUGUCAUCAAUAUUAUGCUUCAGAGGUCAGCAUGUAGUUUGUCUCUUGCAGCCGAGUUCGUGAUCCGCCCAUAUCUUGCUAGGUGGUGCAAUUUAUUUGCUCUGCGACUGAUUGGACAUUUGAUGGACGUUCCAUGGCUAGUCUUCACGUCGCUUCUGUCGGUCAGAUUUUGUACUUCACCGGCUAUAUUUGGCUUUCCUUUGAUCCUUACUGAUAUCUCAUUUUUGUCUUGAGGUAUUCAUUGCAUGCCCUGCACGGAUGUGACAGUUUUGAAAAAUAUAUUGAUAAUUCCUGGGCGUCCCCCCCCCAAUGGGUGUGGGCAAGGGACGGCUUGGUACGCUAAGUGUUUUAGCCGGCUGCUUCUGAGUAGUAAUGUGAUGUGACGGCGGGUGUAAUCAUAUCAUCUGCGUUGUUGACUGGAGUCCCAAUGGGUGUUGCGUUGCGUGAAACGACGUCAGCCGCCUGACGUGUCUUCAGACGGGUUGAAGUGUGUAUUGAAUGCUUCACGACUGUUCAGUGACCGUGGUUGGAGGUGAGCGGUUGCCUUCUUCUUCUAUAAAUAGUGCCUUUGCCUCUCUGGUUUUUUCACAUCUCUUGCUGUUCUCCGCUGCUUGCUUUCUUCCUCUCCUUGCAUUUCCACCAUGGGCAAGAACAACAAACGCAAGCGCGAGCCGACUCCUCCAUCAGAGGACUUUGGCGACUCGGAAUACUCAGAGGAGGAGUUCUCCUCUGAGUCCGAGGGGUCUCCGGCUCCCGUCUCUCCCCCAGCGUCGUCCGAUGACUCAGACGACUCUCAGGGGAUUGCCGCGAAGGUCUGGACUUACAUCCGGGCCGUCGAGCGCUCCGGGCUCGAGGGCUCGGAUGAGUCGGAGUACUCCUCGGACGAGGAGGACUUGCCCGAGGAGGACGGCGAAGGUGACGACGACGACGACGACGACGACGACGGAGGCGACGGCAGCGACGACGGUGACGGCGGCAGCAGGGGCGACAACGGCGGCAGCAGGAGCGGCAACGGCGGCAGCAGCAGGGGCAGCGGCGGCGGCGGCAGCAACAAGGCCAGUGGCUAAAUGCCACUGGUUUUUAGAUAUUAGUAUAGAUUAGAAGUAGUAUAGUAAAAUAACGUAGUAGUAUUAGUGGUGUAGAGUAGUAUAGUGUAGCGUAGUAGUAGUAGUAGUUGGGGAGUAUCAACUCAUAAUGAGUUGAUUUGUAAGUACUGUUACUUCCCUUAAUGAAGAAUGACUUUGUCUCCUCCUGUGCCAAUUGCUUUGCUUCAUAGUAAGUUGAUCUCUUAUUUGUGAAGUUGAUUCAUUCGGAAUAGUAUCUAAAUAACUCGGGCAUCAUAUCGCCGCCUCAGGGGUGAUGGUCGAGCUAUUAUUGUCGACAUUUAUGCAUUUGAAAUAGAGUCCGAGUGACGACGAAAUCAUGUCAGUGCUGGAAUGACUGUUGACCACGUCGGCGAUCUUAAAGGUGACAGUCGAGUAACUUGUGACGACGCCAGCGUUUUUUAGAGAUAACCGCCGAGCGACUGAGGACAUCGUCGGCGCUUUAGAGAUAGCCACCGAGCGACUGAAGACAUCGUCGGCACUUUAGAGAUAAAUGUCGAGCGACUGGAGGCAUCGUCGGCACUUUAGAGAUAAAUGCUGGGCGACUGGUGAUAACGUUGGCGUUUUAGAAAUUGCCGUCGAGCGACUGAAGACAUCGUCGGCGCUUUAGAGAUAAAUGCCGAGCGACUGGUGAUAACGUCGGCGUUUUAGAAAUAACAGCCGAGUUAGAACGGGUUGUGUCGGCCACUUUGAGGAUAAUAGCCGAGUGAUGAUGUGGCCCGCCGGGGUUUUAGAAGUAACCGCCGGGUGACAACGUGGCACGCCGAUGUUUUAGAUGUAACUGCCGGGUGACAAUGUGGUACGCCAGUGUUUUAGAAGUAACUGCCGGGUGCUGACUGGGCACUCUUGGAAACGGUAUCUAACUCGGGAAUAUCCCAUAUGUACUACGCUUUUCAGCCGCUUCUGCUUUCCGUGCCCUAGUUCUUGCUUUCCUGCCUCUAGAUCCUCUCUACAAUUCGGCUCUCGCUCUGUUCGCCAGUAGAGUUGAGAUGGCGCCCAAGCGAAAGGCCUCGAGUUCAUCCGCUGUGGUGAUUCCCCCCCAUCGAUCCCAACAGCCAGUUGCCUUUCGCAGGUAACCAUAUGUCUGUUGUCUCCGAGCCUGACCUUCUCCACCUCGUAUCCAUCAGGGUCCUUCCCCCGAGGGAGCUUUGUUCUUGGCGGAUUUGCCAUGGGGUCACUGUCCCGACAGAGGAUACCCACGAAUCCGUAAUUUAUGUUCCUUUCCUUCUCCGCGGUCUCGGUCUUCCCAUUUCUCCAUUUUUCCGCGGCCUCCUUGAUUUCUAUCGUCUUAAUUUGACCCAUCUGAAUCCCAAUUCCAUUAUGCAAAUUUCCAUUUAUGUUCAUCUGUGCGAAGCUUUUCUUGGCGUCCUGCCACAUUUUGGGUUGUGGAAGUAUCUGUAUCACUGCCGUCCUGGAAUGGCCGGGGGCAGCAUCAGCUGGUUGGGGGUGCUAGUUUAGAGAUGCGCCGUGGGAGGAAGUCUGAUUAUCUUGAAAUCCCUCUCAAGGACAGUAUUAAGGGAUGGCGCUUGGAGUGGUUUAUCGUUGAAAACUACGGAAAUUCUCUCCCCCCCACGAUCAGGGAGACAGCCGGACGUUCGUACCCCGAGUUGGACCGAGUCCCCCACAGAUCAGGAGGUAGCUGAGGCUGGGGCUUUGCUAGCUGAAGUUGGACUGCUGAAGGAGAGGGGUCUGACUGCAGAGGCUGUGGUUGCUGAUUUUGUUUUCAAGAACAUUCAGCCGUUGAAGGACAGGGCUUACCCGGCUUAUCUGUAUCGAGGCCUAGCUGACUCAACUCGGGUUACCAACAAAAGAAUUCCCUCUGUAGACUUGGUGAACCGACUUGAGAUGAUCCUUAGAGGCAUGGUAUCAAACGUUGGUGCCCCAGUGGCAUACUCGGCCUGGAACCUGCCUCCUUCCAAAGCCUUCACUUAUUUUGUUUCGAAUCCACCUGUUGCUGAUGGCAGUUUGGGCCUUAGAGUGCGGCCCUCUGCUGAAGAAGUUAACGCUUUGGUUGCCUCGUUCGGGGAAAUUCCUGAUGAUGAACGGCAAGUCCACUUUGAGGUACCUUUGGAUCCUAGUGACGCAGAAAUAAGUGCUAUGCUUGAUUUGCUGGCUGAGGACUCUUCUGAUGCUGCUCCUGCUGGGACGUUGGUGGUGGCGCCUCCCCCAGAAACUGAUACAACCUUGGAUGUUCAGAGGCCUGUCAACGUUCGCCCAAGACGCCCUUCCUGAGCCAAUCAACUUAAUCCUCCUGCUGACGAGCAGAAAAGGAAAAAGAGACGUCUCCGGCGAGUAUCUAGUUUGGAUCGGGAUGUUGGUCCUUCGGUUCCUGCUGCUGAAGAAGUGCCUGUUCCUGAAUUUACUGAUGCUGACUUCAAUGGGGGUGCUCCACCUGCUGCUGACCCCAAUGGGUGUGCUCCAUCUGCUGCUGACCCCAAUGGGGGUGCUCCAUCUGCUGCUGACCCCAAUGAGUGUGUUGUCUGUGUUGCUGAUGAAAACGACGGGGAGGAAGAAGAUGAAGUCCCUUUGACUCGGAAGAACAGUCGGCAGUAUGUCGCCAGUGGGGAAAGUAGUGGAGUUCCUUCUCCUGCUCUGUCUGCCCUCAUUGGUCUACAAGAGUUGUCCCUGGCAAACUUCGAUCAGACUCUUGAGGAUAUGGUUCCAGAAGACCUACUGUCAGAGCCAGUGGAUGAUGGUGUGAUGGAGGUUUGUGCUAAUGUGCUCGACGCCGGGCUGGGAUCGUCCCGGGCAGCGUCCCGCGCCUCAUCAACCUUAGAGCGCGGUCUUGAGGGUCAGGAAACUGACUUGGAUCGUCUUGCUCCCAUGGAAGUAAUUGAGGGACCGUCAGCCUUAGAGGCGGCUACUGCAGAGAACUUAGCCCUCAAGGAUGAUGCUGACACUUGCCCAGCCCCCGAGGAUGUUGCCGGGGAUGACUCGGCUCGGGUGGGAGACGCGAGCCACUGCCCAGCCCUCGAGGGUACUGCCGGAGAUGAUCCGGCUCAAGUGGGUAGCGCCGACUAUGGCCCAGCCCCCGAGGGUGUCCGAGCGGGGUCUCCCUUUUGUACUUCCAUGGAUGUUCACGCAGGAUCUUCUCCGCGCUCUGGUUGCAUGGUGGUAGCCCAAGCUUUAGGCCAGGGAGUCGCUUUAGAGGCUAGCGCUCCCACUGACCAAGUUUUGGGCUCUGUUGAUGGUACCGAGUUGGUCCCUGCUGGUUCAUUGCAAGCUGCUUCGGGUGGCGACCUUACGCCAGGUCGUCAAUUGAUUUCUCACGAUUUGGGAGUCCUUUCGUUCUUCUCCAAUCUCCAGGUAUUGUGGUAUAUUCUGGCCUGACUUUUACACCAUACGAACUGCUGCCAACACGCUCAUAUGUUCUCCAUAUCAGGCAUUGGUGGACGGAAUGGCUAGUCAGCUGAGGUUGCAAGGUGCUUCUGUUCCAGAAGGAGCUUCAUCUCUGGCACGUUGGAAUCCAGUGUUGCUCCAACAUCGUGUCUCUGAUUUGGAGGCGACGAAUGCUGGUUAAUACUCUUUUGCUUCUCUUUGUCUACCUUAUUGAACUGCUUUACAUUUUGACUCUUUUUGCUUGAUUGUCUCUCGCUAGAUAUGGCUCGGCAGAUUUCCAUUCUUGAAGAAAAACAUUCUCAAGGUCAGGCUGAACUGGUCCAGUGGUGUUCUAAUUUUGAGGAAAAGUAUUCUCAAAGCCAGACUGAGCUAGCCCAGGUCUCUACUGCUCUGAAUGAUGCUAAGACGCUGAACUCUACUCUUCGCGCUCAGCUUGAUUCUGAAAAGGUGACUUAUGAAACUGUGCCUUGUAUUGCUGUGUUUUUAUUGCUUGCAUGAUGUUUGAAGGAGUUUAUUCUUGUUUGCAGGAAGAAAAAAGUGCCCUUGUUGCUUCUCGCGACAAUCUUGAUAGACUGUAUCGUGAUUCCAGCAACUCGUUGACCAUCCUAGAGAGGAAUCAUCGCUUCACCAUGGAGGAGUUAGACAAUCAUCGUUGUAAGCUACAGGAAUCCACAGAUGAAGUGAUCCGUCUCCGGUAGUUGAUAUCAGCUAAGGAUGCUGCUAUCAAAGAACUCCGUGCUUCCAAGAAAUCCAUCGCCCAAGAGCUAGAGACUGCUCAACUGGCUGUCAAAGUUGCUGAAGAAACUUCCAUUACUCUGAGGGCCCAGCGCGAUAGAGCCAUGGAUAAAGCCAUUCGCGCGGGGCGAAUCUUGAUGAGGAGACCCGGCGUGGUUGUUCCUGAAGACAUAAGGGCUGACGUGAACGCUGCUCCUGAUUCCUCAAGUCGCUCUUGUUCGUCGGCUGCUCCUGAGAAAGAUAUUGCAAAAUAGAGAAACAUUUUGCGUGCUUUGAGCGCGCGGUUAGCAUGAUCGAAUAUUUGUUAGAGGACACCGGCUCAGCAUUUGAAUGAUAUUGUUACUCUCCUAUUGUUUUGGAAUUCGACAGUACGUAAAUUUGCAGUAGUAAAGUGCUAUGUGAUGGUUUUGGAACUUGCUCAUGGGAUAUAGAAAUCACUCCUAUAUGCGUAUUCGUAAGCAUGCAAAAUCGUCUUAAGUCGUUGCUGACUUGAAUCGAUCGCUUUUGCUAGUAGGGCAUAGUGGUCACCCCGAGUUAAGUAAGCGCGAGCAUGUUGCACCGCCUUAAGUCGUUGCUGACUUAAGCCGAUUGCUACGUUGGCAGGGCAUAGUGGUCACCCCGGGUUUAGUAAGCGCGAGCAUGUUGCACCGCCUUAAGCCAUUGCCGACUUAAGCCGAUUGCUCCAUUAGCAGGGCAUAGUGGUCUCCCCGAGUUAAGUAAGCGCGAGCAUGUUGCACCGUCUUAAAUCGUUGCCGACUUAAGCCGAUUGCUCCGUUAGCAGGGCAUAGUGGUCACCCCGAGUUAAGUAAGCGCGAGCAUGUUGCACCGCCUUAAGUCGUCGCCGACUUAAGCCGAUUGCUCCGUUAGUAGGGCAUAGUGGUCACCCCGAGUUAAGUAAGCGCGAGCAUGUUGCACCGCCUUAAGUCGUCGCCGACUUAAGCCGAUUGCUCUGUUAGCAGGGCAUAGUGGUCACCCCGAGUUAAGUAAGCGCGAGCAUGUUGCACCGCCUUAAGUCGUCGCCGACUUAAGCCAAUUGCUCCGUUAGCAGGGCAUAGUGGUCACCCCGAGUUAAGUAAGAAUGCAAGUCAAUCAUGAACAAACUGAGUAUCUUUGAAGCCUUUUUUAUUGAUGACAUAUUUCCCAUUUUACAGAGUACAUCGUCGUCCCGAUAGCUUUUGAAAUACAGCUAAGGAUAAAACUUCCUGACGUGUUCUAUAUUCCAGGAGUUCCCAAUUUCUGUGCCGUCCAUUUGAGUGAGACGAUAUGAUCCCGGCCGAGUGACUUCUGCUACUAUGAAUGGUCCUUCCCAUAAGGGCGAUAACUUGUGCUGUCCCUCCCCCGUUAGAAUUCGGCGGAGGACGAGAUAUCCUACUGAAAAGGAUCGUUGUCGCACGGCCUUGUCGUGAUAGCGUCUCAGAGUCUGCUGGUACCGUGCCGAUUGAAUUACUGCGUUUAGCCGCUCUUCUUCGAGUACAUCAACAUCUUCCAGCCUAGUUGCUUCGGCCUCUGCUAUGCUUUCAAAGAUCAACCUUGGCGCCCCAAACUUGAGAUCAGCAGGCAGUACUGCCUCUGACCCAUAGACCAUGAAGAAAGGAGUGUUUCCAUGCAGAGCUCGGUUAGGUUGGGUUCUUAGGCUCCAAACGACGUAAGGCAAUUCCCUUAUCCACUUUCCUGCAAACUUUUCAUUCUUAUCAAAGACCUUUUUCUGAGUGCCUCCAAUAUCAUCCCGUUAGCUCGUUCAACCUGCCCGUUGGCUCUCGAGUGUGCUACCGAAGCAUACUUGACCUGAAUGCUUUUUUGCUCACAGAAAUUGAAGAAUUCUGAAUUUGUGAAGUUGGACCCCAAGUCGGUUAUGAUGAUGUUCGGUAUUCCAAACCUGAAUAUUAUGUCUUGUAUGAAUUACACGGCUUUAGCUGAGGUUAAAGAAGCAAUGGGUUUGAACUCUAUCCAUUUAGUGAAUUUGUCGAUUGCUACCAACACGUGAGUGUAUCCUCCUUGAGCUUUCUUGAAAGGUCCAAUCAUAUCUAGCCCCAGCAUGCAAAGGGCCAAGUCACCGGUAUGGUCUGCAGUUGCUGUGCUGGUAGAUGUUGUUGUUUCGACAAGUACUGGCAAGCUUUGCACCUCUGAACUAACUCAGCGGCAUCACUUUUUGCUGUUGGCCAAUAGAAUCCUGACCUGAAGACCUUCCCGACUAGUGUCUUGGACGCUGCGUGUAUUCCACAUUGUCCAGCAUGAACCUCCUCCAGAAGUUGCUUCCCAGUAGACGAUAGAAUGCAUUUCAUGAAGAUGCCUGAUGCGCCCCUUCUGUAUAGUGUCUCCCCAAUGAGUGUGUAGUGAGCCGACUGUCUGGCGAUACGCUCGGCUGCAUUUUUAUCGUCUGGCUCCUCUUCAUUUUUUAUAUAUCUGAUGAUCGGCCUUCUCCAGUCAUCAGAGCUUGACUCUGGUUGAUUCACGAUAUUACACUCUUCUGCCUGAUCCAUUGAGAUGCUUGGUCAUGGUAUUUCUUGUACAAAGACUCCGGGUGGGACCUGAGUUCGACUGGAUCCUAGCUUGGACAAUACAUCGGCUGCCGUGUUUCGAUCUCUUUCUACAUGAUGAAAUUCCAGGCCUUCAAAUUUAUCUUCUAGUUUUCGGACGGCAGUGCAAUAUUUUCCCAUUGAAUCAUUCGAACAGUCCCAUUCUUUGUUUAUCUGGCUUAUGACUACCAAAGAAUCUUUGUAUACCAUUAGUCUCUUGAUGCCUAAUGAUAUGGCGAUGUUUAGUCCAUGGAUCAGAGCUUCAUACUCGGCUGCAUUGUUGGAGGCUGGAAAUAACAACUGGAGGGCAUACUUGAGGUGCUCGCCUCCAGGUGCGAUGAAGAGAAUUCCCGCGCCUGCCCCCUGCAGCUUCAGCGAGCCAUCAAAAUACAUCUGCCAUACCUCUGCAGUUUCUGGGUUCUCUGGUACUUGUUGUUCAGUCCAUUCUGAUACGAAGUCAACCAAUGCUUGAGUUUUGAUGGCAGUGCGAGGUCGAAAUUCGAUGUCGUGAGAUCCUAGUUCACAGGCCCACUUGGCUAUUCGGCCAAUGGCUUCCUUGUUGUGAAGGAUAUCCCCUAUCGGAAAACCAGUGACUACUAUGACUUUGUGGUCAUCAAAGUAGUGACGUAGUUUGCGGGCAGUUAGAAGUACUGCGUAUAAUAGCUUCUGAACUUGAGGAUACUUUUUCUUCGAGGGACCUAGAACUUCACUGAUGAAAUAAACAGGAUGUUGCACUAGGUAGGCAUGUCCUUCUUCUGCUCGCUCGACUACCAACACGGUGCUCACCACGUGAGUCAUGCAAGAGAUAUACAGCAGCAGAUCUUCAGCUGGUUGAGUUGAUGUGGCUCGCCGCGGUGGUUUCAGUACUGGUGGGGUUGUCAAGAAUUUCUUCAGCGCAUCUAGGGCUUCUUGUGCUUCUGAAGUCCACUGAAACUUGUCCACCUUCUUGAGUAGCUUGUAAAACGGUAAACCUUUUUCUCCUAGCCUGGAUAUAAAUCUGCUCAGGGCUGCCAUACAUCCGGUAAGUCGUUGAACCUUCUUUUGUGAUCGUGGGGCUCCCAUUUUCAUGAUAGCUUCAAUCUUAUCCGGAUUAGCUUCAAUUCCCCGGUGGCUGACAAUGAAUCCGAGUAGCUUCCCUGCUGGUACUCCAAAGACACAUUUUUCGGGAUUAAGCUUCCAUCGAUAUAGCCGUAGACUAUUGAAAACCAGCUGUAAGUCUUCGAUGAAGUUUUCUGAGUUCUCUGUUUUGAUUACCACGUCAUCCACGUAGGCUUCCACACGCUUGCCCCAGUGAUCGGCUAAGCAUGUUUGAAUGGCUCUCUGAUAAGUCGCUCCAGCGUUUUUGAGGCCAAACAACAUGGAGGUAUAGCAGAAAGCACCGAAUGGAGUGAUGAACGCUGUUUUUUCCUCGUCUUCCUUUGCCAAGCUGAUCUGAUGAUAUCCAGAAUAGCAAUCCAGAAAAGACAGCACAGAACAUCCAGCGGUGGAGUCUACCACCUGAUCUAUCCUAGGGAGCCCGAAGGGAUCCUUUGGACAAUGUUUGUUGAGAUCUGUAUAGUCGACGCACAUGCGCCAAUCCACUUUAUUCUUUUUGAGUACAAGAACAGGGUUGGCUAACCACUCGGGAUGUAACACCUCUCUAAUAAACCCAGCCGCGACCAAGCGAGCCAACUCAGCGCGAAUGGCCUCUCUUUUGUCGGGCGUGAAGCGACGUAGUUUUUGCCGGAUCGGCCUUGCUUGGAGGUAGACCUUCAGUUUGUGCUCGGCCAGUUCUCUCGGGACUCCCGGCAUAUCCGCAGGUUGCCAUGCGAAUACGUCUCGGUUGUCUUGCAGGAACCGGACGAGCGCGCCUUCCUAUUUAUCGUCCAGGCUGGAGCUGAUGAUGGCAGUCUUGCGUUCAUCAGCGAACCCCAGGUUGAUCCUUUUAGUUUCUUCAGUCGGUCGCAUAGAGGUCGCGGCUUGAGCUUCGUUCGCCAGUGCCGUAAGGUCUUCCUCAGGCUUAGAGUUCGCCUGCGCUGAAGAAGUCGCCGACGGUUUGGUGGUGAGGGCUGCUUGGAUGGCCACUCGGAAACAUUCUACGGCGCCUUGAAAGUCAGCGCGCACAGUUAUGAUUCCUUGUGGCCCUGGCAUCUUUAGUAUCAUGUACGUGUAAUGCGGGAUGGCCAUGAAUUUUGCCAAUCCUGGCCUCCCGAUGAUGGCGUUGUACCCGCAGUCGAAGUUUGCCACUUCGAACCUCAGGAACUCGGUUCUGUAAUUCUCCGGAGUUCCGAAGGUGACGGGCAUGUAGAUGUGGCCCAGCGGGUAUUCCCCUUCGGUCGGCACGAUGCCGAAGAAAGGAGUGUCCGACUCGCGGAGUUCUUUGAGGUGAACUCCCAAGCCUUGGAGUGUCCGGGGGAAGGUGACGUUGAUGAUGCUUCCCCCGUCCACUAGCACCUCCUUCGCCCUGCUCUCUCGGAUCACCGGAUCGACGAGGAGCGGGUACUUGCCUGGGUGGUCGAAGUUGAGCCAUUGAUCUGCCCGAGUGAAGGUAAUCGGGUGCUCCGACCACCGGUACGGAGCGGGAGGACAGGUGGUCGUCACCAAUAUCUGGCGAUCGUUGAGCUUUUGUUGUCUUCUGUUCUCCUGUGAUCCGUGUCCGCCGAAGAUGACGUUGACCUCCCUGUCAACGCGUGGGAAGGCUCCUCCUUCCCCCUCCUCCUGCUGCUGGGGUUGUCGUGGUUCUUCUGGUCCUCCCCGCGGCGGAGGAGGAGGUAGAGGUUGGAAGGGUCGGCCGUGUCCGAUGGAGUGCUUGAAGUCCUUGCAGUUCCGAAGGGUGUGGCGCAUGUCCUUGUGGUACGGGCACUGGGCGUCGAGGAUGUCGUCCAGCGUGCGCUCGCCUCCGCGAGGUCCUCCCCGGGCGCGAGAGGCAGGUGGUCCGGCGACGUGCACUUCUUCGCGAGGUCUUUUCUCCCAGCGUUUGUCGGGUUGCUGGUUCGCGUCGCGUCGCAUCGUGGCGCAGCCAGUGCGGGCUUCGCUCCCCCGAUGAGGUCCUGAGCUCGCUCGUCGGCGGUGAUGUAGAGGUCGGCUUCCCGGAACAGCUGCUCGGAGGUAGUCGGCGCUUUCUGCAGUAUGGCUCGGACGAAGGCCGAGUCAUUGGAUCCUCUGUAGAAGUCCUCGAUCACGGCCGCCUCCGUGACCUCGGGGAUUCGAUUUCUCAUGGUCUGGAACCUUUUGAGGUACGACCGGAGAGUUUCGUCCCCCCGACGCUUGAUGGAUUUGAGGUCCCAUGGUUGCGCUAGUUUGUCGGAGAGGGACUGAAGGUUGGCGGUGAAGCGUCGACUGAAGUCGUUCCAGUCGUCGAUGCAGUGUCGAGGUAGAUGUCGCAGCCAUUGUAGUGCGUCUUGCCCGAGGACAAUGGGUAAGUACGCAGUCAUCACGUCCUCGGAUGCUCCGGCGGCUCGGGCGGCAGUGGUGUAGACAGCCAACCAGCCUCCUGGAUCCUGCUUAGGUUCAUAUUUGUCGACAUUGAAUACCUUGAAGUUAGGGGGCCACUGAAUGGCCCUAAGGCGUGGAGUAAGGGCUGUCACUCCACACGUGUCCUCCUGUCGUCGGGGAUGAUGUCUGUCCCGGGGAGGGGAGUAGUCGUUGUGGUUCCUCGACCGACCCCGGGUAGUACCGCCAGUCGAAGCCGUGGCUGACUCGGUUCUGGUUGCCUGACUCCGAGCUGGGAUGCUGUGAUCCCUGUCAUACUCCUCCCGGCGGCGGAUCUCGUUCUCAUGCCGUCGUUCACGCGAAGCGUUGAUGGAGCUUCGCGCGUCCCGACGACUGUUGAUGGCGUGUCGUAGAUCGUUCGGCGGGUGAGCGAGCGGUAGAAGAUGGUUGGCUGCCUGGGUGAACAUUCGUCGAUAGCCCUCGGCGUCGGGAGUCCGAGGGAGUCCAUCAGCUAUCCGAUCUAGUACCCCUCCGACUUCACUCGGCGUGUUCAUGGCUCGGGCGAAGUCGGGAUUCAGGUUGCGCCCGAAGAGUGGAUUUUCUCGGCGCUGCCUUGCAUCCUGCUCGGCUUGUUCCUGAGCUCGUCGGCGAUCACGUCGGCGGGAAUUCCUUCGUUCUCUGAAGACGCGUUCCUCCGGAGUUUCUCCUAUCUCCGAGACCUUGUCCCGCGAAACAGGCUGCUUUGGAUCCCGUUCUCUGGCCUCAUGAUGUCGCCGAAUGUUUCGGCGUCGGUUUCUCCACCGACGGGAUUCCCGCUGAGGUGGUUCUUCUCUGGGUGCGGUCGGCUCGUCGUCGGAGACGGGGGCGACUCCACUCUCCCGAUGAAGAGGAUGUCGGGGUAGAAUGGUGCGGCGGUCGUGGCGAUCUUCUUCCCGUUCUCCUUUGAGGGCGAAGGAACGGAAAGAACGACUUGCUUCCUUUCGGUCUCUUUCUUCCUUGCGAUCUGUGUCCAUUCUUUCGUCGGGGAAGUAGACAAUGGAGUUCUCCGGGUCAGCGGGCUCUCGGCCCCUGGCUUGCCGAGGGCGAUCUUUUUUCGGAGCGCUGGAGGUCGCGCUUUUUCCUUCCUCUCCCCGAUAUUCUCGGAGCGUGUUGGAGUGGACUUCUUCUUUGGCGGAUCGACGAUGCGGUGUAGAGUUCCCUCUUCAUCUGCUAUGGACGAGAUCGUUCCAAAGCAGAAUACGGAUCCGGGUCGGAGGGUGAUCUUGUUGUAGAAGGUGACAGCCAUUGAGCUAGAUUGGAUCGGCGACACACCCCCUACCUGGCGCGCCAGCUGUCGGUGUUUUGGGUCCGACCGCACACCCGGGGUUUCCCCUCAAGGUGUUUUAGGAGUAGGACGGUGUUGCCGACUGUAGCUAAAUGGUUCGUGCCUGAUGCACGAGGAACAAUGGACAAUGUUUACAGGUUCGGGCCGCUUUGAGAUGCGUAACACCCUACGUCCUGGCGAGUAUGCUUUGUGUAUGAGUUACAAGGUCGCUCUCCAAAGCGUAGAGAGUUGAGGUGGACGGUUGAAUAGUAAUGGGGUCGAUCGUUCUUAAGGGGUGCCCCCUAGGCCUUAUAUAUUCGACCGUGAGGCAAUACAUGUGGAUAUGCACCUAAAAGAUAGUGAACUGUGUUUGUCUAUCUUCCUAUGAUUCUGCCGACUUCUCCUCGCCUGGUUACGUCGUACGGGGCUCCAGCGCGGGAAAGUCGGAUCUUCUGUUGCGGUCGCUUGCUCAACGCUGUGGGGCCGUCCGGUUUUGCGCCCACCCGGCCUUAUGUCGAUCUGCUCCACUAGUCGUUUCUCCCCAGGCCCAUGAAGGAGUGACCUCACGAUUUAUUGGGCUCUUGGGCCUUUCGUGAGGUCUUUUACCCUUCCAGUGGACCCGGGGGAUAUCUGUCCCCCACAAUGUUGGCAUGGGAUGCGGGGAUAUGUUAGCAUGGAAGUCGAGGGUGUUUGUCCUCCGCCAUCGCCGCACAACGAAUUGGGCGCUAUCUCCACUAGAAUCACAGGGGAGGAGGGAGCGAUCGCAACGGUGGCUUGCUCGAGGCAUGCACGGGGAGUAGGAUUGAGCGCCUACCAAACAUUCACUAGAUACAAUCAACGGAUUGGGAGCUAUCUCCAUUGGAAUCGUGGGGGAGGAUGGUGCGCUCGCGACGGUGGUUUGAUCGGGGCAUGCACGCGGGGAGACAGGGCUUUGGAGCACUGGAAUUGUGUGGUAGGCAAGCGCGGUUGUGACGGUGGAUUCCUCGGGCCGCGCGCGGGGUAUGCGGCCAUGGGUUUCGACAGUGGCUUGCUAGCGGGGCAGAGUAGGUGGGCGCCAUUGCGAUAGCGGCUUGAGUAGGCGGUCGCGGUUGCGACGACGGAUUGCUCGGGGUGUGCGUGCGGGUAUUGAGCUCGGGGCGGAUUGCUCGGUAGGCCGGCUUGGUCGGGGUCGGGGUUUGCGGCGGGUGGAGGGGGUGCCACGCGCUGAGAAGAGGCGGGGGCAGUCUACACUAAUACCUUAAUAGUUAGUAGAGAUAAUUGAGACGUACAUCCAAGAAUGGCUAUCUUCGUUAACAAUAUCAACCGAGACAACCAUAUUCGCCUCCUUUGACUUUUAAUAGAGGCUGCCUCUAUUAAUGUUUUAUAUAUUUCAAUUAUUUUAUUUCUUGGCAGUAGUGAGAUAUGCAACGAUCAUAUCUGUUUGACGUGAUUAAUUUAUUUCAUCAUAAGCAUAAUAAACUAAAAAUAUAUUAUGUCUCAUCAACAAAUAAAAUUCAGUAAAAAUAAAAUCCAAUAUGGCGGUGCCGCAUGCGCAUAGAGCAUAUAUAGCCCUAACCGUUGUCCACUCCAUGCAUUGGGAUUAUAUGGGCAAUGAAUACUUUAAUAAUAAUUUUAAAUAUUAAAUAUAAAUUAUAAAACUAAUUAAAUAGAUGAAGAUUGUACGAUGAGAUAAAUUUAUUAAGCCUAAUUAAUCUAUGAUUAGCAAAUGUUUGUUGUAGAACUAGUUUUGCAAUUAAACUAUAUUUAAUAUUUUUAAUUAAUAUUUAAAUAUCUGAUCUAACAUGAUUAAAAUUAAGUCAAGGGAAUCCAAACGAGGCCUAGGUUUAGAUGGGUAAAACAAUUCAGCAGCGCCGCAUAAUUUUUUCUCUAAUUUUGGUCCAUCUAGUCCUAACAUUCAUAUGAAUUGAUCAAUAAUUACUUAACGUCGACGGCCAGUAUGACUCAGCCAGUGGCGCGCAUGGUCGUGGUAGGCCCACCAGAGUUAGGGCUAGACGAAAUGCUCGUGGCUCGUUGGCUCGCUCGGUUCAUGGUCAGCGGCUCGUCUCGGAUCGGCUCGUUUGAAUUUUUCACGAGCAGAGCUGACAUCCUAGCUCGGUUCGUUAACGAGCCAGCUCGCGAGCUAAACGAGCUACCACAUUCCAGCAAAACGAAACUAUAUGCAUAUCAUUUACAGAAUAAUUGAUGAACAUGUUAUAUAUAUUUGAUGUGUAUAUGGUCUGUGAGUUAAACUAAUGAUUAAUGAACUAUGUUUAUGUGUUAAUUUAGUCUAUGCAAAUAUAAUUAUGGGUUAAACUGAUGAACAUGUAUGUGAAUUGAUGAGUGAUGAAUUAUGCUAAUUUGGUGUUACAUUGACGUGGUUUGUGAAACUAUGAGUAUAAUUAUUAUUUUCUAUUGUUAAAUUAGUUUGAAAUUAACUAAAAAUAAUUAUUAUUUACAUAUUUUUUUCUGCUCUAGCUCGCGAGCUAAACGAGCCAGCUCGAGCUCAUAAACGAGCCAAGUCGAGCUGACUCUGUGGCUCGUUAACUUAACGAGCCGAGCCGGGCUAGCUCGUUAGCUUAAUGAGCCAACUCGAACUCGGACGAGUCGAGCCGAGCUGUCUCGUUAUCCACCCCUAACUGGACUGCACUUCAAUAACAUUUUCCUUGUGUUUUGUGGUGGAGGGUAGCUAACCAUACAAUUUCCAAUUUAUGUUGGUCCUAAAUUCUCGUUAUAAUCUUAAUUUACAAAAUUCACGUCUUAACACAUGCAUUAAUUAAAUCCAUGUUGGGACCACUAGAUUUGUAUGCAAAUGUAUCACAAGGAUGAAAUGAUGUUGGUCAUUGAGGACUCUCUAGAUUACCCAUAGAGUACACAUAAAAAUUAUUGGAUAUUAUGCAUUAGUAUGUCAAAAUUUGCGUGCGUAAUUUUAAUAUUUUUAUGUUAUCAAUGAGGGUUGAGAAAUGAUUUAGUGAUUUAAUUCAACCUCCUCAGGGCCUACGAAUAGUGUAAGUUCAAGGGUGGGAAAUAAGAUUUGGCAUUGCCAGUACUAAUGUUCUAUGUACUAGUGGUUAAUCCCACGGAACUAACCCAACUGAGGUUCUACUUUAGCCAUUUGUAUCCACAAGUCUCAUACGUUUAGCUCGGCUCACUCAAAAACAUUGGAAAUUAUGCAAAGUUAAUUAAAUUUAUUCCUCAUCAUAAAUAUAACAACCCAUGCAACACAUUCCAAGCUAAGGUUGCAACGAGCCGACAGCAGCUUGGUCGUCUUGCUGUGACGCCGGUGGGGUGUGCUUGUUGUUCAUGGAGGGCAAGUCCAAGUCGUGCCCAUGGUGUGGAGGUGGUAUCGGCGAUGGAUAGAUUAUCGGGGGAAUCCAUGGAUAGAUUAUUAGGGGUCUCUAUUUCUUCUGGAUGUGUGCCUCCGACGCAGUGGAUGAUGACAGCAGUAGCGGCAUCAAAAGGACGAGGAGCACCACGGUGGUUGUGCUCCUGCUACGCUCGAACUACGCUCGAACGCGACCAUUGUUGUUAUUGUUGUUGCUAUCUGUGCUUCUUGUUAGAGAACGUUGCCGGCGUUAUACCACAUAUAUGUGUGUGUAUAUAGUGUCGACUCUCUAGUGCUUAAAUUUAGCAUGGAUAGAUGGUUGUCAUCUAAACUAGGUGGUAAUUUAAUUUUUGCUCUAAGAGAGGUGUAAAUAUUAUGUUGCAUAAAUAUAGAUGGACAAUCAACAUUGGAAUGAUUUUAAUGUGCUCCUAUACUUUUCUCUCUUUCGUGUUUGUCAAUUUAACCUCAUUAAAAAUUUUGUAUCUUUGUGAUCCAACUUCAAGCCUUGAACUACCGUCUGUUUCUAUAAUAAUUUAUUAUCUAUGUUAGCUAAUUGUAAUUACAAGUCGCUUUAUGAUUCUUGGCCAUCAAACUUUCUCAAGUUUCGACCACCACUAGUAUAGAAAUAGGUUUUACUAGUGGUAGUUUUUGUAUCUUCAUAGGUGGUUUUGUGAAAUGCUGACAUGAAAGUUUAUGGAAAUUAUGUGUUCCAUUGGCGUAUGAUUGCGGCGGGUCAUUAUUGGCAUAACAAUGUCGCCUUUGAAAACAAAUUUACAUAGGUAAAAUACUUAGGUCAACCACUAGCAUAGAGUUAUUUUACUUUUGAGUAGCUAAAAUUUAGCUUGGUAAGUCAUUUGGCAUCAAAGACGUCCACCUUCAUUAAUAGUAUCUACAGAGGAAGUCAUGUCCGUCUCAUUUAGCUUGACGAGUCAUUUGGCAUCCAAAGAUGCCUACCUUCAUUUAAUUAGUAGGCAAACACAACUAAGAUAACUACCUUGUAGAUUUGAAUUAUUUCAUUUCUUGACAGCAAUGAAAUAUAUACAACAAUCAUAUCUGUUUGAGAUGAUUAAUUUAUUUCAUCAUAAGCAUAAUGAACUAAAAAUAUAUUCUGCCUCAUCAACCAAUCAUAUGGGUUUAUUGGGCCAGAUUUAGAUGUGUAAAACAAUUCAGUAGCACGCCGACCAUCAAUGGCGUCGCAUAUUUUUUCCCUAAAUCGGCCAUCUUGUCCUAACAUUCCAAUAAACCAAUCAAUAAUUACUCGGCGCCGAUAACCAGUAUGUCUCCGCGCGGUGGCACAUGGUGGUGGUAGGGGAAUCUAGGGCGGCAGAGGAGACCACGACACUUGCCCUGUGGCAGAGGAUAACUGACCAUGGACCCCAAUGCCACGGAGGAGGGUCACGAAAGGGUUGGGGUUGUUGGACGAUGCUUCCACCCAACCAGUGUGCCGUCGCUGUCGUCGAGGAUAGCAUCGUCAUCACCGACAACAGCAGGAGUGCCGCGAUGGUGGGUGUCCUCGUGGAGGCCUUUUGCGCUGCCAUUAUCGAAGCUAGCAGAGUAGGUACCAAUAAUGUUUUAAAUGUCUAGGUAAGGGCCUUAGGAGCAAGCUUUUGGAUAAGCUAUAAAGGUUAUAGCCGACUAUAGCUAUGAGUUAAACCAUUUAACAGUUUUUAGGAAAAACAUGAUAUAACUUCAUAGAUAGUUUAAAUGUUCAACAUUUAAAUAUGACAGUUCAAACUAGUAGUUCAAAUGUCCAAUAAUAAAUCAACAUGCAUGUAAAUUCAAUGACACAUGAAAGGCAUUGAAUCAUUAUCUAACAAAAUCAUAAACAUUAAGUUAAGGACCUACCCACAACUUGUUUUUGGGUCUUAAUGUUUCAAAGGUUAGACCCAGUAAAAGAAUUGCAGGUUUAUCAGCUAAAUCAAGCUAAUGUUAUGUAUUUAUCGGGCUAAAUAAAUCUAUUAGCGGCUAAUCUUGAUUAGCGCUAAAUAGUGCAUCUCUCUUAGCCGGCUAUUUAAAACCUUGACGAUAUCUAGAUUCUCAUGAUAAUUAGAUUAUUUAGAAAUUUAGAUUAUCAUAAAAGCUCUUUAGAAAAAAAAUAAAGCUGUCUCAAACAUCCUCAUGGACUGCUAAGUACAGGAACGAAUAAAAUACAGCUUCGACUGCAUGCGUAUGUUUAGGGUAACAUGGAAGAAACAGCGACGAUGCUGCAGGCUGCGUGUAGCUCCAGCUAUGAACUAUCAGUCUAGCAGUCUAGCUAUGAACUAUCUAUAACAUGAAAUCCGCAUUGGCACGUGCUGUAAUAGCUACAAGCCUACAAGUAGUCUUGGCACUGGGGGCAAAUCGAGCUCCUGGAGGCCCUCGAGAACGCGGACAACGUCAGCCAUGGUCGGCCGGUCGCACUCGUCGUCUUGGAUGCACCAGAACGCGACUUUGCACAGCCUUUCCGCCUCCUCCAGGCUGAGGUCUCCCUGUAGGCAGGGGCGGAUUUACGACCGGGGCUGCCUGGGCUGCAGCCCCGGUCGCGGCCCAAUAACAAGAGGAGCAGGUUUUCAGCCGCCAGCCCAGCAGCUUCCCUAGUCGCUACGGCGCUACCCUAGUCCAGGCGUCCAGCCGCUGCCGCGCCGAGGACAUCCAGACGCGGAGACGCCAGAGCCGCAGCCGCAGGCCCGCAGCAGCCAGCAGGCACGCACGGGCACUGGCCGCUGGGCGCACACGACCACGGGCCACCGCCUACCGCUACCGGCCACCGCGGUCCGCGCCUCCGCGGCACGCCGCACGCCGCGCGUCUGCGCCACGCCGCCACCGACCACCGGCCACCGCCCAGCCCAGGCGCAAGUCUUCUGGGCAGUUGGGCACCCACGCCGCGGCCAGCACCCAGGCCGCCAGGCGCGAGUCUUCUGCGCCACGCCGCCACCCACUGCGGCGCUGCCCGCUGCUGGCUUGGCUGCCGCUGCCGCACGCGGCACGCCCGCCGAGGCUGAGCCGGACAGCCGCCGACCGAGUGCCCGACAGCCCGAGCAGGCGAACAGAGCGGUGAGCCCUUCUGUUGCUGUCCGAGUUUGAUUUGAAGUUUUAAUUUGAAUAUGAUUAUUUAUUUGAUAGUAAUCUCAUGUUUAAUUAUAGAAAUAAGAUGAUAAAUUUCUCAUCAAGAACUAGAAGAAAGAUGAUUCUAUUUCUAAAACAAUUAGGACCUAUGCUUGCAGCCCCCCUCUUGGAUCAAUCCUGGAUCCGCCACUGCCUGUAGGCGCGGGUCCACCAAGCCCUGCAGGUCUCCCUCGUGAAGCUUCGUGAUGGCCUGCAUCUGGAAAUACGCCGCGGCGUGGUAGUAACCGCUCCUGCUGAGAGCCUGCGGCGGCGUGUUCCUCUGCCUGGACACGAUCUCCAGGACCACCAUGCCGAAGCUGUAGACGUCCACCUUGGGCGUGAUGGGGACCCCGGCACCCCGCUCAGCCACUCCGGGGCGAGGUACCCUGCUGUCCCUCGGAACGUGGUCAGGACAGGACCCGGCUGAAGUCUCGGCCGACGAACGCCGCCAGCCCGAAGUCCGCGAUCUUGGGCGCGAAGGAUGCGUCGAGGAGGAUGUUCUCCGGCUUGAUGUCGCAGUGGAUGAUGCACUCGCGGCAGCUCUGGUGCAGGUAGCACAGUCCUCUUGCGACCCCGACGGCGAUCCUGUACCUCUUGCUCCAAUCCAGCGCAGUGGCGACGGCGGCGGCGCUGCUCUGCUGGAACAGAUGCGCGUCGAGGGAGCCGUUCACCACGUGCUCGUACACAAGCAGCCUCUUGUCGCCUUCGCAGCAGAAGCCGAUCAGUCUGACCAGGUUCCUAGGUAGAUAACAUACCAGUGAGGGAUUGAAAGCAAUGGAGAUAAAAGUUAUGAGCUUGUAAGAGAUCAAGGCCGGUACAGCUAGGGGAAGGGGAGAGAUGCUAGGAGAUAGCAUGCAUCGAAUACCAGAUAGUUGCUUGUGAGAAAAAUUUUAUGGCAAAAAUGCCCUUGAAUAUAACAGGUAAUGGAUAUCCUAGUUUGAAAACAAGUAAUCAGACUGUGACCACUUUUCUCUAGUAUUUGUUUCAUUUCUGUAGAAGUACAAAACAUCUGUUGUUUUAUAUCAGCAGUGAUCAGAAAUUCUAGCCUGCAUUACUUCAUUUCAGUACCUUUACAUUUCAUGUCGGUGACAAAUUUCUUCAUAAGAAAAUUUGUGUCUAAAAUUUGCUGAUAUGAGGAGAUAUAAUAUGGUGGGAUUUUUAUCUCCGCCAAAACUUGACUUUACUGGCUCAACGAACCCAGACAGAAGGAAAUCCCAAAUGGCCAUUUUCCUUGAGUUGAACCAGCCUCAUAAUAUUAUAUCUUAUUUGCAGUUUUAGAGUUUAAUUAGAGUAGAAGAAAUUAUCUUAGUUUGGUCUCAUUUGCUUUGGGAGAAAAACCAAACCAAACAAUUCAAACCAUUGUAAUUCAUAAUUCCACUACUUCGUUCGAGCCCUCGUAUUGUAGUACCUUGAACCAGUGAUAUGAAAUUGUGAAGUAAAUGCUUAUUUGCAUAUCUAUGGAUUCUCAAGCAAAUCUGUAGAAACACAGAACUGAAUAGAGGAUGAUUAAAAAAAUAAUGAUCUAGAAAAGAAAAACCGGAGUGAAGAAACUAUUGUUACUUUAGCAUCAAAACCUAAGAAACACACCUUAUAAUCCCUGCUGAAAAAAUGCUCAUCCGCCAACUAAAUUUCAGAUUCCUAUGCAUUAUUAUAAGUAGUAAAUGUAGUAUAUAAUAUGUAUCUGAAGGACUCUAUAAGUGGAAUGAUCGGUCCAAAAGGCAAAGCAUUUCAUAUAAAGAUCUAGUUCCACAGUUCUCCAUCCCCAAAUAGCAUUACAAUCCAAAAGGCAAAGCAUUUCAUAUAAAGAUCUAGUUCCACAGUUCUGCAUCCCCAAAUAGCAUCACAGUCCAAAAGGCAAAGCAUUUCAUAUAUAAGAUCUGGUUCCACAGUUCUGCAUCCCCAAAUAACAUCACAAUAUAAAGCGCCUGGUUUCCUACCUAGAUUUUCUUAGGAUGUAAGCUACAAGACUGAUACAGAAUAAAAUAAGAAUAGAAGCUAUAAUAAAAAAUACGAUUUUUUCACAUCAUUAAAAAAUUAACACGAACAAUUUAUGGUAUGUAUUACAAUGGUAAAUAUUUAGCUUUGUCUUAGUUUCACAAUCAAUCAUUUUAACAGAUGAGCAUGAGAUGCGAAAAAAUGAUCACCUCUUUCUAACUGCAGUACCAGUCAAAACACCACCAUAUGGAUGGUUCAGUCCUUCAAUUCCUUGACAACUUGGACCUCUUGGACUCAGCAGGUCUCAGGUGUGGAAUAUGCAAUUCAAGCAUAUGGGAUAUUUAUGAGAAGCAGUUGUGCAUUGUACACUACAUGGACCUAGUUUUCUUCCAUAUAAAAUUAUUAAAUUAGUUAAUAAUGUGCAUUACAUCGACAUGCCGAGAGACCACUUAUGAUACAACUCUGCAAGCAUUCCAUUUAUCCCAUGUAUUCAAUUCACUUUAACCUAAAGAAACACGCUUCUUAUUGGCAAGUGUGGAACUUUCACCACAGGUUAAACAUGAAGACAAUGAUCUCUUCCCAAAGAACAAUAUCAGCCAUGUUAUCAGGGAAGAAAACAUUCUAAAGAUGCAGUGCAAGCUGUGCACUCCCCUCCCCCCUAAGAAGCAGAGUCGGUACUAUCGACCUCGUGUCAAUGUGAGAACCAGGACCAACUCUUGUGGCGAUGCUUUUCCAUGCAAGAAAAAGCAAACACUCGAUCAAAACUCCACCAAAGAAACAAACACGAAACAGGCGGGAUGGCAAAACUGAGCAGAUCAGACCGGGCAGGACGCACCUGGUUGUCGCCGUAGACAUGGGGUAGGCGAGUCCAAAGCUUGCCAUGGCCAGCGCCCUAGAUCUCCGCUCGGAUCUUGACCGCACCAAGCAAUCGACGCGAGACGGCAAGCAGGGUUUACUCCUCUGAAUCGCAGAGCUUCUUCUUUGUCGACGUGUUGGAGAUGGAAAUCUGUAGGGUGAACUUGCGUCGGGAUCUGCAGGAAGGGAGGGAGACGGUGAGCCGACGCUGACCUCAUCCCUUCGCAGGUGUGUGCCACGCUGGGCCACUCCUUGUCGGAGAUGCGUUGUACGGGGCUACGCCUGCUGUCGGCGUUUCGACCCCGGGGGGUCCCUGGACCGACGAGUGAAAUUGUCACUGCGUGUCCCAGCCCAGAUGGGUUGGCGCGAGAUGGAACACAAGGGGGGAAGAACGUGGCUCGUGUUAUCCUGCGCCAAGGGGGGAUGCGCUUGCAGUAGGGGUUACAAGCGUUCGCGAGGGAGAGAGAGCGAGCCCGCUCGUCAGCCCGUGCUCCCGGGCGACCACCCUCCCGUAUGAGGGCCUGGCCCUUCCUUUUAUAGAUGCAAGGAGAGGGUCCAGGUGUACAAUGGGGGUGUAGCAAUUUGCUAACGUGUCCGGCAGAGAGGAGCCAGAGCCCUAUGUACAUGCCAACGUGGCUGUCGGAGAGGUGCUAGAGCCCUGUGUACGCGGUGUCGUGGCCGUCGGAGGUGCGUUUGAGCCCUGUAGAAGCAUAGCUGUCGGGGCUGCUGGGACCUUGCUGACGUCUCCUUGCUUCCGUAGGGGGCUGAGAACCGCCGUCGUCAUGGACGCACGCGGGGAGCCAUCAUUACUUGUUACCGGGGCGAGCCUGGAUGGGACGCCGGUCUUGUUCCCCCGUAGCCUGAGCUAGCUAGGGGUAGGGUAAUGAUGUAUCCUCCGUGGCUCGGUCGGUCCGAGCCCAAGGUCGGGCGAGGCGAAGACUCCUCCUGAGGCCGAGGUCGGGCGAGGACGCGAUUCCUCCCGAGGUCGAGGUUGAGGCCGAGCCCUAGGGUCGGGCGAGGCGGAGACCACCUUCCGAGGUCGAGGGUGAGGCCGAGCCCUGGGGUCGGGCGAGUCGGAGACCACCUUCCGAGGCCGAGGGCGAGGCCGAGCCCUGGGGUCGGGCGAGGCGGAGGCCACCUUCCGAGGCUGAGGGUGAGGCCGAGCCCUGGGGUCGGGCGAGGCGGAGACCUCCUCCUGAGGCCGAGGCCCAAGGUCGGGCGAGGCGGAGCUUCCUGUUGCGCCUGAGGCUGGACUUAGCUAUAGUCAGCCUUACCCUGGCGAGUGGCACAGCAGUCGGAGAGGGGCGAGCGGCGUUGUUUUCCUGUCAGGUCGGUCAGUGGAAGGGCGAAGUGACUGCGGUCACUUCGACCUUGCCGACUGAGGCGCGUGUGUCAGGAUAAGGUGUCAGGCGAUCCUCGCAUUGAAUGCGCCUGCGAUGCGAUCGGUUGGUGAGGCGAUUUGGCCAAGGUUGCUUCACAACGAAGCCUGCCCGAGCUGGGCUUUGGGCGAGUUGAGGGCGCGCCUGUUGCUUGAGGAGGCCCUCGGGCGAGGCGUGAAUUCGCCUGGACUACUGCUCCUGCCCGAGGCUGGGCUCGGGCGAGGCGAGAUCGCGUCCCUUGAGUAUACGAAGCCUUGACCUGAAUUGCGUCCAUCAGUCUCUGCAGCUUGUGCUGACGGCGAUUACCAGCCGUGUUUAGGAGUGUUGGGGGUACCCCUAAUUACGGUACCCGACACCUGCGGAAGGAGGGAGCGACGAACUGGGCACGAGCACCCAUGAAUCCACCUAUCCUUCCAAAAAAAGGUUGUCGGACCGUUGCCAAUAGUGGUAGCCACCGCAGCCUGUAACAGAGCUCUGGCCUGGGGAGAGAUUUUGAGAUCCAAUCCACUCCAAGGUUUGGAAGGAGCAGUUUUCUGGAGCUAAAGCCAAUGAAUUUGCAGGGCCCAGUUCAUAGUGAGGAGAUUGGGAAUUCCAUGGCCUCCCAAAUCAAAAGGCCUAGUAACCUUAUCCCAAGAAAUAAGACAAUUUCCUCCUCUAGCCUCCUUUCCACAGAAAACUCCUGAUUUUGUCAAUGGCUCUAAUAGCCCAUUUUGGAGCAUUGAGGGCAAUGAACAGAUACACUGGGGUAGCAGAGAGGACAGAUUUGACAAGGGUGAUUCUCCCAGCAAGGUUUAAAGACCAGUUUCCAUCCUGAAAGUUUAUCAGCAAUUUUCUCAAUCCGAGGAGUGAGCUCUCCAACAAUAUGCCUUUUGUUGAUCAGGGAGAGGCCAAGAUAAGUUGUUGGAAAGCAUUUAGAGGCACAACCCAGAAUUUGAACAGCCAGCUCCACCCUUUCAAAAUCACAGCGAAUUGGGUAAGACAAACUUUUUUGCAGAUUAGUCUGGAGGCCAGAGGCCACACCGAAGCCUUUCAAGGUUUCUUUGAAUACCUAGUCCACUGCAUCAGGCUUAAUAAAUACUGCAACGUCAUCCACAAACAUAGAGACUAUUUGGUUGACAUUUCUACCAGCAAGGGGCUGCAAAAGGCCAUAUUCAUCAGCUUGGACAAAGAGGUUGUUAAGAACAUACAUUACAAGUAUAAAAAACGGAGGGGAUAGGGGAUCUCCCUGCCUCAACCAUAACAACCUGACCCAAAGAGCCUGAUAGUCGCCUAGAGGAGGGGUGAAUAGGGCGAAACUGAAAUUUACAAAUAUAAACACAACUACAAGCCGGGUUAGCGUUAGAAAUAUAAACGAGUCCGCGAGAGAGGGCGCAAAACAAAUCGCAAGCAAUGAAGAGUGUGACACGUGGAUUUGUUUUGCCGAGGUUCGGUUCUCGCAAACCUACUCCCCGUUGAGGAGGCCACAAAGGCCGGGUCUCUUUCAACCCUUCCCUCUCUCAAACGGUCCCUCGGACCGAGUGAGCUUCUCUUCUCAAAUCAAAGCCGGGAACAAAACUUCCCCGCAAGGGCCACCAUACACUUGGUGCCUCUUGCCUUGAUUACAAUGGAUUUUUUAUCACAAGAACAAGUGAGAAAGAAAAGAAGCAAUCCAAGCGCAAGAGCUCAAAAGAACACGACAAAUCUCUCUCGCUAAUCACUAAAGACUUGUGUGGAGUUGGAGAGGAUUUGAUCUCUUUGGUGUGUCUAGAAUUGAAUGCCUAGCUCUUGUAAGUGGUUGAGAAGUGGAAAACUUGGAUGCAAUGAAUGGUGCGGUGGUUGGGGUAUUUAUAGCCCCAACCACCAAAAGUGGCCGUUGGGAGGCUGUCUGUUCGAUGGCGCACCGGACAGUCUGGUGCACACCGGACAUGUCCGGUGCCCCCCGCCACGUCAUCACUGCCGUUGGAUUCUGACCGUUGGAGUUCUGACUUGUGGGCCUGCCUUGAUGUCCGGUGGCGCACUGGACAUCUCCUGUUCAUUGUCCGGUGCGCCAGUAUGGGCGCGCCUGCCUUCUGUGCGCGCAGAGCGCGCAUUAAAUGCGUCGCAGGUAGCCGUUGGCGCCGAAUAGCCGUUGCUCCGGAGUUGCACCGGACAGUCCGGUGCACACCGGACAUGUCCGGUGAAUUAUAGCGGACUAGCCAUUGGAGAUUCCCGAAGCUGGCGAGUUCCUGAGGCCGUCUUUCCUUGGAGCACCGGACACUGUCCGGUGUACACCGGACAGUCCGGUGAAUUAUAGCGCGCCGGCCUGAGAAAUUCCCGAAGGUGGCGAGUUCGAGUUGGAGUCCUCUGGUGCACCGGACACUGUCCGGUGGUGCACCGGACACUGUCCGGUGGCACACCGGACAGUCCGGUGCGCCAGACCAGAGGUGCCUUCGGUUGGCCCUUUGCUCCUUUGUUGAAUCCAAAACUUGAUCUUUUUAUUGGCUGAGUGUGAACCUUUUACACCUGUAUAGUCUAUACACUUGGGCAAACUAGUUAGUCCAAUUAUUUGUGUUGGGCAAUUAAACCACCAAAAUUAUUUAGGAACUAGGUGCAAGCCUAAUUCCCUUUCAAUCUCCCCCUUUUUGGUGAUUGAUGCCAACACAAACCAAAGCAAAUAUAGAAGUGCAUAUUUGAACUAGUUUGCAUAAUGUAAGUGCAAAGGUUGCUUGGAAUUGAGCCAAUAUAAAUACUUACAAGAUAUGCAUGGAUUGUUUCUUACUUAUAACAUUUUGGACCACGCUUGUACCACGAGUUUUGUUUUUGCAAAUUCUUUUGUAAAUCUUUUUCAAGGUUUCUUUUACAAAUAGUCAAAGGUAAAUGAGUAAGAUUUUGCAAAGCAUUUUCAAGAUUUGAAAUUUUCUCCCCCUGUUGCAAAUGUUUUUCCUUUGACUAAACGAAACUCCCCCUAAAUGAGAUCCUCCUCUUAGUGUUCAAGAGGGUUUUGAUAUAUCAUUUUUGAAAUACUACUUUCUCCCCCUUUUUUAACAUAAUAGGAUACCAAAUGAUAAAAUUCUUUGAAAACACGAAGUUUUUGAAAUUGGUGGUGGUGUGGUCCUUUUGCUUUGGGCUCUUACUUUCUCCCCUUUGGCAUGAAUCGCCAAAAACGGAAUCAUUAGAGCCCUCAUGGUGCUAUCUUCCCCUUUGGUCAUAGAUAAAUAAGUUAAGAUUAUACCAAAGACGAAGUCCUUUUGCUUGGUGCUCAUGCUUUCUCCCCAAGCAUGGAGAGUGACUUAGAGUGACGACGAAGGAUGAGUUUAUGGAGUGGAAGCCUUUGUUUUUGCCGAAGACUCCAAUUCCCUUUCAAUACACCUAUGACUUGGUUUGAAAUAGACUUGAAGACACAUUAGUCAUAGCAUAUGAAGGGAUAUGAUCAAAGGUAUUCAAAAUGAGCUAUGUGUGCAAGUUAGCAAAAGAAAUUGCGAGAAUCAAGAAUAUUGAGCUCAUGCCUAAGUUUGGUAAAAGAUUGUUCAUCAAGAGGCUUGGUAAAGAUAUCGGCUAAUUGAUCUUUAGUAUUAAUGUAAGAAAUCUCGAUAUCUCCCUUUUGUUGGUGAUCCCUAAGAAAAUGAUACCGAAUGGCUAUGUGUUUAGUGCGGCUAUGUUCGACGGGAUUAUCCGCCAUUUUGAUUGCACUCUCAUUAUCACAUAGCAAAGGGACUUUGGUCAUUUUGUAACCGUAGUCCCGCAGGGUUUGCCUCAUCCAAAGCAAUUGCGCGCAACAAUGGCCUGCGGCAAUGUACUCGGCUUCGGCGGUGGAAAGAGCGACCGAAUUUUGUUCUUUGAAGCCCAAGACACCAAGGAUCUUCCCAAGAACUGGCAAGUCCCCGAUGUGCUCUUCCUAUUGAUUUUACACCCCGCCCAAUCGGCAUCCGAAUAACCAAUUAAAUCAAAUGAGGAUCCCCUAGGAUACCAAAGCCCAAACUUAGGAGUAUAAGCCAAAUAUCUCAAGAUUCGUUUCACGGCCGUAAGGUGAGCUUCCUUAGGGUCGGCUUGGAAUCUUGCACACAUGCAUACGGAAAGCAUAAUAUCCGGUCGAGAUGCACAUAAAUAGAGUAAAGAGCCUAUCAUCGACCGCUAUACCUUUUGAUCCACGGACUUACCUCCCGUGUCGAGGUCGAGAUGCCCAUUGGUUCCCAUGGGUGUCUUGAUGGGCUUGGCAUCCUUCAUCCCAAACUUGUUUAGAAUGUCUUGAGUGUACUUCGUUUGGCAAAUGAAGGUGCCUUCUUGGAGUUGCUUCACUUGAAAUCCUAAGAAAUACUUCAACUCCCCCAUCAUAGACAUCUCGAAUUUUUGCGUCAUGAUCCUACUAAAUUCUUCACAUGUAGAUUCGUUAGUAGACCCAAAUAUGAUAUCAUCAACAUAAAUUUGGCAUACAAACAAAUCAUUGUCAAGAGUCUUAGUGAAUAAAGUAGGAUCGGCCUUGCCGACUUUGAAGCCAUUUGCAAUAAGGAAAUCUCUAAGGCAUUCAUACCAUGCUCUUGGGGCUUGCUUGAGCCCAAAAACCGCCUUAGAGAGCUUAUAGACAUGGUUAGGGUACUCACUGUCUUCAAAGCCGGGAGGUUGCUCAACAUAGACCUCUUCCUUGAUUGGUCCAUUGAGGAAGGCACUUUUCACGUCCAUUUGAUAAAGCCUAAAGCCAUGGUAAGUAGCAUAGGCCAAUAAUAUGCGAAUUGAUUCAAGCCUAGCUACGGGUGCAUAGGUUUCACCGAAAUCCAAACCUUCGACUUGGGAGUAUCCCUUGGCCACAAGUCGAGCUUUGUUCCUUGUCACCACACCAUGCUCGUCUUGCUUGUUGCGGAAGACCCAUUUGGUUCCUACAACAUUUUGGUUAGGACGUGGAACUAAAUGUCAUACCUCGUUCCUAGUGAAGUUGUUGAGCUCCUCUUGCAUCGCCACCACCCAAUCCGAAUCUUGGAGUGCUUCCUCUACCCUGUGUGGCUCAAUAGAGGAAACAAAAGAGUAAUGCUCACAAAAAUGUGCAACACGAGAUCUAGUAGUUACCCCCUUAUGAAUGUCGCCGAGAAUGGUGUCGACGGGGUGAUCUCGUUGGAUUGCUUGGUGGACUCUUGGGUGUGGCGGUCUUUGCUCUUCAUCCUCCUUGUCUUGAUCAUUUGCAUCUCCCCCUUGAUCAUUGCCGUCAUCUUGAGGUGGCUCAUUUGAUUGAUCUUCUUCUUCAUCAACUUGAGCCUCUUCCUCAUUUUGAGUUGGUGGAGAUGCUUGCAUGGAGGAGGACGGUUGAUCUUGUGUUCUUGGAGGCUCUUCGGAUUCCUUAGGACACACAUCCCCAAUGGACAUGUUCCUUAGUGCUAUGCAUGGAGCCUCUUCAAUACCUAUCUCAUCAAGAUCAACUUGCUCUACUUGAGAGCCGUUAGUUUUAUCAAACACAACGUCACAUGAGACUUCAACUAGUCCAGUAGACUUGUUAAAGACUCUAUAUGCCCUUGUGUUUGAAUCAUAUCCUAGUAAAAAGUCUUCUACAGUCUUAGGAGCAAAUUUAGAUUUUCUACCUCUCUUAACAAGAAUAAAACAUUUGCUACCAAAGACUCUAAAAUAUGAAAUAUUGGGCUUUUUACCGGUUAGGAGUUCGUAUGAUGUUUUCUUGAGAAUUCGGUGUAGGUACAACCGGUUGAUGGCGUAGCAAGCGGUGUUGACCGCCUCGGCCCAAAACCGAUCCGAUGUCUUGUACUCAUCAAGCAUGGUUCUUGCCAUAUCCAAUAGAGUUCGAUUCUUCCUCUCCACUACACCAUUUUGUUGUGGGGUGUAGGGAGAAGAGAACUCAUGCUUGAUGCCAUCUUCCUCAAGAAACCCUUCGAUUUGAGAGUUCUUGAACUCCGUCCCGUUGUCGCUUCUAAUCUUUUUGAUCCUUAAGCCGAACUCGUUUUGAGCCCGUCUCAAGAAUCCCUUUAAGGUUUCUUGGGUUUGAGAUUUUUCCUGUAAAAAGAACACCCAAGUGAAGCGAGAAUAAUCAUCCAUUAUUACAAGACAAUACUUACUCCCGCCGAUGCUUAUGUAAGCAAUCGGGCCGAAUAGAUCCAUGUGGAGUAGCUCAAGCGGCCUGUCGGUCGUCAUAAUGUUCUUGUGUGGAUGAUGAGCACCAACUUGCUUUCCUGCUUGGCAUGCGCUACAGAUCCUGUCUUUCUCAAAAUGAACAUUGGUUAGUCCUAAAAUGUGUUCUCUCUUUAGAAGCUUGUGAAGAUUCUUCAUCCCAACAUGGGCUAGUCGGCGGUGCCAGAGCCAACCCAUGUUAGUCUUAGCAAUUAAGCAUGUGUCGAGUUCAGCUCUAUCAAAAUCUACUAAGUAUAGCUGACCCUCUAACACACCCUUAAAUGCUAUUGAAUCAUCACUUCUUCUAAAGACAGUGACACCUACAUCAGUAAAGAGACAGUUGUAGCCCAUUUUGCAUAAUUGAGAUACAGAAAGCAAAUUGUAAUCUAAUGAAUCUACAAGAAAAACAUUGGAAAUAGAAUGGUCAGGAGAUAUAGCAAUUUUACCCAAUCCGUUGACCAAACCUUGAUUUCCAUCCCCGAAAGUGAUCGCUUUUUGUGGAUCUCGGUUUUUCUCAUAUGAGGAGAACAUUUUCUUCUCCCCUGUCAUGUGGUUUGUGCACCCGCUGUCGAUGAUCCAACAUGAGCCCCCGGAUGCAUAAACCUACAAAACAAGUUUAGUUCUUGACUUUAGGUACCCAAAUGGUUUUGGGUCCUUUGGCAUUAGACACAAGAACUUUGGGUACCCAAACACAAGUCUUUGACCCCUUGUGCUUGCCCCCAACAUAUUUGGCAACUACCUUGCCGGAUUUGUUAGUUAAAACAUAAGAUACAUCAAAAGUUUUAAAUGAAAGACUAUGUUCAUUUGAUGCAUUAGGAAUUUUCUUCUUAGGCAACUUAGCACGGGUUGGUUGCCUAGAGCUAGAUGUCUCACUCUUAUACAUAAAAGCAUGGUUAGAACCAGAGUGAGACUUCCUAGAAUGAAUUUUCCUAAUUUUGUCCUCGGGAUAACCGGUAGGGUAUAAAAUGUAACCCUCGUUAUCCUGAGGCAUGGGAGCCUUGCCCUUAACAAAGUUGGACAAUCUUUUAGGAGGGGCAUUAAGUUUGACAUUGUCUCCCCUUUGGUAGCCAAUGUCAUCCUUAAUGCCAGGGUGUCUCCCAUUAUUGAGCAUACUUCUAGCAAAUUUAAACUUUUCAUUUUCUAAGUUAUGCUCGGCAAUUUUAGCAUCUAAUAUUGCUAUAUAAUCAUUUUGUUGUUUAAUUAAAGCCAUAUGAUCAUGAAUAGCAUUGAUAUCAACAUCUCUACAUCUAGUACAAAUAGUGACAUGCUCAAUCGUAGAUGUAGAUGGUUUGCAAGAAUUAAGUUCAACAAUCUUAGCAUGUAGAAUAUCAUUUUUAUCUCUAAGAUCGGAAAUUGUAACUUUGCAAACAUCAAGAUCUUUAGCCUUAGCAAUUAAAUUUUCAUUUUCUACUCUAAGGCUAGCAAGAGAAUCAUUCAAUUCCUUAAUCUUAGCAAGCAAAUCAUCAUUAUCAUUUCUAAGAUUGGGAAUUGAAGCAUCACAAACAUGCGGAUCAACCUUAGCUAAUAAAUUAGCAUUUUCAUUUCUAAGGUUAUCUAUUGUCUCAUGGCAAGUGCUUAGCUCACUAGAUAAUUUUUCGCAUUUCUCAAUUUCUAAAGCAUAAGCAUUUUUAACCUUAACAUGCUUUUUAUUUUCCUUAAUAAGAAAGUCCUCUUGGGUGUCCAAGAGAUCAUCCUUUUCAUGGAUGGCACUAAUCAAUUCAUUUUGUUUUUCUUUUUGUUGCAUGUUGAGGUUGGCAAAGAGGGUACGCAAAUUAUCUUCCUCAUCACUCGCAUUAUCAUCACUAGAGGAUUCAUAUUUAGUGGAGGAUUUAGAUUUAACCUUCUUUUUGCCGUCCUUUGCCAUGAGGCACUUGUGGCCGACGUUGGGGAAGAGAAGUCCCUUGGUGACGGCGAUGUUGGCGGCGUCCUCGUCGUCGGAGGAGUCGCUUGAACUUUCGUCAGAGUCCCACUCCCGACAAACAUGGGCAUCGCCGCCCUUCUUCUUGUAGUACCUCUUCUUCUCCUUUCUUCUCCCCUUCUUGUCGUCGCCCCUGUCACUAUCACUUGAUAAUGGACAUUUAGCAAUAAAGUGACCGGGCUUACCACACUUGUAGCAAACCUUCUUGGAGCGGGACUUGUAGUCUUUCCCUCUCCUUUGCCUGAGGAUUUGGCGGAAGCUCUUGAUGACGAGCGCCAUUUCCUCAUUGUCGAGCUUGGAGGCGUCUAUUGGUUGUCGACUUGGUGUAGACUCCUCCUUCUUUUCUUCCGUCGCCUUGAAUGCGACGGGUUGAGCUUCGGAUGUGGAGGGAUCAUCAAGCUCGUUGAUCUUCCUCGAGCCUUCGAUCAUGCACUCAAAACUUACAAAAUUCCCGAUAACUUCCUCGAGGGUCAUUUUAGUAUAUCUAGGAUUACCACGAAUUAAUUGAACUUGAGUGGGGUUAAGGAAAAUGAGAGAUCUUAAAAUAACCUUAACCAUUUCGUGGCCGUCCCACUUCUUGCUCCCGAGGUUGCGCACUUGGUUUACCAAGGUCUUGAGCCGGUUGUACAUGUGUUGUGGCUCUUCACCUUUGCGAAGCCGGAACCGACCGAGCUCCCCCUCGAUCGUUUCCCGCUUGGUGAUUUUUGUGAGCUCAUCUCCCUCGUGCGCGGUUUUGAGCACAUCCCAAACCUCCUUGGCGCUUUUCAACCCCUGCACUUUGUUAUACUCCUCUCUACUUAGAGAGGCGAGGAGUAUUGUUGUUGCUUGAGAGUUGAAGUGCUCGAUUUGGGCCACCUCAUCCUCAUCAUAAUCCUUAUCCCCUACGGACGGUACCUGUGCACCAAACUCAACAACAUCCCAUAUACUUUUGUGGAGUGAGGUUAGAUGAAAUCGCAUUAAAUCACUCCACCUAGCAUAAUCUUCACCAUCAAAAGUUGGUGGUUUGCCUAAUGGGACGGAAAGUAAAGGUGCAUGUUUAGAAAUGCGAGGGUAGUGUAGGGGGAUCUUACUAAACUUCUUACGCUCUUGGCGUUUAGAAGUUACGGAGGGCGCAUCGGAGCCGGAGGUCGAUGUUGAUGAAGUGUCGGUCUCGUAGUAGACCACUUUCCUCAUCCUCUUUUGCUUGUCCCCACUCCGAUGCGGCUUGUGGGAAGAAGAUUUUUCUUUCUUCUCUUUGUGGUGAGAAGAAGAUUUCUUCUCCUUCCCUUUGUUGGAGGAGCUCUUCUUCUUCUCCCUCCUCUUGGUGCGGGACUCUUCCGAUGAAGUGCUCCCGUGGCUUGUAGUGGGCUUUUCGCCGGUCUCCAUCUCCUUCUCGGCGUGAUCUCCCGACAUCACUUCGAGCGGUUAGGCUCUAAUGAAGCACCGUGGCUCUGAUACCAAUUGAUAGUCGCCUAGAGGGGGGGUGAAUAGGGCGAAACUGAAAUUUACAAAUAUAAACACAACUACAAGCCGGGUUAGCGUUAGAAAUAUAAACGAGUCCGCGAAAGAGGGCGCAAAACAAAUCGCAAGCAAUGAAGAGUGUGACCCGUGAAUUUGUUUUACCGAGGUUCGGUUCUCGCAAACCUACUCCCCGUUGAGGAGGCCACAAAGGCCGGGUCUCUUUCAACCCUUCCCUCUCUCAAACGGUCCCUCGGACCGAGUGAGCUUCUCUUCUCAAAUCAAAGCCGGGAACAAAACUUCCCCGUAAGGGCCACCACACACUUGGUGCCUCUUGCCUUGAUUACAAUGGAGUUUUGAUCACAAGAACAAGUGAGAAAGAAAAGAAGCAAUCCAAGCGCAAGAGCUCAAAAGAACACGGCAAAUCUCUCUCGCUAAUCACUAAAGACUUGUGUGGAGUUGGAGAGGAUUUGAUCUCUUUAGUGUGUCUAGAAUUGAAUGCCUAGCUCUUGUAAGUGGUUGAGAAGUGGAAAACUUGGAUGCAAUGAAUGGUGGGGUGGUUGGGGUAUUUAUAGCCCCAACCACCAAAAGUGGUCGUUGGGAGGCUGUCUGUUCGAUGGCGCACCGGACAGUCUGGUGCACACCGGACAUGUCCGGUGCCCCCCGCCACGUCAUCACUGUCGUUGGAUUCUGACCGUUGGAGUUCUGACUUGUGGGCCCGCCUUGAUGUCCGGUGGCGCACCGGACAUCUCCUGUUCAUUGUCCGGUGCGCCAGUAUGGGCGCGCCUGCCUUCUGUGCGCGCAGAGCGCGCAUUAAAUGCGUCGCAGGUAGCCGUUGGCGCCGAAUAGCCGUUGCUCCGGAGUUGCACCGGACAGUCCGGUGCACACUGGACAUGUCCGGUGAAUUAUAGCGGACUAGCCGUUGGAGAUUCCCGAAGCUGGCGAGUUCCUGAGGUCGUCUUUCCUUGGAGCACCGGACACUGUCCGGUGUACACCGGACAGUCCGGUGAAUUAUAGCGCGCCGGCCUGAGAAAUUCCCGAAGGUGGCGAGUUCGAGUUGGAGUCCUCUGGUGCACCGGACACUGUCCGGUGGUGCACCGGACACUGUCCGGUGGCACACCGGACAGUCCGGUGCGCCAGACCAGAGGUGCCUUCGGUUGGCCCUUUGCUCCUUUGUUGAAUCCAAAACUUGAUCUUUUUAUUGGCUGAGUGUGAACCUUUUACACCUGUAUAGUCUAUACACUUGGGCAAACUAGUUAGUCCAAUUAUUUGUGUUGGGCAAUUCAACCACCAAAAUUAUUUAGGAACUAGGUGUAAGCCUAAUUCCCUUUCAGAGCCCACCCAAGCUUUUGCAUAUCAUGAAUACUGUAACACCCCUGGUGUUUAUAUUUCGCUCGACAACGAGUAUGGAUUUAAGCAUGGGAUAUCAGCAAUAAUAACGAUCUCUAUGUUCUAAUAUUCACCUAUCAUAAUUUUGAUAUCAUUUUCAUUUCUGUCUAUCCGGUCUAAUCUAAAUGUUUCGCAAAGUCAGAACGUAUUUGUUCCGGAAAUUUGCGAGUCUGGUGAUUAUUUAAAAUUCAUCGAUUUGCUCAAAUACGAAUUUGGAAACUUAGUUCAGUCUUCCAAUUUCGUCCCAAACAAAAUUUAUUAGAAGCCCGGCGACAAGAGUGUUGAUGCGAGAUUAAAUUGGAUCGAGAUAAUUAGAACUGAUAUUGAGUAUUCAUAACUAAUCUGUUUCCCUGUUCAGACUGCGUAUAAAAUUAUCGGGUUUCGAAUCAAAUCAAAUUAAGCACAGUCUUAAUAUAUCGACUCUAAUGUCGUUUGGUUUGGUCCAUCGACAUCUCGUCUAAAACACUAUCUCAUGUAUCGCCUGCAUUUCUAUCCAUUUGGACUAUUAUAAAUAUUUUAUGAAGUUUGAAAUUUAAAAAUCCUUCAAUAUGUCGAGUCUACGCUAUUCGAAUAGCAUGUGAUCUUCGUCUGAACUCAACUGGGUCAAAUACAGUUUAAAGUAUCGGUCCCGACCUCGUUUGGUUCGGUUCGUGUGUUCCUCGCCCAGAUCCAAAUUUUUGGAUAUAGAUAACGGGUAGGAAUUCAUCUGACUCCAGAAUAUUCACUAAAUAAAAUCCUAUCCAAAUAUUGUGGUCAAUCUUAUUUUGGUUCGACCCUUUUGUACAUCUUUUAGAACUUAAUUUCAGUCUCGAUCUCGUUUGGUUCAUUUUGAUUGCGAUGCCGCGUUCGAAUCACGUAGUUCAAAAUUUAUUUAUUUCAUAAAGUGUCAAGUCUGGUGCCAGUUAAAAUUAAUCGAAUAAGGCGAAUUGGAAAUUUUACCCAAGUAUUUCGCUCUUGUUCGAGCGAUCUCUACAAAUUCGGCAGAGACUAUACUAGGGCCAGGCUGUUUAGAUAAAUCGAACCCGAACCAACCAAAACAAAUGAAAAUUAAAAUAGCAAAGUCGGUGUCGUGGUUCGCUCAAAUUUUGUCUCGCCCAGAUACAAAUGACGGGUAUAAAUGACUGGUAAAAAUUUAUCAGAGUAUUGGGAUAUCUACCAAAAUCAAACAUUGUUCCAAUAUUGUUGUCAAUCUCAUUUUUGUUCGAUCCUUGAUUACAUCUUUUAGACCCUAAUUUUAUAACAACAAAAUAUCUGCUUUUUGCCUUUGUAAAAAAAUGGAGGAAAAAUCUUAUUUUACUUCUCCCACUGUCAUACUCCCUCAGCCAUAUCCAAAUCUUCCAUCUCCCUCACAACAGCCACCCUCCCAUUUUCUCAUCUCGGCCACAACCAUAGCUUGGUGGUCGAUGUGCCCUGCUCCAGCCUGGCCGCCCACCUUGGGUCCUCAUCUCCAUCUCUCAGCUGCUCAGCUCCCUGGUGCUCGCCCUCCCCUGCUCUCAGGACAGCAGGGAGCCGACGACCUCUCCAACUCGGCCGGCCAUGGCACCGCUUCCCCAAGCGUCACAUUGGAGCUCGCCCAACCCUCUCCCAUCUCCUUCCCCAAGCACAAGUCCCAUGGUCGAGCUCACCCCUGCAGGAGCUCCCUAUGGCGCCUAGAUUUUCAAUUUCCUAUGAGUUCUUUUUCCCCCACAUGCAAUCUCGGCAUCGUCGUCGUGUUUAGUCACGGUGAUUCUCAACUUCCCUAUUUUUAUUUCAUUGAAUUUCUAAUGCGAGCAGAAAUUUUUUUGGUGCUAUGUUAAUACGAUGUUAUGUGUAUAUGUGUGUGUUUGUGUGAGUAAGAGGAACUCCAGGUUUUUGCGUAGAGAGGAAAGUCGUGUGGCGCGUGCUAGGUGUUUGAUGGAAUGGAUGAAUCGGAGAUCCUUGUUGCUCUUGCGAAAUCCAAGUCUAUUUAGUGUUGGUAAGCUAAUUUAUUAUUACUGUUGAUUGAAUUAUUAGAUGAAUGGAAUGGAUAUGUUUGGUGAAUAUAUAUGCAUCAUGAGUUAGUGGUAAUACCUCUUCGUGGUAGUGACAUGAUUGUAUUCAUGAUUAUGGUUAAAAUAAGUGAUGAAGGUAUUGCUGUUCGAAUCUGCACGUAUAGUUUUGAUUGUGCAACUAAUUGAGUGGAGUAAAUCAUGUGUUCUAUAGAAAUGUUAUAUACAAAAGUUGUAGCCAACUUCUUUAUCUUGUUUGUUCAAAAAUUUCAUGACCAUAUGUUUAGUAGUUUAGGAGUUAUGAUUUUUCCAAGUCCAGUUUCAGAAUCUGUCCAAAUUCUGUACAGGUUUCGAAAAUUGGAUUGUUUGGCUAAGCUAAAUUGAGAAUCAGCCCUUAGUAAUUAUAGAAGAAUUUUAGUACUUUUCUUAAUCUUUCCAAAAAGUCUUGGAUCACUUUUUUUGGUGGUCUAGAUACCAAGUUACAGCUGUUUGAACUAUAGAGUCUGAAUCUGUCCAAAUCUGGACAGAGAAGUCUGUUUGUGUUAACUGACUUUGAUAUGCAUUGAAUUGACCUGACAUGUUUAUAAAUAAAUUGUAGACAAUUCUAUUAGCUUUCUAAAAAGUCUAAGAUCACUUGAUUUGGAUACCUGAGACUCCAAUUAUGGAUUUUUGAAGUGAGUAGUCGAAUUCUAUCCAAAUCUGGACAGAAUUUAUGUUUAGUUCUGUUUGACCAUUCUAAAGGUCGAAUCUUGUUGUGAUGGUAAUACAAAAGUUAUAGAGGACUUCAUAAGCUUUCCAGAAAGUCCUAGUUUAUCAUUUUAAGAUGAAUAUCUUGUGAGUUAUGGUUAAAAGAACUGAUUGUUGUACUCCUGUCCAAAAUCAGAAAGUAUUAAGUUGAUUUCUGGAGUCAUUCUUGUUUGGCUAGGUAGGAUUAGUCAAUUCUUGAUUCUUGAGUGAUGAAGACUUAUUACAUAUAAUGGUUUCAUUUCAUUCUUGAGGUUUGCUCUAUACUUUAGUGCUUUUGGGAAGUAAAUGCUUUAGGGAAUGCAAUUGGUCUAGAGAUUACGUAGGCCUUCUGUGAGUAUGGCGAAAUUAAUAAUGCGAAAGGUUUAGUAGACAAGUAUACCUAGUAUUAUUAUGUUGUUUCGGUAGUGUGGUGUUUAUAAGUAUGAUAUGCUAUUCCCACUUGCACUUAACAUUUUGUCGUUCUAAGUUUUUGCUUCUAAGUGAUAGUCGAAUGGGAUUAUGUAAUGUGUUGAUCGUAUUUUUCUUGCUAGGAUAAUUAGUGAGAUACCUUAUUUAGUAGUGUAUAAUUCAUGUUAUUUGGAUAUGGUGGUUUAGAAAGUAGUAGAUUGCUUCUAUCCAUAUUUUGUUCUAGGUGUCUGUUAGUGAAGAAUCUAAGGAUAUUAGUUUUUAGAUGAAUGCUUAAUCUUAGGAGAAAAUAUAACCCGAGCAAAACCUGUUGCUAGAUGUUUGGUUAGGUCCAUUUGGCUUGAAGGUCAUAUUUGUGUAAAGUCAAAAGCAUUUAGUGCUACCGUAGUAAAGUUGAAAUGUCUUGCUUUAAGUGCUUAAUCUACUUCGGAUAGCAUUAUCUAGUCCGUACUAUUUAUACUCGUGCUCAUUCAUGUACAUCUUGCAUAUCAUAUAGGUACGUUAAUUGAUCACGUGAUGUGGAGGACAAGAGCUGGGUUAAUCCCAAGAUGAUGUUGAUGAAUAAACCGGAAGAGUGGAUUAUCUGAUCAAGUACCAGGAUGAGAGAUGCUCACCAAGUGAUCGUCAUCUAACAACAUUGACUUAGUGUUAUUCCAGGCAAGCCUCGGUGCAUUUGCCACCUCCUUCUGUUUUAAAAAGUUUUAUCACCUUGAAUGAUGCAUUAGGUGAUAGGAGUUGUGUGAUCAAACAGCUGAUGCAUUUCCUUCCUUGAUUAAACAACCCUAAUACUUGUUUUAUGAAAAUUUAGUGAUGCUUAGCCCUACUUAUUACUUUAGGAUGGUUUUUAAAAAGAUGAUGUGUAACACAGGAUAUGGGAGUUUGUGAAAUAAAAGGACUUGUGAUGAUGAACCCAUUGUGGCCGCGAUGAUUUCAUCAUUCAAGGUGGGUACCUCUCUCAGGUAUCAAGUUUUGGGAAAUAAUAUGAAAUGUAGACCAGACGUUGAGUAAGAAAGUUCGCCCGUCUGUGUCGAUUAAGGACCGUUCGAUGUAGGCCUGUUGUGGUGGAGACUUUGCAACUAGCCACAUGCUCCGGUAAGCCUGAACUCGGCUAUUCCAUACGUGAAAAGACAAUCGUGCACUGGACGUGGGAGAUGGUGGGAGUAGUAUGUACCCUCCUGGCUAAAGGCCGGACGGAGGAGUAUUGUGCUCCCGGGUAGCGCGGACCGGUUCACGUUGUGGAGGAUCUGUGGGAACGGUUGACAUAUGCAAGGGUUAAGUGCUACAUAUGUCGUAUGGUUAGGUAUCCCCAACUGGGUAUAAUCGGUUCGAAUCGUCGUUGCUCCUCGGUCAUAGAGACUCUACCCUCCGACCACUCAUCGUAGUUAAUAAGUAAAAUAAGAAUUUGGUAAAAGAAAGCUAGACCAGGACAAGUGAAUGCUCUAGAUUAGGCAAAUCUAGAUUCAGGAGAAGUACUUAACUUGUGAAGCAAAAUUUUGGCAUUAGGAUUCACUACUAGUAAGCUCUUCUGCAAAAUGAGUCUUUGAAAUUUGAUAAGCCUUACCUUGAUUCCCAACAAGCCAACAUAUCCUUUAGGCCCGUUUGAUUCGUUGGAAUUGAAUUCCAUUUUAAUAAUUAUAAUUUAGAUAAAACUAAUUAAGUUUAUAUAUUUAUAUAUGUAAUAUAUUUGUAUAUUAUCUAAAUCAUAUGAGAGAGAUAGUUAUAUACUAUAUUUAUGUUAUAGAGGCGCAAGUAGAAGAAUGUGCUAUAAGUUGUACAUCGGAAAAAUAGCAUGUAAAUCUAUAGAAUCAAUUUCCAUCUCUCACCCUAUGAAUUUGAGGUAGGCUUAUAUGAUAACUUUGAAAACUGGUGGAAUGUCAUAUUCUAAAAAAAUAGCCUAUUCCAUUAGUAAGAUUCCAAUUCCUCGAAAUGAUAGGAAACAAACGGGGCCUUAGAGUCUUUUCUUUAGUCGGGUAAGUCUUGCUGAGUAAUUGCGUACUCAGGGUUUUAUUCCCUGUUUUUUUCAGGUUAUAAUUUUGUUCUGUUGUGGAUGGUGCUAAGUGCCGGUGGGCUCGGCCUUCUUAUAUAAGUAUAUCCCAUCUUUAGCUUCUUUAUUGAGGAUUGUCACUCAGCUAGCAUGUAUUUUAAAACUUAUAAAUGUUUUAUACAUUCAAAUUGGAAUCUUUUGAAUCAAUUUCUUUUGUAAUCACUAUGAUAAAUAUAAUGUAAACUUGUUGUAACUCGUUUUUCUUGAAUACGCAGGAGAGCUGCGUAUUUUUGUAUUAAGAAGAAGAAUAAAAUGGGGAGAAAAAACCCCAGUACAAAGGUGUUACAUUUGGCAAACCAAAACCAAAAAACACACCCCAAACAACUAAGACACCUAAGACGCCUCUUCUAAAUGAAAGAAAGAGAGCGCUUUGGCUCCAGCCAUACGCCAACCCAUCAACUCCUCCCUUGCAGCUGCCAACACCACCGCAGCGCUAGGGUUACAGUUAUCAAAAACACACCUAUUUCUAUGCUUCCACAAAGUCCAUGCACCCAAAAUGACAAGAGAAUUGAAUCCCUUGGAUAAAGGCAUGCCCACCCUGGCAGCACUAUUCCUCCACCAGGUUUCAAAACAGACGUCAUCAUGGGAAGGGCAGAGCUCCUGGAAACCACCCGACCGCAGAAGGCUGAACCAAAACUGUUUUGCAAAACUGCACUGAACCAACAAAUGGUUGAUAGUUUCUUCCAUCUGGUCGCAUAAAGGGCAGGACACUGGGUGAUCCAGGCCACGCUUAGCAAGUCUGUCAGCCGUCCAACAUCUAUCGUGCUCCACAAGCCAGAGGAAGAAUUUACACUUUCCUGGAGCCCAGGAUUUCCAAAUGCGUUCAGCAGGCUCAAAGCUAACAGAGCCAAGAAGCAAAGCCCUGUAAGCUGAACUAGCCGAGUAUUCACCCGAUUCACUAAACCUCCAGGUAUGCACAUCAGGAACAUCCGGCUGCAGAACCAUCCCCUCGAGUAAGUCACAAAGGUCCAUGAGAUUAGCAAGGGCUGCAACAGAAAUAGCCCCUCUCAGAUCAGCCAACCAAUUGAGAUCAGGCAAGGCAUCCUUGACCAGGCGUCUAGAAGCAAUACGCUUGGGCACCAUACCGAAGACAGCAGGUGCCACCUCCUUAAUACAUUUGCCAUUCAGCCAACGAUCCUUCCAAAAUAGAGUAUCAGACCCAUCUCCCAAAUGAGUGAUAACAGCCGCAGCCAACAAGCUUUGCACAAUGUCGCAGGUUUGAAUCUGGAAGUCCGACCAUGGCUUAGUCCUAUCAGAUUUUUGCAGCCAAGGCCACCUAGCCCGCAGUGCCCAGCUCAUGAUCCGAAGAUCACUAAUACCCAGACCCCCUAGGUCCUUGGGUCUAGUGACUUUGGGCCAAGUCAGCAGACAAUGGCCACCAUUCACCUCCUUCCUCCCUCUCCACAGAAAGCCUCGUCGAAGCUUAUCAAUUGCUUUAAAAGCCCAAGAAGGGAUGUCCAACGCCAGAGCAGCAUAAAUCAUUCUUGAUGUCAUCACAAAUUGAACAUAAAUGGCUCUACCAGCCUUUGUCAUCAGAUCAGCUUUCCACCCAGGUAACUGUGCUGCAGUUUUAUCGACAAUUGCUUGAAUUUGACUUCUCUUAAGCUUUCCAAGAGAAAGCGGGAGGCCAAGGUACUGACAGGGAAAUUCCGAAAUGGAACAUGGAAGGAGCUCCUGAACACAAGCAAGAUCCGCCUCAGAACAUCGGAUAGGAAAAACAUUACUCUUUUGAACGUUGGUCUUUAGACCGGACGCAUCCCCAAAAAUCCGAAGGAUUUCCAGAAUCAGAUUUAUGUCUGAAGGCACCGGCUUGAGGAAAACCACUGCAUCAUCCGCGUAUAAAGAGAAUCGGUGCUGCAGACUGUUCGUGGAAAGAGAGUGAAGCAGCCCUUCAUCAGAUGCCCUCUGGAUCAGCAAGUUGAGAGUGUCCAUGACUAAGAUGAACAACAUUGGAGAUAAAGGGUCCCCCUGCCGAAGACCCCGCUGGUGAGCAAUGUAGUCCCCGGGAACACCAUUUAAUAAAAUUCUCGUCGAAGAAGAGGCUAGCAGCCCACAAAUGAUGUCACGCCAGAUCUGCCCAAAACCCAACUUCUGCAAGACUUCUAGCAAGAAAGCCCAAGAUACCGAAUCAAAAGCCUUAGAAAUGUCGAGCUUGAAAAGAAUGCGGGCUUGCCUUUGACGAUGAAGAAACCUUGCAGUGUGCUGCACAAGCAUGAAAUUGUCUAAGAUAAAUCUUUUCUUAAUGAACGCUGUUUGAUUCGGAGAGACCAUAUCAUUCAAAUGUCGAGCCAAUCUGUUGGCCAUCAUCUUUGUUACUAACUUUGCGAAACUGUGGACAAGGCUGAUCGGACGAAAAUCUUUCACUUGGGUUGCACCCUCAACCUUAGGCAGAAGAGUGAUAAACGCUGAAUUGAGCAGCCCCAUGUUCCUAAAUUUCCGAGCCCAAACACAAGAGAUCGCUGCCAUAACAUCAGCUUUGAUUGUUACCCAACAAACCUUGUAGAAACGGCCGGUGAAACCAUCCGGGCCCGGAGCUUUAUCCGACGGCAUAGAUUUUACAGUACCCCAAACUUCUUCCUCUGAGAAAGGCACAUCUAGCUCAUUGAGAUUGAAAGAAGGCAUCUCCAGGGCAUCAAGAUUAAGAGAAUUUUCUCUCCCCAAAGCAGUCCCGAGCAAGGCAUCAUAGAAAUGGAACAACUCAUCAGCCUUAUCCUCAUGUGAUGUCAAAAUAAGCCCUUCACUUGUAGAUAACGAGCCAAUAAAAUUCUUCUUCUUUCUUAUUCUAGCCUGAGCAUGGAACAGGGAAGUAUGAGCGUCCCCUUCUUUCAACCAAUUAAUUCUGGACCGAAGACGGGCUAUAGAUCUCGACGAGGAGAGCACCAAGAUGUGCUUCUUAAGGGUACGCCUUAACCAAUCCUCACUUGGAGAUAGAGUUCUGCUGUCAUGAGCCAUCUCCAGUCUAUGAAGGAGCUCCCGAGCCAUUUCAAGCUGUAGUUUUAAAUCCCCCACUUUAUUAUCACUCCAACGCUGCAAAGCCUUUGCCGUAGCCUGUAAUUUCUUGGAAAGACUAACAAGAGGGCACUGGCCUGCGGGAAUCGAACUCCAAGCGUUAGCCACAACAUCCUGGAAAUCCUCCAAUUUUACCCAGAAGGCCUGAAAAUGGAAGCGCCCUUUCCUUUUAUUAAUAUCACACAGGCCCAACAAGAGAGGGCAGUGAUCCGAAUCUUGAGUAGCAGCACUCUGGAGAAGGCAAUCUGGAAAUAAAUCUUCCCAAUCAGCAGUACAAAACAUCCUGUCCAAUCUGACUAAAGUAGGGCAGGCAUGCCCAUUCGACCAAGUAAACCUGCGCCCAAUCAGAGGAAGCUCCAGGAGGGCAAGAUCGUCCUUCCACCUUCGAAAUCUGCCCAUCAUAGCACGAUCAACAUUGGAAUUACUCUUGUCUUCAUCACACAGAAUCAUGUUAAAAUCGCCAACAACCAGCCAGGGCCCAGAACAGUGGGUCCUAAUCAACCGAAUUUUGUUGCAAAUGUUUGUACGUGAGUUGUGUUUACUUAAUCUUGCAAUCCUGGUUGUAAGUGGUUUAUCCAGGGUCCUUGUAACACUCGGACGGAUCAUGUUAAGUUAUCAGAUGCACAUGCAUAGCCGUCUGAGGUCUUUGAGACGAGGACAGAUGCAUGUGGGCCCAAUAACUUGGAAGGUUCUGCCACAAAUACUCAAGCCACCCAACUCCUUUGGUCAGAUGACCUUAGGCCAAAACAGUAGACCAUGGCCACCUUUUACUUCUUUUCUUCCUUUUCACAAAAGACCUUUACGUAGCUUAUCGAUAGCUUUAAGAACCCAACCAAGGAGAUCCAAAGCCAUAGCUAGGUAAAUAAUUCUAGCUGUUAGCACACACUGGACAUAAGUGGCAUGACCAGCCCUAGACAUAAGCUCCGCCUUCCAUCCUGGCCACAUAUCCGCAAUACGAUGGAUGAUGGCUUGUAAUUGAUCUGUAUUAAGCUUCUUGAGAGACAAAGGGAGGCCAAAAUACUUUCUAGGGAAUUCUGAAACCCCACAGGGCAGCAGCUCCUGGAUGACUUCGACCUUCUCAUUAGUACAACGAAUAGGAAAAACGCUACUUUUUUGCACCAUUAGUCUUCAAUCCCGAAGCAUUACCAAACAGUAUCAGGAGGUUCACAGUCAAAAUGAUGUCCGUUAGGAUAGGUUUUAAGAAGACCAUUGCAUCAUCGGCAUACACAUACGGUGUUGUAAGCGAAGAAAGAAGUUGUAGAAGGCCAUCCUCAGAAGCGCGCUGCACAAGGUGAGAAAGAACAUCCAUGACGAGGAUGAAAAGCAUAGGGGAUAGGGGCUCACCCUGCAUUAAUCCUCGUCGAUGGGCAAUGUAGUCACCAGGCACACCAUUCAAAAUAAUUCUUGUUAAUGAAGAAUCCAAAAGCCCACUAAUCAAGACACACCAAAAAACACCAAAACCAAGUAUCUUCAGGACCUCGAGAAGGAAAGCCCAAGAGACUAAAAUCAAAGCCUUUGAAAUCUCAAGUUUAAAAAGGAUUCUGGGUUGUUUCUGAUCGUUAAGAAACCUAGUUGUUUGUUGCACUAACAUAAAGUUAUCCUAAAUAAAUCUCUUCUUGGUAAAGGUUGUUUGAUUAGGAGAGACCAUCAUUUGCAGCUUACCGGCCAACCUAUUGGCCAAAAUUUUCGUAAUGAGCUUAGCAAAGCUAUGCACAAGUAGGGAUGAAAACAGUCGGUAAACACUAAAACCAUUUGCUAGUUUCUGCUGCUAAUCGGGAGGCUGGACCCAAUGUAGAAAGGGUGACAAGUUCGAUCAACCUGUUCACCCCACCCCUAGGGUUCGUAGAUGACCUUUGUGCGAUUUUUCGUUUCCCUUGUUUGUUUCGGUUUGUUUGUUGAAUGGGAAAAGGUUUUGGUUAUUUACUGGGUGAGGCUGGUUUGUUCAGGUCAAGGCUACGACUUGUCUGCUACUGUUAUUUAGUAGCAUGUACUGUUGCUUCCUACUGUAAAAGUUUUCGUUGAUUGGUGUUCCAUGGAUUAUGCUGUCAUUGCAGCAGUGGCACAUGGUAAAUCAGAAUGCUUCUGAGACUGACAAGGUCGAGGGAGACAAGUUUAGGUUUUGAGCUUUUCAUGAACUGUAGGAGGUUCCCUAUCAGAUCAGGUAAACAGAUGCUGAGAUCACAUGGUGCUUGUGUGGCCUUGACAUCACAAUUACUCUGAUGCUAAGAUCACAUGAGCUAUUGAGUCAGUCAUCAGAGAAUGCUUUGAAGGCAAUGUGGCAAAACCAUGUAACUCUAAUUUGAAACGGGGGAGCACAAAAUCAUUUGAUUUAUAAGCAUGCACUGUUAUAAUAGCUUGAUUAGCUUCAUAAAAGAAACACUAUAAUCCGAGUAUGCUAACCAUGUAUAAAUUACAAAUUAGAGUAUUAUCUAAUCAACCAAAACAUAUAAAAGGAUGGUGUAUAUGGUGCAUACCUUUUCACCAUGAUCAAACACAAUGACAUUAUUAUAGAGGCCUAAAUGAAUGCCAGAAAGGUUCCUAUUGUCAUGUGGUGCCUUACUGAAAGGAAGCUUCUUUGUUUUAACAUAACACACUGUAUCAUAUGAGAAAAAUCCAACCCAUCCUCCUACAAGAUAUCAUAAAAACGUUGUGACAGUAAUUGAUACAUAACAAAGAACUAUCCCCAUGACUUCCCUACGGAGCAUUCUCAAGAGCAUUAUAGCUAUCGAAUAGAAGUAAUAUUAGGAUCUCACCAAACAACAUUCUAGCUAUUGAAACUAGUAAAUAAUACCUUGAUACCAAGCACAUAAUAAAUAAGUAAACAACAAACACAAAAUCCAACAAUCUCGAUUAUGGGAGAAGAAAUUAUCACACCUUGACAUGACAAAGGAAAACCUAAAGGUAUAAUAACUGCCAGCUUGCAAACGAGAUCUUAUAGCAAUAAAAACAGAUAAAACCAAAAUAACAAAAAGAAUACAACUAACACUCCAAAUAUCAAAUGGAAAACUCCAGCCUAAAGCUGCAAUAGAAAUAUCCAACAUCAGCACUACUGACAUACAGAAUUGGAGAAGAAACCUUUAGCAACUAUCAUGAUAGCAGGCAUGACCACUAAUGAAAUAGUACAAAAGGUCUAACUCUUAUUCUGCACACAAGCAUAGAGCUCCAUGUUUAGCAGCCAGCAGCCAGAUCAUGUCCUGAAAAGGAGUACCUGAAGAGCACCCUUGCAGAAAAAUCAAGCAGGUCGCCCAACAAUCUCCUUUUAAAAAUAGGUAAUGAUUCUUCACGCCUUAAAAAUAAUAACCAAAAAGGGUAAGGUAAACACAGUGCAGAGAAAACAAAUAGUGUUGCCGACGAAGUUUUUGAAGUAAAUCCUAUGCUUUUGAGUGCAGAUACCUUAGAAUGAAGUUCUGAAAUUAUUUCAUGAACAAGUACAACGAUAUCUAGCUAACCUACAGAUUUUUAAGAGUGAAGGGACCACCUGAUCCUUUGGCCUCCAGUGCAAGAUCGUCCAACCAUUGAGAGUCACUCCGCACAAUGAAUUGUUGCCUCCACAGUCCACAUCCUAUAUAGUUGCAGGGAAAGGACAAACAAGAACUUAUGGACACAAAAUGAAUUUGGCUGUGACACAACCAUCACAAACCUAUCCCCAAAGGGAUGGGCAGAUGGCCAUGACACUACGAAACGUGAAUGUUACUGAGGAUCUUUUGCUUAAAAAUUAUCUUGCCUUCCACCCAUCUUUUUGCCGCAUUGAAUGCUCCAGCAAUAUAAUCAGAAAAUUGUGUAUGAUGUCUUCAAUCUCACCAAUGCUUACACCAUCAGCAUUUUUCUUUGUGUCCAUCUACAGUUUGAAUACAUGGAAUGAAGAAAUACAGUUUAUGUCAUCUGAGCAUGAUCCUUGUUAGAAAAAUAUGAUAAAAGACCUGUGACACUCACCUCAUGGUUAGAUAUCAAAACCUCCAAAAUCCAUUCUGGACAAUCUGAAAUCGAGGUCAUUGUAGUUCUGUUAUCUAGAUGACUACAAGCCAAAAACAUAAGAUCCUGAAACAACGUAGAAAUAUUUUGACACCAUAAGAAUUAAACAAGAUCUAAAAUUAAUAAAUAAAAAGCAUACAAGUCUUAGCUUGUAAAGAACAAAGAGCAUAUAACAAUGUAGAACAGUACAAGUGAAAACAAAAUGUGUAGUUGUAUGGCUGCUGAUAUAAACAUGGCAACUGGGGUUAUGAGGUCGACAGAGAUGUAAGGCAUCCAGAUAUUAGCAACACAGACAUGUAAUCCUAAGAUUUCAAAAUCUAAAAAAACUCGACAUGCGAGAGCAAGACCGCCCCCACAGCAUUAUAUUAAGAAGAAUACCUCACACAGGUCGAAAAAAACCCCUAAACCCCUUCCCCACCCAUAUACGAGUGUAUAUAUGAUUUUAAGAUGGUUAGACAAUGAGUCUAGUGCCACAAGAAAGAGUUGGAUCACACCACUGCAUGCACAAAUACACAACAACAGGGAGAUUGUACCUCUGGGCCAUUGGCCAGAGAAUGCAUUAAUAUGUCAAUGCUACCAAAUUCAUUCCUCGCUGAUUCAACAAUGUCCUGUUAAAUUAAGAGAGCUCAAUGCUAUUGUAAACUCUAAAGCUUUUAUGAGAAACAGGUAACACAUUGGAGUUGUAUCUUCAGAAUUUUCUUCUAGCAAGAAUAGAACCAAGGCAGCUAUUCAUAUGGAAAAAUGAUUGGAGGAUGCACACCUUUACUGUCCAGUUUGAUGCACCUGCAUAUCUUUUGUUCGAUUUGACCUAAUAGAGAAAUAAAAUGUUAAUUAUGAAUCCAUAUUGCAAAAAGAGAUAAAAAAUAAGAACAUUACUCUUCAGGGGAAUCGUAGACAGCAUCAAGUGGGUAGACUUAAACAAUAUCCAUAAGAGAUCCAUCUGGCAGCCUGUAUCAACAGUUAGAUACUUGCUAAACUGUAUGUAUGAUGAAUCCAAUAAAGAACCAAUAUACAUAUUGUUGUGAUUCAUCAAAUUUUCCACGCUUCCAUAGAAGAGCUAAAUUGUUUCAGCAUCAGCAGCUUGUUCCACUCUAACAAACUCGUGGCACUGAACAUUCUGAGAUGAAGGAGCACAGGGACAUCCCCUUCCAGGACCUAACCUGGAACUGACAAAGAAAUAGGGACGCGGGGAGGAGGCCUUCACCUUGUUGAGUGCACAGUGGAAUUCGAGGGUUUCCUUGGCCUCGGUUGCCUAGGCGAGCUCAGGCAUCCGCUCCGCAAAGGUGCCACUGGCGUAGUGGUGGGACCCUACGAUGUGGCCACCGUAGCCCCUCUCCUCGUCCCUGACGUUGACGAUGGUGAUUCGGGCCUCGCUGCCUAGGCGAUGUGGGGAGAGGCGGUUGGAGACACGGGACGGCGGUGAUUGUCUUGGAUACGGGAGAUGGCAGCACGGUUGGUGUCUAUGGGAGAUGCGAGACGAACAGACGAUGGACGACGAAAGCGAGCGAGGAGGGUGCGUACUCCAUGGGAGGAAGGGGACGGGGCGGCCUCAGCGGGAAGGGACCUAGGGCAUAGUGAGAGGGGGUGCUGCAGUGCGGCUAGCGGGGUAGAGGUCGACGACAAUCUUAGAGGUGGGGGUGGGCAUGGCAGUCUCGCCAUAGCGAGCGGGGGGGGGGGGGGGGGGUAGCAUGCGGUACGACACAUGAAAAGUCUGACGACGCACGAAACUCUCCUUUUAAAGGAGUAGAGACUAAAAGCCAUGCUAACAUUUCCAGGAGUUGUAGGCAGAACUGGAGCCAGAGUGAAGUGUGACCUACUGCUAGUAAUGAUCAUUAUUGGUUUACAUUAUUUUUGUGGAGUUCCUGUUUUUUUUACUUUUCAAUUAUUUGUCUUUUAAGAUAGCAUUACAGGAUAAUAAGGGGAAUGAGGAUGUGAGAGUUUCUAUGAAGGUUGGUGGCAAAGAGUUUCCGAUUGGAACACUAUCAGUUGACAAAUACCCUCAAUGUAAAACUAGUUUGUUAUUUGAGGAGUUUGAGUUACUAAACACCUUUUUUUAGAACACACAGGAGAGUUGUGUAUCAUUAUAUUAAGAAGAGAAAAAACGAGGGGAAAAGAACCCUCAAAAGAACAAUACAAAAGCCAACAAACUGAUCUCACCCACUACCUUUUUUUUCUCGAAAAGCGCAAGAGAACUGCGCCCCAUUAUAUUAAGGAGAUAAAAAGGUCUAAGAAGACCAGGUACAACAAAAAUUUAGACUUCCUUACAGAGGUCUAAAAACCAGAAACCCAAAAGAAUCCAUCAGAGGACAGCACCCAACUACUAGCCUAAAACCCCCUCCAAGACUAAGCCUCAAUGAGAGGGGCAGACAGGUAGGAAAGGCCUAAAGCCCCGGCCAUUUCCCACAUCCAUCUUUCCUCUGUAGCCAUCCUAAUGGCUAAAGACACAUUAGGGUUCCAAUUAUCAAAGACGCAUUUGUUGCGAAGAUUCCAAAUAAUCCAGGCCCCGAAUGCAAUAAGAGAAUUAAGCCCUUUCUAACAAGACCCCUGACCGAAUAAGAAGCUUCUUCCCACCAGCCCAUGAAGGAAGACAAACCAGGCUGAGGGGCUAGCACUUAAAGGUCGAAAGUCCUCAGGAGCUGAAACCAUAAAUCCCUUCGUAUGCCACUUUAGCUGAAUAGUUACAAUCUGAGGAAAUACUGAAACAUGUCUGUCUUCAAUAGUAGGCUGCAACACUACCUCAGAAAGAAGGUUCCAAAGCUGUAGACAAUCCACCAAAACUCCUAGAGAGAGAGCACCUUUCAUGUCGGAGAUCCAUCUUCUAUUUAGAAGACCCUCCUGAACAAUUCUUCUUUUUGAAAUCAUCCUAGGUAUACACUGAAAAAGCCUAGGAGCAAUGUCACAUAUUCUCUGCCCUGAGAGCCAUUUAUCAAUCCAGAACAGGGUCAAAAACCUGGAGAAAGGUCAGCCCUUAGCUCCUGCUAAACACCAUCCUAAGACCUCUUUAGCAGAUAGGAGCGUCGCUGCCACAUUUGGCGCAGCCCCAUCAAACACACAUCUAUUUCUAUGUUUCCAAAUAACCCAAGCCCCCAUUUCUAUGUUUCCAAAUAACCCAAGCCCCUAGAAUAACUAAGGAAUUGAAGCCCUUAUGAUGCAACCCUACAAGUUGAGAACUUCGAGUCCUCCAGCAGUUGAAACCAAAAUUGUCGGGCAAAGAUGCAAGAAGCCAACAGGUGUUCGAUGGAUUCCUCUUCCUGAUCAUACAAGGGGCAUCGCUCGGAGUGAGGCAACUCACGCCUGGCAAGACUGUCAACAGUCCAACAUCAAUCAUGUUCAACCAACCAUAUGAAGAAUCUACAUUUGCCGGAGCCCAUGUCUUUCGUAUUCUAUCAGAAGAAUCAAAAGAGGUUAAACCAAAACAAUAUAAUAGCACGUUUGGAUGUCGAUAUUAGAGCAUUGAAUUGAGAAUUGGAAUCAGCUUUCCUAAAUUAUGUCGUUUGGUUGCACACAGAAUUGAGAUUUGGAACCAGAGACUCAAUUCCCUGGAAUAUAAUUAAAGGCGCAGUUCCCCUGCGCUUUCGAGAAAAAAAAAUUCCCUGGAAUUGGACUAUAACUAGAAACUCCUCCCAAUACCAAACGUCACCCCUUUGUAUUGUGUGGAAUUAGACCGCACAAUUCCAAACUCCAAUCCAGCGACAUCCAAAUAAUAGAAUUGGAAUCACAUCAUUUCAAUACCAUGGCUGAUUUGGUAUUGAACUCAAUUCAAUUACAUGACCUUAAAUAUUGACAUCCAAAGGAAAGUUGGGAGCAUCAAAUCACAAUUAGAAAUUGCUAAAGAGCUUCUCCAUCGCUGGGAAAUUGAAAGAGAUGAAAGGGCUCUUGCUGAUGAUGAGGAGUGGCUGAGACGGAAGUUGAAGCUUCAUUGUCUUGGUUUGGCCUCACUGGUGAGAACCAUCGCCCGUCUGCGUUCUCGGAUUUUGUAUAUUCAGAAGGGUGAUGCCAACACCUCCUUUUUUCAUCAGCAGGCUAGAUACAGAAAAAAGAAGAACUUCAUUCCUAAGCUGCACGUUGGUGAUCAGGUGGUCACCUCCCAAGAAGAUAAACAGAAGGCCGUUUCUGAUUUCUAUGAGAACAUUUUGGGUAGGGCUGAGGAGAGGAGCUACACUCUUGACUUGGAUGAGUUGGCCAUCCACAAUCAUGAUUUAUCUGCUUUAGAUGAUCCGUUUCUUGAGGAGGAGGUGUGGGCUGUGGUAAAAGAUUUGCCUCCGGAUAAAGCCCCGGGGCCGGAUGGUUUCACAGGUCGAUUUUAUAAAUCCUGUUGGAAUAUUAUUAAAGGUGAUGUGUUGAGGUCUUUGGAUGUCAUCCAGCGUGGCCAUGUUUUCAAAUUCCGCCUGCUUAACACGGCUUAUAUCUCCUUACUGCCUAAGAAGAUGGAUGCUGUUGAAGUUAAGGAUUUCCGGCCUAUAAGUUUGAUUCAUAGUUUUGCCAAAUUGGUAGCUAAGCUCAUGGCUACUCGGCUGGCCCCUUUGCUUCCCUCACUGGUUUCUGUGAACCAGAGUGCCUUUGUGAGGGGGAGGAGGAUUCAUGAUAACUUUAUGCUUGUCCAACAAAUUGUGAAGUUGCUGCAUAAGAAGAAAGAACCACAUAUCCUUCUUAAGUUGGACAUUUCCAAGGCUUUUGACUCUGUUUCUUGGUCGUUCCUUUUGGAGGUUUUAAGAAAAAUGGGAUUUGGUCAGUGUUGGCGGGAUCUCCUUUGUUUAUUGCUGUCUACUUCUUCCACUCAGAUUUUAGUCAAUGGAGAGCCUGGGGACAUCAUUAUUCAUCGUCGCGGUCUCAGGCAGGGAGAUCCUCUUUCCCCAAUGCUCUUUAUUCUAGUCAUGGAUACUCUGAAUUCUUUAAUCAACUAUGCCACUUCGUUGGGUUUGCUUCAACCUAUUGCUGUUCAGCAGGUCAGGCAUCAUGUUUCCUUCUAUGCUGAUGAUGUUGUAGUUUUCUUGAGGCCUCACAUUCUGGAUCUGGUUUCGGUCAGACGCAUUCUUGAUUUAUUUGGUCACGCCUCAGGCCUCCGGACCAACCUGGUUAAGAGCUCGGUCUCCCCUAUUCAUUGUUCUGAUGAUGAGCUGGCUCUUUCUGUGGAAACUCUCUCUUGUUCGGUUAAAGCUUUUCCUUGCACUUAUUUGGGUCUUCCUCUCACAACCUGUAAGCCUUCUAAAGAGGUGUUGCUGGCCUUUGUGGAUAAGGUGGCAGAUUACCUUCCUGGGUGGAAAGCUUCUUUGUUGAAUAGGGCUGGGCGUCUUGUGCUUGUGAAAGUGGUUCUCACUGCUGUUCCUAUUUAUUGGCUUAUAGCUUUGGAUCUCCCGAAAUGGUUCAUCAAGGCUGUUGAUAAAAAGCGGCGGGGGUUCCUGUGGAAGGGACAUCAACAAGCUAAUGGAGGAAACUGCUUGGUAGCUUGGGAUAAGGUCCAGAGACCUCUUCAGUAUGGCGGCCUUGGAAUCCAUAAUCUUGAGCUUCUAGGUUGGGCCUUGAGAAUUAGAUGGCUUUGGGCUCAGAAGACUGAUGUGGAGAGGCCAUGGGCUGGACUCUCAAUUUCUAUUCCCUAUAAAGCUCGGGCCCUCUUCGAUAUGGCUGUGAAUGCCGUGGUUGGGAAUGGUGAGAAAAUUAUUUUCUGGACUGACCGUUGGUUGGAUGGGCUUACCAUGGCUGAGAUGGCACCCAAUCUUUUCAGAACUGUCCCUAUGCGAAUUGCUAAGCGAAAGACUGUGGCUCAGGCUUUGUUUGGGCGGAGUUGGGUUCGUGAUAUCAAGGGUGCUCUUACUGUUCAGGUUUUAAUUGAGUACCUCCAGGUCUGGGAUUUUGUUGAGGAGGUCGUACUGCAAGCUGAUGUUCCUGAUCAUUUCAGAUGUAAGUUGACACAAGAUGGCUGUUAUAGCAGCAAGUCUGCGUAUGAGGCCUUCUUCGUGGGCUCUACCAAGUUUGGCCCUUGGAAGAGAAUCUGGAAAACCUGGGCCCCGUCGCGUUGUAAGUUCUUCCUAUGGUUGGUGCACCAUAAUCGGGUUUGGACCGCUGAUCGUCUUGAGCGCAGAAAUCUGCCCCAUCCAGUGUCUUGUCCAUUUUGUGACCAGAUGACUGAGACGGUGCAUCACUUGUUGGUUGGUUGUGUGUUUGCUCGCCAAAUUUGGGCCUGAUCCUUCAACAGCUGGGGCUGCUGCAGUUGGCUCCUCAGUCCUCAGUGUCUCGGUUCUCAGGUUGGUGGAAGAGAACUGUUGCUGCUGUUCCUAAGGGGCUUCGUAGAGGCCUCAAUUCUCUAAUUACGUUAGUGGCUUGGGAGAUUUGGAAGCACCGCAACAGGUGUGUCUUUGACAAUUCAAGACCAUGUGUUGUGGAAGUGCUAAAAGCUGUUAAUGUGGAGGGGGGGCUUUGGUGUUUGGCUGGAGCUUCCAAGCUCCAGGAUCUUGUUUUUGGGUCGGUGCCUACUGGUGCUUAAUUAAGCUCUGUAGGUUGUGGUCGCCUUCUUCAUUGAUGUGGCGCGACGGUUGUAUUUAAGGGAAGGCGUGUGUGUGUUGGUGUUUGUGUUUCAGGGUCACUCUUGACCUUUGUACCUCCUUUCUUCCUUAAAUGAAAUAACGCGCAGUUCUCCUGCGCUGUUCGAGAAAAAAAAAAGCAUAAAGCAUCAUAGGCAGAUAUAGUGGAGAACUGUCCAGAAGGGGAAAGACUCCAAAUAUGAGCGUCAGGAAUCUCAGGAUGGAGAAUAACAUCAUCAACUAUCUGAAACAGCUCCACGAACUCCCAAAUAACUCUGGUCGUAAGGGCACCUCGAAUGUCACUGACCCACAUAUGAUCCACCAAAGCCUCACUAACCAGCCUCUUGAUAGCAAUACGCUUGGAGACUAAAGCAAAAACAAUCGGAUCAAGAGUUUUUACACUCCUUCCAUGUAACCAAUUGUCGGUCCAAAAAAGAGUAUCAUUGUGUUUGCCCACUUGCGAAAUCACAGCCACUGAAGGAAGUUUUUGACAAUAUCACAAAUCUGAACAUGAAAUUCAGACCAAGGUCUAAGGGGCUCCGUCAUUUGCAACCAUAGUCAUCUGACCCGAAUAGCCCACCCAAGCUUUUGCAGAUCAUGAAUACUCAAGCCUCCCAACUCCUUUGGCCUGGUGACCUUAGGCCAAGAUAGUAGAUAGUAGCCACCUUUUACUUCUUUUCUUCCUUUCCACAAAAGACCUUUACGCAGCUUAUCUAUAGCUUUAAGAACCCAACCAAGUAGAUCCAAAGCCAUAGCUGGGUAAAUAACUCUAGUUGUUAGCACACACUGGACAUAAGUGGCACGACCAGCCAUAGACAUAAGCUCCGCCUUCCAUCCUAGCCACAUAUCCGCAGUACGAUCGAUGAUGGCUUGUAAAAGUGUAAUUGAUCUGUAUUAAGCUUCUUGAGAGACAAAGGGAGGCCAAAAUACUUGAGGGCUUGUUCGGUUAUUUUUAAUCCAUAUGGAUUGGAGGGAUUGAUACGGAUUGUGAGAGAUUUUGACUUACUAGGGAUUGAAAUCCCCUCAAUCCAUAUGGAUUGGGGUAGAACCGAACAAGCCCUGAGAGGGAAUUCUGAAACCCCACAAGGCAGCAGCUCCUAGAUGACUUCGACCUCCUCAUUAGUACAACAAAUAGGAAAAACACUACUCUUUUCCACAUUAGUCUUCAACCCGAAGCAUUGCCAAACAGUGUCAAGAGGUUCACAGUCAAAAUGAUGUCCGAUAGGAUAGGUUUUAAGAAGACCACUGUGUCAUCGGCAUAAAGAGACAUACGGUGUUGUAAGCGAAGAAAGAAGUUGUAGAAGGCCAUCCUCAGAAGCACGCCGCACAAGGUGAGAAAGAACAUCCAUGACGAGGAUGAAUAGCAUAGGGGAUAGGGGUCGCCCUAUAUUAAUCCUCGUCGAUGGGCAAUGUAGUCACCAGGCACACCAUUCAAAAUAAUUCUUGUCGAUGAAGAAGCCAAAAGCCCACUAAUCAAAUCAUACCAAAAGACACCAAAAUCAAGUUUCUUCGGGGCCUCGAGAAGGAAAGCCCAAGAGACUGAAUCAUAAGCCUUUGAAAUGUCAAGUUUAAAAAGGAUUCGGGGUUGUUUCUGAUCGUUAAGAAACCUGGUUGUUUGUUGCACUAACAUAAAGUUAUCCUAAAUAAAUCUCUUCUUGGUAAAGGCUGUUUGAUUAGGAGAGACCAUCAUUUGCAGCUUACCGGCCAACCUAUUGGCCAAAUUUUUUGUAAUGAGCUUAGCAAAGCUAUGCACAAGGCUAAUAGGUUCAAAGUCCUAAACAUGUUGGGCAUCAACCUUUUUAGGCAACAGCGAGAUGAAGGCAGAAUUCAAAAGCUCCAUAUUCCUGAAUUUCUGAGCCCACACACAAGAGAUAGCAGCCAUGACACUCCCCUUAAUAAUCGACCAAUAAGAUUUAUAGAAGCACCCAGUGAAGCCAUCCAGCCCCGGGGCCUUUCCGAAGGAAGGUGCUCGAUGGUGUUCCACACCUCACCUCCGAAAUGGGUACUUCAAGAGCAGACAAAUCAUGAGAAAGGAAUCCCCAGCGCAUCAAGGUCAAUGGUAGUGUCCCUAGGCUCCACUGUAACCAGCAACCCGUUAUAGAAGUUGAGAAAUUUUGUUGCUUUAUCCUCAUGCACAGUCAGCACUCUACCAUCUAUAGUAGUGUCGGGGACCACAAUUAGGGGUACCCUCAAGACGCCUAAUUCUCAGCUGGUAACCCCCAUCAGCAUAAAGCUGCAGAGGCCUGAUGGGUACGAUUAAGUCAGGGAUCAGUCCAUACGAGCGACUCGAUCACGCCUCGCCCGAGCCUAGCCUCGGACAAGGGCAGCCGACCCCGAGGGAUUUCCGUCUCGCCCGAGGCCCCCCUCCAACGGCGGACACAUCUCCGGCUCGCCCGAGGCCUUGCCUUCGCUAAGAAGCAACCCUGACUAAAUCGCCGCGCCGACUGACCGAGUCGCAGGAGCAUUUAACGCAAAGGUGGCCUGACACCUUUAUCCUGACGCGCGCCCCCCGGCAGAGCCGAAGUGACCGCCGUCACUUCGCCGCUCCACUGACCGGUCUGACAGAAGGACAGCGCCGCCUGCGCCACUCCGACUGCAGUGCCACUUGACAGAGUGAGACUGACAGGCAGUCAGGCCCUGCCAAAGGCACCAUAGGAAGCUCCGCUCCGCCCGACCCAGGGCUCGGACUCGGGCUAAGCCCCGGAAGACGGCGAACUCCGCUCCGCCCGACCCAGGGCUCGGACUCAGGCUAAGUCCCGGAAGACGGCGAACUCCGCUCCGCCCGACCCAGGGCUCGGACUCGGGCUAAGCCCCGGAAGACGGCGAACUCCGCUCCGCCCGACCCAGGGCUCGGACUCGGGCUAAGUCCCGGAAGACGGCGAACUCCGCUCCGCCCGACCCAGGGCUCGGACUCGGGCUAAGUCCCGGAAGACGGCGAACUCCGCUCCGCCCUAUCCAGGGCUCGGACUCGGGCUCAGCCCCAGAAGACGACGAACUCCGCUUCACCCGACCCCAGGGCUCGGACUCCGCCCUGGCCUCUGCCGAACGACCUCCGCCUCGCCCGACCCAGGGGCUCGGACUCGGCCUCGGCCACGGAAGACAGACUCGACCCCGGCUUCGGAGGAGCCUCCACAACGCCCAACCUAGGGCGCAGGCCAACCACGUCAGCAGGAAGCGCCAUCAUCACUCUACCCCGAGCCGACUCGGGCCGCAGAGAACAAGACUGAUGUCCUAUCCGGCUAGCUCUGCCAGAUAGGCAAUGAUGGCGCCCCGCAAGCUCUGUGAUGACGGCGGCUCUCAGCUCUCUUACGGAAGCAGGAGGACGUCAGCAAGGACUCAACCGCUCCGACAGCUGUCCCUCUGCCAGGCUCCGCCGCUCCUCCGACAGCCACGACACCACACCAGCUGGGUGCCAAGAUCUCUCCGGCUGCCACAUUGGCAUGUACUUAGGGCGCUAGCUCUCCCCCGCUAGACACGUAGCACUCUGCUACACCCCCAUUGUACACCUGGAUCCUCUCCUUACGCCUAUAAAAGGAAGGACCAGGGCCUUCUUAGAGAAGGUUGGCCGCGCGGGGACGAGGACGAGACAGGCGCUCUCUUGGGGCCGCUCGCUUCCCUCACCCGCGUGGACGCUUGUAACCCCCUACUGCAAGCGCACCCGACCUGGGCGCGGGACGAACACGAAGGCCGCGGGAUUUGCACCUCUCUCACGCCCGUCUCCGGCCACCUCGCUUCCCCCCUUCGCGCUCGCCCACGCGCUCGACCCAUCUGGGCUGGGGCACGCGGCACAUUCACUCGUCGGCUUAGGGACCCCCUGGUCUCGAAACGCCUACAGUUGGCGCGCCAGGUAGCGGCCUGCUGCGUGUUGACGAACAGCUUCCCGUCAGGCUCCAGAUGGGCAGUCUCCAGCAACCUCUCCGGCCCGGGACGGUGCUCCGUUUCGGGAGUCUUGAGUUCAUGUCCUUCGACGGUAGCUACGACAUGAUACUUCUUCCACCGCCGCGCGACAACGAUAAUGGCGGCCGACAACCCGUCCGCCGGCGGCGGAAUCGACGACAUCUUCCCCGCGUGGUGGAAGAACAACAUUCGAGCUCGCCCCGUCCUCUCCCCCACCAACGGAGGAGGAGGCGGGGCAACCAAGGCCAAGCGGGAGGCCGCGCUUCGUCGGCUGUCGAGCGAAUCGACGUCCCCAGCGCCCCAACGGGGGGCGCGUCGGGCGUCGACCUCACGUUUGAAGCGAAGGCGAGCGCCGUCCCCCCGCGACACGCCAAUCCCGAGCAAGUGGACGACGCCAGCGCGCUCGCGGAGAGCUUGCAGGACGUCGCCCUCGUACCUGAGACGACGGUGCAAUCAGUCCCCGACGUGACUAUGUCGCUGCUCGUCGACCAAAAGGUACCGACCGAUUCCCAUCCUACGUCAUUUCGACUCAGCCUCAACCCGCCUAGCGACCUCGCUUUGGCGGGCGCUCUCGUUGAGGCGAGUGCAACCCCUCUGGGGUUUCGUAUGCGGUCGCCUUGGGACCGAUUGACGGACGUCACGACCUACGGCCCUCUGGGUCCGAGGAAGAUGACGAUCCCAGCAUCUGUUGGGAUUUCUCUGGAUUUGGCAACCCCAGUGCCAUGCGGGACUUUAUGACCGCGUGUGACUACUGCCUCUCCGACUGUUCCGACGGUAGCCGCAGCCUCGACGACGAGGACUGCGGCCCAAGCCGCGAAUGUUUCCACGUCGGGCUAGGGGAUCCCUCCGAAGGCAACCAUCUCGGCAUGCCGGAGGACGGUGAUCUCCCUAGGCCGGUGCCUCGCGCUGACAUCCCGCGGGAGCUAGCUGUGGUCCCCGUUCCGGCGGGGGGUCACGACCCACAGCUCGAGCAAGUCCGCGGGGCGCAGGCCAGGCUCGACGAGGGAGCAAGAGCGCUUGAGCCGAUCCGCCGGGACGUCGGGCAGGUAUGGGCGGGCCAACCCCCGGCCGGAGAAAUACGUCACCUGCCCCAGGGUUUCCAGCACCGCGUCGCCAACGACGUCAGGGUCAGGCCGCCACCCGCAUCCAGUGGGGUCGGUCAGAACCUGGCAGCCGCAGCGAUGCUCCUCCGCGCGAUGCCGGAGCCAUCAACCACCGAGGGUCGGCGAAUCCAGGGAGAGCUCAAGAAUCUCCUGGAAGGCGCUGCGGUCCGACGGACCGAAAGCUCUGCCUCCCGAAGGCAGGGAUACCCCUCGGAACCUCAUGCCGCGACUUCCCGAUUCAUGCGGGAAGCCUCGGUCUACACCGGGCGCACGCGCAACACCGCGCCUGCGGCCCCGGGCCACCUCGGCAACGAGCACCAUCGUCGCGACCGUCGGGCCCACCUCGACGAAAGGGUGCGCCGAGGCUACCACCCCAGGCGUGGGGGACGCUACGACAGCGGGGAGGAUCGGAGUCCCUCGCCCGAACCACCCGGUCCGCAGGCCUUCAGUCGGGCCAUCCGACGGGCGCCGUUCCCGACCCGGUUCCGACCCCCGACUACUAUCACAAAGUACUCGGGGGAAACAAAACCGGAACUGUGGCUCGCGGACUACCGCCUGGCCUGCCAACUGGGUGGAACGGACGACGACAACCUCAUCAUCCGCAACCUCCCCCUGUUCCUCUCCGACACUGCUCGCGCCUGGUUGGAGCAUCUGCCUCCGGGGCAGAUCUCCAACUGGGAUGACUUGGUCCAGGCCUUCGCCGGCAAUUUCCAGGGCACAUACGUGCGCCCCGGGAAUUCCUGGGACCUCCGGAGCUGCCGGCAGCAGCCGGGAGAGUCUCUCCGGGAUUACAUCCGGCGAUUCUCGAAGCAGCGCACCGAGCUGCCCAACAUCACCGACUCAGAUGUCAUCGGCGCGUUCCUUGCCGGCACCACCUGCCGCGACCUGGUGAGUAAGUUGGGUCGCAAGACCCCCACCAGGGCGAGCGAGCUGAUGGACAUCGCCACCAAGUUCGCCUCUGGCCAGGAGGCGGUCGAGGCUAUCUUCCGAAAGGACAAGCAGCCCCAGGGCCGCCCAUCGGAAGAUGCUCCCGAGGCGUCAACUCCGCGCGGCGCCAAGAAGAAAGGCAAGAAGAAGUCGCAAGCGAAACGCGACGCCGCCGACGUGGACCUUGUCGCCGCUGCCGAGUACAAGAACCCUCGGAAGCCCUCCGGAGGUGCUAACCUCUUCAACAAGAUGCUCAAGGAGCCGUGCCCCUAUCAUCAGGGGCCCGUCAAGCACACCCUCGAGGAGUGCGUCAUGCUUCGGCGCCACUUCCACAGGGCCGAGCCACCCGCGGAGGGUGGCAGGGCCCGCGACGACGACAACAAGGAAGAUCACCAAGCAGGAGAGUUCCCCGAGGUCCGCGACUGCUUCAUGAUCUACGGUGGGCAUGUGGCGAAUGCCUCGGCUUGGCAUCGCAAGCAAGAGCGCCGGGAGGUCUGCUCGGUGAAGGUGGCGGCGCCAGUCUACCUAGACUAGUCCGACAAGCCCAUCACCUUCGACCAAGCUGACCACCCCGACCACGUGCCGAGCCCGGGGAAAUACCCGCUCGUCGUCGACCCCAUCGUCGGCGACGUCAGGCUCACCAAGGUCCUGAUGGACGAGGGCAGCUGCCUCAACAUCAUCUACGCCGAGACCCUCAGGCUCCUGCGCGUCGAUCUGUCCUCCGUCCGAGCAGGCGCUGCGCCCUUUCAUGGGAUCAUACCCGGGAAGCGCGUCCAGCCCCUCGGACGACUCGACCUUCCCGUCUGCUUCGGGACGCCCUCCAACUUCCGAAGGGAGACUUUGACGUUCGAGGUGGUCGGGUUCCGAGGAACCUACCACGCGGUACUGGGGAAGCCAUGCUACGUGAAGUUCAUGGCCGUCCCCAACUACACCUACCUGAAGCUCAAGAUGUCGGGCCCCAACGGGGUCAUCACCGUCGGCCCCACGUACAAACACGCGUUCGAAUGCGACGUGGAGUGCGUGGAGUACGCCGAGUCUAAAAAGGGGGAACCCCUCUGCGUCAAGAUUGGGUGUACUUCUCCGCACCCAAAAUUUUCGAUCAAAAAAGGCUUUUUGCGUUCUCCCGGCUAUGUCAGAAGCAGGGUCCCGAGGAGUGAACGAGGGUACAUGUAAGUGGCGAGGCCGACUGAGCCGAGGAACUCCUAUGCCUCCGGGUUAGGGACACCUCACUCAUCACCUGCCACGAAAAAUGACUCAACUCGAGAAGCCACUCUAUUAUUGACAAGCUAAGCCGGACACGCAAAUUGAAAGAAAGGAGAGUGCGACUUCAUGCAAGAAAAACAAAGUGUUCAGGCCUCAGCGGCCGCGGUAAGACACACGCACAUCCGACAGAAACUGUUCCAACAAGAGUUAGGCGCCGCCUUGGGAAGGAGCCGUGCCUUCAGUUCCGUCCCCGCCUUCGGUGAAGUCCAUCUCGGCUUCCGGCGACGGCGCAGGGGGAAGGAUCUCCGCCUCAAAAGUGGUCGCCAGCACCGCGCUCGGACCCGCGGCGACCGCGUCGAGCCGCUGAACUUCUGCCAGGGCAGCUUCGUCUUCGUCAGGAAGACAAUACCCCUCACUAACCCGCUCCAGGUCCACAACGUAGUGGGAAGCGAGCACGGCGAAGGCCCGCCUGACAUCGUGGUGUAGCGCCUCGCGGACUCUGCCGCGUGCGUGAUCACCCAAGGCUUGAAGGCGGCUUUGAGGGGAGCUUCCUGAAGGGACGUCGCCGGAGCCGAGGAUCCGAUAAACGUCCGAGACGGCCUCGGACAUGGCCGCGAGGUCAGCCUCCCUCUGCUCGGCAGCUCCGGCGAGCGCCUCGGCGAGCACCUUGGCGGACUCGUCAAGGGCGGACUCAAGCUCUGCGAACAACCAGAAGGAAGACCUCAAGCACAAGCAGAGGAAACUGACAAGAACAAGAACCAGGGACGGCCAAGGCGUACCUCCGGCUCGAGCACGCUGCUCCGAGGCCGCGACCUGGGCUGCGGCUAGGUCGGCCGCGAGGGUCUCGGCCCGGCUUUCGGCCUCGGCAGCCCGGCCCCGAGAUUGGUCCCGCUCCUCGACGACCUGGACGAACUCCGACCGCUGCCGUUGCGCCUCUGCGCGCGCCGCUGCCGCCUCCGUGCGCGCUGCUGCCGCCUCGGCUCUCAGGUCAGCGCAGAGCAACUGGAGGUCCGCUACCUUGGCAUCCUGCUGAGAAAGGCGCGCAGUAGCCCCGGCGAGCGAGGUCCUCAGGGAUCGCAGCGAGCCCCAGACAUCGACCUCGCGGCGGAUGAACGACGACUUGGCGGCGCUCCGAUCCGUCAGAUCCUGGGGGAAGGAAACAGGGUGUCACGAAGAACGCCUCGCUCACAGAAAAGAAAAGGUAUGCCUGAAACCGUUACCUGGAGGAUUUUGGGGACGUCCCUGCAGAAAACCUCCAGCGACGACCGGAGCGACCCCACCGUUGCUUCAGCACACUCGCGGAGCUCAUCCCAGGACUGGUCCUCCUGUUCAUCGUCGAGAACGAAGACAGGGUCCGAGGCCUCGCGGGUCCGAAACCGGAGCAACUGGCGCCGGGCCCCGGGGCUCCGCCGCACAGCGAUGAGGCUGCCGCCCGGCUGGACGGAUAGCGCCUCCACGCCCACCUCUUCUGAGGCACUGGGCGCCGACGUAUCAGCCAUCUCGACGCCGGCAGCAACCGGUCGCUCUCCGACUGGGACGGCGGCAACUUCGGUAGCGGCAGGCGCCAGCAUGGCCGGCACGACAGGCGGGCUCGGGACCACGUCGGCGUCAGCCGCCUCCCCUAUCACGAUGGCCGCCUCGGCAGAAGAGCCAGCCUCGGGAACCUGCUCCCCAGCGACAGGUGCCGCCCGAGCCCCCUGCGGUGAAACGCCCUGCGAAAGGGUCGGCUGAACGACAAGGCCCGGGGCGGCGCUGGCCGCACAGGCCGGCGCCGUCUUAAGGGCCUUCCGGGGUGCCAGGUCGGUCUGGCCAUGGCUUCGCUUGCUGAGGAAAAAAGGGAAAUCACGGCCGAGACAUAUGAAUGGAAAGCCAAGACGAAGACAUUCCGAGAUACUUACCCACUCCGGGCCAUAAUCCACCGCGCCUGGGGGGAAGUUUCUUGGAUCCCGGCUCCCGCAACAGCCGCCGAGGUCCGCUUCGCCGGCAACUUCGGCGCCACCCUUGCUUUGGACACCCGGGAAGCAGACUGCCCGGGCACUGUCACGAUGACUUGAGGGUCACCUCCAUGCGCUGCUGGUACGAGCGGCGGCCCUUGGGGAGCAGACGCCCUGACCUGGCCCUUCGGAACCACCUCAGCUCCUCCAACCGAGGGGUCAGGUGACCUCUCGAGUUGCCCCCGUGCCUCGGGCCGGGACCCCGACGCCCCAGCUCCGGGGACUGACGGUGUCGGCCCGCUCGGGGGCUGGCUCGACGGCUCCUGGCCACACCCCAAGCCGGGGCUGAGGCCGAGACGGGCGGCCAUGUCGUCUUCCUCCUCAUCAUCAUCGUCGUCGUCGUCGUCGGGCGUCUCCGACGACGGCUCCCUCGGGAGUCCCUCCCUCUCCUGCUGGCGACGGCGCUUCUCCAAGGCGUCCCGAGCCCGCCUCCGCUCGCGGGCCCGGGCCUUCUCUGCGUCCUUCUUCUUCUUCUCCUCCGCGGCGACCCGCCACGCUGCUCGGUCCACCGCGUCCUCCGGGACCCGCGGCCGGGAGGGCUUGUGCCACCCCACCUCCUGAAGAAAGGGGGGAAAGAAGCCCGAUCGUAAGAACCAGGAGCAACCCGAUGUAUGAAGAAGGAAGAAGCGAACACUCACCAGAGUCACGCACCCCUGGUCGGGGCGCAUCCGAAGCUGGGAGAAGGCGUGGGGGUCCGGCUUCCCCAACGCAGCCGACACCCGCCAUUGGAGGGCGUCGAAGGGAAGAGGAUCAGGGGACAUCCGUGAGCCCUCCCAGUCAGCCUCCGGGGUCAUCUCCCAAAGCGACAGCCGUCGCUUCGCCAAGGGAAGCACCCUCCGACGGUGGAUGGCGGCAAUCACUCCCGCUGCGGUGAGUCCCCCCUCCCGCAACGCCUCCAAGGCCUGGAGAAGGGGUCCGAGGUUCUUCUGUCUUUCGUGCGGGGUCCCGUGACGCCAGGCGUCGGUAGCGGCGGUGACUACUCGCUCGGAGUACGACGGGAGCAACUCACCGUCGUUCCGGAGAUAGAACCACCGGCGCUGCCACCUCUUGUUCGAGGACGCGAGGAUGGCAGGAAUAUACUGCGACGCCCGCGACUGCCUCAGCAGGAGGGUGCAGCCGCCGGCCCGCACCGCUGCGUGGACUUUCCUCUCCCCCGUCGGUGAAGCAAAAAGCUCGGCGAAAAAGAGAUGGGUCCACAAAUCCCAAUGGGGGGCGAUCCCCAAAUACCCUUCGCACACCGCUACGAAGAUAGCGGCCUGCGAGAUGGAGUUCGGGGUGAGGUUGUGCAACUCCACCCCAUAGUGGAACAGGAGUGCCCGCAUAAAGCGGCCCGUCGGCACACCGAAUCCCCGCUCGUGGAAGGAGACGAAGCUCACGACGUACCCCGGCGGUGGGGAUGGAGCGACUCCGCCCACGGGAGGAAUCCAUUCUGGUCGCUGCUCAUCGGUGAGAGGGCGAAGCAAACCCUCGCCGACCAGCUCCUCCAGAUCGCUCGCCGUCACCGUGGAAAAGGGCCACGGAUCGCGUGGUGAGAUGAUGGUCACCCGGUCAGCCAUCACCAAAACGGAAGGGACGGCGACGCAAGGGGCAGGAAAGGCGGUUUCCUCUUCUCUGGCUAAAGUCUCUCGGGUUGCGAAAACCUAAAGGAAGAGGCAGGAAGCGGAGCGAAGAACCGUCACCAGACCCUCUCCCGGGUAUAUAAAGACCAAGGCGAGACCGUUUCCAGCGUUACGCCCGGACCGGACGCGGGAUUCAAAAAACGCGAAGCGAAACAGCCGUUCCUCGAACGGCUCGCGCACGCGCAACGGCCGCCCUGCCAACAACUCACCCCGUCGCCUUAACUCCGCGGCGUGACAGGCGGCGCUUCUGGCGGGAGAAGCGGGCGACGCUUCGCCUUCGCCGUAAUAACCGCGCCAAAAAAGGUACGCCACGUCGUUCGAUUUCGUAUCCUUUUCCUUUUUUCCUCUUUCUCUAUCUCUUGCAACAGGGACCGGGAAAGGGGGAUACCCCGAAAAGGAUCCUUCCCUGUGAAGGAACCGGGCUCCGAGCCCCCCUACUGAUCAGAGGUUCGAAGGCUGGCCCCCCGAGGGGUUCAACAGCCGCCUCAGAUCGCGUGGGCCCUACACCCACUACUGGUCAGAGGUUCGAAGGCCGGCCCCCCGAAGGGCUCCACGGCCGCCUCAGGCUACUCGGGCUCCGCGCCCAUUACUGAUCAGGGGUUCGAAGGCUGGCCCCCAAAGGGUUCACAGUCGCCUCAGACGCCGAGCGAGGGAUGACCAGGGGUACGUUCGAUACAUAGCCGAGGCUCGGGCUGCGCUCCCGAGGUACCCUAGGACAUUUCCGAGACCAGCGGGAGCGAUCUUGUAACGGAAUCCCAUCGGAGGGAGGCAUCGAGCCCUCGGACCCCGUCGCCAGGGGACCGGGUCCGGCAGAUCACCCGCAGGUACUUUUGGGCGUGCCUCUGGGCCCCUAGCCGACCCCCAACGAACGGGGCACGGACGUCCACUCGGAUUACCCGCUUGCAGCUCACCGGAGACACCAUGUUCGGUGCCCAUCGAGGGUAACAUGGCGCUCUCCCCCCCUCCUCCUUGCGGAAAGGCGACGUAGGGGCGUAUGUAAAAAAGCCGAGUCUGUCCCUGAUCGCCCUCUCGCCCUGUGCGGAGGCUCGGGGGCUGCUCUCGCAAACCCGGCUCCGGCCGAACCGUUGACAGCGUCAACAUACCAGCCCGAGAACUUGGGCCCCGACCGUGCACCCGGGCUACGGCCAGUUCGCAUGAGGGAACAACCAGACCAGCCGAAGCGUUACGCAAGGCAUUAAGACCUCGAAGGAGUGAAACCACUCCUCCGAGGCCUCGGGGGCUACACCCGGCGGGUGCGCUCGCGCGCACCCACCGGAACAAAAUGCAACCGAGAAAGGCUGGUCCCCUUGCAAAAAAGUGUGACGAAAGCCUCCAAGCGAGUGCUAACACUCCCUUCGAGGCUCGGGGGCUACUGUCGGGGACCAUAAUUAGGGGUACCCUCAAGACGCCUAAUUCUCAGCUGGUAACCCCCAUCAGCAUAAAGCUGCAGAGGCCUGAUGGGUACGAUUAAGUCAGGGAUCAGUCCAUACGACCGACUCGAUCACGCCUCGCCCGAGCCUAGCCUCGGACAAGGGCAGCCGACCCCGAGGGAUUUCCGUCUCGCCCGAGGCCCCCCUCCAACGGCGGACACAUCUCCGGCUCGCCCGAGGCCUUGCCUUCGCUAAGAAGCAACCCUGACUAAAUCGCCGCGCCGACUGACCGAGUCGCAGGAGCAUUUAACGCAAAGGUGGCCUGACACCUUUAUCCUGACGCGCGCCCCUCGGCAGAGCCAAAGUGACCGCCGUCACUUCGCCGCUCCACUGACCGGUCUGACAGAAGGACAGCGCCGCCUGCGCCACUCCGACUGCAGUGCCACUUGACAGAGUGAGACUGACAGGCAAUCAGGCCUGCCAAAGGCACCAUAGAAAGCUCCGCUCCGCCCGACCCAGGGCUCGGACUCGGGCUAAGCCCCGAAAGACGGUGAACUCCGCUCCGCCCGACCCAGGGCUCGGACUCGGGCUAAGUCACGGAAGACGGCGAACUCCGCUCCGCCCGACCCAGGGCUCGGACUCGGGCUAAGUCCCGGAAUACGGCGAACUCUGCUCCGCCCGACCCAGGGCUCGGACUCGGGCUAAGCCCCGGAAGACGGCGAACUCCGCUCCGCCCGACCCAGGGCUCGGACUCGGGCUAAGUCCCGGAAGACGGCGAACUCCGCUCCGCCCGACCCAGGGCUCGGACUCGGGCUAAGGGUCUGUUUGGUUUGUGGCUAAAUGUGCCACAUUUUGUCUAAGGUUAGUCGUUCGAAUUGAAUAACUAACCUUAGGCAGAAAAGUUAGGCAAAGUGUGGCAACUGAGGUAGUGAACCAAACAGGCCCUAAGUCCUGGAAGACGGCGAACUCCGCUCCGCCCUAUCCAGGGCUCGGACUCGGGCUCAGCCCCAGAAGACGACGAACUCCGCUUCACCCGACCCCAGGGCUCGGACUCCGCCCUGGCCUCUGCCGAACGACCUCCACCUCGCCCGACCCAGGGGCUCGGACUCGGCCUCGGCCACGGAAGACAGACUCGACCCCGGCUUCGGAGGAGCCUCCACGACGCCCAACCUAGGGCGCAGGCUAGCCACGUCAGCAGGAAGCGCCAUCAUCACUCUACCCCGAGCCAACUCGGGCCGCAGAGAACAAGACUGAUGUCCCAUCCGGCUAGCUCUGCCAGAUAGGCAAUGAUGGCGCCCCGCAAGCUCUGUGACGACGGCGGCUCUCAGCUCUCUUACGGAAGCAGGAGGACGUCAGCAAGGACUCAACCGCUCCGACAGCUGUCCCUCCGCCGGGCUCCGCCGCUCCUCCGACAGCCACGACACCACACCAGCUGGGUGCCAAGAUCUCUCCGGCUGCCACAUUGGCAUGUACUUAGGGCGCUAGCUCUCCCCCGCUAGACACGUAGCACUCUGCUACACCCCCAUUGUACACCUGGAUCCUCUCCUUACGCCUAUAAAAGGAAGGACCAGGGCCUUCUUAGAGAAGGUUGGCCGCGCGGGGACGAGGACGAGACAGGCGCUCUCUUGGGGCCGCUCGCUUCCCUCACCCGCGUGGACGCUUGCAACCCCCUACUGCAAGCGCACCCGACCUGGGCGCGGGACGAACACGAAGGCCGCGGGAUUUCCACCUCUCUCACGCCCGUCUCCGGCCACCUCGCUUCCCCCCUUCGCGCUCGCCCACGCGCUCGACCCAUCUGGGCUGGGGCACGCGGCACAUUCACUCGUCGGCUUAGGGACCCCCCGGUCUCGAAACGCCAACAAGUAGUGAUACUAGGUAAGUGGGUAUAAAAUUCUUCCUUUUUCGGUACCUAGCAUAAUAAUGGAACAAACGGGUGUUGGCAUCCCCAUCUUUUAGCCAUCCAAUGCAAGAUUUCAAUCUGGCCAUAUUGUGCAAGAAGGAUGCCAAAGCAAGACUGUGUUUCUUCAACAAAUUCUUUAGCCAAACAUCUAAAGGUGACAAAGUUUGACAAUCUUGGGCUAUUUCAAGUUGAUGCAAGAGCUAUUUAGCAAAAUCAAGUUGAUUUUUCACAUGCCCCACCUUUUUAUCACUCCAACUCUACAACCCACGCGCAACAGCCCUUAUUUUAAAGAAAGGGUAGCUAGAGGGCAAGGACCAUCAGAAAUUGAAGGCCAAGUAGCCACCACAUCCUGGAAACCCUCCAAUUUAGGCCAAAAAGCUUGAAAGUGGAACCUACUCUUGCCCUGGAUGUCACCUCAAAAACCAGCACCAUCUCUGCCCUUGGCUACAAAUUUUGGCAUUGCAAGAGAAAAUAUCCUUUCAUUUUACUUUGAUCAAUAUUUUUAGAGAAGCUGGAACACAAAUUUCUUUUCCUUAACCGCUUCUAUCUUUUUAUCACAUAUGACAGUGUCACAAGUUCCAAAGAAGGUAAUGAUCCUCUUCUUUCAGUAUUGAACAUCCCUAAUGUUUUUUAUCACUUGGCAUAAGCAAUAUGGCGAUGGAUAUUUCAGAUGAUGAAUCUAAUGAGGAGGUUCCACAGGCUAUUCCAUUAUUCCCAAACGCAGAUGGUAUAUAUCCUUGUUCUACAUAACAUUUUUGUUUAAUAGUUACUAUUGCAUCUCUCUCUGCAUUUCUCUCUGUGUUCUACAUAACACUUAUGUGGGAGCCUUCGGCAGCAGGCCUGCCCUUUUUAAUAUUGAACAUUGUCUGCGCCAGUUUUGCUGAAGCUAUGGUAUUAUAGAGAAAAAGAGGGAAAAAAACAAGAAAAUUGUCUUAUUUAACCUUUGUCGUUGAUCCAGACCACCCUCUCUACCUUCUUCAGGCCAAUCACCAAUAUUCCAAAGGUACAGCUACAAAAGAACAAUGUAAGCAGCAGAUAACUUCAGCACGGUUAUUGGGAAGGGUGGUUUUGGAACUGCCUGUAAAGCUCAAUUCAGUGAUGGAUCCAUAGCUGUGGUGAAAAGGAUGAACAAGGUUUCAAAGCAAGCUGAAGAAAAGUUAGAAUGCCUACAAAAAGGGAAAACAUCAGCAACAAAUUAAGGUCGCUUAUUUCUUCUUUGGGAUCUUCUUCAGUAACUCAUCCAGAACCUCAAACAGAUCGGCAACCAGUCCGUAAUCUGCAACCUGGACAAUGUCAAUGCCCGGUUGGCUUAGAAUUGUAGCUAAUAUUGGUGGACAACACGUAAUUUGUUAAAUGAGAGAAGGAACCUGAAAUAUGGGGCAUCAACACCUUUAUUAAGAGCCACAAUAACCUUCGAGUCUCAUUCGAUCAUUCCUGCCAAGUGCUGUAUCGCUCCAGAUACUCCAAAAGCAUGGCAUAGAGUUAUGGAACUAUAUGAAUUGUAUCUAAAAACAAAGAUAAAAAGAACUAUAAGAAUUGUACCUGAAAAACAAAAAUAAAAGAACUAUGGAACUCUACCUUCUCAUCUAUCAUUAUAAAAACAAAGAUGAGUGUGUUAGCUGGGCAAUAGCAGGAGCUAAGGAGCUUGAGAGCCUAGGUUUAGUUGUAGCUCUGGCCGAGGUCGGGUCAAGUUCCGGUUCCAGUUUGUAAUUUCCUUCAGGUUUUUGUGUAGGGGCCUUGGGAGACUUGCUCAGCAAGGUCUCCUUUGUGUAAGGUUUUUUAUUCCUCUCUAAUAUAUAAGAUGUGCAGUUCUCCUGCGCGUUCGAUAAAAAAAUAAAAAAUAAAAAUCGUUGGUCAUGCUUUGCUCGCAUCCUCCGUUCUCCAGGAUGCAGUCGUUGAUGUCCGAAACUGAGAAAAUUGCAAGAUCACCACCGCGGAAAGCUGGCUUCGCUGCAUUGCAACCAUCAACUGAUCCCUCACUGUUGUUAUGCCAUCCGGCCUCAUAUAAUCCAUCAACUUGUUCUUUUACAGAUCUCCAGCCACGGGAAAAGACAGCUCUAUCCUUAGGUCAAGAUAAGGUCAUCUUGCCUCUGUUUGCUUGGACUAAAAAUGAACAAGCCUUGAGUUCCCCCCCCCCCCCCCCCCCCCCGCGGCGCAUAGAGGGUUGGACACUCAAGCACGCAUAACUCAACAUUUGGUUCUCCUCCAAGCCCACAGGCAGCAGAUUUGAUCAUUUGAGGUAAGAAUGGUGUUCCAGUUGUAUUCCCUCAUUUUCUGUUAUCCUCCUUCGAUUUCUAAAAUCCCUUGUUUUUUUGGAUGCAUGAACCAAUAGAUUUUGUGAUGUUGGCUCUAAAUCUGUGAUCCAUUGCCCUUGGAGAGGUGGUGCUAUGCCAGAUAUGGACAUGGAACCCAACUCCAACUCUUGGGACAUGAACCUAAGGUAUAUAAUCUAUUCUGCUAUGUGGUUUUGUUUACAUAUUUCGGCUGUUCGAGUUGCUAACCAAAGAUAGGUCGCCCCUCUAACUCGAUUUUAUUGUGCACUUGUUCCUUGCAUUGAGGGUUUUUUAGCAGGAUGUAGGCCUUAUCUAGUUAUCUUAGUGUAAACUCAACUGCACUAAAUGGUAGGUGGAAUGACCAAUUGGCAUCAGUAACAGAUAUAGACGGUCAUAACUGGAUGUAUCCUGUUGCAUUUGGAUUAAUACAAUCUGAACCAGAGGAUAACUGCGUUCGGUUUAUGAAGCAGUUGCGUAGAGCUAUAGGAGACAUGCCUCAACUAGCAAUUUGCACAGAUGCUUGUAAGGGAUUAGAAAAAGCAGUGGUACAAGUGUUUCCUUAUGUUGAUCAAAGGGAAUGUUUUAGGCACCUCAUGCAAAACUUUAUUAAGAGAUAUAGUGGUGUCAUUUAUUCACGUAUGUACCCUGCUGUUGAGGCUUAUAAGAAGGACAAAUUUCAGUACCACAUGACCCAAAUGUUCUCAGGUAGCAAUGAUGUGUUCAAGUACCUUGAUGAACAUCAUUCACUGAAAUGGAUGAGAUGUGACUUCAACCAAGAAAUUAAGUGUGAUUAUAUUACUAACAAUCUAGCGGAGUGUUUCAACAAUUGGAUUAGAGAGUACAGUAGAGACAUAAAGAACUUGCCAGUGACUGAUCUUGUUGAUAAGGGAAAUGAUAAUGAUUCUAUGGGAGAAGAUGAGAAAAAUUGGAGAACGACUUCAAGGCAAGAUACUAACAGCUGUCCUACACCAAUUGAAUGCAAGAACUAGAGGGUUGGGACACUUAAAUGUUGUGAAAGCUGACUUACAUGAUGCAGAGGUGUACAACAGCAGCCACAAUCAUCAUGAUCGACAUGCUAUCAAGGCACAUUUACAUGACUGUACUUGUGAAGAGUAGCAACAUACGGGCAAGCCUUGCGAGCAUGUAUUGGCCUUGCUAGCCGCAGUAAAAAACAGAAAUGUGAAGCUUGAGGAUUUGUUCAUGAAUACUACUCUGUUGCAAAGUUCAGAGAGGCAUAUAAAAGAUUGAUAGAGCCACUGCCUGACAAGUCACAAUGGCCCACAGUAGAACUUUCAUUUGAUAUGGGUGCACCAAUUUGCAAAAUAACUGUUGGCAGACAGAGAAAGUUGAGGUUCAAAAGUUUCCUUGAAGGCGGCAACAGUUCAGAGACAAAACAUGAUGAAGGUGGCAGCAGUUCAAAGGCAAAACCAACUGAACAAGAAAAGCCCAAAACGAUGAUAAGAGGAAACGUAGGUGCAAAAGAUGUGGCACAUUGGGUCACACAGAAGUUAGUUACAAAUGACCACUCAAUGGUACAAAGAAAAGGAAGAGAAAGCCUAGGAAGAAUAGUACUAAAUCAAGUGGUAAAAGUCAGAUGGCAACACCUUAUAGGCCAAUAACAACUAGGGAAACCAUAAUUCAAGAGCGCCCUGGAGCAACAAUGAAAGGAGGUAAUUCCAAAAAUUUUACAAGCACACUCUAGUUUGAAAUAUGUUCUUUUUCAAUACCAUUAACAAUGUUUUUGUGCAGGCGACUUGCUGCUCUGUUAGAAAGCAAUUCUUCUCAGACCACUAUGCCUACUUCAACUCCAACCAAGAUAACAACGCCAACCAAGAAGACAGUUCAAAAGAAACUGACCCCAAGGAAGAAAAAAAAUAACUCUUAGGAUUCUAUUUGUGGUUGUAGUCCUAAACUGAAAUAUUUGUGGUUGUAGUGCUAAACUGUGUCACAUGUUUAAUUGUGCAGUUUGUUUUGGAUUCUAUAGUCCUAAACUGAGAUAUUUUGUGGCUGAUAUAUUCAGUAUGGGUGCUUGUCUUAAAGAUGUGUGCUUGUCUUAAACAUGUAUGGGUGUUGUGCAUAUAUAUCUUGUAAGGAUUUGUUCACCACGCAUCAAGGUUCAUGGCACAGGAGAUUGGUGUCAGCAGUAUGGAGAACAAGCAUGAUGCCAAAACUGAUGCCGGUUACCUGGAAUGAGGCAUGAUGGCAUAAGAACAGCAAGUGAUUGAUAUUGGCACUUCAGCGUGGUCACGAUCGACGGUGGCAAUGCAGCGAAGCCACCUUUCCAAGGUAGUGAUCUUGCAAAUUUCUCGUCCAGAACUUUGUAUGCCCGGCCAAUCAUCGGACCACCGCGCGCUCAUGCAACACGCCACGUCGGUCCUCCUCGGCCUUGUCAAACACGACAAACGGUACAGUCCCUACCCACACGCCGGGGCAGUGGUAGGCCUGACGGCAAAGGGUGUGUGCCACCUGGUUCCCCUCCCGGUACACAUGCCUCACAUCGCAUCCUUCAAAACAGCGAAGCAGCUCGUGGAUCUCCUCCUGCAGCGCCACGGGGAUCCGUGUCUGCGUGUCCUCGCUGCGGAGCAGCCGCACAAGCACGAGAUCGUCGCCCUCGACCACCACCCGCUGCAGGUUAAGCCCAAGCGCCAGGCAAAGGCCUCGAGCCAUCGCGCGCGCCUCCACUAUGCCCACCGUGGAGUGCUCCGUGGGCUCAGCGAAUGCGAGCACGACACGACCGUCGCUGUCACGGAUGGCGCCACCAAUACUGGCUCGCGCUGAGCCAUCAUGGUAGACGGAUCCAUCAAAGUUGAGCUUGUACCAACCACGAGGUGGCGGCGACCAUUGUACUAGGAUGACGCGGCCAGGAUGGUACGGACGUGCCCACGGAGAGAGCUGCGAUGCAUGGUGGUAUAGAUUGGGGUCGUUGGGUGCCGCCAUCGAUGCUAGGGAGCACACCAUGCUAUCAGAUCAACUAACUGUUCGUGCAGUGUAUCGCGUAUGUAGUGCAACACGCAGGGGCGGCGGGGUGAAACAGUAGCUUACCGGUCGCCGCUCCGGCGUCCAACGUCCACCCCUCUGGGUCUCUGUGGGGUCUGCCUCCGCCACACGCCCACACGAUCUACAAGUACACUAGUUCUCUUUGGGGUCAGCCUCCACCUCCGCGCACACAAACUAUGCGUAAUGGAUUAAGAGCAGAGGAGACCGAAUCUCAACUAAGAUUAGUGAGAAACGUGGCAAGAAGAACACAGAUCGGAUCUUUAUGGAACCCUAAAUCCCCAGAUUCGAGCCCCGAAUCCCCAAAUCGGAAAUCAACAGCCAUCUUGAGAUGGGGAUUAGAACAAGGGAGCAAGAAAGGAGAACGCACCGUGGUCUUGCCGUCGGUAGUUCACAGUUCGCAACCCUCAGGCCGACGCCGUACCUCCUUGCAAGUGCAGAAGCACCGCCGAGGAUCUCACCGACGGCGGCGCCCUCGCAGGAAAGCGCUCGCCGGCGGGGAGUUCGACGACAGCGCAACAAUGGACGCCGGAUCAGUCCUCCACCUCGCCGGUGAACAGAAGCGACGAGAGUGGUAGGGUUUCAGGCGAGAGGCGCACGGCUGAGAGAAAUGGGGAAAGUGGGUAGGGUUUGUGAUAAAUGGAUAAACAGUGAUCCGUGUAUUCUUGCCCGUCGAUCCUUAUCCCCGUGGCGAUGCGGGGGGGCGCGGUUUUGGUGGGCCGACAUCUCGGCCCGGGCGCACGGGCCGCACCGCCUGGACCGGCACAGAGACGGGCCAAAAGGCCGACAGAGGCCAAGUAGCCCAUUUUUAUUUCCAGCGAAUUAAGAAUUGGUCUUUUCUUUAUUUCGGCAGAUUGAAUAAAAAUAAAAUAAAAGGUUAUAAAAAUUAGAAAAUACUUUUAUGAGAUUUAGAAUUUUGCAAAUAAUAUCUUGGAAUAUUUUGUUUUCGCUGCAUAGUUUAGAUAUUUUCUAUGCAUUAUUAUUCAUUAUGAAGCCAACGUGGAUUAUUUCUAUUUAAUUACAUAGAAAUUUCGAGAUUUUAUGGUAUUUUGAAUGUUUGACAACGUUUAAUAUUUUAUAAAUAUUUUAUACCAAAUUUAGAACAGUAUUAUAUUUUAUACUAGGUGUAUGCCAGUCCUUUGCCACGGAGUCAACAUGUAUUAAUAAAAUACAUUAAGAUGCAGAAGCACUAUUUUAUCGUUCUAUGCUCUCGUUAUUAAAAUGUCCGUAUGUUUAGAGUUGUACUCGGAUGCUUCGUCUAGCUGACGAAGAUGACAGAUGGGUCGCAGCACUCGUCGAUCAAGCAGUAGGAGCACAACGCGACCAGACUGUAGAUUAAUCAAUUAGAUGACGCAUGUGCAAGAGCAGAAGUCUACGUCGUCACUUGGGAAAUCAGAGAGACAGAGCCAACAAUAAGCUUAUGGCAGAGGAAUGAUAGGAUCAGAGAGACAUAGGUGUACCAACAAAUGAAAAGGGAUAUGUCAGCACCGGAUCGACCAAGCGAUUCUAUUCAUUUCUUCACAUGGAUUAGAUCAGAUUGACAAGGACAAUGGGUCAAGACGAGAGGCGGGAGAGGACAAGUCCUACAGGGACGCACUCGGACCCGAGUUUCACUAUCUAGGUUCUUGGGAAGCAGAGCACGUCAGCGAAGGGGAGGGCCAGGUCGUGGAUGCAGCUAUUGACGAAAUUGACAAGGACUAGGGAUGAGGACACAUAGUCGGCGUCCGACGAGGAGGGCAUGGUGGAGACGAGGAGCCGGCCGAGAAGCUUGGCGAUCUCCUUCUUUGUUGUUGUGCGCUAGAGGCUGGAGUGGGGAGCCGGCACCGGAAGACGCGGCGCGGCACGGGGACUCACUGAGAUAGGCAUGCAACUAGGGUUUGGUUGUCCAGUUGGUCGGGCCUGGGAUGCGUGUAUGUGGAUGUGAGACCUUGGACUGCAGGUCGCGCCGCCUCCUUCGCCCAUGCCGCGGCCUCGUCGUGCGGAGGCAGCCAUUGUCGUGGCCUAGUCGUGCAGGGGAAGCCUAGUCCGCGAGGGAUUAGGGAAGCGCGCGGGUGUUGGUGAGAGCACCUAGACGGGGGAAUAGGUGAUCCUGUAAAAAUCAAAUACUUAUAGCCACAAAACUUGGUUAAGUGUUAGUAUGGCUACGAAGCAAGCUCUUGCUAACACAAGAUAUCACAGAAAAGCAAUCACAAGAGACACGGUGGUUUUAUCCCGUGGUUCGGCCAAGUAUAACACUUGCCUACUCCACGUUGUGGCGUCCCAAUGGACGAGGGUUGCACUCAACCCCUUUCAAGUGAUCCAGUGAUCAACUUGAAUACCACGGGUUUUCCUUUCUUAUGCCUUGAAAGUCGCCUAGAGGGGGUGAAUAGGGCGAAUCGGAAAUUUAUAAACUUAAGCACAACUACAAGCCGGGUUAGCGUUAGAAAUAUGAACGAGUCCGAGAGAGAGGGCAAAAACAAAUCGCAAGCAAAUAAAGAGUGAGACAUAAGGAUUUGUUUUACCGAGGUUCGGUUCUUGCAAACCUACUCCCCGUUGAGGUGGUCACAAAGACCGGGUCUCUUUCAACCCUUUCCCUCUCUGAAACGGUCACUUAGACCGAGUGAGCUUCUCUUCUCAAUCAAACGGGACACAAAGUCCCCGCAAGGACCACCACACAAUUGGUGUCUCUUGCUUCGGUUACAAUAGAGUUGAUCACAAGAAAGAAUGAGAGAGAAAAGAAGCAAACCAAGCGCAAGAGCUCAAAUGAACACAAAUGUCGCUCUCUCUAGUCACUAUUCGAUUUGGAGUGAUUCCGGACUUGGGAGAGGAUUUGAUCUCUUUGGUUGUGUCUAAAAUUGAAUGUUAUAGCUCUUGUAAUGUGUUGAAGGUGGAAAACUUGGAUGCAAUGAAUGUGGGGUGGUUGGGGUAUUUAUAGCCCCAACCACCAAAAGUGGUCGUUGGGAGGCUUUCUGUCGCAUGGCGCACCAGACAAUCCGGUGCGCCAGCCACGUCAGCCGGCCAUUGGGUUCUGACCGUUGGAGCUCUGACUGGUGGGGCCUCUGGGCUGUCCGGUGGUGCACCGGACAGGUCCUGUAGACUAUCCGGUGCGCCUUCUAUGCGUGCUAUGUCAUCUGCGCGCGUAGGCGCGCAUUAAAUGCGUUGCAGUCGACUGUUACGUGCGCAGUAGUCGUUGCUCCGCUAGCACACCGGACAGUCCGGUGUGACACCGGACACUGUCCGGUGCCUCACCGGACAGUCCGGUGAAUUAUAGCGGAGCGGCCUCCCAUUUUCCCGAAGGUGAGGAGUUCAGCGUCGAGUUCCCUGGUGCACCGGACAGUCCGGUGUGCCAGACCAGGGUGCCUUUUGGGAUGUCUUUAGCUCUCUUUAUUUGAACCCAUCUUUGGUCUUUUUAUUGGCUUGUUGUGAACCUUUGGCACCUAUAAAACUUAUAGACUAGAGCAAACUAGUUAGUCCAAUUAUUUGUGUUGGGCAAUUCAACCACCAAAACCAAUUUAGGAAAAGGUGUAAGCCUAUUUCCCUUUCAAUCUCCCCCUUUUGGGUGAUUGAUGCCAACACAAAUCAAAGCAAAUAUAGAAGUGCAUAAUUGAACUAGUUUGUAUAAUGUAAGUGCAAAGGUUACUUAGAAUUGAACCGAUAAAUUCUUAUAAGAUAGGCAUGUAUUGUUUCUUCAUUUUUAAUAUUUUGGACCACGCUUGCACCACAUGUUUUGUUUUUUCAAAUUUUUUUGUAAAUUCUUUUCAAAGUUCUUUUGCAAAUGGUCAAAGGAUAAAAGAAUAAGAUUUUGAGAAGCAUUUUCAAGAUUUGAAAUUUUCUCCCCUAUUUCAAAUGAUUUUCCUUUGACUAAACAAAACUCCCCCUCAAUAAAAUCCUCCUCUUAGUAUUCAAGAGGGUUUUAGAUAUUGGUUUUUGAAGAGGGUGUUCCAGUUUGAAAUUCUAUCAAAAAUAAGAUACCAAUUGAAAAAAAUCAUCAUUUCAAAAUCUUUUCUAAACUUAAAUUUUGAAAAUUGGUGUGGUGGUACGUGGUGGUGCGGUCCUUUUGCUUUGGGCUAAUACUUUCUCCCCCUUUGGCAUGAAUCGCCAAAAACGGAUACUUGAGUAAAAUAUAAGCCCUUGGUGACUACUUUCUCCCCCUUUGGCGAACAAAAUAUGAGUGAAGGUUAUACCAAAGUUGGAGAGUGGCUCGGAGCGGCGGCGAAGGAUGAGUAAUUUGAUGGAGUGGAGUGGAAGCCUUUGUCUUCGCCGAAUACUCCAAUUCCCUUUCAAUCUAUGACUUAGUUUGAAAUACACUUGAAAAUACAUUAGUCAUAGCAUAUAAAAGAGAUAUGAUCAAAGGUAUAUUAAUGAGCUAUGUGUGCAAAACAUCAAAAGAAAUUCCGAGAAUCAAGAAUAUUUAGCUCAUGCCUAAGUUUGUUAAAUGUUUGUUCAUCUAGUGGCUUGGUAAAGAUAUCGGCUAAUUGUUCUUUGGUGUUAAUAUAUGCAAUCUCGAUAUCCCCUUUUGUUGGUGAUCCCUUAAGAAAUGAUACCGAAUGGCUAUGUGUUUAGUGCGGCUAUGUUCAACGGGAUUAUCCGCCAUGCGGAUUGCACUCUCAUUAUCACAUAGAAGAGGAACUUUGGUUAAUUUGUAACCAUAGUCCCUAAGGGUUUGCCUCAUCCAAAGCAAUUGCGCGCAACAAUGGCCUGCGGCAAUAUACUCGGCUUCGGCGGUAGAAAGAGCUACGGAAUUUUGCUUCUUUGAAGCCCAAGACCCCAGAGACCUUCCCAAGAACUGACAAGUCCCUGAUGUGCUCUUUCUAUUAAUUUUACACCCCGCCCAAUCGGCAUUCGAAUAACCAAUCAAAUCAAACAUGGAUCCCCGAGGGUACCAAAGCCCAAACUUAGGAGUAUAAACUAAAUAUCUCAAGAUUCGUUUUACGGCCCUAAGGUGAGUUUCCUUAGGAUCGGCUUGGAAUCUUGCACACAUGCAUACGGAAAGCAUAAUAUCCGGUCGAGAUGCACAUAAAUAGAGUAAAGAAUCUAUCAUCGACCGGUAUACCUUUUGAUCUACGGAUUUACCUCCCGUGUCGAGGUCGAGAUGCCCAUUUGUUCCCAUGGGUGUCUUGAUGGGCUUGGCAUCCUUCAUCCCAAACUUGUUUAGAAUGUCUUGGAUAUACUUCGUUUGGCUAAUGAAGGUGCCCUCUUGGAGUUGCUUCACUUGAAAUCCUAAGAAGUACUUCAACUCCCCCAUCAUAGACAUCUCGAAUGUUUGUGUCAUAAUCCUACUAAAUUCCUCACAUGUAGAUCCGUUAGUAGACCCAAAUAUAAUAUCAUCAACAUAAAUUUGGCAUACAAACAAAUCAUUGUCAAGAGUUUUAGUAAAUAAAGUAGGAUCAGCCUUUCCGACUUUGAAGCCAUUAGUGAUAAGAAAAUCUCUUAGGCAUUCAUACAAUGCUCUUGGGGUUUGCUUGAGCCCAUAAAGCGCCUUAGAGAGUUUAUAUACGUGAUUAGGAUACUCACUAUCUUCAAAGCCGGGAGGUUGCUCAACAUAGACCUCCUCCUUGAUUGGUCCAUUGAGGAAGGCACUUUUCACGUCCAUUUGAUAAAGCUUGAAGCCAUGGUAAGUAGCAUAGGCAAGUAAAAUGCGAAUUGGUUCUAGCCUAGCUACGGGUGCAUAGGUUUCACCAAAAUCCAAACCUUCGACUUGUGAAUACCCCUUGGCCACAAGGGCUUUGUUCCUUGUCACCACACCAUGCUCGUCUUGUCUGUUGCGGAAGACCCACUUGGUUCCUACAACAUUUUGGUUAGGACAUUGUCGGGGACCAUAAUUAGGGGUACCCUCAAGACUCCUAAUUCUCAGCUGGUAAACCCCAUCAGCACAAAGCUGCAAAGGCCUGAUGGGUGCGACUAAGUCAGGGAUCGGUCCAUUCGAGGGACUCGAUCACGCCUCGCUCGAGCCCAGCCUCGGGCAAGGGCAUCCGACCCCGGAGGAUCUCCGUCUCGCCCGAGGCCCCCCUCCAGCGACGAACAUACUUCCGGCUCGCCCGAGGCCCAGUCUUCGCCAAGAAGCAACCCUGGCCAAAUCACCACGCCAACCGACCAAAUCGCAGGAGCAUUUAAUGCAAAGGUGGCCUGACACCUUUAUCCUGACGCACGUCCUCCAGUCGACAGAGCCGAAGUGACCGCAGUCACUUCGCCGCUCCACUGAACGGCCUGACAGAAGGACAACAUCGCCUGCGCCGCUCCGACUGCUGUGCCACUCGACAGAGUGAGGCUGACAGGCAGUCAGGCCCGGCCUCGGGCACCAUAGGAAACUCCGCUCCGCCCGACCCAGGGCUCGGACCCGGGCUCGGUCCCGGAAGACGGCGAACUCCGCUUCGCCCGACCUAGGGCUCGAACUCGGGCUCAGCCCCGGAAGACGGCGAACUCCGCUCCGCCCGACCCAGGGCUCGGACUCGGGCUCAGCCCUGGAAGACGGUGAACUCCGCUCCGCCCGACCCAGGGCUCGGACUCGGGCUCAGCCCCGGAAGACGGGGAACUCCGCUCCGCCCGACCCAGGACUCGGACUCGGGCUCAGCCCCGGAAGACGGCGAACUCCGCUCCGCCCGACCCAGGGCUCGGACUCGGGCUCAGCCCCAGAAGACGACGAACUCCAUUCCGCUCGACCCCAGGGCUCGGACUCAGCCCUGGCCUCAGCCGACGGUCUCCGCCUCGCCCGACCCAGGGGCUCGGACUCGACCUCGGCCUCGGAAGACAGACUCGACCUCGACCUCGGAGGAGCCUCCACAUCGCCCAACCUAGGGCACGGACCGACCACGUCAACAGGAGGCGCCAUCAUUACCCUACCCCAAGCUAACUCAGGCUACGAGAAACAAGGUCGGCGUCCCAUCUGGCUCGCUCCGCCAGACAAGCAAUGAUGGCGCCCCGCACGCUCUAUGACGACGGCGGCUCUCAGCCCCCUUACGGAAGCAAGAGGACGUCAGCAAGGACUCGACAGCUCUGACAGCUGUCCUUCCACCAGGCUCCAGCGCUCCUCCGAUGGCCACGACACCACACGAACCGGGCGCCAAAACCUCUCCGGCUGCCACGAUGGCAUGUACUUAGGGCGCUAGCUCUCCUCCGCUAGACACGUUAGCACACUGCUACACCCCCCAUUGUACACCUGGAUCCUCUCCUUACGCCUAUAAAAGGAAGGACCAGGGCCCUCUUAGAGAAGGUUGGCCACGCGGGGAAGAGGAUGGGACAGGCGCUCGCGUGAGGCCGCUCGCUCCCCUCCCGCGUGGACGCUUGUAACCCCCUAUUGCAAGCGCACCUGACCUGGGCACGGGACAAACACGAAGGCCGCGGGAUUUCCACCUCCCUCUCUCCGGCUGCCUUUUCCCCCCUUCGCGCUCUGUCUCGCGCCGACCCUUCUGGGCUGGGGCACGCGGCGACAUUUCACUCGUCGGUCCAGGGGCCUGCUGCGUGUUGACGAACAGCUUCCCGUCAAGCUCCAGAUGGGCAGUCUCCAGCAACCUUUCCAGCCCGGGAUGGUGCUCCGUUUCGGGAGUCUUGAGUUCAUGUCCCUCGACGGCAGCUACGACAUGAUACUCCUUCCCCCGCCGUGCGACAGCGACAAUGGCGGUCGAUAGCCCGGCUCACCCCGCCCUCUCCCCCGCCGACGGAGGAGGAGGCGGGGCAACCAAGGCCAAGUAGGAGGCGGCACCUCGUCGGCUGUCGAGCAAGUCGACGGCGCCGGCGCCCCAACGGGGGGCGCGUCGGGCAUCGACCUCGCGUUUGAGACGACGACGAGCGCUGUCUCCCCGCAACACGCCAAUUCCAAGCAAACGGACGACGCCAGCACGCUCGCAAAAGGCUUGCUGGGCGUCACCCUCGUACCUAAGACGACGGUGCAGUCAGUCCCUGACGUGACUUCGUCACCGCCCGUCGACCAAGAGGUACCCACCGAUUCCCAUCUCACGCCGUUUGGAUUCAGCCUCGACCCGCCAAGCGACUUCGCUUUGGCGGACGCCCUCGUAGAGGCGAGUCCAAACCCUCUGGGGUUUCGUAUGCAGUCACCUUGGGACCGGCUGACGGACGUCUCGACCUACGGGCCCUCGGGGUCCGAGGAAGAUGACGUGCCCGACUUCUGUUGGGAUUUCUCCGGACUUGGUAACCCCAGUGCCAUGCGGGACUUCAUGACCGCAUGCGACUACUGCCUUUCCGACUGUUCCGACGGUAGCCGCAGCCUCGGCGACGAGGACUGCGGCCCAAGUCGUGAAUGUUUCCACAUCGAUCUAGGGGGUCCCUUCGAAGGCAACCAUCUUGGUAUGCCGGAGAACGGUGAUCUCCCUAGGCCUGUGCCUCGCGUUGACAUCCUACGGGAGCUAGCAGUGGUCCCCGUUCAUGCGGGGAGUCAUGACCCACAGCUCGAGCAAAUCCGCGGGGUGCAGGCCAGGCUCAACGAGGGAGCAGGAACACUUGAGCCGAUCCGCCAGGACGUCGGGCAGGAAUGGGCGGGCCAACCUCCGGGCGGGGAAGUGCGUCAUCUACCCCAGGGCUUCCAGCACCGCAUCGCCGACGAUGUCAGGGUGAGGCCGCCACCCGCUUCCAGUGGAGUCGGCCAGAACCUGGCUGCAGCGGCAAUGCUUCUCCGCGCGAUGCCGGAGCCAUCAACCACCGAGGGGCGGCGAAUCCAGGGAGAGCUCAAGAAUCUCCUGGAGGGCGCCGCGGUCCGACGGGCCAAAAGCUCUGCCUCCCGAAGGCAGGGGUACCCCUCGGAACAUCGCGCUGUGACUUCCCGAUUUAUGCGGGAAGCCUCGGUCCACACCGGGCGCACGCGCAACACAGCGCCUGCGGCCCCGGGUCGCCUCGGCAACGAGCACCAUCACCGCGACCGUCGGGCCCACCUCGAUGAGAGGGUGCGCCGAGGCUACCACCCCAGGCUUGGGGGACGCUACGACAGCGGGGAGGAUCGGAGUCCCUCGCCCGAACCACCCGGUCUGCAGUCGUUCAGCCGCGCCAUACGACGGGCGUCGUUCCCGACCCGGUUCCGACCCCCGACUACUAUCACAAAGUACUCGGGGGAGACGAGACCGGAACUGUGGCUCGCGGACUACCGGCUGGCCUGCCAACUGGGUGGAACGGACGAUGACAACCUCAUCAUCCACAACCUCCCCCUGUUCCUCUCCGACACCGCUCGCGCCUGGUUGGAGCACCUGCCUCCGGGGCAGAUCUCCAACUGGGACGACCUGGUCCAAGCCUUCGCCGGCAAUUUCCAGGGCACGUACGUGCGCCCUGGGAACUCCUGGGUCCUCCGAAGCUGCCGUCAGCAGCCGGGAGAGUCUCUCCGGGACUACAUCCGGCGAUUCUCGAAGCAGCGCACCGAGCUGCCCAACAUCACUGAUUCGGAUGUCAUCGGCGCGUUCCUCGCCGACACCACCUACCGCUGGUGAGCAAGCUGGGUCGCAAGACCCCCACCAGGGCGAGCGAGCUGAUGGACAUCGCCACCAAGUUUACCUCUGGCCAGGAGGUGGUUGAGGCUAUCUUCCGGAAGGACAAGCAGCCCUAGGGCCGCCCACCGGAAGAUGCGCUCGAGGCGUCAACUCAGCGCGGCGCCAAGAAGAAGGGCAAGAAGAAGUCGCAAGUGAAACGCGACGCCGCCGACGCGGACCUUGUCGCCGCCGCCGAGUACAAGAACCCUCGAAAACCCCCCGGAGGUGCCAACCUCUUCGACAAGAUGCUCAAGGAGCCAUGCCCCUAUCAUCAGGGGGCCGUCAAGCACACCCUUGAGGAGUGCGCUAUGCUUCGGCGCCACUUCCACAGGGCCGGGCCACCCGCGGAGGGUGGCAGGGCUCGCGACGACGACAAGAAGGAAGAUCACCAGGCAGGAGAGUUCCCCGAGGUCCGCGACUGCUUCAUGAUCUACGGUGGGCAAGCGGCAAACGCCUCGGCUCGGCACCGCAAGCAAGAGCGUCGGGAGGUCUGUUCGGUGAAGGUGGCGGCGCCAGUUUACCUAGACUGGUCCGACCAGCCCAUCACCUUCGACCAAGCCAACCACCCCGACCACAUGCCGAGCCCGGGGAAAUACCCGCUCGUUGUCGACCCCAUCAUCGGCGACGUCAGGCUCACCAAGGUCCUCAUGGACGGAGGCAGCAGCCUCAACAUCAUCUACGCCGAGACCCUCAGGCUCCUGCGUGUUGAUCUGUCCUCGGUCCGGGCAGGCGCUGCGCCUUUCCACGGGAUCAUUCCCGGGAAGCGCGUCCAGCCCCUCGGACGACUCGACCUUCCCGUCUGCUUCGGAACACCCUUCAACUUCUGAAGGGAGACCCUCACGUUCGAGGUGGUUGGGUUCCGAGGAACCUACCACGCAGUACUGGGGAGGCCAUGCUACGCGAAGUUCAUGGCCGUCCCCAACUACACCUACCUCAAGCUCAAGAUGUCAGGCCCCAACGGGGUCAUCACCGUCGGCCCCACGUACCGACACGUGUUCGAAUGCGACGUGGAGUGCGUGGAGUACGCCGAGGCCCUCGCUGAAUCCGAGGCCCUCAUCGCCGACCUGGAGAGCCUCUCGAAGGAGGUGCCAGACGUGAAGCGCCACGCCGGCAACUUCGAGCCAGCGGAGACGGUUAAGUCCGUCCCCCUCGACCCCAGCAGCGAUGCUUUCAAGCAGAUCCGGAUCGGCUCCGAGGUCAAUCCCAAAUAGGAAGCAGUGCUCGUCGACUUUCUCCGCGCGAACGCCGACGUUUUCGCGUGGAGUCCCUCGGACAUGCCCAGCAUACCGAGGGAUGUCGCCGAGCACUCGCUGGAUAUCCGAGCCGGAGCCCGACCCGUCAAGCAGCCUCUGCGCCGAUUCGACGAAGAAAAGCGCAGAGCCAUAGGCGAGGAGAUCCACAAGCUAAUGGCGGCAGGGUUCAUCAAAGAGGUAUUCCAUCCCGAAUGGCUUGCCAACCCUGUGCUUGUGAGAAAGAAAGGAGGGAAAUGGCGGAUGUGUGUAGACUACACUGGUCUAAACAAAGCAUGUCCGAAGGUUCCCUACCCUCUGCCUCGCAUCGAUCAAAUCGUGGAUUCCACUGCUGGGUGCGAAACCCUGUCUUUCCUCGAUGCCUACUCAGGGUAUCACCAAAUCAGGAUGAAGGAGUCCGACCAGCUCGCGACUUCUUUCAUCACGCCCUUCGGCAUGUACUGCUAUGUCACCAUGCCGUUCGGCUUGAGGAAUGCGGGUGCGACGUACCAGCGGUGCAUGAACCAUGUGUUCGGCGAACACAUUGGCCGGACGGUUGAGGCCUACGUCGAUGACAUCGUAGUCAAUACGAGGAAAGCCUCCGACCUCCUUUCCGACCUUGAAGUGACAUUCCGAUGUCUCAAGGCGAAAGGCGUGAAGCUCAAUCAUGAAAAGUGUGUCUUCGGGGUACCCCGAGGCAUGCUCUUGGGGUUCAUCGUCUCCGAGCGAGGCAUCGAAGCCAACCUGGAGAAGAUUGCAGCCAUCACCAGCAUGGGGCCCAUCAAGGACUUGAAGGGCGUACAGAGAGUCAUGGGAUGUCUUGCGGCUCUGAGCUGCUUCGUCUCACGCCUCGGCGAAAGAGGUCUGCCUCUGUACCGCCUCUUAAGGAAGGCCGAGUGCUUCACUUGGACCCCUGAGGCCGAGGAAGCCCUCGGGAACCUGAAGGCGCUCCUCACGAAUGCACCCAUCUUGGUGCCCCCCGCUGCCGGAGAAGCCCUCUUGAUCUACGUUGCCGCGACCACUUAGGUGGUUAGCGCCGCGAUUGUGGUUGAGAGGCGAGAAGAGGGGCAUACAUUGCCCGUCCAGAGGCCAGUCUACUUCAUCAGCGAGGUACUGUCCGAGACCAAAAUCCGCUACCCACAAGUUCAGAAGCUGCUGUACGCGGUGAUCCUGACGCGGCGGAAGUUGCGACACUACUUCGAGUCUCAUCCGGUAACUGUGGUGUCAUCCUUCCCCCUGGGGGAGAUCAUCCAGUGCCGAGAGGCCUCGGGUAGAAUCGCGAAGUGGGCGGUGGAAAUCAUGGGCGAAACGAUCUCGUUCGCCCCUCGGAAGGCCAUCAAGUCCCAGGUCUUGGCGGACUUCGUGGCUGAAUGGGUCGACACCCAGCUCCCAACAGUUCCGAUCCAGCCGGAACUCUGGACCAUGUUCUUCGAUGGGUCGCUGAUGAAGACAGGAGCCGGCGCAGGCCUACUCUUCAUCUCGCCCCUCGGAAAGCACCUACGCUACGUGCUACGCCUCCAUUUCCCGACGUCCAACAAUGUGGCUGAGUACGAGGCUCUGGUCAACGGGUUGCGGAUCGCCAUCGAGCUAGGGGUCCGACGCCUCGACGCUCGCGGUGACUCGCAGCUCAUCAUCGAUCAAGUCAUGAAGAACUCCCACUGCCGCGACCCGAAGAUGGAGGCCUACUACGAUGAGGUUCGGCGCCUGGAAGACAAGUUCUACGGGCUCGAGCUCAACCACAUCGCCCAGCGCUACAACGAGACUGCGGACGAGCUGGCUAAAAUAGCCUCGGGGCGAACAACGGUUCCCCCGGACGUCUUCUCCUGAGACCUGCAUCAACCCUCCGUCAAGAUCGACGACACGCCCGAGCCCGAGGCACCCUCGGCCCAGCCCGAGGCACCCUCGGCUCGGUCCGAGGCACCCUCGGCUCGGCCCGAGGCACCCUCGGCUCGGCCCGAGGCACCCUCGGCUCGGCCUGAGGCACCCUCGGUUAAGCCCGAGGUACCCUCGGCCCCCGAGGGUGAGGCACUGCGCGUCGAGGAGGAGCGAAGCGGGGUCGCGCCUAAUCGAAACUAGCAGACCCCGUACCUGCAAUAUCUCCACCGAGGAGAGCUACCCCUCGACCGAGCCGAAGCUCGGCGGUUGGCACGACGCGCCAAGUCGUUUGUCUUGCUGGGAGAUGGGAAGGAGCUCUACCACCGCAGCCCCUCAGGCAUCCUCCAACGAUGCAUCCCCAUCGCCGAAGGUCAGGAGCUCCUACGAGAGAUACACUCGGGGGCUUGCGGCCAUCACGCAGCACCUCGAACCCUUGUUGGAAACGCCUUCCGACAAGGUUUCUACUGGCCGACGGUGGUGGCCGACUCCACUAGAAUUGUCCGCACCUGCGAAGGGUGUCAGUUCUACGCGAGGCAAACCCACCUGCCCGCUCAGGCUCUACAGACGAUACCCAUCACCUGGCCUUUUGCUGUGUGGGGUCUGGACCUCGUCGGCCCCUUGCAGAAGGCACCCGGGGGCUACACGCACCUGUUGGUUGCCAUCGACAAAUUCUCCAAGUGGAUCGAGGUCCGACCCCUAAACAGCAUCAGGUCCGAACAGGCGGUGGCGUUCUUCACCAACAUCAUCCAUCGUUUUGGGGUCCCAAACUCCAUCAUCACCGACAACGACACCCAGUUCACCGGCAGAAAGUUCCUAGACUUCUGCAAGGAUCACCACAUUCGGGUGGACUGGGCCGCCGUGGCUCACCCCAUGACGAAUGGGCAAGUAGAGCGUGCCAACGGCAUGAUUCUACAAGGACUCAAGCCUCGGAUCUACAACGACCUCAACAAGUUCGGCAAGCGAUGGAUGAAGGAACUCCUCUCGGUGGUCUGGAGUCUGAGGACAACGCCGAGCCGAGCCACGGGCUUCACGCCGUUCUUUCUAGUCUAUGGGGCCGAGGCCAUCUUGCCCACAGACUUAGAAUACGGUUCCCCGAGGACGAGGGCCUACGCCGACCAAAGCAACCAAGCUAGUCGAGAAGACUCGCUGGACCAGCUGGAAGAGGCUCGGGACAUGGCCUUACUACACUCGGCGCGGUACCAGCAGUCCCUGCGACGCUACCACGCCCGAGGGGUCCGGUCCCGAGACCUCCAGGUGGGUGACUUGGUGCUUCGGCUGUGACAGGACACCCGAGGGCGGCACAAGCUCACACCUCCCUGGGAAGGGCCGUUCGUCAUCGCCAAAGUUCUGAAGCCCGGAACGUACAAGCUGGCCAACAGUCAAGGCGAGGUCUACAGCAAUGCUUGGAACAUCCAACAGCUACGUCGCUUCUACCCUUAAGAUGCUUUCAAGUUGUUCAUAUACCUCGCUCCCACGCAAAGUUUAGUCAUCAAGGAAGGGUCAGCCUUGCCUCGGCAAAGCCCGACCCUCCCUCGGGGGCUAAAAGGGGGGAACCCCCUCUGCGUCGAAAUUUUCCUCGAAAAAAGAUCCUUUCUGCCAGAAUGUCUUUCGCGCUUUUCGACUACUUCAAAAGUGGAUCCUGAAAAUGAUGGAGUACACGUAAGCAGCCAAGGCUGACCGAGCCGAGGGACUCCUACGCCUCCGGGAUACGGAUACCUCACUCAUCACCUUCUGCGAUAAGUAACUCGCGUUCGGAUAAGUGAUUCCGCGGACCGAACAAGUCUUCACGCUCGAAAGCCCCUCUGCCGAAGUGAUUCUUCGGGCCUUCUCGACUGCGUCGGUGUUAGAACCCUAUGGACGGGCAAGAGUGCGCGUAAGCGGCAAGGCCGACCAAGUAGAGGGAUUCCUACGCCUCCGGGAUAUGGAUACCUCACUCAUCACCUUCCGUGAAAAGCAACUCUCGCUAUCACAGACAAUUCUGUUACCGACGAAAAAGUCCAGAUACUCGAAACAAGAGGAAAAGAAGCGCAGCUUUACAACACGGCGAGGGUGUGUUUGGGCCUCGGCGGCCGCAGAAAACACACACUACAAGAUAAUCCGAUCCUGCAGGCUCGGAUCUUGACAGUUGAAGGGAGCAGCAGCACUGAAAGGGAAUUAGGCUUACACCUAGUUCCUAAAUAAUUUUGGUGGUUGAAUUGCCCAACACAAAUAAUUGGACUAACUAGUUUGCUCUAGUGUAUAAGUUAUACAGGUGCCAACGGUUCACAACAAGCCAAUUAAAAAGACCAAAGUUGGGUUCAAAAUAGAGAGCUAAAGGCAUCCCGAAAGGCUCCUUGGUCUGGCGCACCGGACAGUGUCCGGUGCACCAGGGGAUCUCGCGCAGAACUUCUCAGCCUCGGGAAUUUUCAGAAGCCGGCGCGCUAUAAUUCACCGGACUGUCUGGUGUACACCAGACAGUGUCCGGUGCUCCAAGAGGACGCGGCUCUGGAACUUGGCAGCCUCGGGAAAUCAUAACGGCUGCUCCGCUAUAAUUCACCGGACAUGUCCGGUGUACACCGGACUGUCCGGUGCAUCUGCGGAGCAACGGCUACUUCGCGCCAACGGUCACCUGCAGGCGCAUUCAAUGCGCGCCAGAAGCGCGCAGAAGUCAGGCACGCGCGCGCUGGCACACCGGACAUUGAACAGUACAUGUCCGGUGUGCACCGGACAUCCAGGCGGGCCCAGAAGUCAGAGCUCCAACGGUCGAAUCCCAACGGAAUUGGUGACGUGGCUGGCGCACCGGAUAUGUCCGGUGUGCACCGGACUGUCCGGUGCACCAUACGACAGUCAGCCUCCACCAAACGGCUAGUUUGGUGGUUGGGGCUAUAAAUACCCCCAACCACCCCACAUUCAAGUAAUCCAAGUUUUCCAGCUUCCAACCACUAUACAAGAGCUAGCAUUCAUUGCAAAGCACACCAAAAGAGAUCAAAUCCUCUCCCAACUCGACACAAAGCCUUAGUGACUAGAGAGAGUGAUUUGUAGUGUUCAUUUGAGCUCUUGCGCUUGGAUCGCUUCUUUUCUUUGGCAUUCUUUCUUGUGAUCAAACAUUCACUUGUAAUUGAGGCAAGAGACACCAAUUGUGUGGUGGUCCUUGCGGGAAGUUUGAUUCCCAAGUGAUUUGAGAAGAGAAGCUCACUCGGUCCGAGGGACUGUUUGAGAGAGGGAAGGGUUGAAAGAGACCCGGCCUUUGUGGCCUCCUCAACGGGGAGUAGGUUUGCAAGAACCGAACCUCGGUAAAACAAAUCCGCGUGUCACACUCUUCAUUUGCUUGCGAUUUGUUUUCCACCCUCUCUCGCGGACUCGUUUUUAUUUCUAACGCUAACCCGGCUUGUAGUUGUGUUUAUAUUUGUAAAUUUCAGUUUCACCCUAUUCACCCCCCCUCUAGGCGACUAUCAAGCACCCUCGGCGUCGACUACACCUUCGGCGAGGUCCGACCUAGCCUCGAACGGCGACGCGGUCCGAGGACCUCCACUCUGAAGGACGACAUCAUCAUCACGCCCGGGCCAUCGCCGCCAGGGUCUUCUUCAAGAAUCCGGCUCGAGCAGGCAGCUCGGCCGGUCACCCCGAGGUCUCGGCCAGCUGUCCCCCGAAGACAUCAGCCCGGCCCGAGGCCUCGGCAGAUAAAUUCCGGCGUCGGUCCCGCUAACGGACGACCCGACCAGGCUCCGGCCGACCAAGUCUUCUUUUCGAGCCAACUCUGCCUCUGUCCGUGCUGACACCGCUACCCCUGGCUUUGGCUCAUCGAAGAGCGGCCGAGGGGUUCCUUUAACUAAGCAAGAGAAGCCUCGGACAACAAGGCCGACCGAGCCAAGGGACUCCUACGCCUCCGGGAUACGGAUACCUCACUCUUCACCUUUGCACGGGGCGACUCAGGCUUGGUGAAGCGGUUCAGACAACCAACAGGCGAGUCUUAGUGCUCGAAAAUGAGGAAAAAACACGGCUCCGCGCCAAAAAUACAUACACGUUUAGGCCCCGACAGCCACGUUGAACAAAAGACCGACAUUCAAGGUGCCAUCACAAACGGAACUCCGGUUCCGUCCCCACGGGUAUGAACAACCUCCACACCGGGGAGCCUGCGGGGCGACAAGUUCCGGGCGACUCGCCGGCGACCUCUGCAGCAGCAGCCAUGGUCCCAGGACGGACGCGGCCACCGGAAGGCUCUCGUUCGCGUCCCCGCUCAAGGGAUGCGAACCAGCCAUCAAAGCCAAAGAGCCGGAGGCCGGCCCGUAGGCGGCACUGACGGCCUCGAUGGUGGGGAAGCUUCCCCCGGCCGCCACCAUGUCAGCACCGACGACGGUGUCUGCCUCUCUACCAACGCCGCACCGGCGAACGCAGGCCGCUCCAAAGCGCACCGGUAGGUCCUCGCUCCCGUCCUCGCCACGAAAGCGAGGAAGAGGACAGAAUGUUGCACCCUAGCUGGGCAGCAACAGUUCGCCUUCCCCGGCAUGGCUGGAGGACGCCUCCUCCGCAGAGCUGGAGGAUGGUUUCCACCACCAGAAACUGGAAGAGGAGGUGGCCAGCCGACCCGCGCGGGAGGUAGAGCCCCGGCUCGCCUCGCUCUCCGCCCCAGCAAGGAUGGUAAGCAUCCUUGAAGCUGAGGGAGAGACGGGGGCCGCAGCCCGGCUUGCUUCUCCCCAUCCAGGGGCUGGUGGUCACCGUCUUGGGUGACCACCGGCGAGGGGGUGCAGCCAGGCUGCGUGAUGAAAAUCCUUAAAGCUGAACGAUGGCCGAAAGGUACCAACUCCCACAGAGUUGCGUUCCUCCAACGACAAGGCGGAAGGAUUGCGGGUGUCCCCCAUCCGGGGGCUCGGAAGGUGGAAAGACACGAUGCAUAAGGGAGCGCGAAGACAUGGUCGCCUUUCAAGGGGGUCACCCUCCUCUUAAAGGCGACUCUCCCUACUUGCGUCCCCAGCCGUCGUGGGCUGAGUCUUCUCCAACACGCUCCAAGGUCCUCCCCCUACGGCGCGGGGGCUGGGUCCCACGCGUCAUGCAAGCUGGCCCAGAGCAGAAGAAGCCAAACCGCCGCGCGCGGUGCAUGCAACCGCCCAGCGGUUACGAGCAUUCCUCCACUUUCGCCCAGACCAGCGGGCGAAAGGGCGGGCAGCCAUGCAGGCGGCAUGCAACCGCGCCAAGUGGGCACGCCCCUCUGACUUCCAACGCACCCAGCAUGGGGGCCCACGCCCACGCCUCAUGCAACCAGCGCGCCGGUCGCUACAUGCAAGCAACUACACCGCCACUCGCACCACUGCCAUGCCUCCUCGACUACGGAACCAGUACCGCGACUCGAGGCAACCCUGCUACGACCCAGCAGUGCCAGCCAGGCGCGACAGUCAAUACGACCAAAAAUGGGCCGGCAGUAAUGGCGGUGGCAGGCGGGCAGGAGCAGCGGUCACAUCGUCAGCCAAGCUCACGUCCCGUCCAGGGGCAGCGAGAGAACCCUCUCUCACGACGUGAAGAUGGCGCACCCGCGUUUCGUUCCUCGAAUGGCUCACGCACGCGCAACGGCCGCCCCGCGAACUACUCGCCCCGUCGCAUUAACUCCACGACGGGACAGGCGGCGCCUCUGGCAGGGAAAGCGAGCGACGCUUCGCCUUCGCCAUGAUGACCGCGUCAAAAAAGGUACGCCACGUCAUUCGAUUUUGUAUCCUUUUCCUUUUCCUCUUUCUCUCUCUUACAACAGGGACCGGGAAAGGGGGAUACCCCGAAAAGGAUCCUUCUCCGUGAAGGAAACAGGCUCCGAGCCUCCCUACUGAUCAGAGGUUCAAAGGCUGGCCCCUCGGAGGGGUUUAACAGCCGCCUCAGAGCGCGUGGGCUCCACACCCACUACUGGUCAGAGGUUCGAAGGCCGGCCCCUCGAAAGGGUUCAACGGCCACCUCAGGCCACUCGGGCUCCGCGCCCACUACUGAUCAGGGGUUCAUAGGCUGGCCCUCGAAGGGUUCACAGCCGCCUCAGACAUAGAGCGAGGGAUGACCCUGGGUACGUUCGAUACAUAACCGAGGCUCGGGCUACGCUCCCGAGGUACCCUAGGACAUUUCCGAGACCAGCGGAAACGAUCUUGUAACGGAAUCCCAUCAGAGGGAGGCAUCGAGCCCUCGGACCCCGUUGACAGGGGACCGGGUCUGGCAGAUCACCCGCAGGUACUUUUGGGCGCGCCUCCGGGCCUCUAGCCGACCCCUAACAAAUGGGGCACGGGCGUCCACUCGGAUUACCCGCCAGCAGCUCGCCGGAGACACCAUGUUCGGCGCCCUCCGAGGGCAACAUGGCGCUUUCCCCCCUCCUCCUUGUGGAAAGGCGACGCAGGGGCGUAUGUAAAAAAAGUCGAGUCUGUCCUUGACCGUCCUCUCGCCCUGUGCGGAGGCUUGGGGGCUGCUCUCGCAAACCCAGCUCCGGCCAAACCGUUGACAGCGUUAACAUACCAGCCCGAGAACUUGGGACCCGACCGUGCACCCGGGCUACGGCCAGCUCGCAUGAGGGAACGACCAGACCAGCCGAAGCAUUGCGCGAGGCAUUAAGACCUCGGAGGAGUCAAACCACUCCUCCGAGGCCUCAGGGGCUACACCCGGCGGGUGCGCUCGCGCGCACCCACCGGAACAAAACGCAACCGAGAAAGGCUGGUCCCCUUGCAAAAAAGUGCGACAAAAGCCUCCAAGCGAGUGUUAACACUCCCUUUGAGGCUCGGGGGCUACUGUCGGGGACCAUAAUUAGGGGUACCCUCAAGCCUCCUAAUUCUCAGCUGGUAAACCCCAUCAGCACAAAGCUGCAAAGGCCUGAUGGGUGCGACUAAGUCAGGGAUCGGUCCAUUCGAGGGACUCGAUCACGCCUCGCCCGAGCCCAGCCUCGGGCAAGGGCAGCCGACCCCGGAGGAUCUCCGUCUCGCCCGAGGCUGCCCUCCAGCGACGAACAUACUUCCGGCUCGCCCGAGGCCUAGUCUUCGCCAAGAAGCAACCCUGGCCAAAUCGCCACGCCAACCGACCAAAUCGCAGGAGCAUUUAAUGCAAAGGUGGCCUGACACCUUUAUCCUAACGCACGUCCUCCAGUCGACAGAGCCGAAGUGACCGCAGUCACUUCGCCGCUCCACUGACCGGCCUGACAGAAGGACAGCGCCGCCUGCGCCGCUCCGACUGCUGUGCCACUCGACAGAGUGAGGCUGACAGGCAGUCAGGCCCGGCCUCGGGCACCAUAGGAAACUCCGCUCCGCCCGACCCAGGGCUCGGACUCGGGCUCGGUCCUGGAAGACGGCGAACUCCGCUCCGCCCGACCUAGGGCUUGGACUCGGGCUCAGCCCCGGAAGACGGCGAACUCCACUCCGCCCGACCCAGGGCUCGGACUUGGGCUCAGCCCCGGAAGACGGCGAACUCCGCUCCGCCCGACCCAGGGCUCGGACUCGGGCUCAGCCCCAGAAGACGACAAACUCCGUUCCGCUCGACCCCAGGGCUCGGACUCAGCCCUGGCCUCAGCCGACGGUCUCCGCCUCGCCCGACCCAGGGGCUCGGACUCGACCUCGGCCUCGGAAGACAGACUCGACCUCGACCUCGGAGGAGCCUCCACAUCGCCCAACCUAGGGCACGGACCGACCACGUCAACAGGAGGCGCCAUCAUUACCCUACCCCAAGCUGACUCAGGCUACGGGAAACAAGACCGGCGUCCCAUCUGGCUCGCUCCGCCAGACAAGCAAUGAUGGCGCCCCGCACGCUCUAUGACGACGGCGGCUCUCAGCCCCUUUACGGAAGCAAGAGGACGUCAGCAAGGACUCGACAGCUCCGAUAGUUGUCCUUCCACCAGGCUCCAGCGCUCCUCCGACGGCCACGACACCACACGAAUCGGGUGCCAAAACCUCUUCGGCUACCACGAUGGCAUGUACUUAGGGCGCUAGCUCUCCUCCGCUAGACACGUUAGCACACUGCUACACCCCCCAUUGUACACCUGGAUCCUCUCCUUACGCCUAUAAAAGGAAGGACCAGGGCCCUCUUAGAGAAGGUUGGCCGCGCGGGGAAGAGGACGGGACAGGCGCUCGCGUGAGGCCGCUCGCUCCCCUCCCGCGUGGACGCUUGUAACCCCCUACUGCAAGCGCACCCGACCUAGGCGCGGCACAAACACGAAGGCCGCGGGAUUUCCACCUCCCUCUCUCCGGCUGCCUUUUCCCCCCUUCGCGCUCCGUCUCGCGCCGACCCAUCUGGGCUGGGGCACGCGGCGACAUUUCACUCGUCGGUCCAGGGACCCCCCGGUCUCGAAACGCCGACAAACAUGGAACUAAAUGCCAAACCUCAUUCCUCGUGAAGUUGUUGAGCUCCUCUUGCUUCGCCACCACCCAAUCUGAAUCUUGAAGUGCUUCCUCUACCCUGUGUGGCUCAAUAGUGGAAACAAAAGAGUAAUUUUCACAAAAAUGAGCAACACGAGAUCGAGUAGUUACCCCUUUUUGAAUAUUGCCGAGGGUGGUGUUCACGGGGUGAUCUCGUUGAAUCGCUUGGUGGACUCUUGGGUGUGGCGGUCUUGGAACUUGUUCAUCUUCCUCAUCUUGAUCAUGGGCAUCUCCCCCUUGAUCAUUGCUCUCCUCUUGAGGUGGCUCAUCUUCUUGAUCUUCUCCUUCAUCAUCUUGAGCCUCAUCCUCAUUUUGAGUUGGUGGAGAUGCUUGCAUGGAGGAGGAUGGUUGAUCUUGUGUUUGUGGAGGCUCUUCGGAUUCCUUAGGACACACAUCCCCAAUGGACAUGUUCCUUAGCGUGACGCACGGAGCCUCUUCAUCAUCUAAUUCAUCAAGAUCAACUUGCUCUACUUGAGAGCCGUUAGUCUCAUCAAACACAAUGUCACAAGAAACUUCAACUAGUCUAGUGGACUUGUUAAAGACUCUAUAUGCCUUUGUGUUUGAAUCAUAACCAAGUAAAAAGCCUUCUACAGCCUUAGGAGCAAAUUUAGAUUUUCUACUUCUUUUAACAAGAAUAAAGCAUUUGCUACCAAAGACUCUAAAAUAUGAAACAUUGGGCUUUUACCGGUAAGGAGUUCGUAUGAUGUCUUAUUGAGGAUUCGGUGUAAAUACAACCGGUUGAUGGCAUAGCAAGCGGUGUUGACCGCCUCGGCCCAAAACCGAUCCGAAGUCUUGUACUCAUCAAGCAUGGUCCUUGCCAUGUCCAGUAGAGUUCUAUUCUUCCUCUCCACUACACCAUUUUGUUGUGGCGUGUAGGGAGAAGAGAACUCAUGCUUGAUGCCCUCCUCCUCAAGGAAGCCUUCGAUUUGAGAGUUCUUGAACUUCGUUUCGUUGUCGCUUCUAAUUUUCUUGAUCCUUAAGCCGAACUCAUUUUGAGCCCGUCUCAAGAAUCCCUUUAAGGUUUUUUGGGUAUGAGAUUUUUCCUGCAAAAAGAACACCCAAGUGAAGCGAGAAUAGUCAUCCACAAUAACUAGACAGUACUUACUCCCGCCGAUGCUUAUGUAAGCUAUCAGGCCGAAUAGAUCCAUGUGUAGGAGCUCGAGUGGCCUGUCAGUCGUCAUGAUGUUCUUGUGUGGAUGAUGAACACCAACUUGCUUCCUUGCCUGACAUGCGCUACAAACUCUGUCUUUCUCAAAAUGAACAUUUGUUAGUCCCAAAAUGUGUUCUCCCUUUAGAAGCUUGUGAAGAUUCUUCAUUCCAACAUGUGCUAGUCGGUGAUGCCAGAGCCAGCCCAUGUUAGUCUUAGCAACUAAGCAAGUGUCGAGUUCAGCUCUAUCAAAAUCUACUAAGUAUAGCUGACCCUCUAACACUCCCUUAAAUGCUAUUGAAUCAUCACUUCUUCUAAAGACAGUAACACCUGUAUCCGUAAAAAGACAGUUGUAACCCAUUUUGCAUAAUUGCGAAACUGAAAGCAAGUUGUAAUCUAAAGAAUCUACAAGAAAACAUUGGAAAUGGAGUGGUCAGGAGAUAUAGCAAUUUUACCCAAUCCUUUGACCAAACCUUGAUUUCUGUCCCCGAAUGUGAUAGCUCGUUGGGGAUCUUGGUUUUUCUCAUAGGAGGAGAACAUCUUCUUCUCCCCUGUCAUAUGGUUUGUGCACCCGCUGUCGAUGAUCCAACUUGAGCCCCCGGAUGCAUAAACCUACAAAACAAAUUUAGUUAUUGAUUUUAGGUACCCAAAUGGUUUUGGGUCCUUUUACAUUAGAUACAAGAACUUUGGGUAACCAAACAUAAGUCUUUGAUCCCUUGUGUUUGCCCCCAACAUACUUUGCAACUACCUUGCCGGAUUUGUUAGUCAAAACAUAAGAUGCAUCAAAAGUCUUAAAUGAAAUGUUAAAAUCAUUUGAUGCAAUAGGAGUUUUCUUCUUAGGCAAUUUUGCACGGGUUGAUUGCCUAGAGCUAGAUGUCUCACCCUUAUACAUAAAAGCAUGAUUAGGGCCAGAGUGAGACUUCCUAGAAUGAAUUCUCCUAAUUUUGCUCUCGGGAUAACCGACAGGGUACAAAAUGUAACCUUCGUUAUCCUAAGGCAUGGGAGCCUUGCCCUUUACAAAGUUAGACAAUCUUUUAGGAGGAGCAUUAAGUUCGACAUUGUCUCCCUUUUGGAAGCCAAUGCCAUCCUUAAUGCCAGGGUGUCUCCCACUAUAGAGCAUGCUUCUAGCAAAUUUAAUUUUUUCAUUUUCUAAGUCAUGCUCAUUAAUUUUGGCAUUAAGUUGAGCUAUGUGAUCAUUUUGUUUCUUAAUUAAAGUUAGGUGAUCAUGAAUAGCAUCAACAUUAAUGUCUCUACAUCUAGUGCAAAUAGUAACAUGCUCAAUGGUAGAUGUAGAAGGUUUGCAAGAAUUAAGUUCAGCAAUCUUAGCACGUAAAAUGUCAUUCUUAUCUCUAAGAUCGGAUAUUGUAACAUUGCAAACAUCUAAGUCUUUAGCCUUAGCAAUUAAUUUUUCAUUAUCAUUUCUAAGGCUAGCAAGAGAGAUAUUCAAUUCUUCAAUCUUAGCAAGUAAACUAACAUUAUGAUCUCUAAGAUUGGGAAUUGAAACAUCACUAACGUUAGAAUCAACCUUAGCAACUAAUUUAGCAUUCUCAUUUCUAAGGUUGGCAAUAAUAUCAUGGCAAGUGCUUAGCUCACUAGAUAGUUUUUCACAUUUUUCUACUUCCAGAGCGUAAGCAUUUUUAACCUUAACAUGCUUCUUAUUUUCCUUAAUUAGGAAGUCCUCUUGAGAAUCCAAGAGUUCAUCCUUCUCAUGAAUAGCACUAAUUAAUUCAUUUAAUUUUUCUUUUUGUUGCAUGUUUAGGUUGGCAAAAAGGGUACACAAAUUAUCCUCCUCAUCACUACAAUUAUUCUCAUCACUAGAGGUUGCAUAUUUAGUAGAGGAUUUUGAUUUUACCUUCUUCCUUUUGCCGUCCUUGGCCAUGAGGCACUUGUGGCCGACGUUGGGGAAGAGGAGGCCCUUGGUGACGGCGAUGUUGGCGGCGUUCUCGUCGGAGGAGGAGUGGGUGGAGCUCUCGUCGGAGUCCCACUCGCGGCAUAUAUGGGCAUCGCCGCCCUUCUUCUUAUAGUAUCUCUUCUUUUCUCUCCUCUUUCCCUUCUUGUCGUCGCCCCUGUCACUAUCACUAGAUAAUGGACAUUUAGCAAUGAAAUGACCGGGCUUACCACACUUGUAGCACACCUUCUUGGAACGGGGCUUGUAAUCUUUCCCCUUCCUUUGUUUGAGGAUUUGACGAAAGCUCUUGAUGAUGAGCGCCAUCUCCUCAUUGUCAAGCUUGGAGGCGUCGAUGGGGAUUCUACUUGAAGUAGAAUCUUCUUUCUUCUCCUUCGUUGCUUUGAAUGCAACGGGUUGUGCUUCGGGCGUGGAGGAGUCGCCUUGCUCGAUAAUCUUUUUGGAGCCUUUGAUCAUUAGCUCAAAGCUCACAAAUUUACCUAUGACCUCCUCGGGAGACAUUAGCGUAUAACUAGGAUCACCUCGAAUUAAUUGAACUUGCGUAGGGUUAAGAAAAACGAGAGAUCUUAGAAUAACCUUGACCAUCUCAUGGUCAUCCCAUUUGGUGCUCCCGAGGUUGCGCACUUGGUUCACCAAGGUCUUGAGCCGAUUGUACAUCUCUUGUGGCUCCUCCCCUUGGCGAAGCCGAAAGCGACCGAGCUCCCCCUCGAUCGUCUCCCGUUUGGUGAUUUUAGUCACCUCAUCUCCUUCGUGUGCGGUCUUGAGCACGUCCCAAAUCUCCUUGGCGCUCUUUAAUCCUUGCACCUUGUUAUACUCCUCUCGACUUAGAGAGGCGAGGAGUAUAGUGGUGGCUUGGGAGUUGAAGUGUCGGAUUUGGGCGACCUCAUCCGAAUCAUAGUCUUCAUCCCCCGGUGAUGGUACCUGUACUCCAAUUUCAACAACAUCCCAAAUGCUAGUGUGGAGUGAGGUUAGAUGAUGCCUCAUUUUAUCACUCCACAUAUUAUAAUCUUCACCAUCAAACAUAGGUGGUUUGCCUAAUGGAACGGAAAGUAAUGGAGUACGUUUGGAAAUGCGAGGGUAGCGUAGGGGGAUCUUACUAAACUUCUUGCGCUCAUGGCGCUUAGAAGUUACAAACGGCGUGUCGGAGCCGGAGGUGGAUGGCGACGAAGAGUCGGUCUCAUAGUAGACCACCUUCCUCAUCUUCUUUUUCUUGUCACCGCUCCAACGCGACUUGUUGUGUGAAGGGGAUCCCUUCACCUUGUUGGCGGACUCCCCGGAUGGAGCCUUCCCAUGGCUUGUGGCGGGCUUCUCGCCGGUCUCGAUCUCCCUCUUGGCGGAUGCUCCCGACAUCACUUCGAGCGGUUAGGCUCUUGUCAGGGACCAUAAUUAGGGGUACCCCUAAGACUCCUAAUCUCAGCUGGUAACCCCCAUCAGCACAAUGCUGCAAAGGCCUGAUGGGUGCGAUUAAGGUCAAGGCUCGGUCCACUCAAGGGACACGAUCUCGCCUCGCCCGAGCCCAGCCUCGGGCAAGGGCAGCCGACCCCAGAGGAUUCAUGUCUCGCCCGAGGACCCCCUCAAGCAACGGGCACACCUUCGGCUCGCCCGAGGCCCAGUCUUCGCAGAGAAGCAACCUUGGCUAGAUCGCCACGCCAACCGACCGUAUCGCAGGAGCAUUUAAUGAAGGAUGGCCUGACACCUUAUCCUGACGCGCGCUCUUCAGUCGACAGAGCCGAAGUGACCGCAGUCACUUCGCCGCUCCACUGACCGACCUGACAAGAAGACAGAGCCGCCUGCGUUGCUCUGACUGCUGUGCCACUCGACAGAGUGAGGCUGACAGCAGCCAAGUCCGGCCUCGGGCGCCAUAGGAAGCUCCGCCUCGCCCGACCCUAGGGCUUGGCCCCCGUCUCGGCCUCGGACGAUGGACUCCGCCUCGCCCGACCCCAGGGCUCGGACUCAGCCCUGGCUCCGGAAGACGACGAACUCCGCCUCGCCUGACCCCAGGGCUCGGACUCGGCCUUGGCUCCGGAAGACGACGAACUCCGCCUCGCCCGACCCCAGGGCUCGGACUCAGCCUUGGCUCCGGAAGACAACGAACUCCGCCUCGCCCGAGCCCAGGGCUCAGACUCAGCCUUGGCCUCGGACGACGGUCUCCGCCUCGCCCGACCCAGGGCUCGGACUCGACCUCGACCUCGGAAGGCAGACUCGACCUCGACCUCGGAGGAGCCUCCACCUCGCCCGACCCAAGGCUCGGACUGACCACGUCACAGCGGGGCCCAUCAUUACCCUACCCGUAGCUAGCUCAGGCUACGGGGAACAAGACCGGUGUCCCAUCUGGCUCGCCCCGAUAAACAAAUAAUGAUGGCGCCCCGCAUGCUCCAUGACGACGACGGCUCUCAGCCCCUUACGGAAGCAAGGAGACGUCAGCAAGGACUCGACAGCCCCGACAGCUGUCCUUCCGCAAGGCUCCAGCGCUCCUCCGACGGCCACGACAUCAUAUGAACAGGGUGCCAAAACCUCUCCGGCUGCCACGAUGGCAUGUACUUAGGGCUCUAGCUCCUCUCUGCUAGACACGUUAGCACACUGCUACAUCCCCCAUUGUACACCUGGACCCUCUCCUUACGCCUAUAAAAGGAAGGUCCAAGGCUCUCAUACGAGAAGGUUGGCCGCGCGGGAGAACGAUACGACACGUAAAGUCUCUCGCUCUCUCCCACGUGGACGCUUGUAACCCCCUACUGCAAGCGCACCCGACCUGGGCGCAGGACAACACGAAGGCUGCGGGUUUCCCCUUUUGCCUGUCUCUUUAUUCCUCCUUCGUGCUCCAUCUCGCGCCGACCCAUCUGGGCUGGGACACAUGGCGACAAUUUACUCGUCGGUCCAGGGACCCCCCGGGGUCGAAACACCGACAGUUGGCGCGCCUGGUAGGGGCCUGCUGUGUGUUGACGAACAGCUUCCCAUCAAGCUCCAGAUGGGUAGUCUCCAGCAACCUUUCCAGCCCGGGACGGUGCUCCGUUUCGGGAGUCUUGGGUUCAUGUCCCUCGACGGCGGCUACGACAUGAUACUCCUUCCUCCGCCGCGCGACAGCGACAAUGGCGGCCGUCAGCCCGCCCGCCGGCGGCGGAAUCAACGACGUCUUCCCCACGUGGCGGAAGAACAACAUUCGGGUUUGUCCCGUCACCCCCCGCCGACGGAGGAGGAGGCGGGGCAACCAUGGCCAAGCAGGAGGCGACACCUUGUCGGCUGUCGAGCGAGUCGACGGCGCCGGUGCCCCAACGGGGGACACGUCAGGCGUCGACCUCGCGUCUGAGACGAAGACGAGCGCCGUUUCCCCGCAACACGCCAACUCCAAGCGGACGAACGACGCCAGCACGCUCGCGAGGGACUUGCUGGGCGUCACCCUCGUACCUGAGACGACGGUGCAGUCCGCCUCUGACGCGACUUUAUCACUGCCUGUCGACCAAGAGGUACCGACCGAUUCCCAUCUCGUGCCUUUUAGAUCCAGCUGCGACCCACCGAGCGACCCCACUUUGGUGGACGCUUUUAUAAAGGCAUGUUCAAGCCCUCCGGGGUAUCAUAUGCGGUCACCCUGGGACCGGUUGACGGCCGUCUCGACCUACGGACCCUCGGGUUUCGAGGAAGAUGACGAUCCCGACUUUUGUUGGGAUUUCUCUAGGCUCAGUAACCCCAGUGCCAUGCGGGACUUCAUGACCGCAUGCGACUACUGCCUCUCCGAUUGUUCCGAUGGUAGCCGCAGCUUCGGCGACGAGGACUGCGGCCCAAGUCGUGAAUGUUUCCACGUCGAUCUAGGGGGUCCCGGCGAAGGCAACCAUCUUGGUAUACCGGAAAACGGUGAUCCCCCUAGGCCUGUGCCUCGCGUUGACAUCCUUCGGGAGCUAGCUGUGGUCCCAGUCCCUGCGGGGGGUCAGGAUGCACAGCUCGAGCAAAUCCGCGAGGUGCAGGCCAGGCUCGACGAGGGAGCAGGAACACUUGAGCCAUUCCGGCGGAACAUCGGGCAGGAAUGGGCAGACCAAGCUCUGACCGGAGAAGCGCGUCAUCUGCCCCAGGGCAUCCAGCUCCGCAUUGCCGACGAUGUCAGGGCAAGGCCGCCACCGGCUUCUAGUGGGGUCGGCCAGAACCUGGCUGCGGCAGCGAUACUACUCCGCGCGAUGCCGGAACCAUCGACCACCGAAGGGCGGCGUAUCCAGGGAGAGCUCAAGAAUCUCCUGGAAGAUGCCGCGGUCCGACGGGCCGAAAGCUCUGCCUCCCGAAGGCAGGGGUACCCAUCGGAGCAUCGCGCCGGGACUUCCCGAUUCAUGCGGGAAGCCUCGGUCCAUACCGGGCGCACGCGCAACACAGCGCCUGCGGCCCCGGGUCGCCUAGGCAACGAGCACCACCACCGCAACCGUUGAGCCCACCUCGAUGAGAAGGUGCACCGAGGCUACCACCCCUGGCGUGGGGGAUGCUACGACAGCGGGGAGGAUUGGAGUCCCUCGCCCGAACCACCCGGUACGCAGGCUUUCAGCCGGGCCAUACGACAGGCGCCGUUCCCGACCUGGUUCCGAACCCCGACUACCAUCACAAAGUACUCGGGGGAGACGAGGCCAGAACUGUGGCUCGUGGACUACCGACUGACCUGCCAGCUGGGUGGAACGAACGAUGACAACCUCAUCAUCCGCAACCUCCCCCUGUUCCUCUCCGACACCGCUCGAGUCUGGCUGGAGCACCUGCCUCCGGGGCAGAUCUCCAACUGGGACGACCUGGUCCAAGCCUUCGCCGGCAACUUCUAGGGCAUGUACGUACGCCCUGGAAACUCUUGGGAUCUCCGAAGCUGCCGCCAACAGCCGGGAGAGUCUCUCCGGGACUACAUCCGGCGAUUCUCGAAGCAGCGCACCGAGAUGCCCAACGUCACUGACUCGGAUGUCAUUGGCGCGUUCCUCGCCGGCACCACCUGCCGCGACCUGGUGAGCAAGCUGGGUCGCAAGACCCCCACCAGGGCGAGCGAGCUGAUGGACAUUGCCACCAAGUUCGCCUCUGGCCAGGAGGCGGUUGAGGCCAUCUUCCGGAAGGACAAGCAACCCCAGGGCCGCCAGCCGGAAGAUGUCCCCGAGACGUCCACUCAGCGCGGCACCAAGAAGAAAGGCAAGAAGAAGUCGCAAGCGAAACGCGACGCCGCCGACGCAGACCUUGUCGCCGCCGCUGAGUACAAGAACCCUCGGAAACCUCCCAGAGGCGCCAAUCUCUUCGACAAGAUGCUCAAGGAGCCGUGCCCCUAUCAUCAGGGGCCCGUCAAGCACACCCUUGAGGAGUGCGUCAUGCUUCGUCGCCACUUUCACAAGGCCGGGCCACCCGCGGAAGGUGGCAGGGCCCACAACAACGAUAAUAAGGAGGAUCACAAGGCAGAGGAGUUCCCCGAGGUCCACGACUGCUUCAUGAUCUACGGUGGGCCAGUGGCGAACGCCUCAGCUCGGCACCGCAAGCAAGAGCGUCGGGAGGUCUGUCGGUAAAGGUGGCGGCGCCAGUCUACCUAGACUGGUCCGACAAGCCCAUCACCUUCGACCAGGGCGACCACCCCGACCGCGUGCCGAGCCCGAGGAAAUAUCCGCUUGUUGUCGACCCCGUCAUCGGCAACGUCAGGCUCACCAAGGUCCUCAUGGACGGAGGCAGCAGCCUCAACAUCAUCUACACCGAGACCCUCGGGCUCCUAUGGAUCGAUCUGUCCUCGGUCCAGGCAGGCACAACGCCCUUUCACGGGAUCAUCCCCGAGAAACGCGUCCAGCCCCUCGGACAACUCGAUCUGCCCGUCUGCUUCGGGACUCCCUCCAACUUCCGAAGGGAAACCCUCACGUUCGAGGUGGUCGGGUUUAGAGGAACCUACCACGCGGUGCUGGGGAGGCCGUGCUACGCCAAGUUCAUGGCCGUCCCCAACUACACCUACCUCAAGCUCAAGAUGCCGGGCCCCAACGGGGUCAUCACCGUCGGCCCCACGUACCGACACGCGUACGAAUGCGACGUGGAGCGCGUGGAGUACGCCGAGGCCCUCGCCGAAUCCGAGGCCCUCAUCGCCGACCUAGAGAGCCUCUCCAAGGAGGCGCCAGACGUGAAGCGCCAUACCGGCAACUUCGAGCCAGCAGAGACGGUCAAGUCCGUCCCUCUCGACCCCAGCAACAACGCCUCCAAGCAGAUCCGGAUCUGCUCCGAGCUCGACCCCAAAUAAGAAGCAGUGCUCGUCGACUUUCUCCGCGCAAACGCCGAAGUUUUCGCGUGGAGUCCCUCGGACAUGCCUGGCAUAUCGAGGGAUGUCGCCGAGCACUCGCUGGAUAUCCGAGCUGGAGCCCGACCCAUGAAGCAGCCUCUGCGCCGAUUUGACGAAGAAAAGCCAGAGCCAUAGGCGAGGAGAUCCACAAGCUGAUGGCCGCAGGGUUCAUCAAAGAGGUAUUCCAUCUCGAAUGGCUUGCCAACCCUGUGUUUGUGAGAAAGAAAGGAGGGAAAUGGCGGAUGUGUGUAGACUACACUGGUCUAAACAAAGCAUGUCCGAAGGUUCCCUACCCUCUGCCUUGCAUCGAUCAAAUCGUGGAUUCCACUGCUGGGUGCGAAACCCUGUCUUUCCUCGAUGCCUACUCAGGGUAUCACCAAAUCAGGAUGAAAGAGUUCGACCAGCUCGCGACUUCUUUCAUCACACCUUUUGGCAUGUACUGCUACGUCACUAUGCCAUUUGGUUUGAGGAAUGCGGGUGCGACGUACCAAAGGUGCAUGAACCACGUGUUCGGAGAGCACAUUGGUCGAACGGUCGAGGCUUACGUCGAUGACAUCGUAGUCAAGACGAGGAAAGCCUCCGACCUCCUUUCCGACCUUGAAACGACAUUCCGGUGUCUCAAGGCGAAGGGCGUAAAACUCAAUCCCGAGAAAUGUGUCUUCGGAGUCCCCCGAGGCAUGCUCUUGGGAUUCAUCGUCUCCGAGCAAGGCAUCGAGGCCAACCCGGAGAAAAUCGCGGCCAUCACCAACAUGGGGCCCAUCAAAGACUUGAAAGGCGUACAGAGGGUCAUGGGAUGCCUUGCGGCUCUGAGCCGCUUCAUCUCGCGCCUCGGCGAAAGAGGCCUACCUCUGUACCGCCUCUUGAGAAAGGCCGAGUGCUUCACUUGGACCCCUGAGGCCGAGGAAGCCCUCGGGAACCUGAAGGCGCUCCUCACGAACGUGCCCAUCUUGGUGCCCCCCGCUGCCGGAGAAGCCCUCUUUAUCUACGUCGCCGCUACCACUCAGGUGGUCAGCGCCGCGAUCGUGGUUGAGAGACGAGAAGAAGGGCAUGCAUUGUCCGAGACCAAGAUCCGCUACCCACAAAUUCAGAAGCUGCUAUACGCAGUGAUUCUGACGCGACGGAAGUUACGACACUACUUCGAGUCUCAUCCGAUGACUGUGGUGUCAUCCUUCCCCCUGAGGGAGAUCAUCCAGUGCCGAGAGGCCUCGGGUAGGAUUGCGAAGUGGGCGGUGGAAAUCAUGGGCGAGACAAUCUCGUUCGCCCCUCGGAAGGCCAUCAAGUCCCAAGUCUUGGCGGACUUUGUGGCUGAAUGGGUCGACACCUAGCUCCCGGCAGCUCCGAUCCAACCGGAACUCUGGACCAUGUUUUUCGAUGGGUCACUGAUGAAAACAGGGGCAGGCGCGGGCCUACUCUUCAUCUCGCCCCUCGGGAAGCACCUCCGCUACGUGCUGCGCCUCCAUUUCCCGGCGUCCAACAACGUGGCUGAGUACGAGGCUCUGGUCAACGGGUUGCGCAUCGCCAUCGAGCUAGGGGUCCGACGCCUCGACGCUCGCGGUGACUCGCAGCUUGUCAUCGACCAAGUCAUGAAGAACUCCCACUGCCGUGACCUGAAGAUGGAAGCCUACUGCGAUGAGGUUCGGCGCCUGGAAGACAAGUUCUACGGGCUUGAGGCCAACCACGUCGCCCAACGAUACAACGAGACUGCGGACGAGCUGGCUAAGAUAGCCUCGGGGCGAACAACGGUUCCCCUGGACGUCUUCUCCCGAGACCUACAUCAGCCCUCAGUCAAGACCGACGACACGCCCGAGCCCGAGAAGGCCUCAGCCCAGCCCGAGGCGCCCUCGGCUCAGCCCGAGGCACCCUCGGCCCCCGAGGGUGAGGCACUGCGCGUCGAGGAAGAGCAGAAUGGGGUCCCGCCUAAUCGAGACUGGCAGACCCCGUACUUGCAAUAUCUCCACCGAGGAGAGCUGCCCCUCGACCGAGCUGAAGCUCGGCGACUGGCGCGGUGCGCCAAGUCGUUCAUCUUGCUGGGGGACGGGAAGGAGCUCUACCACCGCAGCCCCUCAGGCAUCCUCCAGCGAUGCAUAUCCAUCACCGAAGGUCAGGAGUUAUUACAAGAAAUACACUCAGGGGCUUGCGGUCAUCACGCAGCGCCUCGAGCCCUUGUUGGAAAUGCUUUCCGACAAGGCUUCUACUGGCCGACCGCGGUGGCCGACGCCACUAGAAUUGUCCGCACCUGCCAAGGGUGUCAAUUCUACGCAAGGCAGACCCACCUGCCUGCUCAGGCUCUGCAGACGAUACCCAUCACCUGGCCGUUUGCUGUGUGGGGUCUGGACCUCGUCGGUCCCUUGCAGAAGGCACCCGGGGGCUACACGCACCUGCUGGUCGCCAUCGACAAAUUCUCCAAGUGGAUCGAGGUCCGACCCCUAAAUAACAUCAGGUCCGAAUAGGCGGUGGCGUUCUUCACCAACAUCAUCCAUCGCUUUGGGGUCCCGAACUCCAUCAUCACCGACAACGGCACCCAAUUCACCGGCAGAAAGUUCCCGGACUUCUGCGAGGAUCACCACAUCCGGGUGGACUGGGCCGCCGUGGCUCACCCCAUGACGAAUGGGCAGGUAGAGCGUGCCAACGACAUGAUUCUGCAAGGACUCAAGCCACGAAUCUACAACGACCUCAACAAGUUCGGCAGGCGAUGGAUGAAGGAACUCCCCUCGGUGGUCUGGAGUCUGAGGACAACGCCGAGCCGAGCCACGGGCUUCACACCGUUCUUUCUAGUCUAUGGGGCCGAGGCCAUCUUGCCCACAGACUUAGAAUAUGGUUCCUCGAGGACGAGGGCGUUCGACGACCAAAGCAAUCGAACCAACCGAGAAGACUCACUGGACCAGCUGGAAGAGGCUCGGGACAUGGCCUUACUACACUCGGCGCGGUAUCAGCAGUCCCUGCGAUGCUACCACGCCCGAGGGGUUUGGUCCCGAGACCUCUAGGUGGGCGACUUGGUGCUUCGGCUGCGACAAGACGCCCGAGGGCGGCACAAGCUCACGCCUCCCUGGGAAGGGCCAUUCGUCAUCGCCAAGGUUCUGAAGCCCGGGACAUACAAGCUGGCCAACAGUCAAGGCGAGGUCUACAGCAACGCUUGGAACAUCCAACAACUACGUCGCUUCUACCCUUAAGAUGCUUUCAAGUCAUUCGUACACCUCGUUCACACACCAAGUCUAACCAUCAAGGAAGGGUCAGCCUUGCCUCGGCAAAGCCCGACCCUCCCUCGGGGGCUAGAAGGGGGGAACCCCCUCUACAUCAAAAUUUUCCUCGGAAAAGGUCUUUUCUGUCAGAACGUCUUUCGUGCUUUUCGACUACUUCAAAAGUGGGAUCCUGAAAACGACGGAGUACACGUAAGCAGCCAAGGCUGACCGAGCCGAGGGACUCCUACGCCUCCGGGAUACGGAUACCUCACUCAUCACCUUCUGCGAUAAGUAACUCACGCUCGGAUAAGCGAUUCUGCGGACCGAACAAGUCUUAACGCUCGAAAACUCUUCUGCCGAAACGAUUUUUCGUGCCUUCUCGACUAUAUCGAUAGCAGAAUCCUACGGACGAGUAAGAGUACACGUAAGCGGUAAGGCCGACCGAGCCGAGGGACUCCUACGCCUCUGGGAUACGGAUACCUCACUCAUCACCUUCCGUGAAAAGUAACUCUCGCUCGGACAAACAAUUCUGUUACCGACAAAUAAGUCCUGAUACUCGAAACGAGGGGAAAAGAAACGCAGCUUUACAACACAACGACGAUAUGUUUGGGCCUCGGCGGCCGCAAAAAACAUAUGCAUACUACAGGCGAACCGAUCCUGCAGGCUCGGACCGUGACGGAGGGGGAGCAGCAGCACCCUCGGCGUCAACUACACCUUCGACGAAGUUCGACCGAGCCUCGGACGACAACGCGGUCGGAGGAUCUCCGCUCCGAAGGACGACGUCAGCACCGCGCCCGGGCCAUCGCCGCCAGGGUCUCCUCCAGGAACCCGGCCCGAGCAGACGGCUCGGCCGGCCACCUCGAAGCCUCAGCCAGCUGUCCUCCGAGGACACCAGCCCGGCUCGUGGCCUCGGCAACUCGACUCCGGCGCUGGUUCCGCCAGUGGACAGCCCGGCCAGGCUCCGGCCGACGAAGUCUUCUUUUCGAGCCAACUCUGCCUCUGUCCACACUAACACCGCUGCCUCCAGCUCCAGCUCAUCGCAGAGCGGCCGAGGGUUCCUUUAACUAAGCAAGAGAAGCCUCGGGCGGCAAGGCCGACCGAGCCGAGGGUCUCCUACGCCUCCGGGAUAUGGAUACCUCACUCGUCACCUUCGCACAAGGCAACUCACACUUGGUUAAGCGGUUCAGUUAGCCGACAGGCGAGUCCUAGUGCUCGAAAUGAGGAAAAAACACGGCUUCAUGCCAAAAAUACAUACAUGUUCAGGCCCCAACAGCCACAAUGAAUAGUCACCGACAUUCAAGGUGCCAUUACAAAUGGAACUCCGGUUCCGCCCCCACAGGUAUGAACAACCUCCACACCGGAGAGCCUGCGGGGCGACAAGCUCCGGGCGACUCGCCAACGACCUCUGCAGCAGCAGCCAUGGUCCCAGGACGGACGCAGCCACCGAAAGGCUCUCAUUCGCGUCCCCACUCAAGGGACGUGAACCAGACAUUAAAGCCAAAGAGCCGGAGGUCGGGCCGCAGGCGGCGCUGACGGCCUCGACGACGGAGAAGCUUUCUCCAGCUGCCACCACGUCAGCACCGACGGCGGCGUCCGCCUGUCCACCAACGCCGCACCAGCGAGCGCAGGCCGCUCCAAAGCGCACCGGCAGGUCCUCACUCCCGUCCUUGCCACGAAAGCGAGGACAGAGGAUGGAAUGUUGCAUCCUAGCUGGGCAGCAACAGUUCACCUUCCCCGACAUGGCUGGAGGACGCCUCCUCCGCAGAGCUGGAGGAUGGUUUCCACCACCAGAAGCUGGAAGAAGAGGUGGCCAGCUGACCCGUGCGGGAGGUAGAGCCCUGGCUCACCUCGCUUUCCGCCCCAGCAAGGAUGAUGAAGAUCCUUGAAGCUGAGGGUGGGGGCAGAGGCCGCAGCCCGGCUCGCUUCUCCCCACCAUCGAACUGGUGGUCACCGUCUUGGGUGACCACCAGCGAGGGGAUGCAGCCGGGCUGCCUGAUGAAAAUCCUUGAAGCCGAACGAUGGCUGAAAGGUACCAACUUCCGCGAAGUUGCGUUCCUCCAACGACAGCAAUACGAAAGCGACGCGAGUGUUCCCCAUCCGGGGCUCGGAAGGUGGAAGGAUGCGAUGCAUGAAGGGAGUACGAAGACAUGGUUGCCUUCCAAGGGGGUCACCCUCCUUUUAAAGGCAACUCUCCCCACUUGCGUCCUCAGCCGUCGCGGACUGAGUCUUCUCCAACACGCUCCAAGGUCUUCCACCUACGACACAAGGGCUGGGUCCCACGCGUCAUGCAAGCUGACCCAGGACAGAAGGAGCCAAAACCGCCGCGCACGGUGCACGCGACUGCCCAGCGGUUACAAGCAUUCCUCCACUUCCGCCCAGACCAGCGGGUGAAAGAGCGGACCGCCAUGCAGGCGGCAUGCAACCGCACCAAGGGGCGCACCCUUUCGACUUCGACGCGUCCAGCAUGGAGGCCCAGGCCCACACGUCAUAUAACCGACGCGCCGGUUACUACGUGCAAGAAACUGCACCGCCACUCGCGCCAGUACCGCGCCUUCUCGACUGCGGAACCGGUGCCACGACUCGAGGCGACCCUGCGCAUGACCCAACAGUGCCAACCGAGCACAUCGGUCACGAGUCAGUCAGCCGCGGGAGAAGGCACGACGGUCGAUACGGCCAGAAAUGGGCCGGCAGCAAUGGCGGUGGCAGGCGGGCGGAAGCAGCGGUCAAGUCGUCAGCAAGCUCACGUCCCCUCCUGGGACAGCGAGAGAACCCUCUCCCACGGCGUGAAGACGACGCGCCCGUGUUCCGUUCCUCGAACGGCUCGCGCACGCACAACGGCCGCCCCGCGAGCCACUCACCCCGUCGCAUUAAUUCUGCGGCAGGACAGGCGGCACCUUUGGCAGGCGAAGCAGGCGACGCUUCACCUCCGCCAUAAUGACCGCGUCAAAAAAGGUGCGCCACGUCAUUCGAUUUCGUAUCCUUUUCCACUUCCUCUUUCUCUCUCUUGCCACAGGGACCGGGAAAGGGGAUACUCCGAAAGGGAUCCUUCUCCGUGAAGGAAGCGAGCCCCGAGCCCCCCUACUGAUCAGAGGUUCGAAGGCUGGCCCCUCGGAAGGGUUCAACAGCCGCCUCAGAGCACUCGGGCUCCGCGCCCACUACUGGUCAGAGGUUCGAAGGCUGGCCCCUCGGAAGGGUUCAAUAGCCGUCUCAGGCCACUCGGGCUCCGCGCCCACUACUGAUCAGGGGUUCGUAGGCUGGCCCCCGAAGGGUUCUGACAGCCGCCUCAGAGCAUGCAGAGCGAGGGAUGACCCUGGGUACGUUCGAUACAUAACCAAGGCUCGGGCUACGCUCCCAAGGUACCCUAGGACAUUUCCGAGACCGACGGGAACGAUUUUGUAACGGAAUCCCACCAGAGGGAGGCAUCGAGCCCUCAGACCCCGUCAAAAUAGGACCGGGUCCGGCAAAUCACCCGCAGGUACUUUUGGAGCGCGCCUCCGGGCCACUAGCCGACCCCUAACGAAUGGGGCACGGGCGUCCACUCAGAUUACCCAUUAGCAACUCACCGGAGACACCAUGUUCGGCGCCCUCCGAGGGCAACAUGGCGCUUUCCCCCCUCCUCCUUGCGGAAAGGCGACGUAGGGGCGUAUGAAAAAAGCCGAGUCUGUCCCUGACCGUCCUCUCGCUCUGUGUGGAGGCUCGGGGGCUGCUCUCGCAAACCCGGCUCCGGCCAAACCGUUGACAGUGUCAACAUACCAGCCCGAGAACUUGGGACUCGACUAUGCACCCGGGCUACGGCCAGUUCGCAUGAGGGAACAACCAGACCGGCCGAAGCAUCACGAAACGCGCUAAGACCUCGAUGGAGUCAAACCACUCCUCCGAGUAGGGGUGGUAACGGAUCACGAUCCAAAUACCUCUUCACAAAAAGUUAAGGCCCUUAAAUAAUAUUAGUUCAAAAAUGAAUAAGAAUAGGGCCCGACCCUAAUCCGAUUCGAUCCUUAAAAUUUGCAGUGUAAAGUUUAUAGCCCAUUACCACCCCUACCUCCGAGGCCUCGGGGGCUACACCCGGCGGGUGCGCUCGCGCGCACCCACCGGAACGAAACGCAACCGAGAAAGGCCGGUCCCCUUGCAAAAAAGUGCGACAAAAGCCUCCAAGCGAGUAGCAACACUCCCUUCGAGGCUCGGGGGCUACUGUCAGGGACCAUAAUUAGGGGUACCUCCAAGACUCCUAAUCUCAGCUGGUAACCCCCAUCAGCACAAAGCUGCAAAGGCCUGAUGGGUGCGAUUAAGGUCAAGGCUCAGUCCACUCAAGGGACACGAUCUCGCCUUGCCCGAGCCCAGCCUCGGGCAAGGGCAGCCGACCCCGGAGGAUUCACGUCUCGCCCGAGGACCCCCUCAAGCAACGGGCACACCUUCGGCUCGCCCGAGGCCUAGUCUUCGCAGAGAAGCAACCUUGGCCAGAUCGCCACGCCAACCGACCGUAUCGCAGGAGCAUUUAAUGCAAGGAUGGCCUGACACCUUAUCUUGACGCGUGCUCUUCAGUCGACAGAGCCGAAGUGACCGCAGUCACUUUGCCGCUCCACUGACCAACCUGACAAGAAGACAGAGCCGCCUGCGUUGCUCCGACUGUUGUGCCACUCGACAGAGUGAGGCUGACAGCAACCAAGUCCAGCCUCAGGCGCCAUAGGAAGCUCCGCCUCGCCCGACCCCAGGGCUCGACCCCCGUCUCAGCCUCGGACGAUGGACUCCGCCUCGCCCGACCCUAGGGCUCGGACUCAGCCCUGGCUCCGGAAGACGACGAACUCUGCCUCGCCUGACCCCAGGGCUCGGACUCGGCCUUGGCUCCGGAAGACGACGAACUCCGCCUCGCCCGACCCCAGGGCUCGGACUCAGCCUUGGCUCCGGAAGACGACAAACUCCGCCUCGCCCGAGCCCAGGGCUCGGACUCAGCCUUGGCCUCGGACGACGGUCUCCGCCUCGCCCGACCCGGGGCUCGGACUCGACCUCGACCUCGGAAGACAGACUCGACCUCGACCUCGGAGGAGCCUCCACCUUGCCCGACCCAGGGCUCGGACCGACCACAUCACAGCGGGGGCCAUCAUUACCCUACCCCUAGCUAGAUCAGGCUACGGGGAACAAGACCGGCGUCCCAUCUGGCUCGCCCCGGUAAACAAAUAAUGAUGGCGCCCCGCGUGCUCCAUGACGACGGCAGCUCUCUGCCCCUUACGGAAGCAAGGAGACGUCAGCAAGGACUUGACAGCCCUGACAGCUGUCCUUCCGCAAGGCUCCAGCGCUCCUCCGACGGCCACGACAUCACAUGAACAGGGUGCCAAAACCUCUCCGGCUGCCAUGACGACAUGUACUUAGGGCUCUAGCUCCUCUCUGCUAGACACGUUAGCACACUGCUACAUCCCCCAUUGUACACCUGGACCCUCUCCUUACGCCUAUAAAAGGAAGGUCCAGGGCUCUCGUACGAGAAGGUUGGCCGCGCGGGAGAACGGGACGACGCGUAAAGUCUCUCGCUCUCUCCCACACAGACGCUUGUAACCCCCUACUGCAAGCGCACCCGACCUGGGCGCAGGACAACACGAAGGCCGCAAGUUUCCCCUUUUGCCUGUCUCCUUUUCCCCCCCUUCGUGCUCCGUCUCGCGUUGACCCAUCUGGGCUGGGACACGCGGCGACAAUUUACUCGUCGGUCCAGGGACCCCCCGGGGUUGAAACGCCGACAGCUCUAAUGAAGCACCGGGCUCCGAUACCAAUUGAAAGUCGCCUAGAGGGGGGGAGGUGAAUAGGGCGAAUCGGAAAUUUAUAAACUUAAGCACAAAUACAAGCCGGGUUAGCGUUAGAAAUAUGAACGAGUCCGAGAGAGAGGGCAAAAACAAAUCGCAAGCAAAUAAAGAGUGAGACACAAGAAUUUGUUUUACCAAGGUUCGGUUCUUGCAAACCUACUCCCCGUUGAGGUGGUCACAAAGACCGGGUCUCUUUCAACCCUUUCCCUCUCUCAAACGGUCACUUAGACCGAGUGAGCUUCUCUUCUCAAUCAAACGGGACACAAAGUCCCCGCAAGGACCACCACACAAUUGGUGUCUCUUGCUUCGGUUACAAUAGAGUUGAUCACAAGAAAGAAUGAGAGAGAAAAGAAGCAAUCCAAGCGCAAGAGCUCAAAUGAACACAAAUGUCGCUCUCUCUAGUCACUAUUCGAUUUGGAGUGAUUCCGGACUUGGGAGAGGAUUUGAUCUCUUUGGUUGUGUCUAGAAUUGAAUGCUAUAGCUCUUGUAAUGUGUUGAAGGUGGAAAACUUGGAUGCAAUGAAUGUGGGGGUGGUUGGGGUAUUUAUAGCCCCAACCACCAAAAGUGGCCGUUGGGAGGCUGUUGUCGCAUGGCGCACCGGAUAGUCCGGUGCGCCACCGGACACUGUCCAGUGCGUCAGCCACGUCAGCCGGCCGUUGGGUUCUGACCGUUGGAGCUCUAUCUGGUGGGGCCUCUGGGCUAUCCGAUGGUGCACCGGACAGGUCCUAUAGACUGUUCGGUGCGCCUUCUGCGCGUGCUCUGUCCUCUGCGCGCGCAGGCGCACAUUAAAUGUGUUGCAGUCGAUCGUUGCGUGCGAAGUAGCCGUUGCUCCGCUGGCACACCGAACAGUCCGUUGAAUUAUAGCGGAGCGGCCUCCCAUUUUCCCGACGGUGAGGAGUUUAGCGUCAAGUUCCCUGGUGCACCGGACACUGUCCGGUGGCACACCAGACAGUCCGGUGCGCCAGACCAGGGUGCCUUUUGGGAUGUCUUUAGCUCUCUUUAUUUGAACCCAUCUUUGGUCUUUUUAUUGGCUUGUUGUGAACCUUUGGCACCUGUAAAACUUAUAGACUAGAGCAAACUAGUUAGUCCAAUUAUUUGUGUUGAGCAAUUCAACCACCAAAAUCAAUUUAGGAAAAGGUGUAAGCCUAUUUCCCUUUCAUGCCUUCUCCCGUUCGCGAGGAAUCUCCACAACUUGGAGCCUCUCGCCCUUACAAUUGAUGAUCACAAAGAAGCACGGAAGUAAGGGAGGGGAGAGCAACACACACAAGACUCAAAACAACGAGCACAAUCACGCACACAAGCCACAACUUGAGCUCAAAACACAACGCGAGGAGUUCUCUACUCAAAUGGAGCUCAAGUCACUAUCUCAAAGAAUCGAAUGCGCGAGAAUGGAGUCUUGGUGUCUUAGAAUGAUCAAAGAAUGCUUGUGUAUCUCGUCCAUGCGCCUAGGGGUCCCUUUUAUAGCCCCAAGGCAGCUAGGAGCCGUUGGAGGCAAUCUUGGAAGGCCAAAGUUGCCUUCUAUCGGGUGGCGCACCGGACAGCUACUGUUCAUGUCCGGUGCCCGAUUCCCUUCCAAAUCGGGCGCAACCGACCGUUGCAGAUUAGUGGCAGUUGGCGCACCGGACACUGUCUGGUGCACACCGGACAGUCCGGUGCCCACCGGACAGUCCGGUGCCCCCUGCCGACCGUUGGAGCGAGCCACGCGUCGCCCGCGGAUUUGGCGGCCGACCGUUGCGCUGGUGGCCGUUGGCUCACCGGACAGUCCGGUGCAUCACCGGACAGUCCGGUGAAUUAUAGCCGUACACCGCCGAAGUUUUCCCGAGAGUGGCCAGUUCGCCGGAGACCAGCCUGACGCACCGGACACUGUCCAGUGCACCACCGGACAGUCCGGUGUGCCAGACUGUGCUGAGUCUUGGCUGCACACAGGCACUCUCUUCCAAUUUUUUUCUUUUUCCUGUUUCUAGCACUUAGGUAACUUCAUUAGUACCCAAAACAAAUGAACUAAGUCUAGAAACAUACCUUCUUGUUGAUUUGCACUUCAUUCAUCAUUUGGCAUAUAAUAACCCACUUAAUAUGUGUUGGACACUUAAUCACCAAAAUAUACUAGAAAUGGUCCAAGGGCACAUUUCCCUUUCAAUCUCCCCCUUUUUGGUGAUUUAUGCCAACACAUCAAAAAGCAACAAAUAGAAGUGCAACAUCAAUGCAAUUGAGAACAAAAAUAGACUUUGACAAAAUUUGACAUAUUUGGAUCGUUCUUUGCCACCACUUGGUUUGUUUUUACAAAUCAAAAUCAUUUUCCUAUCUCUAAGUCAAACACACAUGUUUAGGCACAAAGAGAGAUAAUCCAAAUGAAAAAUUCAUUAAGUACCAAAAACUCCCCUUUUUCCCAUAAUCAUAAAAUCUCCCCGUAAGAGACCAAAUUUUGACAAUAAGAGUAUUUUGACAAAUCACAAGUUCUAACUCUAUUAUUUUUCAAAAUUCUCAGGUGGUAGCUGAUCCAUUUGUUUUGGCGUUAAUUUCUCCCCCUUUGGCAUUAAGCACCAAAACUGUCAAUUAAGAGCAAAAAGGCAACAAGAGCAUAGAUAUGAACUUGGAGUUAAUUACCCUCACAUCAGAGUGCAGUGGAAGUCUUGCAUGGUCCAAGUUCACCUUUCACUUUCAAUUCACUCUUGAGACUAAAUCAAGUAAACUCAAACACAUGGUUAGUCUUAAGGGGUCAAGUUGUAGCACAUCUCCCUCUAAAUAUGUGCAUCACUCACACAUGGACUUGUGAGGUCCGGGGAUUUCUUGCACAACUUGAGCACCAUAAAUAAGCAAUAAAUCAUAUAAAUGCAUAAGGUAACAUGAUCAAAGGCAUAAAACACAUGUAUGCUAUAGAUCAAUCCAAGUUACGCAAAUCUAAGACAUUUAGCUCACUACGCAGCCUGCAAAAGGUCUUCUCAUCUAAAGGCUUGGUAAAGAUAUCGGCUAGCUGGUUCUCGGUGCUAACAUAAAACACUUUGAUAUCUCCCUUUUGCUGGUGGUCUCUCAAAAAGUGAUGCCGGAUGUCUAUGUGCUUAGUGCGGUUGUGUUCAACAGGAUUGUCCGCCAUGCGGAUUGCACUCUCAUUGUCACAUAGGAGUGGGACUUUGCUCAGAUUGUAGCCAAAGUCCCGGAGGGUUUGCUUCAUCCAAAGUAGUUGUGCGCAACACUGUCCUGCGGCAACAUACUCGGCCUCAGCGGGGGAUAAGGCAACGGAAGUUUGUUUCUUAGAACUCCAAGACACUAGGGACCUUCCUAGGAAUUGGCACGUCCCUGAUGUACUCUUCCUAUCAACCUUGCAUCCAGCAUAAUCGGAGUCUGAGUAUCCAAUCAAGUCAAAGGUAGACCCCUUUGGAUACUAGAUCCCGAAGCAAGACGUAGCAACUAAAUAUCUAAGAAUUCGUUUAACGACCAUAAGGUGACACUCCCUUAGGUCGAAUUGAAAUCUAGCACACAUGCAUACGCUUAGCAUAAUAUCCGAUCUACUAGAACAUAAAUAAAGUAAAGACCCUAUCAUAGACCGGUAUGCCUUUUGAUCAAUGGACUUACCUCCUUUGUUGAGGUCGACGUGUCCGUCGGUUUCCAUUGGUGUCUUUGCAGGCUUGGCGUCCGUCAUCCCAAACCGCUUGAGAAGAUCUUGCGUAUACUUCGUUUGUGAGAUGAAGGUGCCGUCCUUGAGUUGCUUCACUUGGAACCCGAGGAAGUAGUUCAACUCAUCCAUCAUUGACAUCUCAAAUUUCUGAGUCAUCACCCUGCUAAACUCCUCACAAGACUUUUGAUUAGUGGAACCAAAUAUUAUGUCAUCGACAUAAAUUUGACACACAAAUAGGUCACCAUCAUAGGUCUUAGUGAAAAGAGUUGGAUCGGCUUUCCCAACCUUGAAAGCAUUAGCAAUUAGGAAAUCUCUAAGACAUUCAUACCAUGCUCUUGGGGCUUGCUUAAGUCCAUAGAGCGCCUUAGAGAGCUUACACACAUGGUCGAGAUACCGUUCAUCCUCAAAGCCAGGGGGUUGCUCCACGUACACCUCCUCCUUGAUUGGCCCGUUGAGGAAAGCGCUCUUCACAUCCAUUUGGAACAACCUAAAAGAGUGGUGAGCGGCAUAGGCUAAUAAUAUUCUAAUGGACUCUAGCCUAGCCACAGGAGCAAAAGUUUCCUCGAAAUCCAAACCUGCGACUUGGGCAUAACCUUUUGCCACAAGUCGAGCCUUGUUUCUUGUCACCACCUCGUGCUCGUCUUGCUUGUUGCGGAACACCCACUUGGUGCCCACAACGUUUUGCUUUGGAUGUGGCACCAGGGUCCAAACUUCAUUUCGCUUGAAAUUGUUGAGCUCUUCCUGCAUGGCCAAUAUCUAGUCCGGAUCUAGUAAGGCCUCUUCUACCCUGAAAGGCUCAAUAGAAGAGACAAAUGAGUAAUGCUUACAAAAAUUAGCUAAUCUAGAGUGAGUGGUUACUCCCUUGAUUAUAUCACCCAAAAUCUGGUCGACGGGAUGAUUCCUUUGAAUCGUCGCUCGAACUUGAGUUGGAGGGGCCAGUGGUGCUUCUUCCUCCAUAACUUGUUCUUCUUGUGCUCCCCCUUGAUCACACGCCUCUUCUUGAGGAACCUGUUCAUCAUCUUGAGUUGGGGGAUGCACCAUGGUUGAGGAAGAAGGUUGAUCUUGUUCUUGUUGUUCCUAUGGUCGCACAUCUCCAAUCGCCAUGGUGCAUAUUGCGGCUGUUGGAACAUCAUCUUCAUCUACAUCAUCAAGAUCAACUUGCUCUCUUGGAGAGCCAUUAGUCUCAUCAAAUACAACAUCGCUAGAGACUUCAACCAAACCCGAUGAUUUGUUGAAGACUCUAUACGCCUUUGUAUUUGAGUCAUAACCUAGUAAAAACCCUUCUACAACUUUAGGAGUAAAUUUAGAAUUUCUACCUUUCUUCACUAGAAUGUAACAUUUACUCCCAAAUACACGAAAGUAUGAAACGUUGAGUUUGUUACCAGUUAGUAGUUCAUACGAGGUCUUCUUGAGGAGGCGAUGGAGAUAGAGCCGGUUUAUGGCAUGGCAAGCUGUGUUCACAGCUUCCGACCAAAACUGCUCGGGCGUCUUGAACUCUCCAAGCAUCGUCCUCGCCAUAUCAAUAAGCGUUCUGUUCUUCCUCUCUACCACACCGUUUUGCUGUGGUGUGUAGGGAGCGGAGAACUCGUGCUUGAUCCCUUCCUCCUCAAGGUAUUCCUCCACUUGAAGAUUCUUGAACUCGGACCCGUUGUCGCUUCUAAUCUUUUUCACCUUGAGCUCAAAUUCAUUUUGAGCUCGCCUUAGAAAGCGCUUGAGGGUCCCUUGGGUUUCUGUUUUAUCCUGCAAAAAGAAUACCCAAGUGAAGCAGGAAAAAUCAUCAACAAUAACAAGACCAUACUUACUUCCCCCGAUGCUAAGGUAGGCGAUGGGUCCGAAGAGGUCCAUACGUAGUAACUCUAGUGGUCUUGAUGUAGUCAUCACAUUCUUGUUGUGAUGAGUGCUUCCCACCUGUUUUCCUGCCUGACAAGCUGCACAAGGUCUAUCCUUUUCGAAGCAUACAUUGGUUAGUCCUAACACAUGCUCUCCCUUUAGAAGUUUGUGAAGGUUCUUCAUCCCAACAUGUGCUAGACGGCGAUGCCACAACCAGCCCAUACUAGUCUUAGCGAUUAAGCAUGCAUCUAGAUCGACCUCCUCUUUCGAAAAAUCAACUAAGUAGAGUUUGCCAUCUAGUACACCCUUAAACGCUAAUGAACCAUCACUCCUUCUAAAGACAGAUACAUCAACAUUUGUAAACAAACAAUUGUAGCCCAUGUGGCACAAUUGACUAACAGACAAGAGAUUAUAGCCUAGCGACUCUACUAAAAAUACAUUAGAGAUAGAGUGCUCAUUUGUGAUGGCUAUCUUGCCCAAGCCUUUGACCUUGCCUUGGUUCCCAUCUCCAAAGAUAAUCGUAUCCUGGGAAUCCUCAUUCUUGACGUAGGAGGUGAACAUCUUCUUCUCCCCCGUCAUGUGGUUUGUGCAUUCGCUGUCGAUAAUCUAGCUUGAGCCCCCGGAUGAAUAAACCUGCAAGACAAUUUACGCUUGGGUUUUAGGUACCCAACUCUUGUUGGGUCCUACAAGGUUAGUCACAAUAGUCUUUGGGACCCAAAUGCAAGUCUUGUCUCCCUUGCACUUGGCCCCCAACUUCCUAGCAACCACUUUCUUAUUCUUACAACAAAUUGCAAAAGAAGUAUUGCAAGCAUGGUAAAUUGUAGAGGGUUCAUUGCAUACUUUCCUAGGCACAUGAUGAACAACAUUUUUCCUAGGCAUAUUUCUACCAUGCACAAAAGAAGAACUUGAAGCAAUCAUAGCAUGUGAAUCAUAAGCAUAACUCCUAUGAGCAUUUCUAGAAAUUUUUCUAUCACUAUAGAUGAAAGCAUGAUUCCUUUGAGCACUAUUAGCCAUAGGGGCCUUCCCUUUCUCCUUGGCGGGAUCCAUUUGGCUUGUUAAGUUCUUGGCUUCCUUUCAAAAGCCAAGCCCAUCCUUAAUUGAGGGGUGUCUACCAACCGUGUAGGCAUCCCUAGCAAAUUUUAAUUUAUCAAAGUCACUUUUGCAAGUUUUAAGUUGAGCAUUAAGACUUGUCACUUCAUCAUUUAAUUUAGAAAUGGAAAUUAAAUGUUCAUUACAAGCAUCAACAUUAAAAUCCUUGCAUCUAUUGCAAAUAACGACAUGUUCCACACAUGAACUAAAUUUAUUAGCUAUUUCUAACUUAGCAUUUAAAUCAUCAUUAACACUCCUUAAACUAGAAAUAGUUUCAUGACAGGCAGAUAAUUCCGAAGAUAGCAUUUCAUUUCUUUUAACUCUAAAGCAAGAGACUUUUGCACACUUACAAACUUAUCAUGCUCUUCAUAUAAAAUAUCCUCUUGCUUUUCUAAAAGUCUAUUCUUUUUCAUUUAAAGCAUCAAUCAAUUCAUUGAUUUUAUCUACUUUAGUUCUAUCUAAACCUUUGAAUAAACUUGUGUAAUCUACUUCAUCAUCACUAGAGUCAUCAUCACUUGAAGUAGUAUACUUAGGGGUAUCUCGAGCGCUUACCUUUUCUCCUUUGCCAUGAGGCAAGUAUGACGCUCGUUGGGGAAGAGAGAUGACUUGUUGAAGGCUGAGGCGGCGAGUCCUUCGUCGUCGGAGUCGGAAGAAGAGCAAUCCGAAUUCCAUUCUUUUCCAAGGUGCGCCUCGCCCUUUGCCUUCUUGUAGGACUUCUUUUUCUCCCUCUUCCCGCUCUUUUCUUGUCCCUGGUCACUAUCAUUAUCCGGACAGUUAGCAAUAAAGUGACUAGUCUUACCGCACUUGAAGCAGGAGCGCUUUCCCUUUGUCUUGUUCUUGUUUGGGUACUUCUUGCGCCCUUUUAAUGUGGUCUUGAAGCGCUUUAUGAUUAGGGCCAUCUCAUCCUCGUUUAGCCCGACUGCCUCAACUUGUGCCACCUUGCUAGGUAGCGCCUCCCUACUGCUUGUUGCUUUGAGAGCAACGGGUUGAGGCUCGUGGACGGAUAGAGGGCCAUUGAGAGCGUCAUCCACGUAUCGCGCUUCCUUCACCAUCAUCCGCCCGCUCACAAACUUCCCAAAGAUCUCCUCGGGAGUCAUCUUUGUGUACCUGGGAUUUUCACAGAUGAGGUUUACAAGAUGAGGAUCAAUAAUUGUGAAGGACCUGAGCAUAAGUCGGACGACGUCGUGGUCCGUCCAUCUCGUGCUUCCAUAGCUUCUGAUCUUGUUCACCAGGGUCUUGAGCCUGUUGUAUGUCUGCGUUGGCUCCUCUCCCCUGAUCAUUGCAAAUCUUCCCAGUUCACCUUCCACCAAUUCCAUCUUGGUGAUCAUGGUGGCAUCAUUUCCCUCAUAAGAGAUCUUGAGGGUAUCCCAGAUUUGCUUGGCGUUAUCCAAGCCGCUCACCUUGUUGUACUCAUCCCUGCACAAUGAUGCUAGCAAAACAGUGGUUGCUUGUGCAUUCUUAUGGAUUUGCUCAUUAAUGAAAACGAGGUUGUCAGUACUAUCAAAAUGCAUUCCAUUUUCAACUACCUCCCAAAUACUUGGAUGGAGAGAAAAUAGGUGACUACGCAUUUUGUGACUCCAAAAUGAGUAGUCUUCUCCAUCAAAGUGUGGAGGUUUCCCAAGUGGAAUUGAAAGUAAAUGAGCAUUAGUAUUGAAAGGAAUGCGAGAGUAAUCAAAGGAAUAGUUUUGAUUAACCGUUCUUUUCUUUGACGAAGAAUCAUCGUCGUCGUCUCUUGGUGAAGAAGAAGAUUCGUCGCUGUCGUAGUAGACGAUCUUCUUGAUGCGCCUCUUCUUCUUCUCGUCCUUCUUCUUAUGACUCGAGCCAGAGUCAGUGGGCUUGUCAUCUCUUGGCUCGUUGAAGAUGGACUCCUUCUCCUUAUCGUUGACCACCAUCCCCUUUCCCUUAGGAUCCAUCUCUUCGGGCGAUUAGUCCCUUACGUGAAGAGAACGGCUCUGAUACCAAUUGAGACACCUAGAGGGGGGAUAGGUGAUCCUGUAAAAACCAAAUACUUAUAGCCACAAAACUUGGUUAAGUGUUAGUAUGGCUAUGAAGCGAGCUCUUGCUAACACAAGAUAUCACAGAAAAGCAAUCACAAGAGACACAUUGGUUUUAUCCCGUGGUUCGGCCAAGUAUAACACUUGCCUACUCCACGUUGUGGCGUCCCAAUGGAUGAGGGUUGCACUCAACCCCUUUCAAGUGAUCCAAUGAUCAACUUGAAUACCACAGGUUUUCCUUUCUUAUGCCUUCUCCCAUUCGCGAGGAAUCCCCACAACUUGGAGCCUCUCGCCCUUACAAUUGAUGAUCACAAAGAAGCACGGAAGUAAGGGAGCGGAGAGCAACACACACAAGACUCAAAACAACGAGCACAAUCACGCACACAAGCCACAACUUGAGCUCAAAACACAACGCGAGGAGUUCUCUACUCAAAUGGAGCUCAAGUCACUAUCUCAAAGAAUCGAAUGCGUGAGAAUGGAGUCUUGGUGUCUUAGAAUGAUCAAAGAAUGCUUGUGUAUCUCCUCCAUGCGCCUAGGGGUCCCUUUUAUAGCCCUAAGGCAGCUAGGAGCCGUUGGAGGCAAUCUUGGAAGGCCAAAGUUGCCUUCUGUCAGGUGGCGCACCGGACAGUUCGGUUUGCCACCGAACAGCUACUGUUCAUGUCCGGUGCCCGAUUCCCUUCCAAAUCGGGCGCAGCCGACCGUUGCAGAUUGGUGGCAGUUGGCGCACCGGACAGUCCGGUGCCCCCUGCCGACCGUUGGAGCGAGCUACGCGUCGCCCGUGGAUUUGGCGGCCGACCGUUGCGCUAGCGGCCGUUGGCUCACCGGACAGUCCGGUGCACCACCGGACAGUCCGGUGAAUUAUAGUCGUACACUGCCGAAGUUUUCCCGAGAGUGGCCAGUUCACCGGAGACCAGCCUGGCGCACCGGACACUGUCCGGUGUGCCAGACUGUGCUGAGUCUUGGCUGCACACAGGCACUCUCUUCCAAUCGUUUUCUUUUCCUGUUUCUAGCACUUAGGUAACUUCAUUAGUACCCAAAACAAAUGAACUAAGUCUAGAAACAUACCUUCUUGUUGAUUUGCACUUCAUACAUCAUUUGGCAUAUAAUAACCCACUUAAUAUGUGUUGGACACUUAAUCACCAAAAUAUACUAGAAAUGGCCCAAGGGUACAUUUCCCUUUCAGUUGGAGCGAAGGCAAACACGCUACCCUUUGCUCUACGACUUCGUCUUCUCAUCAUGCUGACGAAGGCUACAUCGACAGAACACGCCAGAACAAGCCGAGGGCGCCGCCCGGGCGGAGAACAGUGCGACCCACUUCGGUCUGGUGUUGCAAGACGAAGGACCCGCUGAAGUCUAUGGGCCUCUCGCGCCCCCAUCCACCGAGGAAGGCCCAUGUGUGAUUUGGCCCAUAGUGAUGGGCCCCAUGAGGACAAGUGCGAUAAGGGUCGAGUCUGUAAUAGGGGGCGGUUUUGGUGGGCCGACAUCUCGGCCCGGGCGCACGGGCUGCACCGCUUGGACCGGCACAGAGACGGGCCCAAAGCCCGACAGAGGCCAAGCAGCCCAUUUUUAUUUCCAGCGAAUUAAAAAUUGGUCUUUUCUUUAUUUCGACAGAUUGAAUAAAAAUAAAAGAAAAGGUUAUAAAAAUUAGAAAAUACUUUUAUGAGAUUUAGAAUUUUGCAAAUAAUAUCUUGGAAUAUUUUGUUUUUGCUGCAUACUUUAGAUAUUUUCUAUGCAUUAUUGUUCAUUAUGAAGCCAACGUGGAUUAUUUCCAUUGAAUUACAUAGAAAUUUCGAGAUUUUAUGGUAUUUUGAAUGUUUGACCAUGUUUAAUAUUUUAUAAAUAUUUUAUACCAAAUUUAGAACAGUAUUAUAUUUUAUACUAGGUGUAUGCCAGUGCUUUGCCACGGAGUCAACAUGUAUUGAUAAAAUACAUUAAGAUGCAGAAGCACUAUUUUAUCGUUCUAUGCUCUCGUUAUUAAAAUGUUCGUAUGUUUAGAGUUGUACUCGGAUGCUUCGUCUAGCUGACGAAGAUGACAGAUGGGUCGCAACACUCGUCGAUCAAGCAGUAACAGCACAACGCGACCAGACUGUAGAUUAAUCAAUUAGAUGACGCAUGUGCAAGAGCAGAAGUCAGCGUCGUCACUUGGGAAAUCAGAGAGACAGAGCCUACAAUAAGCUUAUGGCAGAGGAAUGAUAGGAUCAGAGAGACAUAGGUGUACCAACAAAUGAAAAGGGAUAUGUCAGCACCGGAUCGACCAAGCGAUUCUAUUCGUUUCUUCACAUGGAUCGGAUCAGAUUGACAAGGACAAUGGGUCAAGACGAGAGGCAGGAGAGGACAAGUCCUACAGGGACACACUCGGACCCGAGUUUCACUAUCUAGGUUCUUGGGAAGCAGAGCACGUCAGCGAAGGGGAGGGCCAGGUCGUGGAUGCAGCUAUUGACGAAAUUGACAAGGACCAGGGAUGAGGACACAUAGUCGGCGUCCGACGAGGAGGGCGUGGUGGAGACGAGGAGCCGGCCGACAAGCUUGGUGAUCUCCUUCUUUGCUGUUGUGCGCUAGAGGCUGGAGUGGGGAGCCGGCACCGGAAGACGCGGCGCGGCGCGGGGACUCACUGAGAUAGGCAUGCAACUAGGGUUUGGUUGUCGAGUUGGUCGGGCCUGGGAUGCGUGUAUGUGGAUGUGAGACCUUGGACUGCAGGUUGCGCCGCCUCCUUCGCCCACGCCGCGGCCUCGUCGUGCGGGGGCAGCCAUUGUCGUGGCCUAGUCGUGCAGGGGAAGCCUAGUCCGCGAGGGGUUUGGGAAGCGCGCGGGUGUUGGGGCGAAGGCGAACACGCUACCCUUCGCUCUACGACUUCGUCUUCUCAUCACGCCGACGAAGGCUACAUCGACAAAACACGCCAGAACAAGCCGAGGGUGCCGCCCGGACGGAGAACAGUGCGACCCCCUUCGGUCUGGUGUUGCAAGAUGAAGGCCCCGCCGAAGUCUAUGGGCCUCUCGCGCCCCCAUCCACCGAGGAAGGCCCAUGUGUGAUUCGGCCCAUAGUGAUGGGCCCCGUGAGGACAAGUGCGAUAAGGGUCAUGUCUGUAAUAGGGGGCGGUUUUGGUGGGCCGACAUCUCGGCCCGGAAGCACGGGCCGCACCGCCUGGACCGGCACAGAGACGGGCCCAAAGCCCGACAGAGGCCAAGCAGCCCAUUUUUAUUUCCAUCGAAUUAAAAAUUGGUCUUUUCUUUAUUUCGGCAGAUUGAAUAAAAAUAAAAGAAAAGGUUAUAAAAAUUAGAAAAUACUUUUAUGAGAUUUAGAAUUUUGCAAAUAAUAUCUUGGAAUAUUUUGUUUUCGCUGCAUACUUUAGAUAUUUUCUAUGCAUUAGUGUCCAUUAUGAAGCCAACGUGGAUUAUUUCCAUUUAAUUACAUAGAAAUUUCGAGAUUUUAUGGUAUUUUGAAUGUUUGACCACGUUUAAUAUUUUAUAAAUAUUUUAUACCAAAUUUAGAACAGUAUUAUAAUUUAUACUAGGUGUAUGUCAGUGCUUUGCCACAGAGUCAACAUGUAUUGAUAAAAUACAUUAAGAUGCAGAAGCACUAUUUUAUCAUUCUAUGCUCUCGUUAUUAAAAUGUUCGUAUGUUUAGAGUUGUACUCGGAUGCUUCGUGUAGCUGACGAAGAUGACAGAUGGGUCGCAGCACUCGUCGAUCAAGCAGUAGCAGCACAACGCGACCAGACUAUAGAUUAAUCAAUUAGAUGACGCAUGUGCAAGAGCAGAAGUCAGCGUCGUCACUUGCGAAAUCAGAGAGACAGAGCAAACAAUAAGCUUAUUGGAGAGGAAUGAUAGGAUCAGAGAGACAUAGGUGUACCAACAAAUGAAAAGGGAUAUGUCAGCACCGGAUCGACCAAGCGAUUCUAUUCGUUUCUUCACAUGGAUCGGAUCAGAUUGACAAGGACAAUGGGUCAAGACGAGAGGUAGGAGAGGACAAGUCCUAAGGGACGCACUCGGACCCGAGUUUCACUAUCUAGGUUCUUGGGAAGUAGAGCACGUCAGCGAAGGGGAGGGCCAGGUCGUGGAUGCAGCUAUUGACGAAAUUGACAAGGACCAAGGAUGAGGACACAUAGUCGGCGUCCGACGAGGAGGGCGUGGUGGAGACGAGGAGCCGGCCGAGAAGCUUGGCGAUCUCCUUCUUUGUUGUUGUGCGCUAGAGGCUGGAGUGGGGAGCCGGCACCGGAAGACGCGGUGCGGCGCGUGGACUCACUGAGAUAGGCAUGCAGCUAGGGUUUGGUUGUCCAGUUGGUCGGGCCUGGGAUGCGUGUAUGUGGAUGUGAGACCUUGGAAUGCAGGUUGCGCCGCCUCCUUCGCCCACGCCGCGACCUUGUCGUACGGGGGCAGCCAUUGUCGUGGCCUAGUCGUGCAGGGGAAGCCUAGUCCGCGAGGGGUUAGGGAAGCGCGCGGGUGUUGGGGCGAAGGCGAACACGCUACCCUUCGCUCUACGAUUUCGUCUUCUCAUCACGCUGACGAAGGCUACAUCGACAGAACACGCCAGAACAAGCCGAGGGCGCCGCCCAGACGGAGAACAGUGCGACCCCCUUCGGUCUGGUGUUGCAAGACGAAGGCCCCACCGAAGUCUAUGGGCCUCUCGCGCCCGCAUCCGCCGUGGAAGGCCCAUGUGUGAUUCGGCCCAUAGUGAUGGGCCCUGUGAGGACAAGUGCGAUAAGGGUCGUGUCUGUAAUAGGGUUUACUUUAAUGACUAUCUGUAACCUCCACUCGUGUGAAUAUUUUGGGGAUAAACCGGGUACUCGAUUGUCUAAACGUCUUUGACAGGGACAAACGGCCCCUCGAGUACCUAUAAAUACCCCCGUACAGUGCCCACAUACGGGAGAUUAAGCUUUGGACAUUCCGUGUAAACUUUGCAAACACACUGUCCACCCCCUUGUUGGAUCAACUUGCCUAGGCAGAUUAAAUCCCAACAUUUGGCGCCCACCGUGGGGCUCGAACCCACGACCAGAAGGUUAAGAGCCUUGUCGUCAUUGAUCCUCACCAAAAAGGUCCAUAUCUUGACAGCAAUGAGAUAUAUACAACAAUCAUAUCUGUUUGAGAUGAUUAAUUUAUUUCAUCAUAAGCAUAAUAAACUAAAAAUAUAUUCUGCCUCAUCAACCAAUCAUAUGGGCUUAUUGAGCCAGAUUUAGAUGUGUAAAACAAUUUAGUAGCACGCCGACCAUCAAUGGUGUCACAUAUUUUUUUCCCUAAAUCAGCCAUCUUGUCCUAACAUUCCAAUGAACCAAUCAAUAAUUACUCGGCGUCGAUGGCCAGUAUGUCUCCGGCGGUGGCGCAUGGUGGUGGUAGGGGAAUCUAGGGCGGCAGAGGAGACCACGACGCUUGCCCCAUGUUCUGUGGCAGACAAUAACUGACCAUGGACCCCAAUGCCGCGGAGGAGGGUCACGAAAGGGUUGGGGUUGUUGGACGAUGCUUCCACCCAACCAGCGUGCCUCCGCUGUCGUCGAGGACAACAUCGUCAUCGCCGACAACAGCAGGAGUGCCGCGAUGGCGGGUGUCCUCGUGGAGGCCUUUUGCGCUGCCAUUAUCGGAGCUAGCAGAGCAGGUACCAAUAUUGUUUUAAAUGUCUGGGUAAGGGCCUUAGGGGCAAGCUUUUGGAUAAGCUAUAAAGGCUAUAGCCAGCUAUAGCUAUGAGCUAAACCAUUUAACAGUUUUUAGGAAAAAGCAUGAUAUAACUUCAUAGAUAGUUUAAAUGUUCAACAUUUAAAUAUGACAGUUCAAACUAGUAGUCCAAAUGUCCAAUAAUAAAUCAACAUGCAUGUAAAUUCAAUGACACAUAUGAAAGGCAUUGAAUCAUUAUCUAACAAAAUCAUAAACAUUAAGUUAAGGACCUACCCACAACUUGUUUUUGGGUCUUAAUGUUUCAAAGGUUCGACCCAAUAAAAGGAUUGCAGGUUUAUCAGCUAAAUCAAGCUAAUGUUAUGUAUUUAUAGGGCUAAAUAAAUCUAUUAGCGGCUAAUCUUGAUUAACGCUAAAUAGUGUAUCUCUUAGCCGGCUAUUUAAAACCUUGACGAUAUCUAGACACUACUACAGCAUACCUCUAUACAGGCGGUUUGGUUCGCCUCUACACAGGCGGUUCCAGGAACCGCUUGUGGUGCACCGCCUGUGAUGUAAAACAAUAUCACAGGCGGUCAAUAAAAAACCGCCUGUGAAAAACACAGAUUACAGGCGGUCCAGUUCAAAGGAACCGCCUGUGAUAGACACACAUCACAGGCGGUUUCUUAUCCUAGCCGCUUGUGUAGCCACACAUCACAGACGGUUUUUUAUAUAAGUCCGACUGCAUACAAUAUAAAUCACAGACGGUUUUCAUUAUACAGAUUCAUAUAUACAGAAUUUUCAAACACAGGAUAUACACAGAUUUCAUACACAGAUUAUACACAGAUUCACACAGAUUGCAUACACAGAUUUCAUACACAUAUUACAAGUUCCAUAACAGGUAUAAUACACAGAUUCAUCCACAUAUCAAGUUCCAUCGUCAUACACAGAUUUAUACACAUAUCAAGUUCCAUAUACAACUAAACAUCUCAAAGUUCCAUAGACAACUAAACAUCUAAAGUUCCUAACUAAAGACCUAAACACUGUGUGAUAUUGUGUACAAACUUAGUUCUAGGAAUUUUUGUAAAUUUCCAUUUGUAUUGUAGAAUAGCCCUUGUUGAUGACGAACUUCACGACGCAUAAAGUAAAGCAAGUCUCUUACAACCUUAGCAACGCCGACGGAAACCAUAUCUCUUUCUAACCAUUCAGCAUUGAUCUUGGAUUUAGGAACCUGCAAUGAAAGCAAAAAGCAAGCGGUGCUAAGAGUAAUGUGAUGAGCAACAAUAUAACAUAAAAAUUGCAACAUAGACAAUGAUAGCGAACUUACAUCCUCACGAUUGACCAUGUAAUGGAAGGUGACACGACACCAUUCGCAUACAUAAUAACCGCACAGGACAGUACCCGGAGGUUGUUUGUCACCAUAUGGAAAUAAUGAUAUUGACAAAUUAGGCUUGUCCUCUGGAUGUUCGCCGCCAAGAUCUUUCCAAUAAAAACGGUAUGCACUGCAUAUAAGAAUAGCAUUGUGAGAUUAAGAAUUCAUUUGUUAAGUUGUAAUAAGUACAAGUGUGCAAUAAUAAUCAUACUUCUCUAAAAUCUUCAAGAAGUCAUUAUAAGUAGCCUUUUCCAUUCUCAGUGAGUCGAAGACCACGACUUUACCAUCCUUUGGCCAGAUCAUGAUACAAAUGUAGUGGUCACUAUAUAGACAUAGACAAAAACACAUGUUAAGAUCACGAUUGCCAUAAUUUAUAGUUCAAAAUUAAACCAUGUCAAUAACUUACUUAAAGUGGUGCAGAGCUAUUAUUAAGUCCUUGCCAUGUUGUACAUGAUUCUUCAUCGUUGGGAAUAUAGUCGGCAUCAAGAUCAUCUGAUGUUUUUUUCUUCCUUGGAGGUAUAGGAGUACAAGGAUUGUCGUCACUAGAACUAUCCUCCCCGCUCCCUUCAUCGGAGCUACUCGUUGUCUGCCAUUCAAGUUUGAUCGCGUCUUCAUCAACUUUGUUAGACGCACCAGUGCAGACCACAUCCAUACUAGGCUGCUCGUUGUCUACCAUUCAAGCUGGUUCCAUCGAUAAAGGGAUAUACUAUUAGUCUGAUAUACUGGUUCCAUCAAUAAGGGAACUUGGAGAAAAGGUGAUUCAAAAGAAAUCGAGCCCAAACCCGCCUCUGGGGCAGGAUCGGGUCGGGAAGCAAGCUCGCAGAUAGAAGUGCACUUUCCAAUGCAGUUAGACAGAGAAGGCAUGGCUGUGAUGUUAUAAUGCUGAAGGACCCCAAGAAGAGAUUAUGCCCUAUAGUCUACCACCUCUCAUUAUUUGUGGGCUUCACCGAGGGCAGGAAACAUUUGGUGACAUCAAACGACCUUCGGGCUGGGGACGUCUGCGAGCUUGUUAAGGGGCCAGACGAUGGUGAGCCGGUGUACUCUGUCCGGAUGUGUGGUCACAAAAUUUAAAGCCGCCCCGGCUUCAUCUGUGCGCUUCUCUUCUCUUAUGUCGGCUACUAAGAUCACUUAGCACCCCACCUAAGAGAAGAGAAGCACACACAUGCAGCCGGGGCGGCUUUAAAUUUUGUGACCACACAUCCGGACAUAGUACACCGGCUCACCAUCGUCUGGCCCCUUAACAAGCUCGCAGACGUCUUCAGCCCGAAGGUCGUUUGCUAUCACCAAAUGUUUCCAGCCAUCGGUGAAGCCCACAAAUAACAAGAGGUGGUAGACUAUAGGGCUUAAUCUCUUCUUGGGGUCCUUCAGCAUUAUAACAUCAUAGCCAUGCCUUCUCUGUCUAACUGCAUUGGAAAGUGCACUUCUAUCUGCGAGCUUGCUUCCCGACCCGAUUCAGGCAUUCCGCCGAUGCCAUUCUCCAUAUAAGUCCCAAACAGAGAAUAGGGAUGAGGUAGUCAAGAUUGUAGGCGCUAGUGCUCAACUACUAGCAUCUAUAGAUAUGGACACAAGUCCAAAUUUGGUGCUACUCGGCACCAUCGAUAUCACUAGAAAAAAAAUACAUCAAAGAGAUCCACUUCCCAAUAGUACUCGAAGAUAGUUCAUUAACUUGACACUCUCUAAGAGGUUCAUACAAAAUACAUUAUCUCUAAGAGUGAAACCUACGAUACUCAUAUCGUGUUGUUUAGGACUAAACAUCAACAACCCCUUGACUGGUCGCUAUCAUACUCAAUUCCAAAAUAUUUUUCCAAUAUGUCGGCUUGAGUAAGGAGAUCUGGGCUUGGGAGUUCCUCCAAAUCAUCUGCAGCUUCAUCAUCUUCAGCAUAUUGCAGGGCUUCAUCUUGAAUAAUUUUAGCCCUCUUGGAGUCAGCAUACUUUUUGAUGGACAGAGCACACUUCUCAAGCAUGUCGCAUACAUCUCCAAUUUGAAACAAAGUGGUCUUAAGUGUGUACACUGAUUCCGGUUCACUAGUAUCCACAACCCCAUCAGUCACUAGACUGCGAAUGAUGUCAACAUGUGUCUCGAUGACUCGAACUGAGCUCUCAACCAUGUCAAGUGGCUCUUUUUCCAUCUCUAAAACUGAAAAUGGCCAAGUCUCACAAUCAAAAUUGAGAUCGCAACAAAGGCAGGGAUCAGAGGGAAAACAAGGAUGUGGCUUAUAGGGCAAAAAGAGGGGUCCAAAUAACAUUGUCAUGGCUAUGAACAAGUCAAAGAUGGGAGAUAAGAACAAGUCUUAUAACAUAGGGUUGGGAAGCAAAGAUAGGUAGUCAAAAAACUAAGAAGGGAGAUAAGAACAAGUCUUAUAACAUAGGGAGAUAAUAACAUUGUCAUGGCUAUGUACUUCCAUGAUGUAUGUGGCCAUAAGCACAUUUGCCCUAAUGAUUAUCAAACAAAGAUAGGUAGUCAAAAAACACUAAAAAUAGACUUGUUGCCCCAAUCACUAUGGAGAUUUUCUUAUAACUGAAUAUGUAAGUGAAAAAACAUUUAAUCAGAAGGGAUAAAAAUAGAUCCCAAUCGAUGGAGGGACACAAAAUUCUUCAUUCGAAGGAUACUAACACCUUAAUGGUAUACAAACAUUUAAUCAGAAGGGAUAAAAGAAAUAAAAAAUUGAUACAUGAGAAGUAAUUGACAACCAAGCAAUAAGCAUAUGAUUCAGGGAUAGCCAAACAAGUAAUUGACAACCAAGCAAUAAGCAAUAAGCAUAUUGACAACCAAACAAAAUAUGUAAGUGAAAACAACAACAGUAAUUAAUCUAAGAACUGAUAAUCAGGGAUAGCCAUUGAUUAACACCUUAAUGUGUUUGAACCAUUGAUUAACCUAAGCAUUUGAUUAACCUAACCAUUUGAUUAACCUAAGCUAUGAUUCAAACACAUAUAUAUCCAGCUGUGUAUUCAAACACAUAUAUGAUUCAAACACAAGUAAUCUACCAUCAAUUAACAUAUAUGAUUCAAACACAUAUAUGAUUCAAACACAUAUAGGAAAUUCGAGCCAUGAACUUAGAAGAAAUGAACCUGAACUUUGACCUUACUACGAGAGGAAGAAGAAAGAGCUUGGGGACGGCAGCGCUUCGGGCUCGGGGACCGUGACGGCGGCCCUUGGGCUCAGGGACGAGGACGGCGGGGCUCGAGCUCGGGCUCGGGGACGGCGGGCGCUCGGGCUCGGUGAAGGGGACGGCGGCGCUCGGGCUCGGUCUCGGGGACGGCGUUGCUCGGGCGCUCGGGGACGGCGGCGCUCGGGCUCGGGGACUAGGACGGCAGGGCUCGAGCUCGGUGAAGGGGACGGCGUUGCUCGGGCGCUCGGGGACGGCGGCGCUCGGGCUCGGGGACGGGGACGGCGGCGCUCGGGCUCGGGGACAGGGACGGCGGCGCUCGAGCUCGAGGACGGGGACAGCGGCGCUCGGGUUCGUGCUCGGGGCGGGGACACAGCGGCAGCCUGGCGGCGCUCGGGUUCGUGCUCGGGCGGGAAGAGUUAGGGUUCCUGCCGACCAACGAGCUUUUUAUAUUGUAAAGAAUCACAGGCGGAUAUUUAGCAAAACCGCCUGUGAUAGACAACAUCACAGGCGGUUGUUAAUUCCGACCGCCUGUGAUAAAUUAACUUCACAGGCGGUCGAUAUAAAAAACUGCCUGUGAUGUUAUCUAUCACAAGCGGUUUUGCUAAAUAUCCGCCUGUGAUGUGUGUACACUAUAAAAGGGCUAGCCCCCGACGGGUUCCAGAACCCUAACUCGCAGAACCCUAAUUCACAGCACUAGCGACGGCGGUUUUUUUAGAUCUAGAGGGAGAAGGUUUUGUUUUUGAGUUUAUUGAUUGAUUUCAAUAUGUUUUUGAGUUUAUUGAUUGAUUUCAAUAGUUUAUGCAUAUAUAUGAUCUCCAUUUGUUUUCUUUCUCAUUUUGAUGCGAUUUUUUUGCCUUAAUUUUGUAAUAUAGAACAGAUUUGAAGAAAAGCUUUGGAAUUCAAGAUUUGGACUUAUAAUAGUUGAUCUAGUUUAAAGAUUCUUUAAAAACACAAUUGUCUCACCUCAAGGUAUCUAUUGUUGCAAUGUUUGUUUUAUUUUCAUACAUAUCAAUUCGUUUCAUGUUUUAUGGAUGAAUUCAAUUAAUUAAUGAUUUUAUUGAUGUUAAUCAAUAUAAGGAUAGGUAAUGGACCGAGGUUGGAUGUACAAUGUGUCAAGACCACAUCCGUUGUAUAUUCGAAAUUUGAGAAGCUUUAUUGAAGCGGCCAAAAAGCACGCGAAUUUGCGAAAGAGAAGGAGAUAUUAUGUCCGUGCAUCGACUAUGAUAAUAAGAUAGCUUGGAGAGAUACAUGAGUAAUCCAAUUACAUCUGCUAAAAAGAGGGUUUAAAAACAAUUACACGAUAUGGUCAGAACAUGGUGAGUUGGAUCCGUGUGAAGUGCCUGGUAAUGACGAGAGAGUUGUCGGAAUUUUAGAUCUUAAAGUUGAUGGUAAAGUGGAUAAUGUGGAUGCUAAUCAAGAUUUUGAAGAAUUUGAUUGCAAAGAGAUGUUGCGCCAUAUGGAACCAGAAAUGUCGAGUUCUGUGGGAUCGCAGAAAGCGCUAUCUAAAAUGGAGGGACUGGAAAGUGCUUCAAAAGAACCUUUAUAUGAUGAAUCAAAGGGUUGUGACAAAGAGUUUACUACACUGUGUACAGUUCUAGAACUUCUGAAGUUGAAGGCUAGCGCCGGAUGGUCUGAUACUAGCUUCACAGAUCUUUUGAAUUUUCUGUCCCAAUUACUACCAAAACCCAACAAACUACCAACAAGCACUUAUAAAGCGAAGAAGCUUAUAUCUCCCAUAGCUCUGGGUGUGCAAAAAAUUCAUGCAUGUCCGAACCAUUGUAUUCUGUAUCGUGGCGAUUUUGAGAACGCAUCAAGAUGCCCAGUUUGCAAUGUCAGUCGAUACAAGAAGAGCUACAAUCAAGACUGUGUAAAAAAAUUCCCAAAGAAAAAUACAAACAAGAAAUCCACUAUUGGACCUGAAAGUGACGAUGACACUUUUGAUGACAUGGAUGGGAAAAAGAAGUCAAAGAACCCAGCUUUGGUGAUGUGGUAUCUUCCAGUAAUUGAUCGCUUAAAACGUUUGUUCUCAAAUCCUAGGGAGGCUGAGCUUAUGCGUUGGCAUGCUGAAAAUCGCAAGCAGAAUAACAAACAGAUUCGACACCCUGCUGAUGCAUCACAAUGGAAAAAUUUCGAUCUUAUGUAUCCUGAGUUUGCCAAAGAAACCAGAAAUGUAAGAUUUGCUUUGGUUACAGACGGAAUGAAUCCAUUUGGUGAAAAAAGAAGUGUACAUAGCACCUGGCCCGUGACUUUAACGAUGUACAACCUUCCAUCAUGGCUGUGUCACAAAAGAAAGUACAUUAUGUUGACUAUUCUUAUUCAAGGUCCGAAAUCAGCUGGUGUUGAUAUUGAUGUGUUCCUAGAACCUCUUAUGGAAGAUAUGACAAAGCUCUGGAAUGAAGGAGUUAGAAUAUGGGAUGAGUAUUGCCAUGAGUAUUUCAACUUAAGAGCAAUUAUAUUUGUUACCAUCCAUGAUUCUCCCGGUGGCGCCACACUAUCAGGGCAAAAGACUAAAGGAAAGAAUGGUUGUGUAGUGUGCGUCGAUGGAACUGCUUCCAUGUACCUUAAAUCAUCCAAGAAGUUGGUGUUCAUGGGACACAGACGGUUCUUGAUGAAGCAGCAUAAGUACCGAAAGAUGAAAGCGGAAUUUAACAAUCAACUGGAAAGUGAAGGUGCACCAAAGCCUUAUAGUGGGAAACUUGUUUUUGAAAUUGUAAAGAACAUUCAUGUUGUAUUCGGAAAGGGAAAAAACAAAGGAGAAAAGAGAAAGAGAACUGACCCUUCAACUUACACAACUUUCAAGAAGCAAUCAAUUUUUUUCAAGUACCUCCCGUACUGGAAGGAUAUGGAAAUUUGCCACAACAUUGAUUUGAUGCAUGUAACAAAAAAUGUUUUUGACAGCAUCAUUGGAACCUUGUUGGGCAUGCCGAGUAAGACAAAAGACGGACUCAAAUCACGCAAUGAUCUAGUAGAUCUUCAAAUCAGACCGGAACUUCAUCCAGUGGAUAGUGGCAAAGGGAAGCCUUACCUCCCCCCAGCUAGCUACAACUUGUCAGUUGAGGAGAGAACAAGAUUUGCAAAUGUUUGCGUGGGGUCAAAGUGCCCACAGGUUUCUCAUCCAAUAUCAGCAGACUAGUCAGGAUGAAGGACUUGUCUCUAUUUGGCUACAACUCUCAUGACUGCCAUGUGAUGAUGAUGGUGUUCCUCCCAAUUGCGGUAAGAGCCCUCGAAACAGAGCAUGUCAAAGUUGUCAUCACACGCUUGUGUUACUUUUUCAAUGCGGUUUCACAAAAAGUAAUAGCUUUAGAAGACUUGGACUAUCUAAAGGCAUACAUCAUCGAGACUAUGUGCAAGCUUGAAAUGUGUUUUCCUCCAUCAUUUUUUGAUAUGCAAGUACACCUAAUCAUACAUCUCGUGGAUCAGAUAAAAAUAUUAGGGCCACUAUAUUUACAUCAUAUGUUUCAGUUGGAGCGAUACCUGGGAGUAUUAAAAGGUUAUGUGCGAAAUCGCGCUCACCUAGAGGGUUCAAUCAUGGAGGGAUACACUACAGAAGAAGUGAUUGAGAGCUGUAUAGAUUACAUCAGUGACGGAACAAUGAUAGGUGUGCCUGUACCUAAACAUGAGGGUAAACUAUGUGGGAGAGGGAGAAUGGGCAAGAAAACUUUUCGCGUUGAGGAUUACAAGCUAGUACAUUGUGCUCAUGGUAGUGUUCUACAACAUCUCACGAUAGCCGAGCCUUACAUAGAGGAAUACCUGGAUGAGCUUCGUAAAGAAAAUCAGAACCGCACAGAGGACUGGAUCAUGAGGGAGCACAAACAUCGUUUCAGCGAAUGGUUAAUGGACAAAAACAUCCCAUUCAGAGACUCUUUGGAAGAGAAAACAAUGAAGAAUUUGGCUUCUGGGCCAUCGUGUUUUGUGACAUCAUGGCAAGCAUAUGACAUCAAUGGGUACACAUUCUACACUAAAUCAAAAGACAUGAAAAGUGUUACACAAAAUAGCGGUGUUCGUAUCGAUGCUUUUGACCUACAUGGACAGAAGACCACAUAUUUUGGAUUCAUAGAGGAAAUAUGAGAACUUGAUUAUGGCCCAAGCAUGAAAAUACCCUUAUUUAAGUGCCAAUGGGUACAACAUCCCGUGGGGGUGAUAGUGGAUAACUACGGACUCACACUGGUAGACUUAAAGAAAGUAGGAUAUAAAGAUGACCCGUUGGUUCUCGCCGAAUGUGUUGCACAAGUGUUCUAUGUACUCGAUCCAGCAGAUGAGAAGAUACAUGUAGUUAUUUCUGGAAAGCAACAAAUUGUUGGAGUUGAGAAUGUAGGAGACCAAGAUGAGGAAUACAAUAAGUAUGAAGAGAUGUUCGUCUUUAACGGUCCAGAGAGAAUCAAGCGUGUGGAAAAGAAAAUUGAUAAGAACUUAAAGCCAUACAUGCGGAAAAAUGGUAGUUCAUGAAAAAUUGUAUGAAUCAAAUUGUAUUUGUUAUCAUGUAUGAUCGACUAUGAAUUGUGGUUGCCAAUUAAUUUAAAAUCUCUCUAGUUAUCUAUGUGUGCUAUUAUAAUUCAUUUAAAUUGUAUUUGCAUAUUAUUGUUAAAAAUUAAAUAUUAAUUCAUUUAAAUUGUAUUUGCAUAUUUCUGUUAAAAAUUAAAAUAAUUUUCAUAUUUAAAUUGUAUUUUCAUAUUUUUACAAUCACAUGCGGUUUUUUCUUAGGGUCCGUUUGUGAAAAGGAUAGAGCACCACAGGCGGUCCUAAACAAAAACCGCUUGUGAUACUAUUACAUCACAGGCGUACUGAACCGACUGGGACAUCACAAGCGGUUUUCUAAUCGAACCGCCUGUGAUGUAAAAAGCCUACCGCUUGUAUAGAGCCAAAUUGUACUAGUGAGAUUCUCAUGAUAAUUAGAUUAUUUAGAAAUUUAGAUUAUCAGAAAAGCUCUUUAGAAAAAAAAAAUAAAGCUGUCUCAAACAUCCUCAUGGACUGUUAAGUACAGGGACGAAUAAAAUACAGCUUCGACUGCAUGCGUAUGUUUAGGGUAACAUGGAAGAAACAGCGACGACGCUGCAGGCUGCGUGCAGCUCCAGCUACCUGCAUGUUCGUUGAUUCAGCGCUAAACCAAACGCGUGACCUGCCAGUUGUGUAAGCAAUGCAAAUUGAGUUAUUGUCAAUUGCACUAAUGAUUGUCAACGCCAUAGAACCACUCAGAUUUUCAGAUCGUCUUACCAUAGACAAAGGCUUAAUCUGACCACGCAGACGCAGUCAAGCAGGAAGUGCUGCCAUGCCAGCCAUGCUCGAGCUCAAUCAUCAUGAGGCCUCGCGUCGUCACGACGGAGAUGGAAUUAUCUAGUCUAGCUAUGAACUAUCUAUCACACGAAAUCCGCAUUGGCGCGUGCUGUAAUAGCUGCAAGUAGUAUUGGCACUGGGGGCAUAUCGAGCUCCUGGAGGCCCUCAAGAACGCGGACAACGUCAGCCAUGGUCGGCCGGUCGCACUCGUCGUCUUGGAUGCACCAGAACGCGACUUUGCACAGCCUCUCCGCCUCCUCCAGGCUGAGGUCUCCCUGCUGAGAGCCUGCGGCGGCGUGUUCCUCUGCCCGGACACGAUCUCCAGGACCACCAUGCCAAAGCUGUAGACGUCCACCUUGGGCGUGAUGGGGACCCCGCUCAGCCACUCCGGGGCGAGGUACCCUGCUGUCCCCCGGAACGUGGUCAGGACCCGGCUGAAGUCUCGGCCGACGAACGCCGCCAUCCCGAAGUCCGCGAUCUUGGGCGCGAAGGACGCAUCGAGGAGGAUGUUCUCCGGCUUGAUGUCGCAGUGGAUGAUGCACUCGCGGUAGCUCUGGUGUAGGUAGCACAGUCCUCUUGCGACCCCGACGGUGAUCCUGUACCUCUUGCUCCAAUCCAGCGCAGUGGCGACGGCGACGGCGUUGCUAUGCUGGAACAGAUGCGCGUCGAGGGAGCCGUUCACCACGUGCUCGUACAAAAGCAGCCUCUUGUCGCCUUCGCAGCAAAAGCCGAUCAGUCUGACCAGGUUCCUAGGUAGAUAACAUACCAGUGAGGGAUUGAAAGCAAUGGAGAUCAAAGUUAUGAGCUUGUAAGAGAUCAAUGCCAGUACAGCUAGGGGAAGGGGAGAGUUGCUAGGAGAUAACAUGCAUCAAAUACCAGAUAGUUGCUUGUGAGAAAAAAUUUAUGGAAAAAAUGCCCUUGAAUAUAACAGGUAAUGGAUAUCCUAGUUUGAAAACAAGUAAUCAGAUUGUGACCACUUUUCUCUAGUAUUUAUACCUCCAUUUUUUCACAGUUGCAGCAACAUGGCGUCAUGUCAUGCUCAUGCAAAGGGCAAUACUUCUAGCCCUAGAAUGUGUGGGCUCUGUACUCUAUCAAGCCACUCAUUUUUGUUAGGAUCUGUACAAAUACUAAUGCAUAUGCAAUUUAUCAGUAUGUGGUGCAGAUCAUUCAGGUUUCCGAGGAAGCCUUACAAACUGAAGGGAGACAUCACAGUUUGGAUGAUGCAGCUCUUUGUAGCACAACUUGUGGUAUGAAUUUGUACCCAACAAGGUGUCCGUGACAAAUACAAGAAAAAACAAACAGUCGAUCAAAAAUCCACCAAACUAACAAACACGAAACAGGAGGCACGGCGAAACCAGGACUAGUUCUUAGUUCAUGUCAUUUGAUAAAGAGUAUUUGUUUCAUUUCUGUAGAAGUACAAAACAUCUGUUGUUUUAUAUCAGCAGUGAUCAGAAAUUCAAGCCUGCAUUACUUCAUUUCAGUACCUUUACAUUUCAUAUCCGUGGCAAAUUUCUUCAUAAGAAAAUUUGUGUCUAAAAUUUGCUGAUAUGACGAGAUAUAAUAUGGUGGGAUUUUUAUCUCCGCCAAAACUUGACUUUACUGGCUGAACGAACCCAGACAGAAGGAAAUCCCAAAUGGCCAUUUUCCUUGAGUUGAACCAGCCUCAUAAUAUUAUAUCUGAAAGGGAAAUAGGCUUACACCUUUUCCUAAUUGAUUUUGGUGGUUGAAUUGCCCAACACAAAUAAUUGGACUAACUAGUUUGCUCUAGACUAUAAGUUCUACAGGUGACAAAGGUUCACAAUAAACCAAUAAAAAGACCAAGAAAGGGUUCAAACAAAGAGAGCAAAAGACAACCGAAGUGUGCCAUGGUCUGGCGCACCGGACUGUCCGGUGUGCCACCGGACAGUGUCCGGUGCACCAGGGGAUUCCAGCCUGAACUUGCCACCUUCGGGAAUUCUAGGAGCCGCUCCGCUAUAAUUCAUUGGACUGUCCGGUGUAGCACCGGACUGUCUGGUGUGCCAGCGGAGUAACUACAGCGCCAACGGUCGUCUGCACUAGCAGUUAAUGCGCUACAGUGCGCGCAGAAGUCAGAGCAGAGCCAGAAGGCGCACCGGACAGUCUACAGGACCUGUCCGGUGCACCACCGGACUGUCUGGUGACCCAGAUGUCAGAAGCUCCAACGGUCAGAAUCCAACGACCGGGUGACGUGGCUGGCGCACCGGACAGUGUCCGGUGGCGCACCGGACUGUCCGGUGCGCCAUGCGACAGAAUCCCUCACCAACGGUUCUUUUGGUGGUUGGGGCUAUAAAUACCCCCAACCAACACACUUCAAUGCAUCCAAGUUUUCAGCCUUCAAACACCUUACAAGAGCUAUAGCAUUCAAUACAAGACACAAUCAAAGAGAUCAAAUCCUCUCCCAAGUCCAAAGAUCAUUCCAAUCAAAUAGUGACUCAUGAGAGAGAGACUUGUGUUCAUUUGAGCUUUUGCGCUUGGAUUGCUUUUCUUCUUCCUUCUUUCUUGUGUGUUCAACUCAAUUGUAACCAAGGCAAGAGACACCAAUUGUGUGGUGGUCCUUGUGGGGACUUAGUGUCCCGUUUGAUUGAGAAGAGAAGCUCACUCGGUCUAAGUGACCGUUUGAGAGAGGAAAAGGGUUGAAAGAGACCCGGUCUUUGUGACCACCUCAACGGGGAGUAGGUUUGCAAGAACCAAACCGCGGUAAAACAAAUCACCGUGUCAUCCGCCUUAUUUGCUUGUGAUUUGUUUUCGCCCUCUCUUUUGGACUCAAAUUUAAUUCUAAUGCUAACCCCGGCUUGUAGUUGUGCUUAAAGUUUGUAAAUUUCAGAUUCUCCCUAUUCACCCCCCUCUAGGCGACUUUCAAUUGGUAUCAAAGCCCGAUACUUCAUUAGAGCCUAACCGCUCGAAGUGAUGUCGGGAGAUCACGCCAAGAAGAAAAUGGUGACCGACGAGAAGCCCGCCACAAGCCAUGGGAAGGCUCCAUCCGGGGAGUCCGACAACAAGGUGAAGGGAUCCCCUUCACACGACAAGUCGCGUCGGAGCGGCAAGAAGAAAAAGAAGAUGAAGAAAGUCGUCUACUACGAGACCGACUCUUCAUCGCCAUCCACCUUCGGCUCCGACACGCCGUCCGUCACUUCUAAGCGCCAUGAGCGCAAGAAGUUUAGUAAGAUCCCCUUACGUUAUCCUCGCAUUUCCAAACACACCCCUUUACUUUCCGUCCCACUAGGCAAACCACCGGUUUUUGACGGUGAAGAUUAUUGUAUGUGGAGUGAUAAAAUGAGGCACCAUCUAACCUCACUCCACGCUAGCAUUUGGGACAUUGUUGAGUUUGGUGCACAGGAACCAUCCGUGGGGGAUGAAGGCUAUUACUCGGAUGAAGUAGCUCAAAUCCGACACUUCAACUCCCAAGCCACCACUAUACUCCUCGCCUCUCUAAGUCGAGAGGAGUAUAACAAGGUGCAAGGGUUGAAGAGCGCCAAAGAGAUUUGGGAUGUACUCAAGACCGCGCAUGAAGGAGACGAGGUGACCAAGAUCACCAAGAGGGAAACGAUCGAGGGGGAGCUCGGUCGCUUCAUGCUUCACCAAGGGGAGGAUCCACAAGCCAUGUACAACCGGCUCAAGACCUUGGUGAACCAAGUGCGCAACCUCGGGAGCACUAAAUGGGAUGACCAUGAAAUGGUCAAGGUUAUUCUUAGAUCACUCGUAUUUCUUAAUCCCACUCAAGUUCAAUUAAUUCGUGGUGAUCCUAGAUAUAAGCUAAUGUCUCCCGAGGAAGUUAUAGGCAAAUUUGUGAGCUUUGAGUUGAUGAUCAAAGGCUCCAAGAAAAUCAUCGAGCAAGGCGCCUCCUCCACACCCGAUGUACAACCCGUUGCAUUCAAGGCAACGGAGGAGAAGAAGGAAGACUCUACACCUAGUAGGGUCCCCAUCGACGCCUCCAAGCUUGACAAUGAGGAGAUGGCGCUCAUCAUCAAGAGCUUUCGCCAAAUCCUAAAGCAAAGGAGGGGGAAGGACUACAAGCCCCGCUCCAAGAAAGUUUACUACAAGUGUGGUAAGUCCGGUCAUUUUAUUGCAAAAUGUCCAUUAUCAAGUGAUAGUGACAGGGGCGACGACAAGAAGGGAAAGAGAAGAGAGAAGAAGAGAUAUUACAAGAAGGGCAACGAUGCCCAUGUUUGCCGGGAGUGGGACUCCGACGAGAGCUCCACCGACUCCUCCUCCGACGAGGACGUCGCAAACAUCACCGUCACCAAGGGCCUUCUCUUCCCCAACGUCGGCCACAAGAGCCUCAUGACAAAGGACGGCAAGAAGAAGGUAAAAUCUAGAUCCUCCACUAAGUAUGCAACAUCUAGUGAUGAGGCUAAUUCUAGUGAUGAUGAGGAUGAUUUAUUAACACUUUUUGCCAACCUAAACAUGCAACAAAAGGAGAAAUUAAAUGAAUUAAUUAGUACUAUUCAUGAUAAGGAUGAACUCUUAGAUAGUCAAGAGAACUUCCUAAUUAAAGAAAAUAAAAAGCAUGUUAAGGUUAAAAAUGCUUAUGCUCUAGAGGUAGAAAAAUGUGAAAAAUUAUCUAGUGAGCUAAGCACUUGCCAUGAUAUUAUUUCCAACCUUAGAAAUGAAAAUGCCAAACUAAUUGCUAAGGUUGAGAAAUCAAGUGUUGAUGAUGAUUCAAUUGACAAUCUUAGAAAUGAUAAUGCUAGUUCAAUUGCUAAAAUUGAAAAAUUGAAUGCCUCUCUUGCUAGCCUUAGAAAUGAGAAUGAAAAAUUAAUUGCUAAGACUAAGGAAUUAAAUGUUUGCAAUGUUUCAAUUUCCUAUAUUAGAGAUGAGAAUGACAUUUUACAUGCUAAGAUUGUUGAACUAAAUUCUUGCAAACCCUCUACAUCUACCGUUGAGCAUGUUACUAUUUGCACUAGAUGUAGAGAUGUUAACAUUGAUGCUAUUCAUGAUCACAUUACUAUGAUUAAACAACAAAAUGAUCAUAUAGCAAAUUAGAUGCUAAAAUUGCCGAGCAUUAAUUAGAAAAUGAAAAAUUUAAAUUUGCUCGUAGUAUGCUCUAUAGUGGGAGACGCCGUGGCAUUAAGGAUGGCAUUGGCUUCCAACAGGGAGGCAAUGUCAAACUCAAUGCCCCUCCUAAAAGAUUAUCUAAUUUUGUUAAGGGCAAGGCUCCCAUGCCUCAGGAUAACAAGGGUUACAUUUUAUACCCUACCGGUUAUCCCGAGCACAAAAUUAGGAGAAUUCACUCUAGGAAGUCUCACUCUGGCUCUAAUCAUGCUUUUAUGUAUAAGAGUGAGGCAUCUAGUUUUAGGCAAUCAACCCGUGCUAAAUUGACUAAGAAGAAAACUCCUAUUGCAUCAAAUUAACCUAAUAUUUCAUUUAAGACUUUUGAUGCAUCUUAUGUGCUUACUAACAAAUCAGGCAAAGUAGUUGCCAAAUAUGUUGGGGGCAAACACAAGGGGUCAAAGACUUAUGUUUGGGUACCCAAGGUGCUUGUUUCUAAUUUCAAAGGACCCAAGACCGUUUGGGUACCUAAGAACAAGGCCUAAAAUUGUUUUGUAGGUUUAUGCAUCUAGGAGCUCAAGUUGGAUCAUCGAUAGCGGGUGCACAAACCACAUGACAGGGGAGAAGAAGAUGUUCUCCUCCUAUGAGAAAAACCAAGAUCCCCAAUGAGCGAUCACAUUCGGGGAUGUGAAUCAAGGUUUGGUCAAAGGAUUGGGUAAAAUCGCUAUAUCUCCUGACCAUUCUAUUUCCAAUGUUUUUCUUGUAGAUUCUUUAGAUUACAAUUUGCUUUCUGUUUCUCAAUUAUGCAAAAUGGGCUAUAACUGUCUUUUUACGGAUAUAGGUGUUACUGUCUUUAGAAGAAGUGAUGAUUCAGUAGCAUUUAAGGGAGUGUUAGAGGGUCAGCUAUACUUAGUAGAUUUUGAUAGAGCUGAACUCGACACUUGCUUAAUUGCUAAGACUAACAUGGGUUGGCUCUAGCACCGUCGACUAGCUCAUGUUGGGAUGAAGAAUCUUCAUAAGCUUUUAAAGGGAGAGCACAUUUUGGGACUAAUCAAUGUUCAUUUUGAGAAAGACAGGGUUUGUAGCACAUGUCAACCAGGGAAGCAAGUCAGUGUUCAUCAUCCACACAAAAACAUCAUGACGACUGACAGGCCGCUUGAACUACUCCACAUGGACCUAUUCGGCCCGAUCGCUUACAUAAGCAUCGGCGGGAGUAAGUACUGUCUAGUUAUUAUGGAUGAAUAUUCUCGCUUCACUUGGGUGUUCUUUUUGCAGGAAAAAUCACAAACCCAAGAGACAUUAAAAGGAUUCUUGAGACGGGCUCAAAAUGAGUUCGGCUUAAGGAUCAAAAGAUUAGAAGCGAUAACGGGACAGAGUUCAAGAACUCACAAAUCGAAAGCUUUCUUGAGGAGGAGGGCAUCAAGCAUGAGUUCUCUUCUCCCUACACACCACAACAAAAUGGUGUAGUGGAGAGGAAGAAUAGAACUCUAUUGGACAUGGUAAGGACCAUGCUUGAUGAGUACAAGAUUUCGGACCGGUUUUGGGCGGAAGCGGUCAACACCGCUUGCUACGCCAUCAACCGGCUAUAUCUUCACCGAAUCCUCAAGAAGACAUCUUAUGAACUCCUAACCGGUAAAAGCCCAAUGUUUCAUAUUUUAGAGUCUUUGGUAGCAAAUGUUUUAUUCUUGUUAAAAGAGGUAGAAAAUCUAAAUUUGCUCCUAAGGCUGUAGAAGGCUUUUUACUAGGAUAUGAUUCAAACACAAGGGCCUAUAGAGUCUUUAACAAGUUAUCUGGACUAGUUGAAGUUUCUUGUGACAUUGUGUUUGAUGAGACUAACGACUCUUCUCACACCCGGGUUUUAGGGGACCAAAGCCCGGGCGCAAACAUAAUCACCAGGUGUGCUGGGACCAAGUCUCACACAUAUGAUGAAUCAUGGCACAGGAUCGAAUGUCACAUCUUUACUACAUAACAGGAGUUCUAUACAAAAUAAAUAAAUAAUUACAUUAUAAGGAGACAACGGUCCAGCAACCCCAAAGUUGACUGGGAGACGACGACCUAGACCUCUCACGAACACAUCACGACAUCCUCCAAGCGCCUCAUCCUGCGGUACCUGUUCUUGACCUGUGGGGGGGUGUGAGACAGCAAGAGUGAGCUCACAUACGUUCAUCGCUCAACAAGUUGUGGGGAAUAAUGUGCAUGAACUCGCCAAAGGUGGGAGCUCACGUGAAGUGUAAGGCUUACCAAAGAGAAUGGUUAGAGCUGAGCAUUGCUUUUAAAGUUGGUCAAAAUUUUAUUAGCAAUUACUAAGUAUAAGUAAAUACCAACCCAAUUAAGUAGUAGAACAAAAGUAACAACCUCACCUGCGAUGCAAUGCAUAUGACAAAUUGAGUUUAAGUUCCAUAAUUUAAUCAUGUGAGUGUCCGAGCUGCUCAUGACCGUGAGCACGACUAGUAUACCAGUUUUACACUCUGCAGAGGUUGCACAUCUUUACCCACAAGUCAGGUUACCCAUCUGCCAAGGGAUCGCGACUUCCCAUACACCUCUACCGAGGAGGUGAGGCAGGGUAACACUACGAGGCCUUUACAAAGUUCCACUAGCUUCAGAAAACCCGCUACAGUUUAUAGGAAGCUCCAAUGCAGGAAUCCCUUGCAGGACCGCCAUCGCAACAAAAUCCUCCCGAGGGCCUCCCUACACUGACCACUCCCCUACUGCCCUUGCCCCUUUCGGGUAAGGUAGUCUUCCACUAGCUUUCCUAAUUAAUCGGCCAAGGGCAUUCCAUUAAACCCUUGUGGUAGCACUGUUUUCCCGGGUGGUUCUCCAUGUUCCAAUUAACAUAAUGAUCUUAUCAUGAACAAUAAAUAGCAACUGAUAACAAAAGUAUGAAUAAUAUGUAUCUCAAUGCCCAAAUCCACAUAUAGCACUAGCAAGUACUACCCAGAAAGUUUAGUGGUAAACAAGGCAUAAAGAUAGACAAACUAGGGUAACCUAUUGGGUCCCAUCAAAAUUAACCUAUGCAGAUCAUUAUGAUUAAUUAGAACAUGAGUGGGUAAAAGAAGUGAUCAAGGGCACAACUUGCCUGGGACUUGAGAUUCCAGAUACCAGGAUGAUCUUCAGAUGACUCGCGACCUCACGCUAGUCGUAGCAAUACAAACAAGCAUGGUAUCUACAAAAUUAACAUCACACCAAACAUAAGAAUAAACUACGUAAUAAUAAUCUACGCGUUUCUACGAGAUCGUAGGAACAAGAAUCACUAAAUUUGGAGGUAUAGAUUUUAAGUUAUGGAUUUUCUAAGGUUUUAUACAUUUAAUAUAAGAUUAAGUGGGAAAUAAAUUUAAAUGUGCAUUUCAUGUAAAAACAGUGGUACUAUUUAAUAGAUAAUAAUAUUACCAAAUUAUAGGAACUGGAAUGGUCCAAUUUGGAGUUCAUAUGCAUUUUCUAUGAAUUAAACUAGUUUCUGCAAUUAAAUUUAUACUAAAAACCAUUUUCUAAACUAUUUUCCUGGUUUUAUUAAUUAUCUGGACUAGGCCUCGAAUACUAAAAACUGCAGGGGCUAGCGGGUAAUUUAAACUAGACUCAGUGAAUAAUACCCACAGGAUGGCGGGUUAGUUAUCUAAUAACCGAAGGGCUCAUUUGCAAUUCAGCCAGCGAAGCGGUAUCGGCUCCUGUGAGCCGCCCGAUCGGUGCUCAACGGCUCUGGUUUAAUGAAUCGAAGGGGGUACGGCAUCAACUAAUCUCAGCCACCAGAAAUCGGUCCAACGGUGAGGAUCAUGGUUGUGUGAACGAGUACGCUUGCUCAAUCUAAGCCAUCCAUGGGUCGAUCUACGGCCCUAGACCUUUCACUAAGCUUCCACCGAGACCGACCAUGGCGGCCUCCGCACUGGCGGCAGUGCCACGACCGCCCAUGGAUGACCGGUUUUCCCCACGUCCGAGUUUGACUGAUGGUCCAUGGAAUCGUAGAGGUGACAACGGAUUCGAGCUGGAACUACUUGUCACUAACCAUCCCGAGCUGAGGCCGUUUUACCGCGUGCGACGGCGACCUCGCCAUACCGACACCGACGAUAGGUGCCCCAGCACACCCGAAGCCCGAUUGACAAAUUCCGAGAACGCUACACUAUGCGCAGAGCAUCACGAAUCGCUAGGUAGAGCACCUACCCGAGAUAGAGGUACAAAAUCACGUGCCCACGUAGACCACCGCACAGCGGCAGAAUCCCUGCUCCGUCGAGCAAUUGCCGGUGACCAAGCUCCCACCGAUGGGUUAAUCCGGGCGCGAACGAGCGAGAAGAAGCAGGGGUAGACUCACGAUGAUCGGAGCAGCGAAUGCGGAUUUCCCUGAUUCCCCGGCGGCGCGAUUCGAGCUCCCCACUGCUCCCUCUCUCUCGGGCAACGGCGAUGGCGACGGACUGGAUGAGGUGAGAAGAGGAGGUCGCAGGCCCAAUUUAUAGCCCGGGGGCGAGGGUAUUCAUGGCCGACCCCGUCUGGAGGUCUGCGCGGCGAAGAUCUUGGCCACGCGCAACGAUCCGCAUCAAAUCGCAGUCCCCAAAUUCUCUCUCUGUUUGUUGCCGUGAAAAUCGCUGUCGUUGAAGAUGAAGCACCUGCUCCGUAGUCCCACCAAUCAGCGGUUCAAUGAGCUGAGGCAAGCGCGUCGCCAGAUAGGACCCAGCCCCGAGCGAUUCCUACGCAGCCGCGGUUCCACUGGACAGACGCCUGGGAGCGACGCCCGCGCGACUCGAGAGAGGGAAGAAGAAGCAGUGCGGCGCGGCCAGGUGGGUGAGGCUGGAAUGGGGGCCCCACAUGGCGGUGUACCAGGGCACGGAAGCAGCGGCGUGGGCUGCGCAGAGCUAUGGAAUUGGGCCGAGAUUGCAGCCGCAGGCCCAAUUAUCUCUUCCUUUCUUCUUUUUUUUAUAUUUUUGGUUUCCCUUUUCUUUUAUUCUCUUUUCUUUCUUAUUCUUGAAUUCAAAUUUGAAUUCAAAUCUCUAUUGUGAAUUUGUACUUUAGAUUAAAUAUUCAAACCAAAUAUUCCAAUAUGAAAAGGUACAUUUAGUUAUAUAUUUUUCUAUAUACCUUAUAUACUCUCUUUUUCCUCAAAUCCUCUUCUCGUUAUUAUUUUUUUUCAUGUUAUUAUUUAUUUAUUUUUAUUGUCACAAAAUGCACACCAAAUAAAGUCCAGCAUGAUGCACAGGUUAUUUAUGUGUUCUUGGUUCUAAUUAUCCUCUUUUAACUAGUGCUGAUUAUAUGUAAUGAAUAGUAGAGACCACAAACUAUUGAGAUUAUCUCUAUCCUCUUCUAUUACACUUUUGAGUAUUACAAAUCCUACCCCCCUUAACAGAAAUCUCGUCCUCGAGGUUUGUAAGGAAAGGGAUGUAAUAGGUUUGGUCUAGAAUUUUAGUUUCUCAUUUGGUUUUGGGAAUCAAAGUUUUGUUCAAGUUUUUUUUUAACAGUUAGUAGAUGAUAUGAAUAUUGUAUGUCUAGAUAUUCAUUAGGUCAGGUACGGUUAUGGCAAGUAGAGGUUGUGGCAAGGGUAUAAUAAGGAAAGACUUCAUCCUAAACUAUGGAUAUUGAUUCCGCUGGCGAUUCAACUUGAUCUUUGAAGUCUUGAGUUGAUGCUUAUCCUUCUUUGACAUGGUUGGUCUUCUUUGGCCUUUAUUUCUUGGAGUUGUCAUCCGAGUUAAGGACAUAUGGCUAGGACAUAUGUGAGUAGGAUGGAUUGUAUGGUGUAGGUAGGUUAGAAUCUCUUGCUAGGUUAAAAUUGUGGGGUUAUGCAACUAUUGGAUGGUUAAGGUAGUUGCAUAUGGCCAAGUCGAUCUGUCAUUCUUAAUUUAAUGCAGGGUGAACUAAGUUAAGACCCGUUCUAUAGGAGUAGAGUCUAAUCUAUUUCAUCAGUAUUAUCUAACAUGUUUGAUAAAUCACUUUAGAUUAGAUCAGAUCUAGGUUAGAUUGGUGUGACUAGUUUGACUAGAUAAGAUCUUAUUUAUUUUAGGCUAGAUCAUGGUUGUUACACUAGCGUGGGAUAAAUGUGCUUAUUGGGGUAAGGUGAAUCCAUAAGGAUAAGGUAGAAUCUUUUGAGGUCAGAUAGAUCUAUUAGGAUAAGAUAAAUCUUUUCAAGAUAAGAUGAGAAUCUAUUUUUUUUAGGAUAAGAUGGAUCUAUGAGUGUAGGAUAGACUUUUUCAAGAUAAGAUGGAUUUUGCUAGGCUAGAUUCUUUGAUGAGGGAUAACCUAGUUCAUUUAGAUAUUUUAAUAACCAUUUUUUCUAUAUGUAUAUGCAGAUGUGAUUGUGGACAUUACUCCACAACUAAUCACACUCAAUCAAAGAUCCAAAUCAAACAAGUAUCAUAAGAACAAACAUUCAAGCAUACAAAUACCUAUAAAAAUAGUUUUGUUUUUAUUCCUAAGAGUAGGUCUCCUAUUCCUAAAGUCACUUUAGGCACAGGAUUUCAAAGUGUGAAAUCCACAUUUGUCUUUAGAAUGAAAAGGUAAGAAUAAUCAGAGUAAAGCGGAAAUAGAUGAGAAAAGUUUAGAAAAGAAUCAAAGUAGCAAGGGUAAGUAAAUAAUGGUUGUCCAGUUCUAUCUAGGUUUCGUCCUACAGUCAACAUUCCUCUGAUACCACUUCUGUCACACCCGGGUUUUAGGGGACCAAAGCCCGGGCGCGAACAUAAUCACCAGGUGUGCUGGGACCAAGUCUCACACAUAUGAUGAAUCAUGACACAGGAUCGAAUGUCACAUCUUUACUACAUAACAGGAGUUCUAUACAACAUAAAUAAAUAAUUACAUUAUAAGGAGACAACGGUCCAGCAACCCCAAAGUUGACUGGGAGACGACGACCUAGACCUCUCACGAACACAUCACGACAUCCUCCAAGCGCCUCAUCCUGCGAUACCUGUUCUUGACCUGUGGGGGGGUGUGAGACAGCAAUAGUGAGCUCACAUACGUUCAUCGCUCAACAAGUUGUGGGGAAUAAUGUGCAUGAACUCGCCAAAGGUGGGAGCUCACGUGAAGUGUAAGGCUUACCAAAGAGAAUGGUUAGAGCUGAGCAUUGCUUUUAAAGUUGGUCAAAAUUUUAUUAGCAAUUACUAAGUAUAAGUAAAUACCAACCCAAUUAAGUAGUAGAACAAAAGUAACAACCUCACCUGCGAUGCAAUGCAUAUGACAAAUUGAGUUUAAGUUCCAUAAUUUAAUCAUGUGAGUGUCCGAGCUGCUCAUGACCGUGAGCACGGCUAGUAUACCAGUUUUACACUCUGCAGAGGUUGCGCAUCUUUACCCACAAGUCAUGUUACCCAUCUGCCAAGGGAUCGCGACUUCCCAUACACCUCUACCGAGGAGGCGAGGCAGGGUAACACUACGAGGCCUUUACAAAGUUCCACUAGCUUCAGAAAACCCGCUACAGUUUAUAGGAAGCUCCAAUGUAGGAAUCCCUUGCAGGACCGCCAUCGCAGCAAAAUCCUCCUGAGGGCCUCCCUACACUGACCACUCCCCUACUGCCCUUGCCCCUUUCGGGUAAGGUAGUCUUCCACUAGCUUUCCUAAUUAAUCGGCCAAGGGCGUCCCAUUAAACCCUUGUGGUAGCACUGUUUUCCCGGGUGGUUCUCCAUGUUCCAAUUAACAUAAUGAUCUUAUCAUGAACAGUAAAUAGCAACUGAUAACAAAAGUAUGAAUAAUAUGUAUCUCAAUGCCCAAAUCCACAUAUAGCACUAGCAAGUACUACCCAGAAAGUUUAGUGGUAAACAAGGCAUAAAGAUAGACAAACUAGGGUAACCUAUUGGGUCCCAUCAAAAUUAACCUAUGCAGAUCAUUAUGAUUAAUUAGAACAUGAGUGGGUAAAAGAAGUGAUCAAGGGCACAACUUGCCUGGGACUUGAGAUUCCAGAUACCAGGAUGAUCUUCAGAUGACUCGCGACCUCACGCUAGUCGUAGCAAUACAAACAAGCAUGGUAUCUACAAAAUUAACAUCACACCAAACAUAAGAAUAAACUACAUAAUAAUAAUCUACGCGUUUCUACGAGAUCGUAGGAACAAGAAUCACUAAAUUUGGAGGUAUAGAUUUUAAGUUAUGGAUUUUCUAAGGUUUUAUACAUUUAAUAUAAGAUUAAGUGGGAAAUAAAUUUAAAUGUGCAUUUCAUGUAAAAACAGUGGUACUAUUUAAUAGAUAAUAAUAUUACCAAAUUAUAGGAACUGGAAUGGUCCAAUUUGGAGUUCAUAUGCAUUUUCUAUGAAUUAAACUAGUUUCUCCAAUUAAAUUUGUACUAAAAACCAAUUUCUAAACUAUUUUCCUGGUUUUAUUAAUUAUCUGGACUAGGCCUCGAAUACUAAAAACUGCAGGGGCUAGCGGGUAAUUUAAACUAGACUCAGUGAAUAAUACCCACAUGAUGGCGAGUUAGUUAUCUAAUAACCGAAGGGCUCAUUUGCAAUUCAGCCAGCGAAGCGGUAUCGGCUCCUGUGAGCCGCCCGAUCGGUGCUCAACGGCUCAGGUUUAAUGAAUCGAAGGGGGUACGGCAUCAACUAAUCUCAGCCACCAGAAAUCGGUCCAACGGUGCGGAUCAUGGUUGUGUGAACGAGUACGCUUGCUCAAUCUAAGCCAUCCAUGGGUCGAUCUACGGCCCUAGACCUUUCACUAAGCUUCCACCGAGACCGACCAUGGCGGCCUCCGCACUGGCGGCAGUGCCACGACCGCCCAUGGAUGACCGGUUUUCCCCACGUCCGAGUUCGACUGAUGUUCCAUGGAAUCGUAGAGGUGACAACGGAUUCGAGCUGGAACUACUUGUCACUAACCAUCCCGAGCUGAGGCCGUUUUACCGCGUGCGACGGCGACCUCGCCAUACCGACACCGACGAUAGGUGCCCCAGCACACCCGAAGCCCGAUUGACAAAUUCCGAGAACGCUACACUAUGCGCAGAGCAUCACGAAUCGCCAGGUAGAGCACCUACCCGAGAUAGAGGUACAGAAUCACGUGCCCACGUAGACCACCGCACAGCGGCAGAAUCCCUGCUCCGUCGAGCAAUUGCCGGUGACCAAGCUCCCACCGAUGGGUUAAUCCGGGCGCGAACGAGCGAUAAGAAGCAGGGGUAGACUCACGAUGAUCGGAGCAGCGAUUGCGGAUUUCCCUGAUUCCCCGGCGGCGCGAUUCGAGCUCCCCACUGCUCCCUCUCUCUCGGGCAACGGCGAUGGCGGCGGACUGGAUGAGGUGAGAAGAGGAGGUCGCAGGCCCAAUUUAUAGCCCGGGGGCGAGGGUAUUCAUGGCCGACCCCGUCCGGAGGUCUGCGCGGCGAAGAUCUUGGCCACGCGCAACGAUCCGCAUCAAAUCGCAGUCCCCAAAUUCUCUCUAUGUUUGUUGCCAUGAAAAUCGCUGUCGUUGAAGAUGAAGCACCUGCUCCGUAGUCCCACCAAUCAGCGGUUCAAUGAGCUGAGGCAAGCGCGCCGUCAGAUAGGACCCAGCCCCGAGCGAUUCCUACGCAGCCGCGGUUCCACUGGACAGACGCCUGGGAGCGACGCCCGUGCGACUCGAGAGAGGGAAGAAGAAGCAGUGCGGCGCGGCCAGGUGGGUGAGGCUGGAAUGGGGGCCCCACAUGGCGGUGUACUAGGGCACGGAAGCAUCGGCGUGGGCUGCGCAGAGCUAUGGAAUUGGGCCGAGAUUGCAGCCGCAGGCCCAAUUAUCUCUUCCUUUCUUCUUUUUUUUUUUAUAUUUUUGGUUUUCCCUUUUCUUUUAUUCUCUUUUCUUUCUUAUUCUUGAAUUCAAAUUUGAAUUCAAAUCUCUAUUGUGAAUUUGUACUUUAGAUUAAAUAUUCAAACCAAAUAUUCCAAUAUGAAAAGGUACAUUUAGUUAUAUAUUUUUCUAUAUACCUUAUAUACUCUCUUUUUCCUCAAAUCCUCUUCUCGUUAUUAUUUUUUUUUCAUGUUAUUAUUUAUUUAUUUUUAUUGUCACAAAAUGCACACCAAAUAAAGUCCAGCAUGAUGCACAGGUUAUUUAUGUGUUCUUGGUUCUAAUUAUCCUCUUUUAACUAGUGCUGAUCAUAUGUAAUGAAUAGUAGAGACCACAAACUAUUGAGAUUAUCUCUAUCCUCUUCUAUUACACUUUUGAGUAUUACAGCUCUCAAGUAGAGCAAGUUGAUCUUGAUGAGCUAGAUGAUGAAGAGGCUCCAUGCGUCGCGCUAAGGAACAUGUCCAUUGGAGAUGUGUGUCCUAAGGAAUUCGAAGAGCCUCCACAAACACAAGAUCAACCAUCUUCCUCAAUGCAAGCAUCUACACCAACUCAAGAUGAGGAUCAAGCUCAAGAUGAUGAUGAUGAAGAUCAAGGGGAGCCACCUCAAGAAGAGGACAAUGAUCAAGGGGGAGAUGUUAAUGAUCAAGGCAAGGAAGAUGAUGAGGGUCCAAGUCCGCCACACCCAAGAGUCCACCAAGCAAUCCAACGAGAUCACCCCGUGAACACCAUCCUCGGCGACAUUCAUAAGGGGGUAACCACUCGAUCUCGUGUUGCUCAUUUUUGUGAAUAUUACUCUUUUGUUUCCUCUAUUGAGCCACACAGGGUAAAGGAAGCACUUCAAGAUUCAGAUUGAGUGAUGGCGAUGCAAGAGGAGCUCAACAACUUCACAAGGAAUGAGGUAUGAGAUUUAGUUCCACGUCCUAAUCAAAAUAUUGUAGGAACCAAGUGGGUCUUCCGCAACAAGCAAGAUGAGCAUGGUGUGGUGACAAGGAACAAUGUUUGACUUGUGGCCAAGGGAUAUUCACAAGUCGAAGGUUUGGAUUUUGGUGAAACCUAUGCACCGGUAGCUAGGCUUGAGUCAAUUCGCAUUUUACUUGCCUAUGCUACUUACCAUGGCUUUAAGCUUUACCAAAUGGACGUGAAAAGUGCCUUCCUCAAUGGACCAAUCAAGGAGGAGGUCUAUGUUGAGCAACCUCCUGGCUUUGCAAUAGUGAGUUCCCUAACCAUGUCUAUAAACUCUCUAAGGCGCUUUAUGGGCUCAAGCAAGCCCCAAGAGCAUGGUAUGAAUGCCUAAGAGAUUUUCUUAUCGCUAAUGGCUUCAAAGUCGAAAAAGCCGAUCCUACUCUCUUUACUAAAACACUUGCAAAUGAUUUGUUUGUAUGCCAAAUUUAUGUUGAUGAUAUCAUAUUUGGGUCUACUAACGAAUGUACAUGUGAAGAGUUUAGUAGGAUCAUGACUCAAAAAUUCGAGAUGUCUAUGAUGGGGGAGUUGAAGUAUUUUCUAGGAUUUCAAGUGAAGCAACUCCAAGAGGCCACCUUCAUUAGCCAAACGAAGUACAUUCAAGACAUACUCACAAAGUUUGGGAUGAAGGAUGCCAAGCCCAUCAAGACACCCAUGGGAACAAAUGGGCAUCUCGACCUUGACACAGGAGGUAAAUCUGUAGAUCAAAAGGAAUACCGGUCGAUGAUAGGUUCUUUACUCUAUUUAUGUGCUUCACGACCGGAUAUUAUGCUUUCCGUACGCAUGUGUGCAAGAUUCCAAGCCGAUCCUAAGGAAGUUCACCUUAGGGCCGUAAAACGAAUCUUGAGAUAUUUAGUUUAUACUCCUAAGUUUGGCCUUUGGUACCCCAGGGGAUCCACAUUUGAUUUAAUUGGUUAUUCCGAUGCUGAUUGGGCAGGGUGUAAAAUUAAUAGAAAGAGCACAUCAGGGACUUGCCAGUUCUUGGGAAGAUCUCUGGUGUCUUGGGCUUCGAAGAAGCAAAAUUCUGUGGCUCUUUCCAGCGCCGAAGCCGAGUAUAUUGUUGCAGGCUAUUGUUGCGCGCAACUGCUUUGGAUGAGGCAAACCCUCAGGGACUAUGGUUACAAAUUAACCAAAGUUCCUCUUCUAUGUGAUAAUGAGAGUGCAAUCCGCAUGGUGGAUAAUCCCGUUGAGCAUAGCCGCACUAAACACAUAGCCAUUCGGUAUCAUUUUUUAAGGGAUCACCAACAAAAGGGGAUAUCGAGAUUGCAUAUGUUAACACCAAAGAAUAAUUAGCCGAUAUCUUCACCAAGCCAUUAGAUGAGCAAACAUUUACCAAACUUAGGCAUGAGCUAAAUAUUCUUGAUUCUAGGAAUUAUGAUUGCUGUUUUGCACACAUAGCUCAUUUAUAUAUUUUUGAUCAUAUCUCUUUCUUUGCUAUGACUAAUGUGUUUUUCAAGUGUAUUUCAAGCUAAGUCAUAGAUUGAAAGGGAAAUGGAGUCUUCGGCGAAGACAAGGCUUCCACUCCACUCCAUCGAUUAUUCAUCUUUCGCCGUCGCUCCGCACCGCUCUCCAAUUUGGUAUAAUCUUCACUCAUAUGUUAUUUACCAUAGGGGGAGAAAGUAGUUAGAAGGGCUCUACUGACUCCAUUUUUGGCGAUUCAUGCCAAAGGGGGAGAAAGUAUUAGCCCAAAGCAAAAGGACCGCACCACCACCAAUUUCAAAAAAUUAGUCCUUCAAUUUAUAUUUAAAGUAGUGUUUUCAAAUUGGUAUCUUAUUAUUGAUAGAUUUUUCAAAAUGGUAAACCCUCUUCAAAAAUCUAUAUCUAAAACCCUCUUAAACACUAAGAGGAGGAUUUCAUUAAGGGGGGAGUUUUGUUUAGCCAAAGGAAAAACAUUUGAAACAGGGGGAGAAAAUUUCAAAUCUUGAAAAUGCUUCUCAAAAUCCUAUUCAUUUACCUUCGACUACUUUGCAAAAGACUUUGAAAAAAAAUUAUAAAAUAAUUUGCAAAAACAAAACAAGUGGUGCAAGCGUGGUACAAAAUUUUAAUUUAGAAGAAAGCCAUCCAUGCAUAUCUAGUAGAAAUAAUUAUUGGUUUCAUUCCAAGCAACCUUUGCACUUACAUUAUGCAAACUAGUUCAAUUCUGCACGUUUAUAUUUUCUUGGUGUGUGUUGGCAUCAAUCACCAAAAAGGGGGAGAUUGAAAGGGAAAUAGGCUUACACCUUUUCCUACUUGAUUUUGGUGGUUGAAUUGCCCAACACAAAUAAUUAGACUAACUAGUUUGCUCUAGACUAUAAGUUCUACAAGUGCCAAAGGUUCACAAUAAACCAAUAAAAAGACCAAGAAAGGGUUCAAACAAAGAGAGCAAAAGACAACCAAAGUGUGCCCUGGUCUGGCGCACCGGACAGUGUCCGGUGCACCACCGGACAGUGUCCGGUGCACCAGGGGAUUCCAGCCUGAACUUGCCACCUUCGGGAAUUCUGGGAGCCGCUCCGCUAUAAUUCACCGGACUGUCCGGUGUAGCACCGGACAGUCUGGUGUACCAGCGGAGUAACGACUACUACAGCGCCGACGGUCGUCUGCAACAACAGAUAAUGCGCUACAGUGCGCGCAGAAGUCAGAGCAGAGCCAGAAGGCGCACCAGACAGUCUAUAGGACCUGUCCGGUGCACCACCGGACUGUCUGGUGACCCAGAUGUCAGAAGCUCCAACGGUCAGAAUCCAACGGCCGGGUGACGUGGCUGGCGCACCGGACAGUGUCCGGUGCGCCAUGCGACAGAAGCCCUCACCAACGGUUCUUUUGGUGGUUGGGGCUAUAAAUACCCCCCAACCACCACACUUCAAUGCAUCCAAGUUUUUAGCCUUCAAACACCUUACAAGAGCUAUAGCAUUCAAUACAAGACACAAUCAAAGAGAUCAAAUCCUCUCCCAAGUCCAAAGAUCAUUCCAAUCAAAUAGUGACUCGUGAGAGAGAGACUUGUGUUCAUUUGAGCUCUUGCACUUGGAUUGCUUUUCUUCUUCCUUCUUUCUUGUGUUCAACUCAAUUGUAACCAAGACAAGAGACACCAAUUGUGUGGUGGUCCUUAUGGGGACUUAGUGUCCCGUUUGAUUGAGAAGAGAAGCUCACUCGGUCUAAAUGACCAUUUGAGAGAGGGAAAGGGUUGAAAGAGACCCGGUCUUUGUGACCACCUCAACGGGGAGUAGGUUUGCAAGAACCGAAUCUCGGUAAAACAAAUAAACGUGUCAUCCGCCUUAUUUGCUUGUGAUUUGUUUUUGCCCUCUCUUUCGGACUCGAAUUUAAUUCUAACGCUAACCCCGACUUGUAGUUGUGCUUAAAGUUUGUAAAUUUCAGAUUCGCCCUAUUCACCCCCCUCUAGGCGACUUUCAAUAUCUGUUUUGCAAUUUUAGAGUUUAAUUGGAGUAGAAGAAAUUACCUUAGUUUGGUCUCAUUUGCUUUGGGAGAAAAACCAAACCAAACAAUUCAAACCAUUGUAAUUCAUCAUUCCACUACUUCGUUCGAGCCCUCGUAUUGUAGUACCUUCAACCAGUGAUAUGAAAUUGUGAAGUAAAUGCUUAUUUGCAUAUCUAUGGAUUCUCAACAAAUCUAUAGAAACACAGAACUGAAUAGAGGAUGAUUAAAAAAAUGAUGAUCUAGAAAAGAAAAACCGGAGUGAAGAAACUAUUGUUACUUUAGCAUCAAAACCUAAGAAACACACCUUAUAAUCCCUGCUGAAAAAUGCUAAUCCGCCAACUAAAUUUCAGAUUCCUAUGCAUUAUUAUAAGUAGUAAAUGUAGUAUAUAAUAUGUAUAUGAAGUACUCUAUAAGUGGAAUGGUCGGUCCAAAAGGCAAAGCAUUUCAUAUAAAUAUCUAGUUCCACAGUUUUCCAUCCCCAAAUAGCAUCACAAUCCAAAAGGCAAAGCAUUUCAUAUAAAGAUCUAGUUCCACAGUUCUGCAUCCCCAAAUAGCAUCACAGUCCAAAAGGCAAAGCAUUUCAUAUAUAAGAUCAGGUUCCACAGUUCUACAUCCCCAAAUAACAUCACAAUAUAAAGCGCCUCGUUUCCUACCUAGAUUUUCUUAGGAUGUAAGCUACAAGACUGAUACAGAAUAAAAUAAGAACAGAAGCUAUAAUAAAAAUAUGAUUUUUUCACAUCAUUAAAGAAUUAACACGAACAAUUUAUGAUAUGUAUUACAAUGGUAAAUAUUUAGCUGUCUUAGUUUCACAAUCAAUCAUUUUAACAGAUGAGCAUGAUAUGCGAAAAAAUGAUCACCUCUUUCUAACUGCAGUACCAGACAAAACACCACCAAUCAAUUCCUUGACAACUUGUACCUCUUGGACUCAACAGGUCUCAGGUGUGGAAUAUGCAAUUCAAGCAUAUGGGAUAUUUAUGAGAAGCGGUUGAUGUUGUGCAUUGUACACUAUAUGGACCUAGUUUUCUUCCAUAUAAAAUUAUUAAAUUAGUUAAUAAUGUGCAUUACAUCGACAUGCCGAGAGACCACUUAUGAUACAACUCUGCAAGCAUUCCAUUCAUCCCAUGUAUUCAGUUCACUUUAACCUAAAGAAACAUGCUUCUUAUUGGCAAGUGUGGAACUUUUACCAUAGGUUAAACAUAAGACAAUGAUCUCUUCCCAAAGAACAAUAUCAGCCAUGUUAUCAGGGAAGACAACAUUCUAAAGAUGCAGUGCAAGCUAUGCACUCCCCUCCCCCCUAAGAAGCAGAGUCGGUACUACCGACCUUGUGUCAAUGUGAGAACUAGGACCAACUCUUGUGGCGAUGCUUUUCCAUGCAAGAAAAAGCAAACACUCGAUCAAAACUCCACCAAAGAAACAAACAUGAAACAGGCGGGAUGGCGAAACUGAGCAGAUCAGACCGGGCAGGAUGCACCUGGUUGUCACCGUAAACAUGGGGUAGGCGAGUCCAAAGCUUGCCAUGGCCGGUGCCCUAGAUCUCUGCUCAGAUCUUGACCGCACCAAGCAAUCGAUGCGAGACGGCAAGCAGGGUUUACUCCUCUGAACCGUAGAGCUUCUUUUUUGCCGACGUGUUGGAGAUGGAAAUCUGCAGGGUGAGCUUGCGUCGAGAUCUGCAGGAAGGGAGGGAGACGGUGAGCCGACGCUGACCUCAUCCCUUCGCAGGUGUGUGCCACGCUGGGCCGCUCCUUGUCGGAGAUGCGUUGUACAGGGCUACGCCUGGGGAAGGAGGGAGCGACGAACUGGGCACGAGCACCCAUGAAUCCACCUAUCCUUCCAAAAAAAGGUUGUCGAACCGUUGCCAAUAGUGGUAGCCACCGUAGCCUGGAACAGAGCUUUGGCCUGGGGAGAGAAUUUGAGAUCUAAUCCACUCCAAGGUUCAGAAGGAGCAGUUUUCUGGAGCCAAAGCCAAUGAAUUUGCAGGGCCCAGUUCAUAGUGAGGAGAUUGGGAAUUCCAAGGCCUCCCAAAUCAAAAGGCCUAGUGACCUUAUCCCAAGAAAUAAGACAAUUUCCUCCUCUAGCCUCCUUUGUUUCCACAGAAAACUCCUAAUUUUGUCAAUGGCUCUAAUAGCCCAUUCUGGAGCACUGAGGGCAAUUAACAGAUACACUGGGGUAGCAGAGAGGACAGAUUUGACAAGGGUGAUUCUCCCAGCAAGGUUUAAAGACCAACUUUCCAUCAUGAAAGUUUAUCAGCAAUUUUCUCAAUCCAAGGAGUGAGCUCUCCAACAAUAUGCCUUUUGUUGAUCAGGGGGAUGCCAAGAUAAGUUGUUGGAAAGCAUUUAGAGGCACAACCCAGAAUUUGAACAGCCAGCUCUACCCUUUCAAAAUCACAGUGAAUUGGGUAAGACAAACUUUUUUGCAGAUUAGUCUGGAGGCCAGAGGCCACACCGAAGCCUUUCAAGGUUUCUUUGAAUACCUAAUCCACUGCAUUAGGAUUAAUAAAUACUGCAACGUCAUCCACAAAUAUAGAGACUAUUUGGUUGACAUUUCUACCAGCAAGGGGCUACAAAAGGCCAUACUCAUCAGCUUGGACAAAGAGGCUGUUAAGAACAUCCAUUACAAGUAUAAAAAACGGAGGGGAUAGGGGAUCUCUCUGCCUCAACCAUAACCAUCUGACCCAAAGAGCCCACCCAAGCUUUUGCAGAUCAUGAAUACUGUAACACCCAUGGUGUUUAUAUUUCACUCGACAACGAGUAUGGAUUUAAGCAUUGGAUAUCAGCAAUAAUAACGAUCUCUAUGUUCUAAUAUUCACCUAUCAUAAUUUUGAUAUCAUUUUCAUCUCUAUCUAUGCGACCUAAUCUAAAUGUUUCGAGUCAGAACGUAUUUGUUCUAGAAAUUUGCGAGUCUGGUGAUUAUUUAAAAUUCAUCGAUUUGCUCAAAUACGAAUUUGGAAACUUAGUUCAGUCUUCCAAUUUCGUCCCAAACAAAAUUUAUUAGAAGCCCGGCGACAAGAGUGUUGAUGCGAGAUUAAAUUGGAUCGAGAUAAUUAGAACUGAUAUUGAGUAUUCAUAACUAAUUUGUUUCCCUGUUCAGACUGUGGAUAAAAGUAUCGGGUUUCGAAUCAAAUCAAAGUAAGCACAGUCUUAAUAUAUCGACUCUAAUGUCGUUUGGUUUGGUCCAUCGACAUCUCGUCUAAAACACUAUCUCAUGUAUCGCCUGCAUUUCUAUCCAUUUGGACUAUUAUAAAUAUUUUAUGAAGUUUGAAAUUUAAAAAUCCUUCAAUAUGUCGAGUCUACGCUGUUCGAAUAGCAUGUGAUCUUCGUCUGAACUCAACUGGGUCAAAUACAGUUUAAAGUAUCGGUCCCGACCUCGUUUGGUUCGGUUCGUGUGUUCCUUGCCUAGAUCCAAAUUUUUGGAUAUAGAUAACGAGUAGGAAUUCAUCUGACUCCAGAAUAUUCACUAAAUAAAAUCCUAUCCAAAUAUUGUGGUCAAUCUUAUUUUGGUUCGACCCUUUUGUACAUCUUUUAGAACUUAAUUUCAGUCUCGAUCUCGUUUGGUUCAUUCUGAUUGCAAUACCGCGUUCGAAUCACGUAGUUCAAAAUUUAUUUAUUUCAUAGUGUCAAGCCUGGUGCCAGUUUAAAAUUAAUCGAAUAAGGCGAAUUGGAAAUUUCACCCAAGUAUUUCGCUCUUGUUCGAGCGAUCUCUACAAAUUCGGCAGAGACACUACUAGGGACAGGCUGUUUAGAUAAAUCGAACCCGAACUAACCAAAACAGAUGAAAAUUAAAAUAGCAAAGUCGGUGUCAUGGUUCGCUCCAAUUUCGUCUCGUCCAGAUACAAAUGACGAGUAUAAAUGUCUGGUAAAAAUUUAUCAGAGUAUUGGGAUAUCUACCAAAUCAAAUAUUGUUCCAAUAUUGUUGUUAAUCUCAUUUUUGUUCGAUCCUUGAUUACAUCUUUUAGACCCUAAUUUUAUAACAUCAAAAUAUCUGCUUUUUGCUUUUGUAAAAAAGAAUGGAGGAAAAAUCUUCUUUUACUUCUCCCACCGUCAUACUCCCUCAGCCAUAUCCAAAUCGUCCAUCUCCCUCACAACAGCCGCCCUCCCAUUUUCUCAGCUCGGCCACAACCAUAGCUUGGUGGUCGACGUGCCCCUGCUCCAGCCUGGCCGCCCACCUUGGGUCCUCAUCUCCAUCUCUCAGCUGUUCAGCUCCCUGGUGCUCGCCCUCCCCUUCUCUCAGGAUAGCAGGGAGCCGGCGACCUCUCCAACUCGGCCGGCCAUGGCACCGCUUCCCCAAGCGUCACACCGGAGCUUGCCCAACCCUCUCCCAUCUCCUUCCCCAAGCACAAGUCCCAUGGUCGAGCUCACCCCUGCAGGAGCUCCCUAUAGCGCCUAGAUUUUCAAUUUCCUAUGAGUUCUUUUUCCCCCACGUGCAAUCCCGGCAUCGUCGUCGUGUUUAGUCACGGUGAUUCUCAAUUUCCUAUUUUUAUUUCAUUGAAUUUUUAAUGCGAGCAGAAUUUUUUUGGUGCUAUGUUAAUACGAUGUUAUAUGUAAUGUGUGUUUGUGUGAGUAAGAGGAACCCCAGGUUUUUGCGUAGAGAGGAAAGUCGUGUGGCGCGUGCUAGGUGUUUGAUGGAAUGGAUGAAUCGGAGAUCCUUGUUGCUGUUGCGAAAUCCAAGUCUAUUUAGUGUUGGUAAGCUAAUUUAUUAUUACUGUUGAUUGAAUUAUUAGAUGAAUGGAAUGGAUAUGUUUAGUGAAUAUAUAUGCAUCAUGAGUUAGUGGUAAUACCUCUUCGUGGAUAGUGACAUGAUUGUAUUCAUGAUUAUGGUUAAAAUAAGUGAUGACGGUAUUGUUGUUCGAAUCUGCACGUAUAGUUUUGAUUGUGCAACUAAUUGAGUGGAGUAAAUCAUGUGUUCUAUAGAAAUGUUAUAUACAAAAGUUGUAGCCAACUUCUUUAUCUUGUUUGUUUAAAAAUUUCAUGACCAUAGGUUUAAUAGUUUAGGAGUUAUGAUUUUUCCAAGUCCAGUUUCAGAAUAUGUCCAAAUUCUGUACAGGUUUCGAAAAUUGGAUUGUUUGGCUAAGCAAAAUUGAGAAUCAGCCCUUAGUAAUUAUACAAGAAUUUUAGUACUUUUCUUAAGCUUUCCAAAAAAGUCUUGGAUCACUUUUUUUGGUAGUCUAGAGACCAAGUUACAGCUGUUUGAACUAUAAAGUCUGAACGUUUUUUGGUGGUCUAGAGACCAAGUUACAGUUGUUUGAACUAUAGAGUCUGAAUCUGUCCAAAUAUGGAUAGAGAAGUCUGUUUGUAUUAACUGACUUUGAUAUGCAUUGAAUUGACCUGAUAUGUUUACCAAUGAAUUGUAGAAAAUUCUAUUAGCUUUCUAAAAAGUCUAGGAUCACUUGAUUUGGACACCUGAGACUCCAAUUAUGGAUUUUUGAAGUGAGUAGUCGAAUUCUGUCCAAAUCUAGACAUAAUUUAUGUUUACUUCUGUUUGACCUUUCUAAAGGUCGAAUCUUGUUGUGAUGGCAAUACAAAAGUUAUAGAGGACUUCAUAAGCUUUCCAGAAAGUCCUAGUUUAUCAUUUUAAGAUGAAUAUCUUGUGAGUUAUGAUUAAAAGAACUGACUGUUGUACUCCUGUCCAAAAUCAGCAAGUAUUAAGUUGAUUUCUGGAGUCAUUCUUGUUUGGCUAGGUAGGAUUAGUUAAUUCUUGAUUCUUGAGUGAUGAAGACUUAUUACAUAUAACUGACAGUGUUGCAAGUACUAAAGAAGGUUGUUGGGGGCCUUCGGUUUCUGAAGGUCCUCAAAUACGUGAUUUAACGAUGUUUCUGGAGUAUAAUACAUGAGCAGGUACCUUCGGACUUGAGUCAAAAUCACAGUGUGAAGAAGCACAAGGGAAACGAAGGAUGGAACAGAGCCGAAGCUGUGCGCAAGGGAGCUUCGACAUGAUGACAAAAAAAGGAAACCGACUUAAAGGGGAAAAGGCUAUCUAGACCUCGAUGAAUUACUAUAGAAUUAUUAGCAAAUGUAAAGGGCCUGGGUGUAAUUUUACAUGGGCUGCGUCCCGUGCCUAUAAAUAGAUGAACAGUACUCCCGUACUGUUCACGCUGACUGGGCAUUUGCUUUUGCGUCACGCUUGUACUUUUACCUUCCUUCAAGCCGAAGGUACUUUUGUAACUUGUUAUUAUUUUUAUUUUUCCUUAAUAAUGAAAUAGAAAUGAUUUGAUGAUAAUAAAUAACUGUUGGUAUUAUAUUUUAUAUCCCAUAUGUUUCUUUCCUCGUUUAUAUGUUGCUUUGACGAAGGUACGUCCUUCACAACCUUCGUCCGAAAAUCAUUAUCUCUCAAAGGGAUAUAAUGCUUCGAAGGACGAAGGACUUUAACAUUUAACAUUCUCUGUGUUGCCUUGUUCUUAACUCAUAGCAUUUGAGAACAAGUCCCCAACAUUGGCGCCCACCUCCGGUGAACCCUUUCCGACCACCUUCGGCAAGCAUCGACCUUCGUCAUGCUGCCAAAGAAAGCUUCAGCAACAGGGGCUGCCGCUCUAUAGCCGCUGGACCCGAACCAGGAGACCCUUUCUCUUCGGGAGGCCCGAAGCCAGAAGAGGAAGGCCACCAGUCCAACGCUUCAGAAGGACGACUUGGACCAAUAAAUCAGGAAUAUAGAGAUACUUCAUCAGUAAGUGCAACGGAAGAAGGAAAAGAUGGCUUGGCUAGCUGACCUGCAAAGGCAGAUAGACGAAGCCUCUGAAGAAGUUCGUCAUCUUGCUCAGGAUGAGCAAAACCGAAGGCCCCAGCACAGAGAGCUUCACCAAGAGGGCUUCGUCAAUGAAGAUGACUGGUAUGAGGAUUUUCAUCAUGGAAAUUUCGCCUUUGAUGAUGCUUCUCCUCUGUUAGCAGAACAGCAGGCUACACCUUGGCUCCCGUCUUACAAACCACCUCAGCUCCCCAUGUAUGACAGACACUCAGAUCCAAAGCAAUUUCUGAUGAGCUACGAAGCAACCAUAUCUUCAUAUGGUGGCAACACUGCAGUCAUGGCGAAAUCCUUCGUCAUGGCAGUCAAAAAUGUUGCACAAACCUGGUACUCCUCUCUUCGGCCAGGAACAAUCACAUCAUGGCAGAAGCUGAAGGACAUGCUGAUCACUAGUUUCCAAGGGUUUCAGACGAAGCCGGUUACUGCUCAAGCUUUGUUCCAGUGCAUGCAAGAUCACAAGGAAUACCUUAAGGCGUAUGUUCGAAGGUUCUUGCAUUUGAGGGCACAAGCGCCAACAGUGCCCAAUGAGAUUGUCAUUAAGGCCAUGAUCAAGGGGCUUCGGCCAGGACCUUCGGCCCAAUACUUCGCCAGGAAACUCCCUCAGACCUUGGAAAAAUUGCUUCAGAAGAUGGAUGAAUACAUCCACGCUGAUAAUGACUUUCGUCAAAGAAGGGAUGAAGCUUAUAGGUUCUCCAAAAUAACCAAGGGCUUCGGAGGGAGAGUCCAUCCUAGACAUGUCAGAUCAAUUCAUUCCACCCAGAAUGACGACAGGGGAAGUCAGCAACAGAGGCCGCAAUUUUCCUCCCAGGCUUCGGGGCAGCAACAGAGCUAUCCUCGGUCCCCAGCUCCAAGGGGCAGAGGCGCCAGGGGCUUCGGAGGAAGGUUUGGGGAUCAGCCUAGGAAAAUUGAUUGCCUAUUCUGCGGUGAGGACAAGGGCCAUACCACCAGGAUGUGCCAUGUCACCAUCCAGAAACAAAAAGAGAUAGCAGAAGCUGCAGCCCAACAGAGCCAGCCGAAGCAAGUUAUGCAUACUGCUUCGUACCACUCACCGUACAUUCCAGAGUAUGUGGGUAACCAUUCUGCAGCUUCUGUUGCUUCGGCAAGCCAAUCUCAGGCAUCUUAGCAGCAGCUUCCACCUCCACCACCAAUACAACGAGGCCAGCAGCGAGAAGGGAGCCAGCACACUCAUCAGCAACGAGACUUCAGAAAGGAGUCCGAAGCUCGCACAGUCAACAAUACUGUGCCAGAGUCGAAGCACAUUUACUAGAAGAUAUCCUACUUCUGAGAUAGUUCUUGCAUUCGUUAUCAUUUUUCUUUUUAAUAAGGAACAGUCAUUGAAAGCCUAAGUUUUUCUUGUCGUUUUCGAUUUCUUGUAACAGCUUCGUUUUUGUCAUAGUAAAAAUAUAUCUUCUCCACAGACUUACGGAAUCCAAAAAGUUGCCGAAGCAUGAAAAAUCGUUCUUAAGAGCUCAUGGCUACAGAAAGCAUAUCCGAAGCUACAAAAAGUCGUCCUACGAAACGCAGCGUAAGUUUGCCGAAGUUAUAAAAAGUCGUUCCUAAGGGAGCGCAGUGUAAGUUUUCUGCUCAAAAGUCAUUCCAAAGAGAAUGCAGAGCUUAGAGCGAAAAAUAAACGCUGAUUCCGCCGAAGUUUAAGGCGAAGCGCAAAAAGUCAACGCGAAAAUCGCCGAAGUAAAAGGCGAAGAAGCUCCUAAGGGAGGCUUACAGCGAAAAGUCAGCGCUGAUACACCGAAAAAUAAGCGGUGAAGCCGAAAAAUAAACGACAAAAAGAUUGUGUGCUCUACUGUGGGAAUGUGUGUGUAUCUUCGGCACAAAUAUCAUGUUGCAUAGAAUAACAUCAUUACAUCAUUUGCAUGGCAUAACAUCAUACAUCAUAUUGCAUCAAUGGCACAAGAAGGGGAUACAAUGUUGAUCUUCGGAGAUUGUUUCGAAGAAGCAGUGCCAAGGCACAAAAUAAGUUUUGAAGAAGUACUGCUUUGUCAACUCUAAUAUGAAAAGGAGAUCUAUUGCUUACGAAGCAUAACGUUUUUAUGGAGAUUGGAUGUUUUUACGAAAUAUGGAUAUCCUUCAUGAAGCAUGAAAAGAAGGGAAGGUGUUUUUUCGCCGAAGGCUCAAAAACGGUAUGUAUGUAAACUUUCAUGCAUCGUAAAGAAUUGAGUUACAAGCAGCUCAUAUAUUACAUUCAAAAUUAUAAAAAUUCUACACACUUUGUUCAACAAAUAUUACAUUCCAAAUGUUUUUACAAUAGCAGCUAUUCUUCUUUUAAAACUACUUCCGCAGCUUCGUUUAACAGUUGAGAAAUAGCUUCAGCCAUUUUAGUGAUUUCUUCCUCUCUCUUUGCUUCUGGGUCGGCUGUUGGCUCGAAAGGCUCCAGGGGAGGAGAUAGCUUAGCUGCGAUACAAAACAUAAAUAAGUUCGAAGUCACAGAAAUAAAACACAAAGUCAAAAGCAAUUAAGCAAUACCUAUCCGCCUUUCAAGUUCCACAGCUUUCUCAGCUGCCUUCAUCGCUUCUUUUGCAUCAUGAGAAUCUUUUUCACUCUUUUUUAUUAUCUCGUGCGCCAUCUCUCGGCCGCCAUUUUUCCAGAUGUCAGUGAAGAAUUUCCCGCCAACUAAGCUUGCUUCGGCCGAGGGGUCUUUUGCAUCUUCAAUAGAUAAGGCAGCUUCGGUUUGAGUCAAAGCUUUCACGUGAUCACAGCCUAAUUUCUCCAAAAUAGCCGCGAUUCCCCUAGCACCUGAGAAGGCGCAGACAUCCCCACGACCACUCAAAACUUCUUCAAACACUUCAGCUUCGUUGCUGAUCCAGUCAAUUGGGCCUUCAGGAUCGCCCCUUACGAAAUUAUCCUCGCUAGAGAAUGCGCCAACAUUGGUGAAGCUAGAUUUUAUUUUUUGCACACAUUCUAUGGAUUUUUUUAGCAUUUCUCUUUUGAAGACCGAAGUUCUACAAUUGUCUUCUCCCAAUAAUUUUUCCAAUAGUUACUGGCGUCUCGGUCAGCUUCGGCAAUUGUACACUUUAACUUCGCUUCAGCCAGCUGUUUCUCAAGAUCUUCAAUUUCGCACUUCUGGGCUUCAGCCUGGGCUUUGGAAGUAGCUUCGUCUUCUUUUCUUUUAUUUAGCAAUGAGUUUAAUAUUUUAUCUUUCUCAAGACCUUCGUUCCUUAGCUCGAUUACUUCAGAACGAAGGUUGUUUAAGGCCAUGGUACAUCCCUCGUCUUCAGCGCCUUUUUGUGCCCUAAGGGCGUUGCUAAGAAUAAGGCCCUGAAAAAGGAAUACGGUAUUAAGUAUAAGCAAAUGGAAAAAUUUUGCUUUUCAGUAAAAUUCAUUUUCUCACCUUUAAGCUAUUGUAUGCUAAGCUGUCGGAUAAUUCAUCUUUUGAUAGCACCGAGAGCCCGCCCUCUAGUGUCGGGAAUCCGAAGCUUUUGCUCAUCUCCCGGUAGACAGAAAUCUCCUUGCUAUCUGGGAGACAAUACAAGAAGUCUUCUUCUCCGCUGCCGUUGAAAAUCAAUGCCCCUUUCGGAUAUUUCAAUUUUUGGGCAUAGAACUGAGCUUCUCGCUUUUCUUUUUCAGUCAACUUUUUCCCCGAAGCAUGUCGUAAAAUAUAAUUGAGAGCUUCGGAAAAUGCUUCGGGGGUGGCAGUGGCAGUUUUUUCAGCCAAGAGUUGUUCUGCCGCUUCUGUUUCUUUUUUCUGGUUUCCAUGGAUUUCUCCUUGGCGGGCUCUGAAGGCCCAGCUUCAGUCUCAGCCUAGUGCUUUGUAGCUUCGGCUUCAGAGGCUGUUGUCUCAAUUUGCGCUUUUGGAGCUUCGGCAAUUUUCUUCGGAGUAGAGCUUGAAGACUUUAUUGUCUCUAGUACAUCCAGAACAUUAACCAUCCUUUUUCUUUUGGGGGUCAUUGCUGGACCUUUCUGGGUUUUUGGCACUUCAACUUCUGCCGAAGGAAUUAAAAUUUCUGAUGUUUUUGUCCCUUUAGCUCUCGGCUCUCCAAUUUUUUCAGCCUUCAGCGUUGCAGUCAGCUCUUCAGUUUUCUGCGCAAGUGCAUGUUCUUUGUCUUCAGUAGCCGAAGAGGGCUCACCGACAAACUCGGGCACUAUGGUCGGUUCAAUGAAGCGCGGUCGGUGAGUAAGGACCUUCACCUUUUUCCUCUUCGACGCAUGCUCGCUUGGAGCAGCUGAAGCAUCAUCCUUACCGGAAGUUGCACCUUUUCUUUUUUGCCCCCAUAGCGGGUAGCGGUAGUCAGGAUACAUGAACCCAAUAGCAUCAAAAACUCUGUUGAGCCUCUUCUUUUUCCGGCCUCCGAAGGUCGCAGAUAGCGCGUUAUCUUCUGCCUUUGAAUAUGGUCCAAGCAAUUCGUCGCUUGUAGCUUCGAUGCACUUCAGCCAAUCAUCAUCUGGCUCAAUAAACUUACCCUUGUAUCUAAAGGUGUAUUUCAACCUAACCAGUCCACCUUCGUCAGACUUGCUGAUAGUUUCCUUUGGCAUUUCCCAUUGCUCUACAAGCGGCCACACUCUGAAGGUUAUGUGCUCCUGGAUUAAAUCCCUCGUCCCGAUGAAAGAACAGACUAUGCCGAAGGCCUUUUGGCAUUCUUCGGCUGCUUCAUCAAUUUCCACCUUCGGUUUCCGAAGGCCGAAGCACUGCCAGAUAGGACGCAUGAUAAUAUCUUUAAUGUCUUCUCGUGCCUUUAAAUCGUUUUUCACGUAAAACCAUUCCUUCAUCCAGUCCCCAGACCAUCUUUUCCAGAAGGUUGGCACGGGGCAGCUCGAGCCAGAGCGAGCGACGAAGCUAUAGCAGCCAAAAUUGUUAUGAUAUUGCUCUUUGCCCCAAGGUUUCGUCUCAUAUAGCAAUUCGUGCAUACUACAUAAACUUUUUGCAUUUGGCUCCAAGCCCUGGCUCCUCACGGUCCAGACGAAGAUUCCCAUUCUUAUAAUUGCUUCGGGAGUAAUUUGAUGAAGGUAAACCUGAUAGAUCUUUAAAACCUCAACCACAAAUUUGCUUAAGGGGAACCGAAGCCCAGCUUUUAAAAAGCUUCGGAAGAUCACAACUUCAUUCUCUUCGGGAGUAGGCACAGUCCUCUCUCCGUCAUCGGCCCUCUAGUAGACAUAUCUCGAAAAUAUCUUCCCCUCAUGUUAUCGAGAUGACUCUGUUUAAUACUCGAUUUUCCGAAGACUGUGUGACUGGGUCGCCACGGUCGAUCUUCGGAGUCCUCACCUCCACUUUCCAUAUCAUAACUGUCACUUUCACCAGUGUCUUCAGAUAAACCUUCUAAAAUCUCCCUAGUGAUCUUCUUUGUAUUCGUCUUUGCUAUCGAUUCAAGAAACCCAAGAUUCUUCUCUUCAGAAAGGCUCAGCUUUGUUUCGGCGACAGCUUUGUUAUCUUGUGACAUCUUUGAAAAAUGUUGAAAACGUGCUCUUAAGGCCGAAGCUAAAAAAUCUAAAAAGCCAGGCAAGCGUUGCUGUGCAAGAGCUAAAAAUUGGGAAAGCAAGAGCAGAUGGCAAGAAAGCGUGCCAAAUGUGCUCGCGGUGCACUCUUAUUUAUACGCCUAGUGCGUUGUGAAAGGGAAUUAGGCUUACACCUAGUUCCUAAAUGAUUUUGGUGGUUGAAUUGCCCAACACAAAUAAAUGGACUAACUAGUUUGCUCUAGUGUAUAAGUUAUACAGGUGCCAAAGGUUCACACUUAGCCAAUAAAAAGACCAAGUAUUGGGUUCAACAAAAAGAGCAAAGGGGCAACCGAAGGCACCUCUGGUCUGGCGCACCGGACUGUCCGGUGUGCCACCGGACAGUGUCCGGUGCACCAGAGGACUCCAAGUCGAACUCGUCACCUUCGGGAAAAUCCAGAGACGCUCCGCUAAAAUUCACCGGACUGUCCGGUGUACACCGGACAGUGUCCGGUGCUCCAAAGAACGGCGUCUCAGGAACUCGCCAGCUUCGGGAAUUCACAACGGCUAGUCCGCUAUAAUUCACCGGACUGUCCGGUGUGCCAUCGAAGCAACAGAUACUUCGGCGCCAACGGCUACCUGCAGCGCAUUAAAUGCCUGCUAGCGCGCGCAGAAGGCAGGCGCGCCCAUACUGGCGCACCGGACACUCUACAGUACAUGUCCGGUGCGCCACCGGACAUCCAGGCGGGCCCAGAAGACAGAGCUCCAACGGUCGGAACCCAACGGCUUUGGUGACGUGGCUGGCGCACCGGACAUGUCCGGUGUGCACCGGACUGUCCGAUGCACCAUACGACAGUCAUCCCCACCAUUCAUUGCAUCCAAGUUUACACACUUCCAACCACUUACAAGAGCUAGGCAUUCAAUUCUAGACACAUUCAAGAGAUCAAAUCCUCUCCCAAAUUCCAUACAACGCCCUAGUGCUUAGAGAGAGAUUUGCUUGUGUUCUUUCGAGCUCUUGCGCUUGGAUUGCUUUCUUCUUUCUUGAUUCUUUCUUGCGAUCAAACUCACUUGUAAUUGAGGCAAGAGACACCAAUCUUGUGGUGGUCCUUGUAGGAACUUUGUGUUCCAAGUGAUUGAGAAGAGAAAGCUCACUCGGUCCGAGGGACCGUUUGAGAGAGGGAAGGGUUGAAAGAGACCCGGCCUUUGUGGCCUCCUCAACGGGGAGUAGGUUUGCAAGAACCGAACCUCGGUAAAACAAAUCCGCGUGUCACACCUCUUAUUUGCUUGCGAUUUGUUUUGCACCCUCUCCCGCGGACUCGAUUAUAUUUCUAACGCUAACUCGGCUUGUAGUUGUGAUUAUUUUUGAGAAUUUCAGUUUCGCCCUAUUCACCCCCCCCUCUAGGUGACUAUCAAUUGGUAUCAAAGCCCGGUGCUUCAUUAGAGCCUAACCGCUCGAAGUGAUGUCGGGAGAUCACGCCAAGAAGGAGAUGGAGACCAGCGAAAAGCCCACUACAAGCAACGAGAAAGCCCUAUCGGGAGAGUCCCGCAACAAGGAGAAGAGGAAGGAGAAGAAGAAGGAAAAGAAGACUUCUUCCCACAAGUCACAUCGGAGUGGCGACAAAAUUAAGAAGAUGAGGAAGGUGGUCUACUACGAGACCGACACUUCAUCACCUUCUACCUCCGGCUCCGACGCACCCUCCAUAACUUCUAAGCGCCAUGAGCGCAAGAAGUUUAGUAAGAUUCCCUUACAUUAUCCUCGUACUUCUAGACAUACUCCAUUACUUUCCGUUCCAUUAGGCAAACCACCGGUUUUUGACGGUGAAGAUUAUAAUAUGUGGAGUGACAAAAUGAGGCAUCAUCUAACCUCACUCCACACAAGCAUAUGGAAUGUUGUUGAGUUUGGUGUACAGGUACCAUCCGUAGGGGAUGAAGACUACGACUCGGACGAGGUGGCCCAAAUUCACCACUUUAACUCCCAAGCCACCACUAUACUCCUCGCCUCUCUAAGUCGAGAGGAGUAUAAUAAGGUGCAAGGGUUAAAAAGUGCGAAGGAAAUUUGGGACGUACUCAAGACCACGCAUGAGGGAGACGAGGUGACAAAAAUCACCAAGCGGGAGACGAUCGAGGGGGAGCUCGGUCGCUUCAUGCUCCACCAAGGGGAGGACCCACAAGCUAUGUACAACCGCUUGAAGACCUUGGUGAACCAAGUGCGCAACCUCAGGAGCGAAAAAUGGGAUGACCAUGAGAUGGUCAAGGUUAUUCUUAGAUCCCUCGUAUUUCUUAACCCUACACAAGUUCAAUUAAUUCGAGGUGAUCCUAGAUAUAAGCUAAUGUCUCCCGAGGAGGUUAUAGGAAAAUUUGUGAGCUUUGAGCUAAUGAUUAAAGGCUCAAAGAAAAUCAUCGAGCAAGGCACCUCCUCCACGCCCGAAGCACAACCCGUCGCAUUCAAGGCAACGGAAGAAAAGAAGGAGGAGGCUACUCCAAGUCGAACACCCAUCGACCCCUCCAAGCUCGACAACGAGGAAAUGGCGCUCAUCAUCAAGAGCUUCCGCCAAAUCCUCAAGCAAAGGAGGGGGAAAGACUACAAACCCCGCUCCAAGAAAGUAUGCUACAAAUGUGGUAAGCCCGGUCAUUUUAUUGCAAAAUGUCCUAUAUCUAGUGACAGUGACAGGGGCGAUGACAAGAAGGGGAGAAGAAAGGAGAAGAAGAGAUACUACAAGAAGAAGGGCGGCGAUGCCCAAGUUUGUCGGGAGUGGGACUCCGACGAAAGCUCUAGCGACUCCUCCUCCGACGAGGACGCCGCCAACAUCGCCGUCACCAAGGGACUUCUCUUCCCCAACGUCGGCCACAAGUGCCUAAUGGCAAAGGACGGCAAAAGGAAGAAGGUUAAAUCAAAAUCCUCCACUAAAUAUGAAUCUUCUAGUGAUGAUAAUGCUAGUGAUGAGGAAGAUAAUUUGCGUACCCUUUUUGCCAACCUUAACAUGGAACAAAAGGAAAACUAAAUGAGCUAAUUAGUGCCAUCAAUGAAAAGGAUGAUCUCUUGGACUCCCAAGAGGACUUCCUAAUCAAGGAAAAUAAAAAGCAUGUUAAGGUUAAGAAUGCUUAUGCUCUAGAGGUAGAAAAAUGUGAAAAAUUAUCUAGUGAGCUAAGCACAUGCCAUGACACUAUCACCAACCUUAGAAAUGAAAAUGCCAAAUUAAUUGCUAAGGUUGAUUCUCAUGUUUGUAAUGUUUCAUCUUCCAAUCCUAGAGAUGAUAAUGUUGAUUUACUUUCUAGGAUUGAUGAGUUGAAUAUUUCUCUUGCUAGCCUUAGGAUUGAAAAUGAAAAAUUGCUUGCUAAGGCUAAAGAUUUUGAUGUUUGCAAUGUUACUAUUUCUAACCUUAGAAGUGAAAACGAUAUAUUACAUGCUAAGGUUGUAGAAUUAAAAUCUUGCAAACCCUCUACAUCUAUAGUUGAGCAUGUAUCUAUUUGUACUAGAUGUAGAGAUGUUGAUAUUAAUGCUAUUCAUGAUCACAUGUCUUUAAUUAAACAACAAAAUGAUCAUAUAGCAAAAUUAGAUGCUAGAAUUGCCGAGCAUAACUUAGAAAAUGAAAAAUUUAAAUUUGCUAGAAGUAUGCUCUAUAAUGGGAGACGCCCUGGCAUCAAGGAUGGCAUUGGCUUCCAAAGGGGAGACAAUGUCAAACUUAAUGCCCCUCCUAAAAGAUUGUCUAAUUUUGUAAAGGGCAAGGCUCCCAUGCCUCAGGAUAACGAGGGUUACAUUUUGUACCCUACCGGUUAUCCCGAGAGCAAGAUUAGGAGAAUCCACUCUAGGAAGUCUCACUCUGGCCCAAAUCAUGCUUUUAUGUAUAAGGGUGAGACAUCUAGUUCUAGGCAACCAACCCGUGCUAAGUUGCCUAAGAAGAGAACUCCUAAUGCAUCAAAUGAUCAUGACAUUUCAUUCAAAACUUUUGAUGCAUCAUAUGUUUUAACUAACAAAUCCGGCAAGGUAGUUGCCAAGUUUGUCGGGGGCAAACACAAGGGCUCCAAGACUUGUGUUUGGGUACCCAAAGUUCUUGUUUCUAAUGCCAAAGGACCCAAAACCGUUUGGGUACCUAAAGUCAAGAACUAAACUUGUUUUGUAGGUUUAUGCAUCCGAGGGCUCAAGUUGGAUCAUCGAUAGCGGGUGCACAAACCACAUGACUGGGGAGAAGAAAAUGUUCUCCUCCUACGAGAAAAACCAAGAUCCCCAACGAGCUAUCACAUUCGGGGAUGGAAAUCAAGGUUUGGUCAAAGGAUUGGGUAUAAUUGCUAUAUCUCUUGAUCAUUCUAUUUCCAAUGUUUUUCUUGUAGAUUCAUUAGAUUACAAUUUGCUUUCUGUAUCUCAAUUAUGCAAAAUGGGCUACAACUGUCUCUUUACUGAUGUAGGUGUCACUGUCUUUAGAAGAAGUGAUGAUUCAAUAGCAUUUAAGGGUGUGUUAGAGGGUCAGCUAUACUUAGUAGAUUUUGAUAAAGCUGAACUCGACACAUGCUUAAUUGCUAAGACUAACAUGGGUUGGCUCUGGCACCGCCGACUAGCCCAUGUUGGGAUGAAGAAUCUUCAUAAGCUUCUAAAGGGAGAGCACAUUUUAGGACUAACCAAUGUUCAUUUUGAGAAAGACAGGGUUUGUAGCGCAUGCCAAGCAGGAAAGCAAGUUGGUGCCCAUCAUCCACACAAGAACAUCAUGACGACCGACAGGCCGCUUGAGCUACUCCACAUGGAUCUAUUCGGCCCGAUUGCUUACAUAAGCAUCGGCGGGAGUAAGCAUUGUCUUGUAAUAGUGGAUGAUUACUCUCGCUUCACUUGGGUAUUCUUUUUGCAGGAAAAAUCUCAAACCCAAGAGACCUUAAAGGGAUUCUUGAGACGGGCUCAAAAUGAGUUCGGCUUAAGGAUCAAGAAAAUUAGAAGCGACAACGGGACGGAGUUCAAGAACUCUCAAAUUGAAGGCUUCCUUGAGGAGGAGGGCAUCAAGCAUGAGUUCUCUUCUCCCUACACGCCACAACAAAAUGGUGUAGUGGAGAGGAAGAAUAGAACUCUAUUGGACAUGGCAAGAACCAUGCUUGAUGAGUACAAGACUUCGGAUCGGUUUUGGGGCGAGGCGGUCAACACCGCCUGCUACGGCAUCAACCGGUUGUAUCUACACCGAAUCCUCAAGAAGACAUCCUAUGAACUCCUAACCGGUAAAAAGCCCAAUAUUUCAUAUUUCAGAGUCUUUGGCAGCAAAUGCUUUAUACUUGUUAAAAGAGGUAGAAAAUCUAAAUUUGCUCCUAAGACUGUAGAAGGCUUUUUACUAGGAUAUGAUUCAAACACAAGGGCAUAUAGAGUCUUUAACAAGUCCUCGGGACUAGUUGAAGUUUCUUGUGACGUUGUGUUUGAUGAAACUAACGACUCUCAAGUAGAGCAAGUUGAUCUUGAUGAGAUAGGUGAUGAAGAGGCUCCGUGCAUCGCGCUAAGGAACAUGUUCAUUGGUGAUGUGUGUCCUAAGGAAUCUGAAGAGCCUCCAAAUGCACAAGAUCAACCAUCCUCCUCCACGCAAGCAUCUCCACCAACUCAAAAUGAGGAUGAAGCUCAAGUUGAUGAAGAAGAAGAUCACGCAAAUGAGCCACCUCAAGAUGACGGCAAUGAUCAAGGGGGUGAUGCAAAUGAUCAAGACAAGGAGGAUGAAGAACAAAGGCCGCCACACCCAAGAGUCCACCAAGCAAUCCAACGAGAUCACCCCGUCGACACCAUCCUCGGCGACAUUCAUAAGGGGGUAACCACUAGAUCUCGUGUUGCACAUUUUUGUGAGCAUUACUCUUUUGUUUCCUCUAUUGAGCCACACAGGGUAGAGGAAGCACUUCAAGAUUUGGAUUGGGUAGUGGCGAUGCAAGAGGAGCUCAACAACUUCACUAGGAAUGAGGUAUGGCAUUUAGUUCCACGUCCUAACCAAAAUGUUGUAGGAACCAAAUGGGUUUUCCGCAAAAAGCAAGAUGAGCAUGGUGUGGUGACAAGGAACAAAGCUCGACUUGUGGCCAAGGGAUACUCCCAAGUCAAAGGUUUGGAUUUCGGUGAAACCUAUGCACCCGUAGCUAGGCUUGAGUCAAUUCGUAUAUUAUUGGCCUAUGCUACUUACCAUGGCUUUAAGCUUUAUCAAAUGGACGUGAAAAGUGCCUUCCUCAAUGGACCAAUCAAGGAAGAGGUCUACGUUGAGCAACCUCCCGGCUUUGAAGAUAGUGAGUACCCUAACCAUGUUUAUAAACUCUCUAAGGCGCUUUAUGGGCUCAAGCAAGCCCCAAGAGCAUGGUAUGAAUGCCUUAGGGAUUUCCUUAUCACUAAUGGCUUCAAAAUUGGAAAGGCUGAUCCUACUCUAUUCACUAAAACUCUUGACAAUGACUUGUUUGUAUGCCAAAUUUAUGUUGAUGAUAUUAUAUUUGGGUCUACUAACGAGUCUACUUGUGAAGAAUUUAGUAGGAUCAUGACACAAAAGUUAGAGAUGUCUAUGAUGGGGGAGUUGAAGUAUUUCUUAGGAUUUCAAGUAAAGCAACUCCAAGAAGGCACCUUCCUAAGCCAAACAAAGUACACUCAAGAUAUUCUAAGCAAGUUUGGAAUGAAGGAUGCCAAACCCAUCAAGACACCCAUGGGAACCAAUGGGCAUCUCGACCUCGACGAGGGAGGUAAAUCCGUCGAUCAAAUGGUAUACCGGUCGAUGAUAGGUUCAUUACUCUAUUUAUGUGCAUCUCGACCGGAUAUUAUGCUUUCCGUAUGCAUGUGUGCAAGAUUCCAAGCCGACCCUAAGGAAGCUCACCUUACGACCGUAAAACGAAUCUUGAGAUAUUUAGUUUAUACUCCUAAGUUUGGGCUUUGGUAUCCUAGGGGAUCCACAUUUGAUUUGAUUGGUUAUUUGGAUGCCGAUUGGGUAGGGUGUAAAAUCAAUAGAAAGAGCACAUCGGGGACUUGCCAGUUCUUGGGAAGAUCCUUGGUGUCUUGGGCUUCAAAGAAGCAAAAUUCCGUAGCUCUUUCUACCGCCAAAGCCGAGUAUAUUGCCGCAGGCCAUUGUUGUGCGCAAUUACUUUGGAUGAGGCAAACCCUUAGGGACUAUGGUUACAAAUUAACCAAAGUUCCUUUGCUAUGUGAUAAUGAGAGUGCAAUCAAAAUGGCGGAUAAUCCCGUCGAGCAUAGCAGCACUAAACACAUAUCCAUUCGGUAUCACUUUUUAAGGGAUCACCAACAAAAGGGAGAUAUCAAGAUUUCUUACAUUAAUACUAAAGAUCAAUUAGCCGAUAUCUUUACCAAGCCACUUGAUGAACAAACUUUUAACAAACUUAGGCAUGAGCUAAAUAUUCUUGAUUCUAGGAACUUCUUUUGUUGAUUUGCACACAUAGCUCAUUUAUAUACCUUUGAUCAUAUCUCUUUCAUAUGCUAUGACUAAUGUGUUUUCAAGUCUAUUUCAAACCAAGUCAUAGGUGUAUUGAAAGGGAAUUAGAGUCUUCGGCGAAGACAAAGGCUUCCACUCCGUAACUCAUCCUUCGCCGUCACUCCAAGCAACUCUCCAUUUUUGGGGAGAAAGCAUGAGCACCAAGCAAAAAGACUCCAUCUUUGGUAUAAUCUUCACUCAUUUAUUUAUGACCAAAGGGGGAGAGAGUUAUUCAAGGGCUCUAAUGAUUCCGUUUUUGGCGAUUCAUGCCAAAGGGGGAGAGAGUAAGAGCCCAAAGCAAAAGGACCGCACCACCACCUAAUUUUAAAACUAAUGAUUUUCAAAUUGGUAUCUCAUUGUGUUCAAAAGGGGGAGAAAGUAGUAUUUUCAAAAUUGUUAUCUUAAAACCCUCUUGAACACUAAGAGGAGGAUUUCAUUAAGGGGGAGUUUUGUUUAGUCAAAGGAAAAGCAUUUGAAACAGGGGGAGAAAAUUUCAAAUCUUGAAAAUGCUUUGCAAAAUCUUAUUCAUUUACCUUUGACUAUUUGCAAAAGAACUUUGAAAAGGAUUUACAAAAGAAUUUGCAAAAACAAAACAUGUGGUGCAAGCGUGGUCCAAAAUGUUAAAAACAAAGAAACAAUCCAUGCAUAUCUUGUAAGUAUUUAUAUUGGCUCAAUUCCAAGCAACCUUUGCACUUACAUUAUGCAAACUAGUUCAAUUAUGCAUUUUUAUACUUGCUUUGGUUUGUGUUGGCAUCAAUCACCAAAAAGGGGGAGAUUGAAAGGGAAUUAGGCUUACACCUAGUUCCUAAAUGAUUUUGGUGGUUGAAUUGCCCAACACAAAUAAAUGGACUAACUAGUUUGCUCUAGUGUAUAAGUUAUACAGGUGCCAAAGGUUCACACUUAGCCAAUAAAAAGACCAAGUAUUGGGUUCAACAAAAAGAGCAAAGGGGCAACCGAAGGCACCUCUGGUCUGGCGCACCGGACUGUCCGGUGUGCCACCGGACAGUGUCCGGUGCACCAGAGGACUCCAAGUCGAACUCGUCACCUUUGAGAAAAUCCAGAGACGCUCCGCUAAAAUUCACCGGACAGUGUCCGGUGCUCCAAAGAACGGCGCCUCAGGAACUCGCCAGCUUCGGGAAUUCACAACGGCUAGUCCGCUAUAAUUCACCGGACAUGUCCGGUGUACACCGAACUGUCCGGUGUGCCAUCGAAGCAACAGAUACUUCGGCGCCAACGGCUACCUGCAGAGCAUUAAAUGCGCGCCAGCGCGCGCAGAAGGCAGGCGCGCCCAUACUGGCGCACCGGACACUCUACAGUACAUGUCCGGUGCGCCACCGGACAUCCAGGCGGGCCCAGAAGACAGAGCUCCAACGGUCGGAACUCAACGGCUUUGGUGACGUGGUUGGCGCACCGGACAUGUCCGGUGUGCACCGGACUGUCCGGUGCACCAUACGACAGUCAGCCCCACCAAACGACUAGUUUGGUGGUUGGGGCUAUAAAUACCCCCAACCACCCACCAUUCGUUGCAUCCAAGUUUACACACUUCCAACCACUUACAAGAGCUAGGCAUUCAAUUCUAGACACAUUCAAGAGAUCAAAUCCUCUCCCAAAUUCCACACAACGCCCUAGUGCUUAGAGAGAGACUUGCUUGUGUUCUUUCGAGCUCUUGCGCUUGGAUUGCUUUCUUCUUUCUUGAUUCUUUCUUGCGAUCAAACUCACUUGUAAUUGAGGCAAGAGACACCAAUCUUGUGGUGGUCCUUGUAGGAACUUUGUGUUCCAAGUGAUUGAGAAGAGAAAGCUCACUCGGUCCGAGGGACCGUUUGAGAGAGGGAAGGGUUGAAAGAGACCCGACCUUUGUGGCCUCCUCAACGGGGAGUAGGUUUGCAAGAACCGAACCUCGGUAAAACAAAUCCACGUGUCACACCUCUUAUUUGCUUGCGAUUUGUUUUGCACCCUCUCCCGUGGACUCGAUUAUAUUUCUAACGCUAACUCGGCUUGUAGUUGUGAUUAUUUUUGAGAAUUUCAGUUUCGCCCUAUUCACCCCCCCCUCUAGGCGACUAUCACGUUGCAAGUGGGAGGGCCCCGCUUGUCAUUGACUGUUGCUAUUCUAGCAAAGAGAAGGUGUGUUUUCGGACCUUUGGCUUAGGGCCUUCGUCCAUAUCACAAUCUGAAUUUAUCAUCCUAACAAAUUAAUAUUGUGAGGGGUUACUGUUGGGGGCCUUCGGCUUCCGAAGGUCCUCAAAAACGUGAUUUAACGAUGUUUCUGGAGUAUAAUACAUGAGCAGGUACCUUUGGACUUGAGUCAAAAUCACAGUGUGAAGAAGCACAAGGGAAACGAAGGAUGGAACAGAGCCGAAGCUGUGCGCAAGGGAGCUUCGGCAUGAUGACAGAAAAAAGGAAACGGACUUAAAGGGGAAAAGGCUAUCUAGACCCCGAUGAAUUACUAUAGAAUUAUUAGCAAAUGUAAAGGGCCUGGGUGUAAUUUUAUAUGGGCUGCGUCCCGUGCCUAUAAAUAGAUGAACAGUACUCCCGUAUUGUUCACGCUGACUGGGUAUUUGCUUUUGCGUCACACUUUUACUUUUACCUUCCUUCAAGCCGAAGGUACUUUUGUAACUUGUUAUUAUUUUUAUUUUUCCUUAAUAAUGAAAUAGAAAUGAUUUGAUGAUAAUUAAUAACUGUUGGUAUUAUCUUUUAUAUCCCAUAUGUUUUUUUCCUCGUUUAUAUGUUGCUUUGACGAAGGUACGUCCUUCACAACCUUCGUCCGAAAAUCAUUAUCUCUCAAAGGGAUAUAAUGCUUCGAAGGACGAAGGACUUUAACGUUUAACAUUCUCUGUGUUGCCUUGUUCUUAACUCAUAGCAUUUGAGAACAAGUCCCCAACAAAGGUAAUGCUCCUCUUCUUUUAGUAUUGAACAUCCCUAAUGUUUUUUAUCACUUGGCAUAAGUAAUAUGGCGAUUGAUGUUUCAGAUGAUGAAUCUGAUGAGGAGGUUCCACAGGCUAUUUCAUUAUUCCCAAACGCAGAUGGUAUAUAUCCUUGUUCUACAUAACAUUUUUGUUUAAGAGUUAAUAUUGCAUUUCUCUCUGUGCAUUAUGACUGCUUCAUAGAUACACAUAUUUAGUUUAUGGUGCUAUUUAUCUCAUAUCCUCAUUGUAUAUGUGACUGAACUCACCAGAUUAGAUAAUAUAUGACCUCCCACUUGAAUCCUUGAAACACUCGAUUAACAUUUUUUACAUUCAGAUGAUAAAAGUGAAGGAAGUAAAUGUGGUGUGAAGAAGCCUGCUGCUACAAAAUCCCCUAAACCAAAAGUUAGCUUGGAGGAAACAAAGGAUUGUGGCACUAACGACGAUGAAAGUGACGAAGACUUUGUUGAUUCAGAAGAGGGUGAAUCAGAUGAUGACGAGGUUGGUAUGGUAUAAGUGAUGAAUCAUGAUUGAUAUCAUUUCCUCCAUGUUUCAGUUCUCUCAUUCCUCUAGAUUAUUUUAUUGUGAUACUGGUAUAAGGAACUGAGUGAACAGACAAAGUAUAGGUCAUUUUGUUGUAUUACUUAAGAUAACCUAGGUAAUCAAAUAUUGUUGACCAGAUUUCUUAUGUAAACGAUUAUACUUUUUUCCUUGGGUUGAUUAUAUAUACUACUAUUGGUUUGAGUCUGCUAUCCAUUUCCUGAGCGUUGUACCUUUUUCAACCUGAAACUGGGCAUUAUUCCUCUAAGUGCGCGAUGCAUUUCUACAAGCAGACAUAAGGCGCCCUUACGGGCACCCUAUCGGGACACCGCUCAGUUGCUUCAUCUUCAGAUCCGGUUUGUUUU
rnacentral:lncRNA from 1 species